GCUAUCCAACUGUAAGCUCAUCGGUGACCUUCCUGGUUUUCUUCGACACCAAUUAAGAUUAACCGUGGUUGAUCUCUCCCAUAAUAACUUGAUUGGAAGUUUCCCCAUUUGGCUACUUGAAAACAAUACAAGACUAGGAUCUCUAGUUCUGAGGAAUAACUCUUUAAUGGGUCAACUACUUCCCCUGAGACCUAAUAGUCGUAUCACUUUAUUGGAUAUCUCAGACAACCGACUUGAUGGGGAACUUCAACAAAAUGUGGCCAAUAUGAUUCCAAAUAUUGAGUUUCUAAAUUUAUCCAGCAAUCCUCCCCUUCAUUUCAUCCAUAUUUGGAUCUACCUUUAAAUCUCUAUUGCAUACAACCCAUAUAUGAUUCCCUCUAAAUUUAGCCUUCAUUUCUUGUUAAGAGGUUUUAAAAGCCAGCAAUUUAAUUUACUUUCAUCCUCUAGAUAGAUGAGAACUCUUAUAUUUAUCCAAUGAUAGGUAACAUUUUUGCAAAUUCUUUUAUUUGAUUUUUUUAAUUGGUCUUAAAAAUAAGUGUUAAUAAAGAUCCACAAUAUAAAAUAAUAAAUUAUAUCUCAAUUGACCUCAAGAUACUAUUUACUUCUACUAACUCAUUUUACAUCUCAAUUGUUCUUAAAAAGUCUAUAAUGGUAAUUAACUAUAGAAUUCAAGUUUUAAUUAUGCAAAAAAUAUAUAAAGGUUUUUAAAAUUAAUAGAAAAAGAGAUUCUGAUAAAUAAUAAGUAGAUCGAAACAUUUACUUCUAGAAGUAGAGAAAGAUGGAGGAUCAUAAAAGUUGAAAAAAGAAUAAUUUGGAAGUCAUAAAAUUUUGGAAAAAGAAUAAUACAUAGAGACCUCAUUAACAACAAGUAACAACUAAUUGUAAGUAACCAUGAAAAAAGUAAGGAGAAAAAUAAAGGAAAAUCAAGGAAAGUGGCAAAUUUUUUCAUCCCCAUAAAAAAUGCUAAGGAAGAAAAAGGUGAAGAAAGUUUAAAGAAAGUAUAUUUUUCAAAAAUUGAAUUUUCUUUCCCUUAAAGUUGGUAUGGACAACCAAACAAGAAAAUGAUUUUUAAAUUCUUUUUUGACCUUUUUCUAUCAUUUUUUUUUUCCUUACUCUAUUUCCUUUCCCUCAAACUUUCUAGGUAGUAAACAUUACCUAAGAUAAAUAAGGAAGAAAAUAUUUUAUCAUUUAUUUAUUUAGUAUUUUUCUUACCUUUUUUUGUAUUUUAUCCAAAUAUAAGAAAACUAUUUUUCUUUAUUUUUUUUAUUUUCCUUGUUGCUUUUCAAGAAUCAAGCAUACUUUAAACUCUAAUUAAGAGUUUUAUCUCUAGACUAUAAUACUAAAUCACUUAAAAAAAACUCCUAACAUCGUUUAUGUUCAUCUUUCUUUUUAAGGAUUUGAAAAACCCAAUAAUUUGGAGAAAACUGAUUCUAGGAAGAAUAAUUUUUAGAAUAAAAGAUUAUUAUUUAAGAAGAUCAUAAAUAUUAUAGUCAUUGUUGAAUAUGAUAAAUGAUUAAAAAAAAAAGGUAGUUGGAAAUUUAGAUACUUUUAUAAGACAAAUGCAUUUUUCUAGUAUGGUAUGAAAAAAGGUAAAAUGAUAGGCUUUGAUCAUUUUUUAAGGUAGUUUGUUUAAAUCAUUUUAAUUUAUUUUGAUUUAAGAACAAUAACUUUUAUUACACUGGUUAUUUUGAUUUUCUUUUGAUAGAUUUUGCAAGCUUAAGCAAUUUGGAGGUAUUGGAUUUGAGUGAUAAUUCAUUUAGUGGGAUCCUUCCAUCGUCUAUAAGAUUGUUGUCUUCUCUCAAGUCUUUAUAUCUGGCUGGAAAUCACCUCAAUGGUUCCUUACCAAAUCAAGGUACAUAUAUUGUGAUUACAGGCUUUUUUGUUUUCUUUUUUAAUAUCUUGUUUGUUCUUUAUGCCAAUUAAGUCAUACAUGUCUAUUAAUUUUUGGUAUGCAAUGAAAAACUUUAUUUUUAAUUCAUAAAGACCUCAUCAAUCGUAAGUAACAACUAAUUGUAAGUUUGGGGGCAUUGACAAGACGAGGAGAUGAUUGGUUACAUGUCUUAUCCUCUUUUGUAGGCUUCUGCCAAUUCAAUAAGUUUCAAGAGUUAGAUCUUUCUUACAACUUAUUCCAAGGGAUCCUUCCUCCAUGUUUGAAUAAUUUCACAUCUCUGAGGUUAUUGGAUCUCUCUUCCAACCUAUUCUCCGGAAAUCUUUCUUCCCCUUUGUUACCUAAUCUCACAUCCCUGGAGUACAUCGAUCUCAGUUACAAUCAGUUUGAGGGUUCAUUCUCUUUCAGCUCUUUUGCUAAUUACUCCAAGCUUCAAGUGGUCAUACUUGGAAGGGAUAACAACAAAUUUGAGGUACAAACUGAAUAUCCAGUUGGUUGGGUUCCCCUGUUUCUAUUGAAAGCUCUUGUCCUAUCCAACUGUAAGCUCAUCGGUGAUCCUGGUUUCCUUCGACACCAAUUAAGAUUAACCGUGGUUGAUCUCUCCCAUAAUAAUUAGACUGGAAGUUUCCCCAUUUGGCUGCUUGAUAACAAUACAAGACUAGGAUCUCUAGUUCUGAGGAAUAACUCUUUAAUGGGUCAACUACUUCCCCUGAGACCUAAUAGUCGUAUCACUUUAUUGGAUAUCUCAGACAACCGAGUUCAUGGGGAACUUCAACAAAAUGUGGCCAACAUGAUUCCAAAUAUUAAGUUUCUAAAUUUAUCCAACAAUGGUUUUGAAGGUAUUCUCCCAUCCUCAAUAGCCGAAAUGAGUUCCUUACCGUCAUUAGAUUUGUCUGCUAAUAGUUUCUCAGCGGAAGUACCAAAACAAUCGCUUGCGGCAAAAUAUUUGUGGCUUCUGAAAUUAUCAAAUUAUAAAUUUCAUGGUGAAAUAUUUUCAAGGGACUUUAACUUGACUCAGUUAGGGUUUUUGCAUUUGGACAAUAAUCAGUUCAGGGGAGCACUGUCAAAUGUAAUCUCCAGAAUCUCUAGGUUGUGGGUGUUGGAUGUGAGCAACAACAUGUCAGGUGAAAUUCCAAGCUGGAUAGGUAACAUGACCGAUUUGACUACAUUGGUGUUGGACAACAAUAGUUUUAAAGACAAAUUACCACUUGAGAUUUCUCAAUUGUCGGGGAUGAUAUUUCUUGACGUUUCUCAAAACGCUCAAGAGCAUGGAGUAUUUAGAGCAUCUACAUUUGCAAAGGAACAUGUUUACAAGAUUGAUACCCAGAGAUUUUCUCAAUUCCUCAUAUCUAUUGACUUCGGAUAUCAGAGACAACAGGUUAUUUGGAAGUAUUUCCAAUUCAAUCUCUAGACUUUUAGAGCUAAGAGGAAACCUUUUAAGUGGUUUCAUUCCAUAUCGGCUUUGUCAUUUGACUAAAAUAAGCUUCAUGGAUCUUUCAAACAACAAUUUUUCUGGGUCAAUUCCCGGAUGCUUUGGUCAUAUCGGAUUUGGAGAUUUCAAAACUGAGCACAAUGUGUAUAUACCGAUGUUGGAUUCAUAUUCAGAAAGCAAUCCUUCUAUAUAUACGGGUUACUUAAUAAAAUAUUUAUUUUUCUCUAGUGAACUCCCUGAUGAAGUAGAUGAAGUUGAGUUUGUUACCAAGAAUAGGUAUAGCUCCUACAGAGUAGAUAAAAAUAUUUGUUGGGAAUUUAGAUAUUUUUAUAGGACAAUAUACAAGUAUUCUAAUUUAUAAAAACAAUGCAUUUCUUUAGUUUGGUAUAAAAAAAAUGAAACGAUAGGUAUUGGUAAUUUUUUUUGAAGUAACAAACGUUUUAUUUUAUUUGUAUUUAAGAACAAUGUUUUUUCUUAUACUAGUUAUUUUAAUUUUCUUUUGACAGAUUUUGCAAGCUUAAGCAAUUUGGAAAUGCUAGAUUUGAGUUAUAAUUCCUUAAGUGGGAUUAUUCCAUUAUCUAUAAGAUUGAUGCCUCAUCUCAAGUCUUUAUCACUGGCCGGAAAUCACCUCAAUGGUUCUUUACAAAAUCAAGGUACAUAUGUUAUGAUUUGUUUGUUUCAUAUAGAUUAGAGAAGAUAAAUAUUGUAAAAAAAAAAAAAGUUGUAGUUAAUGUAAGCUUGAAAUAAGUAUCUUGCCUUAUAAAUUAUAUAAGCAUGUGUUUGUUCUUAAUGAAUCUUUACAACAUUUAGAGUUACCAAUGCUUCUAAUUCAUAAAGACCUCAUUAAGAGUGAGUAACAACUAAUUGUAAGUAAUUGUGGAAAAAGUUAAGGAAAACAAAAUGAGGGAAAAGCAAGUAAUUAGGAAAUUAUUUUGUUCCCAUUAAAAAAUGCUAAGGAAGAAAAAGGUAAAAGAAAGUUAAAAAAAAGUAUAUUUUUCAAAAAUUUAUUUCUCUUUCCUUUAAUUUUGCUAUGGACAACCAAACAAGAAAAUUAUUUUAUAAUUCCUUUUUUAUUUUUUUCAUUCUCUCUCUCUUUUUUUCCCUACUCUAUUUCUUUUCCCUCGAACUUUCUUGGUAGUAAACACAACCUAAUAUAAAUGGGGAAGAAAAUUUUCAGUUUUUUAUUUUUUUUUUUAAUUUUUUUAGAAUGUUUUCUUACUUUUUUGUAUUUUAUGCAAAUAUAGGAAAAUUAUUUUUUUUUUUCUUGCUCCUUUUCAAACAUGAAUCACACUUUAAAAGAAAAUUAAUUUUUAAUUAGGAGUUAAGAUAAAUUUAAGGAGAAACAAUGAAUCACGAAAAACAAAAAAUUAAGGAAAUUGAAUUUUUGGAAGGAAGUAUAAUCAAAUUGCUUCAUUUGAUACAAAAUUUGAAUAAAAAUUCUUUCAAUGAAAAUUCAAGGAAAGGAAAAAACAUUUUUGUCUCUAGAUUAUAAUACUAAAUCAUGUAAAAAAUCUCUUAAUAUCAUUUAUAUUCAUAUUUCUUUUUGUAGAUUUGAAAAUUUCAACAAUUUGGAAUAAACUUAUUCAAUGAAGAAUAAUUUUUAGAUUUAAAGAUUAUUAUUUAAGAUCAUAAAUAUUACCAUCAUUGUUGAUGUCUAAGAAGAUCAUAUUCAACAAUUUUUUUAAUAUGUUGUUUUUUAUGGUAAUUAAUUGAUGUCUUGUAAUUUUUAAUAUUUAAUGAAAAACAUUAUUUUAAUUCAUCUAGAGCUCUUAAUUCAUGAAGACCUCAUUAAUGGUGAGUAAUAGCUGGCUGUAAGUUUGGAGUCAAAGACAUGUCAAGGAGAUGAUUAGUUACAUGUCUUAUUCUCUUUUGUAGGUUUCUGCCAAUUGAAUAAGCUUCAAGAGUUAGAUCUUUCUUACAACUUAUUCCAAGGGAUCCUUCCUCCAUGUUUGAAUAAUUUCACAUCUCUGAGGUUAUUGGAUCUCUCUGCCAACCUAUUCUCCGGAAAUCUUUCUUCCCCUUUAUUACCUAAUCUCACAUCCCUGGAGUACAUCGAUCUCAGUUACAAUCAGUUUGAGGGUUCAUUCUCUUUCAGCUCUUUUGCUAAUCACUCCAAGCUUCAAGUGGUCAUACUUGGAAGUGAUAACAACAAAUUUGAGGUAGAAACUGAAUAUCCAGUUGGUUGGGUUCCCCUGUUUCAGUUGAAGGUUCUCUCUCUAUCCAGCUGUAAGCUCACCGGUGACCUUCCUGGUUUUCUUCAAUACCAAUUCAGGUUAGUGAGGGUUGAUCUCUCCCAUAAUAACUUGACAGGAAGUUUCCCCAAUUGGCUGCUUGCAAACAAUACGAGACUAGAAUUUCUAGUCCUGAGGAAUAACUCUUUAAUGGGUCAACUACUUCCCCUGAGACCUACUACCCGUAUCAGUUCAUUAGAUAUCUCACACAAUCAGUUGGAUGGACAACUUCAAGAAAAUGUGGCCCAUAUGAUUCCACAUAUUAUGUCUCUAAAUUUGUCCAACAAUGGUUUUGAAGGUAUUCUCCCAUCCUCGAUAGCUGAAAUGAUUUCCUUAAGGGUGUUGGAUUUGUCUGCCAAUAAUUUCUCAGGAGAAGUACCAAAGCAGUUGCUUGCAACAAAACGUUUGGAGAUUCUAAAAUUAUCAAAUAAUAAAUUUCAUGGUGAAAUAUUUUCGAGGGACUUUAACUUGACUUGGGUGGAAGUUUUGUGUUUGGGCAAUAAUCAGUUCACGGGAACUCUGUCAAAUGUAAUCUCCAAAAACUCUUGGUUAUCGGUGUUGGAUGUGAGCAACAACUACAUGUCAGGUGAAAUUCCAAGCCAGAUAGGUAACAUGACCGAUUUGACUACACUGGUGUUGGGCAACAAUAGUUUUAAAGGCAAAUUACCACCUGAGAUUUCUCAAUUGCAGGGGUUAGAGUUUCUUGACGUUUCUCAAAACGCUCUUUCGGGAUCUCUUCCUUCUUUGAAGAACUUGCUGAAUUUAAAGCAUCUACAUUUGCAAGGGAACAUGUUUACAAGAUUAAUACCCAGAGAUUUUCUCAAUUCCUCAAAUCUAUUGACUUUGGAUAUUAGAGAAAACAGGUUAUUUGGAAGUAUUCCCAAUUCAAUCUCUGCACUUUUGAAGCUAAGGAUUCUUUUGCUGGGAGGAAACCUUUUAAGUGGUUUUAUUCCAAAUCAUCUUUGUCAUUUGACUGAAAUAAGCUUGAUGGAUCUUUCAAACAACUCUUUUUCAGGGCCAAUUCCUAGAUGCUUUGGCCAUAUCCGAUUUGGGGAGAUGAAAAAGGAGGACAACGUGUUUGGACAGUUCAUUGAAUCUUGGUAUGAAAUGAAUCCUCAUCUUGUAUAUGCAGGUUACUUGGUGAAACAUUGGGGGUUCUCAAGUCCAAUAUAUAAAGAAACUGAUGAAGUUGAGUUUGUCACCAAGAACAGGCGUGACUCCUACAAAGGUGGCAUCCUUGAAUUCAUGUCUGGAUUGGAUUUAUCAUGUAACAACUUGACAGGCGAAAUACCUCACGAACUUGGAAUGCUAAGUUCGAUUCAUGCAUUGAACUUGUCUCACAAUCAAUUGAAUGGCUCCAUUCCAAAGAGUUUCUCCAAUCUUUCUCAAAUAGAGAGCUUAGACCUUUCUUAUAAUAAACUGGGUGGAGAAAUUCCUCUAGAGCUAGUUGAACUCAAUUUUUUAGAGGUGUUUAGUGUCGCUUACAACAACAUCUCUGGUAGAGUUCCAAACACCAAAGCACAAUUUGGGACAUUUGAUGAAAGCAACUAUGAAGGUAAUCCUUUCCUUUGUGGGGAACUAUUAAAGAGGAAAUGCAACACAAGUAUUGAGUCACCAUGCGCACCAUCACAAUCUUUUAAAAGUGAGGCCAAAUGGUAUGAUAUCAAUCAUGUUGUUUUCUUUGCAAGUUUUACUACUUCAUAUAUCAUGAUCUUGUUAGGAUUUGUUACCAUGCUUUACAUCAAUCCUUAUUGGCGUCAUAGAUGGUUCAAUUUUAUCGAGGAAUGUAUAUAUUCCUACUAUUAUUUUGCUUCUGAUAGUCUUUCCAAGUUAUCAACAUAUUUGUAUAAUUAGAUGCUUUUAGUUGGAUGAUGUUUGCAUAAUUAACUACUAUUUGUUUCCAGAGGAUAGAAAGAAAUGGGAUGUAUAAUUGCUAUGAGUUGAAACUUAUGUACUUUGCUCAAAUUUCGGCAUCCUUUGCUUUUAUUUUCAAGUUUUGUUAUUUUUUAUUUAUUGUUUAUUUCAAGAUUUAACCAUAUUAUGUUACUCUUAUAAAGACAAAUUCAAAUUUUUAGGAACUUUUAGCAUUAAAAGAAUUUCACAUUCAGAUUUUAGAAAAUAAAGAAGAAAGAAAAUAAUAAAUAAUUGGAAAAACAAUUCAACAAAAUAUUAAAUUAUCAUUUUAAAAUUGUUUGGCAUAGUAUGGGAAUUCUAAAAUAAUUUUUCAAUUUGUUAGAAGCAUUUAUUUAUUUAUUGUAACAAUGAUUGAAAUAUCAAUCACAAAGUAAUGUUUUCUUUUCUUUUUAAGGGCAAUAACACUUUUUCUUUUAUUGUAAUAAUUGAUAAAUGUAUUACACAAUUAUUUGUUUUAAAAAAAAGUUAGGGAUGACACAAUUAAUAAUUGAGGGUAAGUUAGGAAUAUUAAUUAUUUUCACUAGGUAGAUAUUUUGAAGGUUAUUUUUUCCGAAACACAUAUUCUUUGAAAAUAAAAAAUAAAAGUUUUAAAAAAAUAUAAUUUUUUUUAAAUGACGCAUGAUUACAUCAUUCCCCCUAGAUUAUUUGUUCAUUUAAACUUUUGUUUAAAUAAAAUUAGUUUUAAUUAUUUUCUUUUUGGAAUUAUAUUUAACAUUUAUUUAAAAAAAUAAAAAAACAUAGAUAUAAUAUUGUUAAUGAGUUUUCUUUUUAAUAUUUUGUAAAAUAAUUAAAUUUAAAAAUAUUUAAAUUUAAUUAUGGGCUGCCCAUUUCAAAAUAAUAAGAAUCUCAUAAUCUAAUUUUUCCAAAUUCCAGGUUAAUAUGCUAAUCUAAAAAGAAAAUAAUAAGAAUCUCAUAACCUAAUUUUUAUGUGCUGAUUGGGUUUUUUUCCUUUAAUUAAAAAAAAAAAAAAGGAAAAAAACAGAAGUGUGCGAUCCUCUUUCUCGAGUCUUCACAUUUUGAGACACUGAACCCAAAUCAAAAUUAAUCCUCCAAAUUAAUUUUCACCUCCAACCCAAGCCCUAACUGCUGCCCCCGUUUUCGUUUUCUUCUUUCCGAAAACCCUCUGGAAUCGGAAGAUUCAUAAUUCUUCAGAAUUAAUUUUCACCUCGAAGCCAAACCCUAAGUGCCUCAUCUUCCUCUCAUUCAUAUCCCAAAAGUAGCUUCAACAGUCAGGCCUGUAGCCAUGAAAGCCGUAGUGAUCACUACUUCCGGUGAUCCCCAAGUUCUCCAAGUGCAAGAAGUCGAAAACCCUGAAAUUGGAGAUGAUGAAGUUCUAAUUAGAGUGGACGCCGCUGCCAUUAACCGAGCAGAUACGCUUCAGAGGAAGGGCUUGCACCCUUCCUCAAAGGCGGCAGUCCCUACCCGGGUCUCGAAUGUUCUGGAAUCAUCGAAGCUGUUGGAAAAGCCGUCGUUCGAUGGAAGGUUGGCGAUCAGGUAUUUCAAUUGCCUAAUAUUUUGAUUUCGUUUCUGUUCCUGUAUUUUUCUCGGCUAUCAAACACUAGGAACGUGUAAAUAAGGAGGUUAGUUGAUUGCGAAAACGGGAAUUUUUUGUUUGUGUUUGUGUUAAGGAGUCUUUGUUGAGAAUUUUAUGAUUAGUUUGUGAUUUUAUGAUUAAUUUUGUGUAUCAAUAUAGGUUAAUUAUUGAGCUUAUUGGUUUUUCAAAUUUAUGGUUGUAAGAAAAUUGGUCAGUGUAAGGUUAUGGGUUCAUUACCAAUUUGCUUACUGAAAAUUUUUCCAGAUAUUGUGGGCUGGUUUGGUAGCAGAAAUAAGAACUGUGUUUUCUUUUCCAAAACGGAAAUAGAUGCAGAAAACUUGUUUGGUAGCCUACUUUCAGAACUUGUGUCUGAAAAUAUUUCCUGAUAAUGAAUUAUUUCAGAACUUGUUUUUAAAAACUGCAAGCACUUUAUCAAUUUAAAAGGUUCUGAAACUUUUAUGAAAAAACCAUUUUCCAUUCUACUAAGCAAACAGGCUUUAUAUUGUAACGGAUCUAUUGGCCAUCUCCUUUGUCAUGUUUUGUGAAUCAUGGCAAUACUGGAAUCCACUCCAUUACUCUCGAUUAGUGAUUAGGAGAGAAAGCACCGAUUUUAAUGCUAUCCUGUAUGUGAUUUUGCUUCCUCCUGAGUACAAGUUCAUAAUAUACAUGGUACAUGGUACAUGUCUGUAUGACAGUUUGUGGUAUACAGGUGUGUGCUCUUCUUUCUGGUGGAGGGUAUGCUGAAAAAGUGGCUGUUCCAGCUGGGCAAGUUCUUCUUGUCCCAUCUGGUGUUUCUCUGAAGGAUGCUGCCGGUAUUCCCGAGGUUGCAUGUCCUGUUUGGUCAACUGUUUUAAUGAUGAGCUGUCUGUCGGCAGGAGAAACAUUCCAGGUGAAUUUUUGUUUUUUUUUUUUCUGAUGCCUGAUAUAUUUACCAGUACAUAACUUAGCCUGAUGGGGUUGUGCAUAUUCCAAUGGUUUAAAAACGUCCAAUGCACACAAAUUUACACUGUUGGUGUUUAAUAUGUGUGCAUCAAUAUUGGAUUAGGGAGGCAGAAGAGCCAUGGUUUUAAUUAAAGCAUUACAUCAUCAUAUUCUUAUUUAGAUACAUCGUGUCACGAUUUCAUUGCAUCCAAGGCCAUGUUGUUUUUCAUUGUAUGGUUUGUCAUGAUAAUUUCUCAACCCUUCUCUGGAAAAUUAUGUUGGAUGGCUGAUAUUAAUUACCCCAAAAGAAGAAAUUUUAUGUUGAAGUAAGAUGAGUACCACAAAGAGUUACUUUUGGUUGUUCCUAUCAUCAAAUGGGUGAUUGAUGCACAAUCCAAAUGGUAAAAAAAAUUUCCCCCUUUAUCCAGAUGGAAUUUUUAUGCAUGGAUGAAUUGUGAAAUGAGGACUGAUAAUAUUUCAGGUUCAUGGGGGUUCAAUUGGAAUUGGUACGUUUGCUAUUCAAAUAGCGAAAUACCGAGGAGCAAGGGUAUUUGUUACAGCAGGUUUGCCAUCACUAUUCUACCUCAUCUCAUGGCACCAAUUCCUUGUCUUCACAUGUUUUCGACCAUUUUUUACAGCUGAAAACGAGGAAAAAUUAGCUGUUUGUAAGGAUCUUUGAGCAGAUGUGUGCAUCAAUUACAAGACUGAAGACUUUGUUGCUUGGGUGGAGGAAACAGGAGGGAAAGGUAUAUUCUAUUGUAUCCUAACAAUAAUUUCAGUUGAAGAUGGAAUUGCUUUUUAUUUUUUAGUGCACCAAAUCCACUAGUCUGGUAUGUUUGAAAAGAUAAAUAGUCAUCUUCCACUUGAUUCCGAUUGUGAAGAUCUAACUCCAAAAAUGUUGAAUGACAGGUGUUGAUGUUAUACUGGAUAAUAUUGGACGGGCCUACUUUGAGGGAGACAUCGAUAGUUUAAAUGUUGAUGGAACGCUUUUUAUUAUUGGUUUUCAGGGUGGAACAGUUGCAGAAGUAAAUCUUUCAGGUUUACUUGCAAGGUGCCUUACAGUGCAAGGUACCACUUUCUCUAUAGAAGAUUUUUCUGUAGUUUUGGAGUUGAAUCAAUUUGAUUAAUCUCAUCCAAGUUCAGAACUAAGGUGGAUUCUGGCAAGCCAAGGAAAAACCAAAUUACCAUAAAUUCUUUUUUUUUCUGGAUUGUUUUACUUCUUGGAAAUCCUGUUUCUCGAUCUGGUCAGGUAUAUGGAAAUUCCAAGGAAAAUAUGUUUUACAUUUUCCAUAAUUGGAAACACUCAGGAAUUUAAUAUUUUCCUAUGAAAUAGCAAUGGUUUUCUAAUUACAACAUUUGAUUUUCUUGUAUCAUCCCAAAGUAUUUUUUAGGUGUUUGUUCUCUCUUGACACAGCUUUUAAUCGGGUCUGUCUUGCUUUUCGAUAGAUCUCUUGACAAGUUGCUUUUAUAUCAUACUUUCGUUAUUGGUUUUGGAUCAUGCACCUUGCUUUGUCAGCCCUGUUAUCACUACCCAAACUAGUAAAUUAUGCACAAAACUCCAUGUGUCAGUAACUGUGGUUAUUAGGUUGUAUUAAAUAAUUUGUAAAUACGGUGGAUGAGUUUGUACUAAAUGGCAAUUGUUUCUGCAGCGGCAGGUUUGCGAAACAGAAGUCUGGAAAACAAAGCUGUAAUUGUGAGUGAGGCGGAGAAGAAUGUUUGGCCUGCAAUCACAGGCGUACAAGUAUUUUCCAUUGACGGGAGCAGCAGAGGCUCACCAGCUCAUGGAAAGCAGCAAGCAUGUUGGGAAGAUACCGUGCAUUCAAUUAUGUUAUGGUUAUGAAUGAUCUUAUGCCUCAGAGGGAUGACAUGAUUUUAAAACUCUUAAUGAGUAUCUACUAUCUUGAGUUGAUUGUAGUUGAUUGUAGUUUGAGCAUGAAAAUUUGAAGAUCCAGAACAGCAAAUGCAGAAUGCCUAUCAAUUUGAAACCAGCAUGGGUGGAUGAAUGGAGAGGUUCUUCACUGAAUUUGUCCAUGAAGUGGUUUCCAUUAAAUUGCUUGAUUUGAAAAAGGAAAAAAGCAUAUAUUGCUUAUUUGAAGUUAGAACUUAAGUUGCCAGAAUGGUUUAUGCUUAUAGUGCUGAUUUUAAAGUAUGAAACAAAUUGGAACUAACACAAAAAGUAGUUAUAUACCACGAAAGAAAUGAAUAAAUUUCAUCUUAUAUCUCAUAGUUAUAUACCACGAAACAAAUAAUUUAAAAAAAAAAUAACUAAAAUCUAGAAUGAACUUUUUUUUAAUCAAAUCUUAAAACUUCUUUUCUAAAAAGAAAUAAAAUUGAAAACCUUUUAUUGUUUAUUUAUUAGUUUAGGUAAAUAAAGUUGUAAAAAUCAUGUAUUAAUAAAAAUAAUAAAAGGUUAUGACCAAUUUGCUCAUAGUUACAUUUUCUUCUGCAGCAUUCUUAAUGUUUGAUAUUUAUUUAAAAUAAAAAUAUAUUCUAUUUCAAUAUUUGGAAUUUAAAAAAAGAAAUGAAAUCUCUCUCAUAUUUAAUAAGUAAUUUUUCUUUUUGUCAAUAAUAUUCAUAAUUGAAAUGUGUAACAUUUACACAUAAAAAAAGUGAUAUUAUUUCUUUCAAAAAAUAUUUAUUAAGUAAUAUAAAUAUUAGUAUUAUUUUAUCAUGUAAAGGCAGUGGGUAGGACUCAAGAGAUAUAUGCAUGGCAUGUUAGAAUUUUUAACCAAUAUUAUCGAGGCUCAAUGAGUUGGUACCAAUAUUGUCUCCAACAGCAAGAUAGGGUUCCUUCACCUACCAAUUCCAUUGAACCACAUCAAUCCUCAUUUUGGUACUAAAGGGUCAUUGCAAUGUAAUAUGUACAAAUUAUUGAUAUUUAAUGAAAUCAAAUCUUUCAUGAAACUUCAUAAUGAGUGUACAAUUACAAAAUUCACAUUUCUUAUCCACCAACAUGAUAUAAUUACAUUUAAUAUCGCAAAUUAUAUCAUACAUAUAUCAAAAUUUUCAACAAAAUAACUUUAAAUUGUCUAUUAUAUUUCUAAUUACAUUGUUAUGAGGUUUUUCUUACAUUUCCAUGAGUUUUGAUCACCUUUUGGCAUACCGAAAUUUUUUUCCAAAAUAUCCACCGAUAUUUCUCCGAUAUAUCCGUAAAAUCAAGUUACCGAUAUAUUCGUGAUUACCGAUAUUUUCAUCCUUGCUCCUGAGAGACAAAGUCGAGGAUCUUCUCGAGUUAAGUAUAAAAUUUCCUAUAAUAAUUUUAAUGCAAAUGCAGGGAAGAUGAGAGUGUAAGUUGCUAGUUUCAAAUCGAAUAUGAGCAAGAAAAAGUCUUUCUUACCUGUUCAACAACUGACAAUACAUUGGCAUAACAAUUCCCUGGGUCGAAUGUGCCACAAUGCCCUCUUGGAGUUCCAAAGCUUGUUCACAGGUCAAUCGAACUUGAGGGUUUUGGGACAUGAACUUCAAGUUUGUACCAAUAUUGUCUCCAACAGCAAGAUAGGGUUCCUUCACCUACCAAUUCCAUUGAACCACAUCAAUCCUCAUUUUGGUACUAAAGGGUCAUUGCAAUGUAAUAUGUACAAAUUAUUGAUAUUUAAUGAAAUCAAAUCUUUCAUGAAGCUUCAUAAUGAGUGUACAAUUACAAAAUUCACAUUUCUUAUCCACCGACAUGAUAUAAUUACAUUUAAUAUCGCAAAUUAUAUCAUACAUAUAUCAAAUUUUUCAACAAAAUAACUUUAAAUUGUCUAUUAUAUUUCUAAUUACAUUGUUAUGAGGUUUUUCUUACAUUUCCAUGAGUUUUGAUCACCUUUUGGCAUACCGAAAUUUUUUUCCAAAAUAUCCACCGAUAUUUCUCCGAUAUAUCCGUAAAAUCAAGUUACCGAUAUAUUCGUGAUUACCGAUAUUUUCAUCCUUGCUCCUGAGAGACAAAGUCGAGGAUCUUCUCGAGUUAAGUAUAAAAUUUCCUAUAAUAAUUUUAAUGCAAAUGCAGGGAAGAUGAGAGUGUAAGUUGCUAGUUUCAAAUCGAAUAUGAGCAAGAAAAAGUCUUUCUUACCUGUUCAACAACUGACAAAACAUUGGCAUAACAAUUCCCUGGGUCGAAUGUGCCACAAUGCCCUCUUGGAGUUCCAAAGCUUGUUCACAGGUCAAUCGAACUUGAGGGUUUUGGGACAUGAACUCCAAGUUUGGUUGCCAAGAAUCUCCAGGUGGAGGAUCAGCUUCUGACACGUGCGCACACACUUCUUGGCCAGUUUGUGUUAUUGCAAUUUUAAUAAAUUGCAAAAAAAAAAAAAAAAAAAUUAUUGCGAGCAAUUUUUUCUUUUUAAACAAACUGCAAAAAUCCCUUUUUUUUUUUUUUAAACUGAAUGGUUUUUUUUCUCCAACAAAGUGAUUUUUUUUUUUUUUAUAAAACUGCAAGAUUUUAUUUUUUUAUUUUUUUAAAAUAAAAUUGCAAAGUCUUUUUCUUUUAAAAUAAAAAUUGUAGAAUCAUUUUCAAAAAAAAAAAAAAGAAAGAAAAGAAAACCAUGAAAUCAAUUUUUAGAUAAAAAGAGUAAAAAAUUUCAAGUGAAAAACAUAAUGUUCUUAAAGUUGUAAAUACAAUUGAAAAAUUAUUUUUUUCUUAAUAAAAAUAAAGUUGUAAAUAUUUUUUAUUAUUGUAAAAUUGUGAAAAAUCAUUUUUUUAAAAUAACUAAAAUCUAGAAUGCAUUUUUUUAAUCAAAUCUUAAAACUUCUUUUCUAUAAAAAAAUAAAAUUGAAAACUUUUUAUUGUUUAUUUAUUAGUUUAGGUAAAUAAAGUUGUAAAAAUCAUGUAUUAAUAAAAAUAAUAAAAGGUUAUGACCAAUUUGCUCAUAGCUACAUUUUCUUCUGCAGCAUUCUUAAUGUUUGAUAUUUAUUUCAAAUAAAAAUAUAUUCUAUUUCAAUAUUUGGAAUUUAAAAAAAGAACUGAAAUCUCUCUCAUAUUUAAUAAGUAAUUUUUCUUUUUGUCAAUAAUAUUCAUAAUUGAAAUGUGUAACAUUUACACAUAAAAAAAGUGAUAUUAUUUCUUUCAAUAAAUAUUUAUUAAGUAAUAUAAAUAUUAGUAUUAUUUUAUCAUAUAUUUUGUAGUUAUUUUUUAGUUUUUUUAACAACAAAUUUAAUUUUUUAAUCAUUUUUUUUUCAAAAUAAGUAAUAUAAAUUUUUUUUUAAAAAAUUCUCAUAUAUAUAUAUAUAUGAACUUUCAAUUGAAUUUUUUGAAAGUUUGAAAAGUGCCAUAUUUUAAGAAAUAUUUUUUUAAACUGCAAUAUUUAUUUCAAAAUCCCUUGGACUUUUAUGGUUGGAAGAAGCAUCAUAUAUCAACUCCUCUUUAACCAACAUUUACUUCAACCAACUUUGCCAUCCUGCAGAAAAGCUUGAAUGGCUUCUUCUGCUCUCUCUGUAAUUCUGUAGAAUGCGAAUUCUCUCCAAUAUAAUCAUGAAAUAGUGUGUGUCAUACACAAAAUCUACACAAGGGAUGAUUUCAUUAUUUGAAAUAAUAGAAGUAUAUAAACAUGAACUUUAAAGGGAUGAAAUAGGAGUUGGUUAAAGAGAAAGAUCCGCCAAGUCGAAAGUCCUUGAAACAGCUUUGCACCAAGACUCCACCUUCUUAUUCCUCCGUUCCUCGUCUAAUGCAGGAUAAAAUGUGGUAGCAAGCUUCACCUUUUCUCCAGAAUCAAAAAUCUCGUCUUCUGUCCAAAUCCCCACUGCUAAUCCAGCUGCAUAAGCGGCUCCAAGAGCUGUUGUCUCUAUAUCAGCUGGUCUAACCACCGGGUUCCCCAGCAGAUCAGCCUGCAAAUCAUUAGACAGCAAAUUGUCAAAUAAAACAGUUCAAACAAGGACAGUAUGGGAUUAUGGGCAGUCUGAUAUAAGAUACCACAAGCAUGAAGACAGAAUAGGAUUGUACCACAUGAUCACCAGCCAUUGACAUGAACAAAAAUAAAAAGAAGAUAAGUUCAAACUCAUAUCAAUUUGUUAAAACUUCAUAUGGGCCUGAAGUGAUGACAAAAUUGUUGUUUACUUUCAUUUGGGAAAAUGGCUAACAUCAGUUCAAACAAAUGAAAAAAAAAAUGUGGAGGAAAAAAUAGGAAUGCAAAAAAAGUGAUCACACCUUCAAAAACAUAAUUCUUGUUGCAGCUUUUGCUAGAUGUACACAAAAUUAUAGAACAAAAGAUUGGAACGGAGUGGAACAAUUCGAGGAAAUUAGUGCAUUUCAUGAUUAGACGAUACCAAAUCCAGAACCAAAAUCUUACAUUAUUAUCAUGAUUGCAGUAUAGAAGGCUUACAGGUAAUGUAUAGGUUUAAGUUUUGUAAUUCCCAUCAAAAAGGGGAGAAUUGAAACAAGAGAAGUUUAGCAAUGCAGAAAACAGAAACCAUUACUGUUACGUGUUACAGCAACAAAGCAGAUAUUGGAUCAAAGAAUAGCAGAAAAUACGAACCUGAAUUUGCAUCAAAAGAUUGUUAAUGGUUGCACCACCAUCAACUCUAAGCAAGAACUCCCCCUUCUCAUUCUUGACCUCACCCUUCUCCCCUGCAUCCUUGUGCAUUGAAUCUAGGACAUCCUUUACCUGAAAACACAUACUCUCAAGCACAGCUCGAGCAAUGUGAGACUUGUUUGUAAAUCUUGUGAUCCCAAUGCAAACCCCACGUGCAUCAUCACGGCACCAUGGAGCAAACAAUCCAUUGAAUGCUGGCACAAAAUAAACCCCACCCGAAGAAUCAACCAAGGCCGUCUCCGAGCUCCUGCAAUUACAAUAGAGCCCUCUAAAACAUAGUUGGUAUCUGAUGUGGGUUUAUCCCAAUCAAGGGUUUUGAGAUUCACGAGCAUUGUUCCAGAUGCAUUUGAGACAUCAGUGACAUGAACCCCCACCAUUCAAGCCUCCUGUCAUACUCCAGAGAAGCUUCAAUGCACUGAAGUAUGUGCUUACGGGCAAACCACGUUUCCACAAAAUGCUUUCUUCCCUCAGGAAAUUCUUUCUCCAAUUUCCUGUAAAAACAAAAUGUAGACACCAUCCAACUGAUCCCUAACAUGGGUUUGUUUUCACAUUCAUUAUGUGGGACACCCACUCUCUUUGUUUAAUAAUAAUAAUAAUAAUAAUAAUAUAUUGGGCCUUGACUUUGAGAUUGGGCCUUGAGUUUCCUUUGGUCAAGGCCUUGACUGGUGUUGAUAUAUGCCAUUAAAUUAUAUGUGUCUAAUAUAAAAUAUAAAUAUAAGAUCAUUAAAGUAAACAAAUUAUAGAUGUGUAUUAAUUAUACAAGUAAUACAAAUCAUAUUGUAUAAAUUAUAGUUAAAAAUUUUAAUCUCCACCAAACUAAUAGAAUCUCUAUUAUAAUAAUUGGAGUGAACACCAUGUUGGCCCGUGUUAGGCCUGGGCCAGAUUUUAAAGACUAGGCCUUGAGUUCCCCUUGGGCCUAGGCCAGGGCCUUCUCUUUGUAUCAUCAUUUUGAAGAAGCACAUUGGUGUGACGUAAAAAAAAACAAAUAAAAGCAUCAACUAAAGUAAAGGCCAAGAUCCUUGAAAAAUAAUCUUUAAAUUUGUUGCAUAUAUAAUUUCAACAAUGCAUAAAUAAUUACAACAUACGCAAUACAAUAAUAUCACACAACUAUAUUUUCAAAUAUAAAUUGUAGUCGUAUAAAAUAUUUAUACAAGUAAAGAAGAAAUUAUAAGAUUAAAAUGUUUGUCGGAUUCUAGGUAAAGAAGAAAUAAGAUAUAGAGAUUGUCUUAUCAGACAUAUAGAAUUUCAUAUACAUAAUUUUCCCUUAGAAAAUUUAGGGUCAAAUUGAAAAUUUUUCAUUCAUAGAUUUUGGUAAAACCUCUAUCUUGUCCCCCAACUCUUGUAUACAAAAGGAAAUAACAUUAGUAUGAGGGUUUGAAUGCUUAAUUUUAGAUUGAAAGUGCUUGAAAUAAUUUUUGAAUGACUUCACAUGUAUUUUUGAUAAAGUUGGAACAUUCAAACUUUUAUUUGAAGAAUCUUCAAAUUUUCAACUUGAUCUUAAAUAAUGUUGAAACCUUCGAAAUUUGAAUAGUAGAAUCUUCAAACAUUUGAAUUUUGACUUAGAAUUUUGAAAUGUGAGAUUGAAGCAUCUUCAAAUUUGGGCUUGAAGAGUUCUUGAAGCUUGAAUUGUAUCUCCAAUUUUGUUCUUUAUUUAUAGGUUGAAGAAACAUAUUGAGAUUUUGUAAACAUGUUUAGAGUUUUAAACCUUGAAAUAUUACUCUUUUAUUAAAUUAACAUUUAUAAAAUUUCGAAGAACAUAAUUGGAUAAUAUCUUAAGUUAUUUUUAAUGAAAAUUGAUAAUUACCUUUUAAUUAUCAAAUUCACUAUUUCUAUUUAUUUUUGUAAUAUAUCAUAAUUACUAAAAUCAUUUAUUUCCUUUAUUUAGUUCGAAAGCAAAAUUAUAUAUCUUUUGUUUGUAUAGAACUCAUGUCAAUUUAAGAUUCGACCAAUAGAGCCUAUCCGGUCCGAGUUAUCAUCUAAGUCAGAAUGGCUAUCAAACCGCCACUGAACCGAUCAAUCAAUGGUUUAACCACUAAUUGGUCUACCGGACCAUGUUUGGAUCCCUAAAUUUUGUGGCAAAUUGGGCCUCAAGCCCAACAACCUAACCUCCAUGCGGGCUAUCUACUGGAUCUCACGCAUUGUAACUUGAUCCGGGUGAAUGGCCAUUAUAAACUUCAUUUUGUCCUCAUCUGAUUUUGAUGUGGGAAUGGGAGAGAUGAGGAUUUGACAUUUGGACCUAAGGCUCAAAGGGUUUUAACUCCACUAAUGACAAUGGUGCGGGUCUUUUCGGGUACCCACUUCGUCUCGUCCUUAAUGGAACGGGGUUUAAUUUUAAUAAAUGGGUUUAAGAAUUUUUUUUUAAACCCGGGGUGGGUGGGUUCGGGUAUUGCCACCCCGCCUGUCCCGUCCCAAUUAUAUAUAAAAUUUAAUUUUAAAUUAAAAUAAAAUUUAAUUUUAAAAUUAAAAUUAAUUAAUUUUUAUUUUAUUAUUUUUAAUAUAUAGAUAAUAAUAAAUAUUUUUAAUAAAACAAGUUAUAAAAAAUAUAAUAAUUUAAUUAUUUAUAAAAUAUAUUUAUUUUAAUAUAAUUAAAAAUUUUAAAAGUAAUUUAAAAAAAAAUUUUUUUUAAAAGUUAAACAGGAUGGGUAUGAGAAUUUAUCAUACCCAUCCGUCCCGUUUAAUUUUUUAAAUGGAACAGGGAUGGAAAUUGUUUCUAAUAAACAGGGCAGGGUUGGGAUGGGGGCGACUCGUCCCGAACCCGCCCCGUUGCCAUCCCUACACUCAAUUACUUUAUGCCUUGUAUUUAAUAUUGCAAACCAAAAUAAUAAUAGACAUGAUUCGUUUCAAAAUUUUUAUAAUAAUAGAAGUGUAAAUAAUAUAAGUAAAAAUAAUGUAAUAUUUUUAAAAAUUAUAAAAUAAUAGGUUAUAUAAAUUUUAAUAUAUAGGUAAAAUUAAUUAAAUUUUAUUAAAUAUCUUCACAUUUAAACAUUACAUAUCUUUUAUUUAAUAAAAUGUUAAAAUAUUAAUAUAUUUAAAGUUAUAUAAUUAUUUUUUAUUUUAAUAAUAUAUAAAUUGUAUAUUUAUGAUAUUACUGGUUCAACUAUAAUUCAAUUACCGGUUCAACCAUUGAACCAUGAAUUAGUAAAUUAUUAAAACUAUUUUUUGAAUGGAUUAUGUCAAUCUAGAUAAGGGCAAAGAAAUUACCAAUUUGAUAUGACCAAUUGAUAACACAAUUAAAAAAUAAUAUGAAUUUAACAUAUUUGAAUUCAUCAUAAUCAUGUCCAUGACCUAAUUUUACACAUCCUUAAAUCGUGGUUGAUUUAUGUAACAAAACUAUACCGUCAACAGAAAAUAGAUAAAUAAGUAAAAUAAUACAAAAAUAUAUAAAUAUGAAUUAAAAAAGGAAAUAGGAAAUUAGAUCUAACCAAGUGUGGAGAUUAAAAAUAGUUUACCAUCUAGAUAGUCAAGCAUAACAAUUUACCAAACCCUUACCCACCAUCCAUACUAACCAAUUGUAGUUAAAUGUUUACAAAAAUGUACAUUAAAUCAAAGAGAAAAAAAGAUUAAAAACAAACUAGAGAAAAAGUACAUCACCUAAUAUUGGUAAUAAAUAAAAUUAAAAUAAAUUAAUAUUUUUUUAAUUAAAAUAGAAAUUCAACUAAAUGUAACUAUUGUUUUUCUCUCAUAACUCAUCCAAAAUUUCAAUGAAUUUAAACUCCAUAGAUUUGUGUAGAUAUCUUAUUUAAAAAACAAAAGUUUUCACUAAAAUCAUAAAAUUUGGAUAAGAAAUUAUUUACUAUAUUAGUUCAAAAUUCAUGUCCACAAAAAUUGAAAUAAAUUAAUUAUCUUCCAUUCAAAUAAAAUUUCUCCAAUUAAAUUUCCAAACAUGUGCCUUAAUACCUAUAAUGGAAUUAGUAAUUUUAAUUAAAAAUAAAUAAAAAUAAGGAUUUGAUCUUUUUCUUACCAUUUGACAAAACUUAUAAAAUGUAUCAAUUUGCAUCAAAAACAGAAACCUCAAUUUGCAUCAAAAGGUUGUUUAACAAAUGAAGAAGUGGGUUUGAAAUUUGCAAAAAGAGGAGAAAUAGCAUAAGAAAUGAACUGGCUAUGAAUAACGAAUGGAACAAUGAAACAUAAAACGAGAAUACUAAUAAUAUUUUGCAGACAAAAGUAUGAUUGCUUUACAAUUUAAUCUUGCGUAUUUCUUAUUUCUUGGGAGUUCUGUUUGUUGUUUCAUGUGGGUUUUCUUGGGGGAUGAUCCAAUCCAAUCGUGCACUCAAGGAAAGUGUUUUUUUUUUUUCAAAUAUUUAUUUCUUGGAUUGACCAUAUAAACAUGCACCAUCAAUAAUGAUGUCUUUGGUUGACAUGAUUCAUAUCCGAAGAUAUAAAAUUUAUUACUCUUCAUAAGUAACAUAUUUUAGAAAACAUGUUCACACAAGAUGUUAUGGUAUCCACUCUGCCCAACUUCAAAUUUUUACCAUUGAUGGUGAGUAAUUCUUUUCCUUUCUUACAUAUUGGAUGUAACUUAUUUUGAUGGGUCUUAUCUAUCUCAUGAUAACUUCCAACUUCUUCUUUAUAUUCAAAUUUGAGUUGUUCGAAUUCGUAAAAUUUAAGGUAAGUAUGUAAUUAUGGUUACUAAAGCUUUCAUAAUGGGUAUUUCCUAAUUCAGGUUAUACUAUAUUUUAAUUUCAAAUUUUUUGCAUAAGUUUUAAAAUUAUGUUUAUCUCUAAAAUUGGUGUUUUAUCUAAAAAGUUAUUUUUUUUUUGGAAUGUUUUAAAAUUAGUAAAAUCUUUAUAAUUAGAUACUAGAGUUUUAUAAGUAUAAAUAUAAAUAUUUUAUUAAAAAUAAUUGAACUUUCAUGAACCUAAGAGAGUAUACCUAUUGAUCAUAAAAAACUUGAACCUCCGUUUCUCAAACCUUUCAAAAAUCUACCAUGAAAGUACAUUUACUUUAAACAAAGGUGAGAAAUCUCAUCGUAAAAAGUUUGAGGGAUCCUCUAAGGAUUACAAGGGAGUGUUACAUUAAGGUUAUAAAAAAAGAGUGUAGGUGCUGAUAAUAUAAGACCUUAUGGAGUAGGUGCAUCUAGUAAGGUAAAACUGUGUACUAUAAUUGAGUGACUACAUGUGGGUUUUUAAUCCUACUAGGUUGAUAGGUGGUUUUUAUAUGUUACACCCUAUGUUUUGUGUGGAAAUAGUUUUGUUUAUUUGUACAUGAGAUUGUUACUUUCACUAAAUAAUUAAUAUAGAUGGAUAAAGCAAAAGUAGGUAAUAAAGAAUUUAAUUUGAAAAAUAAUAUAGAGAUCACCUAUGUAUGUAGGGUAUACAUAUAUUAUGUAUCAUAAAUUUAUUUUUUAUAUUAUUUAUUUUUCAAAAUAAAAAAUGAUUAAAAAAUUAAAUUCGUGGUUAAAAUAAAAGAACUAAAAAAUAUUUAUAAGAUAUAUUGUAAAAUAAUGCCACUAUAUGUAUUAUUUAAUAUAAGGGUGCAACUUGGAAGGGUUGGUCCGACCCAACCCAAACCUAAUCCAAUGUUUGGAUGGGUUUGGGCAAACAUUUUCAAUACUUGGGUUGCACUUGACUCAAGUUCUCUAAACCCGAGUUCAAUUUGGGUUGGGUUUGGCCCAGGUUUGAACAACCUAAGUCUAACCUGAACCUGAUUUAACAUUUUUAUAGUGUUUAUAUCCUUUGAAAUAAUAUUCAUUUUCAUUUUAGAUUCUAAAGAAAAAAUAAAAAUUAUAAUUAUAUCAUAUACCUUUUUUUUUAAGAGAGAUACAUAAGUUUACUUUUAUUUUUUUUAUUGUUAUUUUGAAAAUUUGUAUUAUUUACUAUUUAUAUUUUGGUAUAAAUAUAUAUAAUUUUUUUUUAUAAAUAAUAUGGAUAGAUUUUGAAUCAUGCAACCUAAUCAUCCCAAUUAACCUAAGUUUAACAUGUUUAGCACAAUCAACCUGAGUUUAACAACCCAACUUUAACUUGACUAACCCAAUUCGCUUAGAAAAAUGACGUUGGGUUGAGUACCUUGAGUUAGAGAUCGGGUUGAAUUGAGUUUGGGUUGAUUGUUUUUUAAUUUGGGUUAGGAUCGAGUUAGCCAUUAACCCAACUAACCGGCCUAAGUUGUAACCCUAAUUUAAUAUAUAUUAAAUUAUUGUUAUAUAUUGAAUAACAUAAUAUAGAAAAAAUGAUUUAUAAAUUUUAAAUCUUUUAGUCUUAAAUAUUGUUAAACAAAAGAAAAUUUCCAUUUUUUUAAUAGUGAAUAUUGGAAUGCAAUAUAAUUUUUAUUUUAAACAAAUAUUGAACAUUGGAAAAAAUAUAUAUUCCAUUUCAUUUUUUUAUUCAUUUUACAAACUAAAUAUUAACAUAACAUAGCAUAUUUUAUUAUGUAUACUACCUCAGAAUAUCAUAUCCAUUAGAUAUAAUAUACAAAGAUAUCACAUCCCUUUAGAAAAAAUAGUCUUGGAUAUAUUGUGGACCCGAAUUUUUUUGCAUGUGUUCCCAUUCAAUGGCAAAACUCAUUUUUUAUUUGAAAAACUACUUUUUGAAAAUUAUUUUUAGAAUCACCACUUAUUUUUGUUUUAUUUUUAAAGAAAAAAACAAAAUAAAAAAGAAAAAUCGUAAGUGUGACUCCUAAAAAGGAAAAACAGGUUUGAAAAAAUCGAGUUGGGGUUUAAAGGUCAGGUUACUUAUUGAAAAUGUACAGUAGUAAGUCAUAGUAGUUUCCCUCUAAGCCCUAAAAAUUAGGUUUCUACUAAUUGGCUAAGGCAAGUGUAGCAAUUGAUUGAUUAAUGGUGGAUACCAAAGAUUGGGAUAUAGAAUAAAGCAAAGUAUGCACAAGAAUGAAUAAACAAGCAAUAUGGAGAUGAGAGCAUACCUGAGUGACAAACAAGAGCGCUUACAUGGAAACAGGGUUAGUGCACAAGUAUAGAGUAAUCACAUGUAAAUCACAAAAUAGAUCAAAGUCAAUUAAUAUUUAAUCACAAAUGUUGGGCCCCACCAAAACCCAAUUUAUUUACAUGAAUUAAUUCUAAAGAAAAUAUGAAAAUGCAUGGCGGAAGAUCAAUUUGGCAGCAAAAAUUUAUUGAAAUCAACAUUUUAUUGCUUAAGGAAAAUCUAAGGAUGGAUCUUUGAAAGUUGGGAUUAUUCAGUUGAAAACAGGUUUGGGUAUCUAAUUCAAAAAUUGUAAGUUACGAAAAAGAAGCCUCCGGAGGAGGAGAGUGUGCACCAAGGUGGCCAUGCACACAUGGGGCCCGGGAGGAAAAAGUGGAAAGAGUCUUGGGCAAUAAUCCUAUGAAGAUAUUCAUCACUUACCACAAAUUUCUGCCCUUGUUACUUUCCGGAGUCGGACCCAUUUUAUGCAUUCCCAGAAGUUGACUCUGCUGCAACUGUACUUGGUUGGGCCGACCAUCAUUUCUACCAUUGAAAACACCACCAACUUCAUAUUUCCCAUUUUUCUACCUGCUACCAAUUCACUCCUCUCUUUGGGAAGAUUUUUUAGGUUAUCGUCAUGAUUGAGAUAAUCUAGAAAGUUGAGCGGCAUCACUCACUGAAAGGUGGCUUAUAGCAUGGGUAAUGGGAUACAUCUGAUAGGUUGUCAUAUCCAUAAACCACCAUAUUAAACCAUGGUUCAUAUCCCCAACACCAAACGAGAAUCUGUACUCAUCCCAAACAACUUGGAGAUCAUAAAAUCAGGUUUUGAGGACCUCCCAAGACAUGCACAGCUUCACCCUUUGUGCAUUCCUUUGAUUUGGAAAAUUUCUUCUGCAGAAUUCCUCAUUAUCAUGCCUUGAACCAAGACAUAUCAUGAUUGGAUGGGCCUUGUAGAAAGCCAAGAAUUGCUCGGUCACCUUACUAAUGAAGAUCCUGUUCCAUCUCAAUACACCAUACCGGAUUCCAGUAAUCCCCCAACUGCAGAAACUUCUACACCAAGAAUAACCGAAGCAUACAUCGCAUGGCGAAAAGUCGAUCGUCUUCUUCGAGGGUAGAUAAUUGGAAUACUCUCUGAAGAAACACUUAGCCUCGUCAUGGGCUUAAAUACAACAAAUGCCGUAUGGGAAGCAUUGAAAAAUGCCUACGCUGAAGAUUCACAAGAACGAGAAUUCACACUCAGGCAACAAGUAACAUAUCUUCGAAAAGAAGAUGACAAAACAAUUGGAGAACAUAUUCGAACCUUCAAAAGCCUAUGCGACAGUCUUGCGGCAAUUGGGAAACCAAUCCCAGACAAAGAAAAUGUAUUUUAUCUUCUUACUAGUCUUGGUCCUCAAUAUGAAACUUUUACUACUACCAUGCUCAAACCACCAAGACCAUCAUACUCUGAGCUUGUCUCACAACUUCAAAGCCUUGAUCAAAGACGAAAUUGGUUCUUAAACCAUGCAAAUGCCACCCAUGCACUCACCCCUCAAAUGGCCUUCUACGGACAACAACAACAAAGAUAUCCAUAAUCCUCCACAAGAUAUCGAGGCAACAAACAAAAAUUCCCUUCAACAGGAAGAGGAUUUCAGGCACAACAAUCAAAGGACCAAAAUCGUGACUACUCCCUUAGCCCAAGUCCAACACUAAACAAAGAUGAUCCUUCCCCACUUGGAGAGCGACGUAUGACACCUACUGAAAGAGACCUCUAUCGUGAAGAAAAAUGUCAAUACUGUGGCAUGGUAGGACAUAUUGCAAAAAUAUGUUGGUGAGUGCCCAAAAGGCCAACACAACAAGAUGACAUACCACAAGCACUGGCAACACUUACCUUGGAUAACACAAUUGCUGAAAUGGAAUGGACUUUAGACACAAGAGCCUCAAAUCACAUGAUAGGUAAGCAAGGUAUGUUAACUAAUAUUCAAAAUUAUUCUGGUUCAGAUUUAGUUCUUAUUGGUGAUGGAUCUUCUCUACCAAUUCUUGGUAUUGGAGAUUCUAGCAUUAAGCAAAAGAAUAAAUUCUUAUCGCUUCAUGAUGUCUUGCUAGUCCCUCAUUCGAAAAAAAUCUGCUCUCCGUAAGUCAACUAACAACUCAGUUUCCAGUUAAUUGUGAAUUCACUAAUGUUGAUUUUUAUGUAAAGGAACGACAAACAGGACAACCAAUGAUCACAAAGAGACGCAAGGGUGAUCUCUAUGUGCUUCCCAACUCGUCGGAGCUCUAUUUUUCUCAUCGUUUCAAAUCCAGUUCCGCAAACAUUUGGCAUCAAUGUUUAGGACAUCCCCAGUUUUCUGCUUUACAGUUUUAAAAAAAUAAAGGGUUGAUUGAUGUUAUUGGCAAUGUUAAAUCCGAACAUAUUUGUGAUAGUUGUCAAUUAAGGAAGCUUAGUAGAUUACAUUUUUCUUGUUUUAAACAUCUAAGUUCUAGCAUUUUUGAAAAAAUCCAUUGUGAUUUGUGGGGACCUGCUCCUAUUUUAUCUAUUGGAAAAUUAAGAUAUUAUGCAUGUUUAGUUGAUGAUUUUUCUAAGUAUACUUGGAUAAUUCCCUUACAACAUAAAUCUAAUUUUGUAAAUGCUUACUUAGCUUUUGAACAAUAUGUCAAUAGACAAUUUAACAAAAAGAUCAAGGUUUUUCACUCGGAUGGAGGAGGAGAAUUCAUAAACUUCAAGUUAUCAUCUCACUUCCUCUCCACCGGAAUUAUGCAUCAGGUAUCAUGUCCAUACACUCCAGAGCAAACAGGUAUGGUUGAAAGGUAACAUAGGAUAAUACGAGAACUUGGAAUGACCAUGUUAUUUCAUAGUGGAGCUCCUCUGUUUCUAUGGGUAGAAGCUUUUUCCACUGCUAUCUACCUAAUAAAUCGCUUGCCUUCAUCUGCUCUUAACUUUGAAACUUCAUACUUUGCACUUCAUGGCACUCAUCUCGAUUACACUUCACUUCAUGUAUUUGGUUCCAAAUGCUUUCCUUAUACUUGGGAUACAAGACAACACAAGUUCAAUGCUUUGAUGAACUUUUUUUCCUUAUAAAAACACUUAGAACCAAAGCAUUGUACCACCUACAUCUCAUGUCAUAAGCAUUUUUUACUCAUGGUUGCCUCACACUAACUCCACUCACAAUGUUGAAAUUGAAUCCCAAACAUUAACCCCACCAUGUACAAGUCCUCUACUUGCGAUACCAUUAAUCACUUCGGUUUCUAACAUUGUCACAGGUUCCUUCUCAAACAUGCAUGAAAGUCAGCAACUCAGGACUACACUUGAGACCGAUGUGUUGUAACCCUCUACAAACGAAACAUUACAACCUGAGACCGAUGUGUUAUCUUCCUUGUAGGUUGAAUUGUUUGAGCAAUCCUUCAACACUCCACAUAAUGAUAUUGAACCAAAUCAACUCGACUUGCAAUCCCAAACUCAUCAAAAGCAACCACCACAAACACAACUCUCACCUUCUAUGAUCAUUCAGUCACAAACUCAUUAACAACAACCACCAUAAACACAACCCUCACCUUCUAUUAUCACUCGAUCUCAAAGAGGAAUCAUUAAACCCAAUCCAAAAUAUGCCUUGACUUCCACCACAAACUCAACCAGUAUCCCUCAUGAACCUCACAACAUAUGAGCUGCUCUAGCUCAUCCGGGAUGGAAAGCAGCAAUGGAUGAAGAACUCGAAGCCUUGCAUAAAAAUAAAACUUGGGUGCUUGUUUCACACACCUCAGACAUGCAUGUUAUUGGAUCAAAAUGGGUAUUCAAACCAAAACUUAAACCCGAUGGUUCAUUAGAUCGCCUUAAAGCUCGUGUUGUGGCCAAAGGGUAUCAUCAAGUGGAUGGUCUGGACUACACCGAAACCUUCUCUCCAGUCAUCAAACCUGGAACUAUUCAAAUGGUCAUCACUAUAACUCUUGUUAAAAAAUGGCCCAUACGUCAACUUGACGUAAAAAAUGCAUUCCUUCAUGGUUUAAUUUUAGAAGACAUACACAUGGAACAAUCUCCAGGAAUGGCUGAUCUCAAACAUCCAACACAUGUGUGCAAGUUUCACUCUAUGGUAAUCACCUCUUGCUUGGUUUGAUCGAUUUAGUGCUUUUCUUCUUAAAUAUGGAUUUUUUGUAGCCUAGCCGACCCAUCUUUGUUUAUUUUUCACUCUAACCUUGGAACGCUAAUUCUCCUACUUUAUGUAGAUGAUAUACUCCUCAUAGGUUCCUCCACAACUCUAGUAUCAACCUUCAUUCAACUCUUGAGCUCUGAAUUCGCGAUGAAGGACUUGGGCCAAAUUCAUCACUUCCUUGGCAUCGAGAUCUCUCAAACAUCUAAUGGUCUUCACAUGUCCCAAUCUCACUAUGAUCUUACCAUCCUUGAGAGAGCCAACAUGGUCGAUUGCAAGACUAUGAGCACACCUCUUGAAGCCAAAACUAAGACAUCAUCAAAUAAUGUCUUGCUAAAAGAUCUGAGUUAUUUUAGAGGACUUGUUCUCUCACGAGACUAGAUUUUUCAUACAGUGUGAAUUAUGCAUCACAAUUCAUGCAUGCUCCCACCGUCGUGCAUUUAAAAAUGGUUUGGACGAUCUUAAGAUAUGUCAAAAGCAUAAUUAACAUCGGUUUGCAUUUUACUUCCAAUACAACACUUGAUCUUUGUGUUUUCUCUGAUGUAAAUUGGGCGGGGUGUCCAACCACAUGACGAUCUGUCACUGGAUACUGUACGUUUCUUGGAGGAAAUCUCAUCUCCUGGUGUGCAAAAAAAUAGCAUACAAUCUCUCGGUCGAGCAUCGAAGCGGAAUAUCGAGCCAUAAAAAAUAUAGCAGCUGAACUCACAUGAAUGCCAUUUAUUCUUAAAGAUCUUCACAUUCCUUUGGCAUCUACACCAACUCUCUACUGUGAUAACAUAAGUGCUCUUCACAUGACAAUAAAUCCGGUGUUUCAUGCUCGUAGCAAACACAUCGAGUUGGAUUACCAUUUUGUGUGCGAACGAGUUGCACUUGGACUUCUCGUCACUCAACAUAUCUUCACUGAAAAACAAGUAGCAAACUUCUUCACCAAACCAAUGUCAAAAGCUAUACUUAGUAACUUUUGAACCAAACUCUGCCUCUAAUCUCGACACAGUUUGAGGGAGGGUAUUGGAACAAUCCAACAUCUUGGCGUGAAUUGUGGGACUCAAAGGAGUGAUAAGGUUGAGCAUAACUAUGGAAGUGAUAAGGUUGAAAACUCCCACAAUUCAUGCUACAAUAGCAUAGAGACGUUGAAAGAUGAAGGAGUAUCAAUGGCAACAACUUCAACCCGAAAUGGUAGUUCAACUAGUUAAAGAAAUCUCAACAAAUUGAUGGAGCAAAUCCUGGAUUCAAAACAGAGCAUAUCUUGAGUAUUCUUGCAAAGCAUAUCUUGGAAUGUUGACGCAGCAUAUCUCAAAGACAGAAUAAAUCAAAUUACUCUCAUAUAGUCUUGGAUUUUUUGCUACCAAUUAUACGGAUUCUAUGUAAUCUGUUUUUGGAAAAAAUGUAAUUUUGUUAUCCCAGGUUUUUUUGUGUUUAAAUAGAGGAUGUGGUCCUCCGUGUGUUGCAUUAUGAAAAUAAAAAAAUGGGGUUACAUCUCCAGCCAUGUUCACGUAUACAAAAGUAGACUUAUUCUUUCUUUCUUUUGUUUUUCAAAUUUUCUUUUUGUUCGGGAUCCCUUCCCGACUCUCUCUGUUAAAGGAAGAUAAUCUGCCUAAGAUUUGGAUGCAAGGCCAUGUUUAGGAGACUUAAUGCAAAAUAUUUAUCCAUAGCUCUUCGCCUGAAACAUCUGUAUAAAGCGUUUUCCCGAUGUGAACCAUCUUCUUGGGUCCCUGAGAUGAACAAAAACUGAGACAUAUCGUGAGCUAGAUGCAUUGCUUGAAAGUGUCGAGUAGCAGUAUGGCCUUCUUUCUGAUUAACUGUUUUUGUCAAAUUCUAGAGCUUUCAUUCCAAAUCCAUCAGUUUUCUCAAAUGAUUGGCCAAUGGAGAUCCAUGGAUAUAACAUAUGAAUUGUGCACAAUAAAAACAAUCAAACGAUAGGUUGGUUUGGCUGCAUUCCACAAUUGCAAAGAAUUAUCAUACAAAAUUGUUCUCAGUUGAGUUGAAUUUGGCCUAAAAAAGAUAUCCGUUAUUACAAACUGGUGUUCUUCCGUGGUGCUCUCUCUUUGCAGGCUAUCCAUGUUCUAGAGAACAACUCUCUUGUCAUGUCUGGCACUAAUUAGAGACUUCUCAUCUGAAGAAAAUCAAUAGUAGGUAGCUUUGCCAUUCUUGGUCCAUAUAUAACCAACCUUAGCAAGGGUUGAACCUUCUAUGCUUAGUUGUGUCAUACAUAUCCUUACCACCGCCUGUAGCAUGCAAUCAAAAUGAUUUGAUAAUAUCAUCUAGUGAACCAAUACCUCUAAAUGAGAGACCACUGCCUCUGUAACUAGGGCUCAUGACUAAGAAUUGCGUGAACCCCUUUGCUUGGGUUGAAGCCUGGUCGAUGCACAAAAUAUUCAUAGGCCUCUUCCCAUAACUGGCACCUUGUGUCUGCAACAGAAUUGAACAUGUAUUGAAGUGAGUUUUUUUUAAUCUUCUUGUAAGAAAAUUCUAAACAACAAAGAUUGCUUAGUGUACCCGACCCCUCAGAGCAUCAAGGUCCAUUUCUAUAGGACCAGUUGUUUCACAGUCGAACCAGAUAACAUGGAGAGUAUGUUGUAAUGCUUUAAUGGGGUAAUUCUUGGGAAAAUCCACCUGAAGCUGGUACAAUUCGUUGGCGUACAGAGUUCCUGGAGCUUCAUUGACUUCAAUCACCCAUCUAUGUAGAUUAUCGAUGACUUCAUGCUCGAAUCUUGGAUGAGGAUUGACCUAAUAUUCCACCAUCUCUUUCUGGAAAACGAUCUUGCUUAACACCUUGUGAGAGGGGGCAGAGGAACAUGUCACUGUUUCUUCUAGAAGAUCAGAGUGGCCGAGGAUGGGUUUGGACCAGAAUUGCUAUCUAGGUUUUCUUUAGGUGAACCAAUUAGUGGAGUGGGUGGCUAUGCAACAACUAAAGGGUGGUCAUAUGAGGAGCUAUUAUUUCAUGCACGUGGAGAGGAAAGGAGUAGCUUCUUCAAGGAUUUAUGAUUAUUCAUCUCCAGCUUGCGUUGAAUAUCUUUUGACAAAUUUCUGUUCUGGAGCUCCCUUAGUUUCACUUCAGCUAACUUGGCCGACUUGGUUUCAUUAUGUUUCCUACAACUUCCAAGAAAAGCACUCUAGAUCACUGAAUCAAGUUCCAUUGGCAUCUUGUCCAUAAACUCCUUUGCCUAUUAACAACAUACUACCCCUCAAAAGUUAAUGAGAUAACAUCAACGCUGACAUGUUGGCCAUCCCCAUAAACAUCUUUAUAGAGAUUGAUUCUGCAUUUAGAUAUUUCUCUCUCCUCAAGUGAGUUCAAAUUCUCUGUAACAUUCUUCUCCUUCUCUGCUAAUAGUCUUAGUUGAACAUCCAACCUAUGUUCCCAAAGUGCCAACAUCUCGUAUCUGCUGACUAGCCAACAACCUUGCCCUUGUUGAGACCCAAGUAAGUAUCCAAAACCAUGAACAUCAACCCUCUCAUAGGCCUUUAUAUUUGAAGGUCGGAUUGGGAUUGCUUUGAAUGCACUGGCACUGCAAUAAACAAUUGUUUCUUCUCCAAUAAAAACACCACAAAGAGAUGAGGGGACUGGUAUUAGCAAAGCAACUCGUUGUCUAGAUUGUUCUAGGCUCGAGUACUCUCAACAAAAUCCUCAUCCUCAUCUGUAUUCCUCCAUUACAUCCCUAGGCGUUUCAAUGUGAUUCACAUGGCUUACAAGUAUCCAGAAAUAUCGAUCUGUAUAAAAGUUGCUCUUAUGGGGCUCGCAUAGAAAACAUCCCAAUCAAGAUGAUCAACCUAGCUUAGAUGCUCAGUUCCCCAAACUUACCAAAAAUAAAGGAAUAAAAAGCAAGGAUAGGAGCCAAAGUAAAAAUUGAGAGAAUAGGAAAUCAAGCAAAACAUGUACAUAGCCUCAUUUCAGGUGACAUAUUUAGGCUAAUAACUGGUGGAAUUAACAAAGUACACAAGUAUGAUUCUUAUAAAUAUCAAGUUCAGGGAGGAAGUCGUGCAUUAGCUACUUACAGGAGUCAAGAAAACCAAGAUAAGAUCAAAGAGAGCACGUAUGCAAAUAAACAUAUUCGGUAAAAUAGACCAAAUAGCUCGUGAUGGCCACAUCAAUCAACAAGAUGACUUCCUGACAUUUGCAGAAAAAUGGAACAGAAUAAUGUGAAAAUGAUAGAGCGCAAAGUUCACAGUGACCAUACCUGGAAGUCUUCUCUCCAAGCACAGCUUGCUCAGCUUCAAGUGUUUUCUUGCCUCCUCCUCCAUAGCACAACUUUUCUCUGUUGUUCUCUCUCAAAACCUACUAUCUUAUAAUAUCAUAAUUCUCCAUUCUCUGCUCUCUAAUGUGUCUUUCUCGACUUCUCUCUCACAGUCCUAGUGCCCCCCAAAACCUCCAUUAAAAAAAUCCCAAAAUACUCCUGCUUUCAUCAUUCCCCAUUGUCCCUCCCAUAGCUCCUCCUCACAACUUUUUUCUUUUAGCCUCAAGACAUUCUGCAGCUCCAAACAGCCUGUGCUAUGUCUUCUUCCCUGGAUCCCCCCUUAGAAAAUCACUGCUCCACUCUCUGAAAAGGUGGUCUCUAACUAACCUUCACUAUAGAGAAUGUUCUCUCUAACAGCUCACUUAUCCUACAAAAAAAAAAAAAAAAAAAACUAUUACACGUGGCAAAAAGUGAUGAAAAAAAAAGGAGAAUUGUGUUUUGGGCCCAAAAAUUGUGUUCUGGUCCAUGUAAUUGAUCCAUUUAAGCUGAAAACCUAUAGGAAAUGUCAAAAUUAAAAAGAAGGAUAUGUACUUUUAUUAAUUCCAAAAAUAACCUUUGCUGAUUAUGAUAAAAAAAUAAUAAUAAACCAAAAUAUCUAGGUUGGAAUUUUGCCCUAAUUUUGCUAUCUCUUCAGCAUUUCAAGCCUAGACAGCCGUUUUCUUCUCUUCCUUCCCAUUUCCUCCAUCGCUUGCAUCUCAUCUCCGUGCCUCUUUCAUUUUUUUUUUCGCAUUCGUCUCUCCCGAAAAUUUGAAUUAAGACGAAAUAUAUUGUUUUAAUCAAGCUCUCGAUUUCAGUUGGAUGUCUUUUUUUCAUCAUCGAUCCGCAUCAGUGUUGCCGUUCGUGCCGACCGUCGUUGGCUAUUUGAGGUUAGUAGGUUCUCUAAUUUCAUUUUCUCCCGAUUUCGUCUUUGCCAAGCAUUUUAUUUCAACCCAAAAUACAUUGAUGUAAUCUUUCUCUCGAUUUCAGUUCGGUGUGUUCAUCUCGGUGCAGACUCUUGUUGCAUAUUUGAGGUUAGUAGAUUGCCUAAAUCUCGACCUAGAUUUUCUUAGUCCUAUAUUUUGUUUAAUCCUCAUUGGUAUGAGGAAAGGGAUUCUUAUUUUCUGCCUUUAGUUUACGAAGUGAAUGGUGAGUGUUAUUUUAAGGACAUUAAAUGAACAGUUGAGGCAAAGUAGGUGAUUUGGAAUUCUUUGCUGUAGAAAUAUCCUGGAAAGGGAUUUCCAUACUCUGUAAUUCUAAAUAAGACAUUAUAGAUUUGUUGUAAUGUUUUAAAAAAGAAAAUUUUUGCUUUUGGAGUAUUUAUAUUUUGAAAAAUAUUUUUGUUGGAAAGACUUCAAAAUCUUGGUGGAAUAGCAACACAAAAUUGGAAUUAAGUCUUUGAUUUUGAUAGAUCUCAUCUCAAAUGCCCAAAGUUGGUAGUCAGACAGUUUGAGUUAUUCUAAGUUGUGCUAGUCCAUUUACAAGUUGUAUACGAGUAGGAGGAAGUAUGCCUUUGUUUGUAGCUUAUGCCAGAGCUAUCAAGGGAAAGAGUUAUAAAGUUGAAACUUUUGAAAUCAGCCAAGUCACUUUAUACUGCAUGGUCAAGGAAUCUAAUUCAACCUAAAUUUUUCUUAUGGUGCCUUGGUUUGAGAUGUAGGCACAAGUAACAAAUUUAUCUCUUUUUAUCUAUUAGUUUUUACAACCCUUAAACCUUAAAUGUGUUCAACUAUUGUUUAUGGUUUUGUAUGGAUCAUCUAAAGUAGGACAUGAUAGUUUAGAAGAGAAUUCUAUAUUUGUUGCAUUUUUUAGGGUAUUAUCUCUUCAUAUUAUUUUGCAAAGCAACGCUUUAUAAUUAAUAUUUAAAUAUCUCCAUUCUCUUUGAAUAAGUUUGUAGGCAUGUCUGAUAUAGUAGUACCAACAGAAAUUGUCUAAGGGUUUGAGUGAGAAUGAGAAUUUGUUUUCUACCUAGUGUAAGUAUAGAUCAGAGCUUAAUAAAACGUGGGGGAUUAUUUCCUAUCGAAUGUCUUAUAGUUCCAUAAUUCCAAUGUUUUUGGUCUAUAUAUAUAUAUGUUCUGGAGUAUUAUGUCGAAUCGGACACAAAAUCCUCCUACUUUACUAGAUAUUGUUGUGAUGUUCUGUCUUAAAGUUCCAAGUACUAACACUCAUCAUCAUUUAUUUGCAGUCAUCAUCAACUGGGAUUGGUACUCCUGACACUAUGUAUUUUUGCAGGGUCCAUUGGUUGCAGAAUCUUCUGUGCAUGGAUAAAACUAAUGGCUCUAAUGAUACUAAUGAUACUACAGUUUUCUCUCUCUCCCCCUAUCUCUCCUUACUCUGCUCUCCUUAAUCAUCCAUUUGGUACUACUUCAUUCUGUAACUAUUGGAAAUGACAUCUUUACUUUUUGACUUGGUUUUUGCAUCACCAACUGCAAUGAUGUUGCUAUUCCUAACAUGGCCAUGUUGUCAAACAUUGCAUGCAGGGCCCAUCAAUGUUUACACGAUGCUCAACUACAAGAUUUAAGAAAAUUUGCAAUCGUUUACUAGAGGAAAAAAUACAAGCCAUAAGAGACCUCCAAUUUGGAGGUCUAUUGAACUUAAACUGCAUAGAAGUGCUCCAUAACAUCUGUAUCUGUCUAAUCCAACAUUUCAAUGUUGGAUUUAGACGGAUAGAGUUCUCAGCCCAGAAACACUAUCCUGUUACAGCCAUCGAUGUUGGCCUCAUUUUUAGCCUCCCAACAGAAGGGCAGAUUCUGCAAGUGACCUCUACAUAAUCAGAGCAUCCAUUUGGGACUGUUCGGGCAUGCGAGGAGAAAAUCCUCAACUUACUUGUUGGGGAGGAGUUUCGUAGAGCAUUCAUUUACUACGCAUGUGCCACAUUGUUGGCUCCCACAUCUAGGCUCAAUGGUUGUCGUAACUUAUGGCAUACCAUCCAUGAGGAUGGAUUCCGAAAUGACGUUAAUUGGGCCCAGUUUGUGCUUGACCAAUUGGUUGAGGGAAUUGGGCGAUAUCAACAGUCUAACACCUCUUGGGUACAUGGCUGUGUAUUAUUUAUACAGGUAGUGAACUUAUUCAGUAUUUGUCUUCCAUUUUUUUAAUAUAAUUUUAUUGCAUAACUAAGUAACAUUUGCCUGCUAAUGUUUGUAUUUAUUAUGCAAUUGCAUUAUGUCAUUAAAUUCCAAAUUCCUUUAGUCUAAGUCCCCAUUACAAUGCCCCCAGCAUUGGCAUGGACUGAUGAUUUGAUUAAGCGGUGACUAGCCGCUGAGAUUAAGGAGUUUAGAGCAUUCGGACAUGCUGAGGUUGAUUUUUUAACUGAUGCAUGCAUAAAUAUAUUGUCAUUACCAGCAUAACACUCAUUAUUUAAGUACUAAUCUUCAGUGCUAAUUAUAGGCAUCCCAGAGAUCUUCAACCGUAGAGACAACUAUGGAGGCAGAGACUAAUGUGGACCAUGACACAAAUGUUGAGGCUAAAAAUAGUGAUGUAAGCUAUUAAUUUUUUUAAAAAAUUAAUAAAUGUUCAUUUCAUUGUCAUUGUAAUUUAUUUUUACUUCUUAACUACAAAGAAAUAUGUUGUUGUGACAUUUUGUGCUCAAAGAUUGACAAUGAUUGUGUGCACAUUAAUUUACAUGUGAUAGGAAAUAUGACAUCAAUAUCAUGAUGCGGAACGAGCAAUCGACCAAUAUUAACGGGGCAUUCAACAGCAGCUGAGAAUAAUGUGUGGCCUUAUGCAUAAGUUAGGGGCUCGAAGACAUAGUGGGGUAAAUUCAGAUGUUGCUGGUCACUCUGGCUAUGCACCAGCCAACACUUCCACAGCCGAUGACCAUGCAUUUCCUGGUGAAGAGGACAUGGCUUGGCAUGGUGCAGACCAUGUGAUAUACACACUAGAUCGCGUUGUCGCCCCUGACUAUGAGUUGCAACCCAGUGUACCCAUUAAUCCAGUAAGUGGUAAGUGAUAAAAUUUAUGCAAACACCCAUAUGGUAAACAACCCAAGUACCCAAUCAUAAUGUAUACCUUUGCUGACUAGUGCUAAAUCUCAUAUUGCAGAUGGUGAGGAACAACUAGAAGGUGAUGUUGUCCCCACAAAUAGGAACGUUCGUAGACGCCGAGUGCGUCGAAUGGCUCUAAACCUCUUGUCCCCAUACAUAUCCCAACCACAAACCAAACAAUCUGCCAUCAGAAUGGACCUAAAAUAAGCAGCUGCACUGGUAUUUGGAGAGGAUUUGGAUGCUAGGUAACAUACUUUAGAGACACUCCUCUCAUUGUAUGAUAGUGAUAAAACAAAAACUAAAUUGUAUGUGUUUGUAACAGUGAAGAACUAGUGUCUAUGCAUGACACUAUCCUAACCAGAGGCAAUUUGGGCUGCUUCGAAGGGAAUGGCUGGAUAGGGAACGACGUGCAUAUGACUUCUUAUCCCUCUUUAUGCAUUAUUUUAAGUUUGAAAAUUAAAGUGUGGUUCUGAUAUAACUAGUUGCUUACACUUUUAUGAUAUACGAAAUUAGGUUGUCGAUGCCUACUCUAGAUUGUUGUAGUAUGAACAUGAACCAAAGAUGAAAUUGUUUCUAUCCCCCUACAUAGUUGUAAUGAUGACUGAUCCAUUAAAUCAUUGUUGAACUUUAUUUUAUGUCUUGAACCAUGCAUUACCUACAAUGACAAAUCUGAUGCUAUCCCUUAUUUGAUAUGCAGGAAAUGGUAAUCCACUCCUAGGCAAAACACUUAGUGAGGGAGGCAGUUAUAAGACGAUUUGAACCACAUGUGUAUCCGAUGGAUAUUCCAUAUGUGAAUGUUAACGAGGUGGAUUCCUGUGUUUCAUGCUUGGAAUUGUUUUUUUAUUGCAUGAAGGUCUAAUAUUUAGAUGUAUGUUUAAUGGCAGUCUAUUGGUGCAGGUCUUCUUACCAAUUCUCAUAAAGAACCAUUGGACACUUUACUUAUAUGACCUAUCAAACAAGAGAAUCCAACUGCUAGAUUCUCAUCCUAGUAGGAAGAAGACAACUUUGAGUGGAAUACAACAAAAUCUGGUAAAGUAACAAGAAACAACUAAUAAUUUGUUAGGUAUGUCUUCCCAUAAAAAUUUCAAUUGUUGUGUUAAUAAAUGUUUCAGGCUAAGGUUGUCCUAUGGUUGGCUGCACACAAGAAAGAGGUAUCACCUUAUGAAUUGAGGACAUUCAAUUUCCUAACACCUGAUGUACCCCUCCAACCUAAUGAGUGAGUGUUGACCUUGCAAUCCGGGAUGAUAUUAAAAUGGAUUGCAACUUAUUUUAAGUUCCUCUCUUAUUUAUAAUUCCACACUUAAUAAUGUUUUGGUCAUGAUAUUGAUGUAGGCACGAUUGCGGAGUGUUUGUAAUGAAAUUCAUGGAGUUGUGGUCAAUGGGCGAGUUCUCCAAAUCAAUCGAUGUGGUACGCAUGAAGAAUUAUCUAUUACCAUCUCAUUAAUGUUAAAAUAGUUAGAAAAGCCUAAUUAAUUAAUUUUCUUAUUUGUUGCUAUAAACUUGAAUGAAUGCAGGGGAAAUUGAAACAUUAUAGGUUGAAGAUUAUGGGGAGUUUGUUGUUUUCACCACAGAAUACACACCGAUAGCGUGUCCGGAAGGAUUAAUGGGGAUUGUAAUUUGUGAUGAGACUGUAUAAAGUUAGCACAUUUGCAUCUAAUUUAUGGUGGACAAACGUAGUUCUUUAAAUGUUUUUUUUUAUGGUGCCACAUGCGGAAAUGAACAUUGGGAGUAUUGGAUUAGUAGGAGUUUGACUGUUUUUUGACUUAAGUUGAUUAUCAUUGCAUUGUAAGUGAAUAGGGAGAAUUGAAGCCUUCGUUUGUGAUUGUAUAUGUGUGUUCAUUGUUACAUGAACCUAAUGUAAUUGGAAUUAUACAACAGAAUGAAAGACCUUACUCUUUGUUACUCUUAGAGGGUGCAUGAUGCUUGUAUUUGUAAGCUAAUUUGGAUUGUAGAGAAACAAUUUUAUACAAAGACCAACAAUAAACAAUUUAAACAGCAACUUCGUAACUGAGUUUUUCAAAUUGAUUUUUAAACAUCAUUUAUGGAUAACCUUGAAGCCUUUGAGUAUGAGAAUUUUCAUGUGAUGAUUGUAGCCUUGGAAAUUAGUGUUUGCUUGACAUUCUUAAUACAACAGAAAAACUUUAGCCCUCAUAAUUGGGAGACCAGAAACUUCGGUCACAUUUUAAGCUCGGAGUUUCUCUACCCAUACUGGAUUGUAGGAAUACAAAAUUAAGAAUACAUCAGUUUGCACAUUUGCGAAUUCCAAAAAAUGAUUAUAACUCAUAUCCAACAUACAUAUAUGGCCCGAACAAGUAUAAUACUGAUAAAAACAUUCAACAUUUGUUUUUUUUUUUUUCACUCGAACACUUAAGAUAGGAAGCUCAAUAACAUAUCUUAAAUCAUUAAGAUAUUUGGCAAAACAACAUAAUAUAACAACUUUAGAAAUAAAAUAAGUGAUAAGUUCAAAUAAUUAACUCUUUCUAAAUCCCAAAUAUCAUUUACCUUAAUAAUCCAUGUAGGUUUUCCUUUUUUUUUUUCCCCCUUUUUAUAUAUCUAAUUAUUUCAUUAAUGAAACAGACAUGUCAAUUUAAUAGUAUUAAAAAGAAUAAGUUCAUUUUUUAUAAAUAAUCUUAAUACUUAAAAGAAUUAAAUAGUGAGUUUUAGAAGUUCAAAACUUUAAAAGCAUAAUUCAACAUUAAGUACUAAGUUUGCUUGCACAUCCACUUAGUUCCUAUACAUACAAGAGAAAACAAAUGAUAAUAAAAUAAAACUCUAAACUCAAUACAUUACUUUCUAAAAUUCACCUAGUGCUUUCCUAUUGCUACCCAAUUGAGCAGAAAAUACAAUAGGGACAUAAAUGCAAAUGGUGUUCUGGAAACUUCCAACCACAGUGAUAACACCAUUAAAUAUAUAUGGCCUCUGGAAGGUCUACCAUGAAACAUUCUAACAGAAGCAGGAAAUACAUUAAAACACAAAUGUAAAAAUAGACAAAUGAUAUACCUCACCUAAAGGGUUGCUAAUGAUGUCAGUGGCAGGAAACAUGACAAUUUGUAGUAAAAGAUAUUCCAAGCUUUGUACUAAUGGGAAUGACACCGUUCAAGCACAAAACACCUUCUUGAACACUAAGUACUUGGUUAAAAAGCUAAUCUAUCAAGUCAAUUCUCGUUAGAUUACAGGCAAGCUACCUCUAUAAAUCCUAACUUACAACUAUUACAAUUUUUUAAGCAUGUGUUUCUCAUACAAAGCAAUGAUGUCUCUCUUGUUGGGAUUCUUGAACUGAAGCAGCUCAACCCCAUAUUGAUGUUUUGUGAGUUCUUCCAUAAGUUUCAGCACAAUGAAUUUUGUAUAGUCCUUUGGGUUUGUAUGUUGGCUGUUGUUGUUCUCGUUGGCUUUGAAUAUUUAAACACCUUCUUCUGACUGCGUGAACUUCAAAGGGAUAGUUGUGAUCCUUGACAUCUUAUUUAUUCUUGUUAUUCUUUGAUUAACAUCCAUAUCUUGAACAGAUUCAAUAGUCGGGUCAAAGUCAUCUACUCUCGAACGUUGCCCAUGGGAAGUAGUGUUGAGCUUACCGUCCAUUGCUGUUUUAUUUAAAGAAAUUAAUGUUAAUUGUUGCUGAAGUAAAUCAAGUUUUCCUUGUGUGGAUUGUAGUUGAACAGAAAGAGCUUUUGCCCUGUUGUUUGUUUAUGCACGUGCUGCACGCUCACUUUCCAAAAGGCCUUCAAGGACUUGAACUGUACGAAGUGUUAACCUUGGAUCAGAUUCAGAACAGAGGUUGGGCUUUGGUGAAUAGUUGUGUCCUUUGCAACUACAACGACAUUAAAUAACAAUCAUUCCAAUAAUGCAAGCUUUCUUCAGAAAACCAAGGUGGAAAGAAAAAGCUUGGAAAAGAAAGAAAAAAUGAUCAAAUUCAUAAAAACUUAAAUCUCAAAAUCAGUGCUUACUGGAGGCUGCUUUACAAAGGCUUUUAACAUCAUCAAACACCAACCAGUACCUACUUGGCAGCCGACACACUCGUCUCUCUAUUAUGCCUUUAUUUGCUUUCUCACUAGGGGAAAAAAAAACACAUACCCUUUAUCAGGUUGAAGACAAUCAUGAGGAGGCCCACGUGGAUAUCAAUCAAUGAAAGGUUAUUAUCAUUUGAUUUGAGGAAUGAGCAAGCAAUUUUUUCAAAAGCAUUUGAAAUCCUUCAAGAUAGGUAGCAUUGUACACAGUUGUACAGUUAGCACAUUUGCAUUGUACACUUAGUGUAAAUGCCUUGUACAGUCACGAAAUCCCACAUAGGCACAAUUGAAUGAGUGCAUAUGGGUGGGUAACCAAUGUUUCCAUUCUAUGGAUUAGGGAAAAUGAGAAAAAACUUUACCCUAAUUUCGGUUCAUAUUCAUCAUUACUAGGGAAGCUAAUAUAAUGAAUUAACAUGGUAGACAUCAAAUAAAAUGCAUGCAAUGAGUGUCUUGUCAAGCAAUAUGUGUAAGGAAUGUCCCCCACGAUUGGAAAAAGUAAGAUAAACACCCUUAUACACCCUUGUACAUUUAGUACAUUGGCCUUGUACACUUGGUGUAAAUGCCUUGUACAGUUGUAGAAAUUCGAUCUACGUACCUACAACUGAACUAGUGCAUAUGGGCAAGUUAACCACAUUCCAAUGCCAUGGCUCAGUUAAAAGGGGGAAAAUGACACCCAAUUUAGUUUCCUAUUCAUCAUAAGUGCGCUAUCUCAUCCAAUGAAUGUGUACGAAGGGAAAUGAGGAAUGUCCCCCUUAGAAAAAAUAAAUGAGCAAGCAAUUUUUUCAAAACCAUUUCAAAUCCUUCAAGAUAGGUAGCCUUGUACACACUUGUACAGUUAGCACAUUUGCAUUGUACACUUAGUGUAAAUUCCUUGUACAGUUACCAAAUCCCACAUAAGUACUUAUUUUCAAGUGAAUAUGGGUGGGUAACCAAUGUUUCCAUUAUCAUGGAUUAGGGAAAAUGAGAAAAAAGUUUACCCUAAUUUCGGUUCAUAUUCAUCAUUAAUAGGAAAGCUAAUAGAAUGAAUUAACAUGGUAGACAUCAAAUAAAAUGCAUGCAAUGAGUAUGUUAUCAAGCAAUAUGUCUGAGGAAUGUUCCCCACGAUUGGAAAAAAUAAGAUAGACACUCUUGUACACCCUUGUACAUUUAGUACAUUGGCCUUGUACACUUAGUGUAAAUGCCUUGUAUAGUUGCAAAAAUUUGACCUAGAUACAACAGAACUAGUGCAUAUGGGCGGGUUAACCACAUUCCAAUGUCAUGGCUCACUGAAAAGAGGGAAAAUGACACCCAAUUUAGGUUCCUAUUCAUCAUAAGUGCGUUAUUUCAUCCAAUGAAUGUGUAGAAAGGGAAAUGAGGAAUGUCCCCCUUAUAAAAAAUAAAUGAGCAAGCAAUUUUUUCAAAAGCAUUUGAAAUCCUUCAACAUAGGUAACAUUACACAUAGUUGUAUAGUUAGCACAUUUGGAUUAUGCACUUAGUGUAAAUGCCUUGUACAGUCAUGAAAUCCCACAUAGGCACAAUCGAACGGGUGCAUAUGGGUGGGUAACCAAUGUUUCCAUUCUCAUGGAUUAGGGAAAAUGAAUAAAAACUUUACCCUAAUUUCGGUUCAUAUUCAUCAUUACUAGGGAAGCUAAUAGAAUGAAUUAACAUGGUAAACAUCAAAUAAAAUGCAUGCAAUGAGUGUGUUGUCAAGAAAUAUGUGCGAGGAAUGUCCCCCACAAUUGGAAAUAGUAAGAUAGAAAGUUCUUCAAAAUCACUUGAAAUCCCCUAAGAUAGACACCCCUAUACACCCGUGUACAUUUAGUACAUUGGCCUUGUACACUUGGUGUAACUGCCUUGUACAAUUGCAGAAAUUCGACCUAGCUAGAACAGAACUAGUGCAUAUGGGCAAGUUAACCACAUUCCAAUGUCAUGGCUCAGUUGAAAGGGGGGAAAUGAAACCCAAUUUAGGUUCCUAUUCAUUAUAAGUGCGCUAUCUCAUCCAAUGAAUGUGUACGAAGGGAAAUGAGGAAUGACUAUGAGGAAUGUCCCCCUUAGAAAAAACAAAUGAGCAAGCAGUUUAUUCAAAACCAUUUGAAAUCCUUACACAUAGGUAUCAUUGUACACACUUGUACAGUUAGCACACUUAGUGUAAAUGUCUUAUACAAUGGAAAAAAUUUGACAUACCUACAACUAAAAGCGUGCAUAUGGGUGAGCUACCAUGUUCCAAUGUGAUGCCUAAGGGAAAAGGGGGAAGUGAAACCCAAUAUAGGUUCCUAUUCAUCAUUACUGUGGUUGAUCAUCUAAUGAACAUAUAUGAAGUAAUAAAAUUGAACGGGAUGAGUACGUGAUCAAGGAAUGUGUGUGGGGGAAUGUUCCUCAUCCUUUCAAAAUGGAAAUGAUUUUAAAACGAUUGCAAAUACUUCAACAUAGGUACCUUUGUACACCCUUGUACAUUAAGCACAUGUACCUUAUACACAGACAGAAAUUCCAUACAACCACUACUGAAUGUCUACUCCUGCAUAGGUUAAUCAUGUUUGCAAUCUUUUGGUUCGUAAAAUAAGGAAAAACUGAAGUAUCAUUUUGUUCCCUAACUACUACUCAUCAUAUUAAUAAUCUUCUACUCAAACAUAAAGGAGUUUCAAUCAUAUAAUUACUAGGGUUGUGUUUUGGAUCAUAGAAGAAUAAUUUUCAUAAAUAUGAAUGUCACAAUUCAUCCCUAAACAUAAUUAAAACACACUCAAUCCUCCAUCAACCUAGCUUCGAAUUCUAGAAAAUAUGCUUACCCCACAAUAGGGCAUAUACCCUAUUUAGCAUAUUUCCAUCUUCAUAGGAGGUUGUUGGGCCACUGCCAUCAUCACGACCACAGUUGUGGCCUAAACCUUCAUCAGAGUUCUUCAUUUUCUCUGUUUCGUCGGGUGGACCAACUUCUCUGCUGUCAAAAUAUGUUUGAUCUAAAGGAUAGCUAUUUUGGAUGAAUUGCAUCAUCACCGGACAAUCUUCUUCCCCAAAGCUCACCGUCUGGAUGAAACCCAUUUAUUCUCUCUGGACGAUGAUGAUAAAAUACCUACAAAUGCCUCAACUUGAUCAAAUCAAAAUGUCAGAAAAUAAUUCAGACCCCCCCCUCCAUCCUUUGGAUUUGGGAAUGAUGAUGAUAAAAUACCUACAAAAGCUUUUUUGAAAUGCUCACAAUCCUCGGCUGCUGAAGAAAGCGAUUGGGGGACAGUCACAGUCGUCAUUGUUUGUGCGUAUGCUGUUUACGGAGGGAGAGGAAGGGGUAGGAAGAUUCAUAAUUUUCAAUCUGAUGACAUGGCAUUUCAAGUUUACUAGCUGUGAAACCUAUUAAUUUACAACCAUUUGAGUUGGAAAUGGAAAGGGCAUUUUCGUCUGUUAACAUCUGAUAUCCUUAUCAUUAAUUAGGUAAGUUACAUGGACCUUCUCUUAAUUUUUGGGCCUAACUGGGCCCAAAACACAAUUCUCCCAAAAAAAAGCUGGGUCCACAUAUACAUAUCAAUAUUCUAUCAUAUCCCUUCAAAUCUAAAGCAAUCUGUAUUUUCAAUGGGAUUUGUUGGGAUGAGUUUUACUGGAUUGUAACAUGUAAAUACCCACUGUGAUGAGUUUUACUGGAUUGUAACAUGUAAAUAUGUUAAAAAAGGCUUGGGACGUUCCUAUAGUAACACAUAAAGGUACUUCCAUUGUGAAGUUGUCAAAAUUGUAAAUUCAAAUUACAAAAUUUGAAAACAUAGAGAUGAAAGAUGAUGAAACCUUCUUUGAAAUUUUAUAUUGAACUCAUUAAUAUUAUUAAUUCUCAUUUCAAUAUAGGGGAAAGAAUUCUUGACUCUAAAGUGGUCAGAAAAAUAUUGAAAUUCCUUAUUAAUAGAUUUAGACCUAAAGUGAUCAAUAUAGAAGAAAGUAAAAAAUUUUGAGUGUAGGUAAACUUGUAGACUCAAAUGACUCUACCAUUUCAUAAAAAAUCCUCAAUUUUAUAAAUUAUAUAGAUUUCUUCAUUUGAUACAAAUUUUGAAUAAAGAUUUUUCCAAUGACAAUACAAGAAAAGGGAAAAUAAAUUAAAAAUCUCUCCAGAUCAUAUUAUUUAAUCACUUAAAUUAUUUAAAAAUAAAAAUGUUUACUGCUAACCUUAUUUAGGUUCAUCUUUCUUUUGAUAGAGGUUAAAAUUCACAAUUUGGAGGAAAAAGAUGAGGAUUCUCAUCUUUUUUUUCCCAUGUAUGAAUAGGAUUUUCAUUGUGUAUAUGCAGGUUACUCAAUGGCAUAUUUGGGCCACCAGAGUUUGUAAUAUGAGGAAAAAUAUGAAGUUGAGUUUGUCACCAAGAACAGACAUGACUCCUACAAAUGUGGCAUCCUUAAUUUCAUGUUUGGAUUGGACUUGUCAUGUAACAACUUAACAAGUGAAAUCUCUCAUGAACUUGGAAUGUUAAGUUUGAUUCAUGCAUUGAACUUGUCUCACAAUCAACUAAAGGGCUCCAUUUCAAAGAGUUUCUACAAUCUUUCUCAAAUAGAGAGUUUAGACCUUUUUAAUAAUAAACUAAGUGGAGAAAUUACUCCAAAAUUGGUUAGACUAACUUUUUUAGCGGAGUUCAAUGUGACUCACAAUAGCAUCUUCUGAAGAGUUUCAAAUAUGAAUGCAUAAUUUGCAACAUUUGAUGAAAGUAACUAUGAAAAUAAUCAUUUCCUUUGUGGACCACCAUUAAAGAGAAAAUGCAGCAUAAAUGUUGAACCACCUUACCCAACAUUAGAGUCUUCGGAAGAAAGUGAUGCAAAAUGGUAUAAUAUCGAUCUUGCAGUUUUCUUUGCAAGUUUUACUACAUCAUAUAUCAUGAUAUUAUUAGGAAUUUCAAUAAUUCUUUACAUUAACCCUUAUUGGUGUCAAAGAUAGUUCAAUUUUAUCGAGAAAUAUACAUACUUUUGCUAUUAUUUUAUUUCCUAUACUCUUUCCAAGUUAUUAACAUAUUUUGAAUAAUUAGAAAUUUUGUUUUCAAUAAUAUUUAUAUAAUUAACUACUAUUGGCUUCCUUGACAUGGAAAGUUAUGCAGGGAAGGCAACAACCACCUUUUCUCUCCUCCGUUAGUAAAUGAUGGAUGAGUUAAAACUUGCACCCUUAUCUUUGCUUAAAUUUUCUUAGCUUUUGUUUCAAUUCUUAAUUAUCAUUUCUUUUAUGUAGUGUUUAAUACAAGAUCCUAAACACAUUGCUUUCAAGGUUAUUUAUUUAUAAAGCAUGAUAUUUAUUUUCACAAAGACAAAUUCAAGUUUUUUUAGGAAUUUUUAGAAUUAUUAUAAUUUGGAGUUCACAUUAGAGGAAAAAAAGGAAAGAAAAGAAUAGAUAAUUAAAAAAAAACAAUUUUAGUAAGUAUAAUUUGUCAUCUUAAGUAUAACAAAUGGGAAUUCCAAAAUAAUAUUUCAAUUUGUUAGUCACAUUCCUUAUAGUAUUGAUUGAAAUAUCAAAUAUAGGAAGUCACGUUUUGAUUUUUUAUUAGCUUGAAUUGCAUGUCACAUACAUUUUAAAAUCAAGCAUACAUAUGAUCAGCCGGGAAGUCCUUGUGUUUGUAACAUGCAUGAAGAUGAUAUGAUCAAUUAAAUAAUUUUCUUAAUUGUUUGAGACAUAGACCCUUUUUGUUUAAUAAUAAUAAUAAUAUGCUACACAUUUAUUAAAUCAUAUAUGUAUAUUUAUAGUCAUGUAAUAUAUUUAUAUAAGUAACAAUAAAUUAUAUUGUAUAAGGUAUUGGUAGGAGUUUUCAAUUCCAUCAUACAAUAGUAUCUAUCAAUAAUUGGAUUGGACACCAUAGUGGCCAUGAGAGAGGCAUGGGCUUGACAUUAAGACAACCUUGAGUGGUGUUGAUAUUAUCACUUGAACCAGAAAUGCAGUCAUGUCAAAAACUAUAUUAUAUAGAAAACCAAAAUAAAAGCAUUAAUUAAAAUAAAUACCAAGAUCCUUGAAAUCACGUUUCAAUAUGUUAAAUUACCAUUUUUUUUAAAUAAAUAUUUUAUAGGUUGUGUGAAUAAAUAUAAUUGGUAUAAAGGGUUUCAAUUUAAUUUUUCCUGGAAAUCCAUAAUAGGUGAAAAGACAAAACUACCAUUUUUUGUUUUUUCCUUUUUCUCAACUAACUAUUUUUUUCUUGUAAUUGUUAUUAUCAUUCUUAUUAUAAAUAUUAUAACCUUAUAUUAUAAAUUUUUAGUUUAGAUGAUAUUUAAACUAACUAUUGUUGCGGUUUUAAUUGACAUGGAAAAGAAUGUGGUUAUACAUGUAAUUGUCACCAUUUUUUCAAUUAGUCAAUUAGCCAUUGUGCAGAUAGCACAUAUAUGAUUUUGUAUGCAGAUAGCACUAUAUAUAUGCUUAGCAUAAAAAGGACAGGUUGUUUCUUAGUUUGGGUUUUUGCUGCAUUUAUUUUUGUUUUGCUCCAGUGUUCCUUGUAUGCCUCCUGUCUACCUAGGUUACCACUAUUUAUGUUCGCCUACAGAAAAAAAAAUGGUGAUUUCUGUAGUUGAGAGCCAGAUCAAUUACUGAUACUGUGCCUGAAUGGCAAUAUUGGUGUCGCAUAGUUGGGAAGAAGUCAUUUCAGAUACAGGAUGAAGAAAACGGAGGAAAUUGGCUUGAACAGUAAUGGAAGGUUAAUCGAGUAAUCAGACCAUGCGUCAAACUGAUGACUCAAGCCCAUAGCAAUACUGGAGAACACUAAAACAGUAGUUUGGAUAUCCAAAGGAUGUCAUUUUAUCCCUUCUUAGUCGACAAUGAGAAAUCAAAUAUUACCAUGUUUCUAUGCAAGCAUGGAUGGCAGAAGAAGACAGAGAGGCAGACAAAGGUGGACCUGUAAGUAGCUUGUUUUGGAAAUGCAAUUUCAGGGGAUGGGCAAAUGAUAACAACAACUGUGCCAGAGUUUAAAAAAGAAGAAGACGAAGGAAGAAGAAAACUGGAUAUUACAUGUUCUUGCUACCUAACUCCCCUUGCUCCAAUAUGCCAUGUUUCUAAGCAAGAUGGGAGAAGUGGGGCUGCACAGUGGCUAAUUGAGAAGAAUGUGGUUGUACAUGUAAUUUAAUUUUACUAGGAAAUCCAUGAUAGAUAAAAAGACAAAACUACCAUUUUUGUAUUUUUUUUCUUAAAACCUUUUUUAUUAUUGAUUUGUCUUUUUCCUUUUUCUCAACUAACAAUUUUUUUUAUUGUAAUUUUUUAGUUUGGAUGAUAUUUAAACUAACUAUUGUUGUGGUUUUGAUUACAUGGAAAAGAAAGUGGUGAUACAUGUAAUUUUCACCCUUUUUUUUUUUUCAAUUAGUUAACAAUUGAUAUGAGUUAAAAGUAAAAAUUGCAAUCUUUUCUUUACAUCAAUUUCUCUGAUCUUUUGUUUUUAUUUUCAUAUAUCAUUUCUUCUAUUGGUUAUUUAAUUAAAAGAAUUAAAAAAAAUCACAUAUUCAUACAAAUAUAACUUUUUUUUGGAUAAAAAUAUCCUCCAACAAUAUCUUCGAUAUCCCUAUUUUACAUACAAACACUUUUUUUUAAAAUAAAUAAAUAAAUAAGGGUAAAAAUGUCAAACUGGGAUUAUAUUUAUAAUUUUCAAUAAUUGAGGUUAAUUUUCCAAAUGUAAAAAUUAUCUCGUCACUUUGGCACAAAUACUUCUUUCUUUUAUGUAUUGUUUUAUUCAAAAUAUUAAACACAUUACUCUCAAGGUUACUAUUUAUUAUGAAUGGUGUUCACAUUUAAAUAUAGCUAACACCAUAAAAAAUUAAUAUUAUUAGGACAAUGUGAUCACUUAAAUAUUUUUUUUUAUUUAUCACACCGACUUUAUUUUUUUACACAGCCAAUAUAAUUUAUAUUGGUAUAAGGUAUUAGUAGGACUUUGAACCAGAACUGCAGUCAUCUCAAAAACUAUAUUAUAUAGAAAAGCAAAAUAAAAACAUUAGUUAAAACAAAUGUCAAGAUCCUUGAAAUCACGUUUCAAUAUGUUAAAUUACCAUUUUUUUAAAUAAAUAUUUUAUAGGUUGUGUGAAUAAAUAUAAUUGCUAUGAAGGGUUUCAAUUUAAUUUUACUAGCAAAUCCAUAAUAGGUGAAAAGACAAAACUACCAUUUUUGUUUUUUUUUCUUUAUUUACUUUUUUUCUCUCGUAACCUUACUCCUUCCUCCUUUUUGUUUUUUCCUUUUUUAUUAUUAAUUUGUCUUUUUCCUUUUUCUCAACUAACUAUUUUUUUUCUUGUAAUUGUUAUUAUCAUUCUUAUUAUAAAUAUUAUAACCUUAUAUUAUAAAUUUUUAGUUUAGAUUAUAUUUAAACUAACUAAUGUUGUGGUUUUAAUUGACAUGGAAAAGAAAGUGGUUAUACAUGUGAUUGUCGCCUUUUUUUUUUUUAAAUUAGUUAACUAUUGAUACAAGUUAAAAGUAAAAAUUGCAAUCUUAUCUUUACGUCAAUUUCACCGAUCUUUUGUUUUUAUUUUCAUGUAUCAUUCCUUUUUUUUGUUGGUUAUUUAAUUAAAAAGAUUAAAAAAAUCACAUAUUCACAAGAAUAACCUUCAUAUUUUAAAAACAUAAAAUAAAUAUUUUUUUUAUUUUAUAAAAAUACCCUCCAACUAUAUUUUUUAUAUCCAUAUUUCAAAUGCAAACACUUCUUUUAAAAAUAAUAAUAAUAAAUAAGGGCAAAAAUGUCAAACUGGGAUUAUAUUUAUAAUUUUCAAUAAUUAGAGGUCGUUUUUCCAAUGUAAAAAUUAUUUUGUUCCUUUGGCACAAAUAUUUCUUUCUUUUAUGUAUUUUUUUAUUCAAAAUAUCAAACACAUUACCCUCAAGGUUACUAUUUAUUAUGAAUGGUGUUUACUUACAUAACGACAAAUUCAAUUUUUUUGGAAUUUUUUAAUGUUAAAAUAAUUUGGAGCUUAAUAGGCAAAAAAAAAAGAAUAAAUAAUUAGAAAAGCAAUUCAAAAAAAUAAAAUUUAUCCUCUUAAAUUGGUUUUAUGUAAUACUAUAGAAGCCAUUUCUUGAGUUUGAAAUGGUAGAAUUCGGAUUCAUAUUUAUUUUAAAAUCAAGAAAUUCAAGUGUUGGUAGCAUCAAUAGAAUCUUAACAAAUUUGCAAAAAAAAUAUUUAGGUAGAUUACAUUUAAAUAUAUAGCUAACAGAAUAAAAAAUUAAUAUUAUUAGGAAGACAUGAUCAAUUAAAUCUUUUUUCUUAUUUAUGACACUGAUUUUAUAUUUUUACAUAGUCAAUAUAAUUUAUUACAACUUAUAUGUCAUUAAAUUAUACACGUUUAUAUUAAAUAUAAUAUAAGAUCAUUAAUGGAAUGAUUAUGCAAGUAAUAUAAAUUGUAUAUAAUAUAAAAAAUUUAAACUCCAUCAAACUAAUGGAAUCUAUUAUAAUAAGUAGACUAGACACCAUGUUGGCCCGAGUUGGAGGCCUGGGCCAGAUUUUAAAGGCUGGGCGUUGAGUUGCCCGUGGGCCUGAGCCAAGGCCUUCUAUUGGUAUCAUCAUUUUGAAGAAAUAAAUUGCUGAUACAGAGAAAAAAACUAUACUAAAUAGAAAAAUAAAUAAAAGCAUUGACUAAAAUGAAGGUCAAGGUCCUUGAAAAAUAAUCUUUAAAUUGUUGUAUAUAUAAUUUCAAUAAUGCAUAAAUAAUUGCAAUAUAUAUGAUGUGAUAAAGAAUUUGGAAUUAAAAGAAGAUUGAUCUAUUUUAAAUGUGGUUGGAAUAUUUCUAAAUUUGUGAUGGGAAGUUAGACAGCCAAUUAGGGAUCCAUAUUAUUUAUUUUCAAUGAUAUGAAUUUAUUUACUUUUAUUAAUAUUCUUAAUGCAACAAUAUAAAAUAUGUCAAUUUUCUAAAAUUAAAAAAGUAAUUGUAAAAGAAUUUUUAUAAUUAUUUUUCUGAAAUUGAGUUUAUUAUAACAUUUUUAUUUACAUAAAUUUCUUUUUCUUUCUUUUUUUUAAAAUGAGAUAUGAAAAAAAAGAUCAAUAUUAGUAAAAUUAAAACCCAAUAUAUAUAUAAAAAAAAUGAAUAAAUGUUUAUGAAAUAAGAUUUAAAAGUGAGAAGGUAAUAAAUUUUUUCUCUUUUAAUUCCUAUUCAAUUCAUUACAAAAAAUAUUUUUGGUUUUUAUGCUAAAAUUUAUUGUUUAUUAAAAAAUUCUAGUAUAUCUAGCUAUCAUAGAAGAGCUCCAAAAUUUUAUUGUUUAAGAGAAUAUGUGUUGCCACUUUAAAAGAUUUAUAUGCAAAAGGGAUUGAUAUUUUUUUCCUUUGGAUAUGUUUAGUUCCCGGAAAAUUUGAGGGAAAAUGUGAGGGAAGAAAAAUAGAGAAGAAAAGUAUAACGAAAUAAAAAAUGAAGAAAAAUGAAAAAUAGAUUUAAAGUUAAUAAAUUAUUUUUAUUGGUUUUUUCAAACUUAUUUUACUUAUUUUAUUCUAUUAAAUAAAGAUUAACUAAUUUUAAUUAUAUUUGGUUUGAUUUUUAUUAUUUUUCAAAGCAAAACCAAAUAUGAAAAAAAAAAACAUUUUUUUUGGUCAUUUUUUUCUUUCCUUGUUACUUUUCAGGACUCAAACAUAGCUUUUAGAUUUGGAGCAUAGAAAGAUAAGAGUAUUAAAUAAAGGUUCUAUAUAUGCCCAUGCCCAUGCCCAUGAUACCAUUGAAAAAAAUGGACAGAGAGUGAAACCUUUACUAGAUGAUAAAUUAUUCUCUUCAAUGGAAAUCAAAUAUAAUUAUUUGUAUCUUGUAUUAAUUGAAUGUUAUACCCCAUAAACUCAAAAUUAAAAUAAAUAAAUAAUUUAAAAACUAGGACAAUCCCAUUUUGUUUUCAAUUUCUUAAAAAGAAAUUAAAUUACAUUUAUUUUAUCUAUUUUCAUCCCUACCCAAAAAAAUAAAAAAUAAAAAAUAACAAGGUAGGACAUGUAUGAGAAAUUCUCACACUAACUCUCUCUAGCUUAUUUUUUAUUUAUUUUUUUUUAAAAAAUCAAUUUCUUUUAAAAAAAAAUUAAACUAUAUAAAAAAUAAAUAUAAUUUAAAAUAAAAAAAUUAAACAAUUUUUUUUAAGAAAAGUAAAUUUCUUAUUUUAUAUAUGUUAAAAAUAAAUAUAAUCUUUUUAUAUAUAUAUAUAUAUAUAUAUAUAUAUAUAUAUAUAUAUAUAAUCGGGUAAGGUAGAGUGGGACAAAGAAAUAAUCCCCUUUGUUUCCAAUCUGAAUUUUUAAAAUAUAAAAUAAAAGUCUUAAACUCAUCCCUAAUCCAUUUAUUUUUAAUCCUAAACUUGUCUUAUUAAGAAUAAGGCAAAGUGAGUACAUGAAAACACUUCUUUUAUCAUCAUCUCUACAAGUUCUAAUGUUUAAACUGCAAUCCAUAUCAAAGAUUUAUAAAGAAAGGACAACGAUGAAUUUCAUAAACAUUUGAAAGCAUAUACAAAGUUUUAAAUAAUAUUGCUCGAGGUGCAAAUAUUAUUUGGCACACAUGUUGAGGGACUUCAACUAGUUUUUUACACUAGUAAGUAAUCUUGAAUAUCUAGAGUAACUUGAUCAAAAUCUCUUUAAUUUUAUUUUCUUUGAUGGUUGUAUGAUGAAUUAGAAUGCUUAUAUAACAUGAUUAAAAAAUUUAAGAAAAAAAACUAAGAAGAAAGAAAGAAGCACCGAUCUUCCAAAUAUUGCUUCCACUUUAAUAUCUAGAAGGCUCCAAGAAAAGAACUUUACUCAUGAAUCAUAACCCAAGUCGAAAAUAAAUUGAACCCGUUUUCUAAGUUAAAUUUUGAAUUUUUUACUAGUGAAUGCAAAUUGGGAAAAUGUAUAUAAAUAUAAUUGAUUACUACUCAAAAAGUGUUAUUUGAUAGCUUGUAAUAAACUCUUUUAAACACUUUUGAGUAGUACUUAUUGCCUUUUAACCCAAUUAACAUGUUAAGGAUCCUUGCAAUCAAUUUUAAUCAAAUUGUGUUAAGUUUUGGUGUUUUGAUAGUCUUUUGAUCACCAAAGCAAUUCGAGAUUGAGGAGAGUUAUAUGGAAUCUUGGGCAAAGCAAUUGGAAGCUCAGAAACAUGAAGAACUAAAGCUUUGAAGCCCUUUGCCAAGAGUAAAUCCGGAAUGCAAGGAGAAGAAGUAAAGAGAAUCUGCCAUGAAGCAUAUUCUUGAUGACAGUCGUGUCAGCCACUUUUGGAGUACUUUCUAAAGUCCAAUUGAUGCAUACUAUAUACCAUUUCAAAUCUCAGGAAGUCAAAAAUCCAAUGCUUCAAACGGUGUACAAUUCGGAGUUGAAACGAAGAAGUUACAGCCAUUGCAAGUCAAUCACUCUAAGCUGAAGGAAGCAUUUUGCAAAGUGUUGCGAAAUCACCCUUUUGUUGCGAAGUGAUUUCGCAGCCUUUUUGUACAGUGUGGUGGAUUUCCUCCUAAAGUUGCCUGAUAUAUGCGACAAGUUGGAAGCUGAGAACCUCAAGAUGAAAGCCAACUUCGCAGCCUUGCGAGAAUAGCCUUUUGCUGCGAAGUGAUUUCGCAGCCCUUUUUGGAUGUCUGCGAAAUCUCGUAGACAUCAUUUUCUCUUGCGAAAUGGUCCUUAGUGCGUCCCGAUAUUUGCUACCGACAUUGGGAGAUAUUUUCCAUCAGAUUUUUGUUGUCUAAAUCCCAAAAUUCUCCUUGUAAGCCACCAAUUACAAGAUUCCUUAGCUUUUAAGUUAGUAAAAAGAGUAAAUAUCCAUGUAAUAAUUAGUUUUGUAUUAUGUUCAUAUAUAUACCUCUCGAGAGCCUGUUCAGAGAGGAGGAGACCCUUUGUAAAGUUUUGGAAAAGCAAGUAAAGUUCAGGUCCUUUGUUUUGCCUUACCUUCUCACUUUGUAUUUUUCAAUUUUUACUAAGUUAUGCACUCUCUGAGGAAUUUUCCCCAGAGAAUGAGUAACUAAACCUUUAGUUCCUUGGAGCUAAGGUUGCCGGGGAAGGUUCCAAGUGCAAGGAUGCAAAGCUUUGUGGUUUCAGCCAUGAAUGAAGAGGAAGUGAAGUCCUUUAGUGAUUUCUAUGUUUUUAGUUAACUUAAAACACCUUAGAGUCACCUGGGCCAACACUUGGUAAGGCAAGUGAUCUCCGACCAUGGAGAUGCACUAGUUUACCCCUUGCGAGCCUCUGGUAGGUGACUUUAAGGUAGGAUUUUCUGGAAUUGCCAACACUUGGUAAGCUUUUGGACUCCAAGGAGACAUCCAUUAGUUAUCUCUUGCGAGCUUGAGAAGGGAGGUCCAAGGUUAAAGAUCACCUUGAAUGGUUAAGGCUUAGUGAGAGGCUUGAACCAUUGCAAGUUGCAUCAGUGAGAGAAUUAAAGUUGAAAUCUAAUUAAAGGAUGUAUCUAUACAACACCGGUUAGAGAAUUGACUAUAUGUUGAAUCUCUAACGCGAGGAAAUGAACCAUCUGACCGGAGCUAUGUCUUUUGCAUGAGGAACCACCCUAGUGAACCUGACCCUCCAAGGAAUGUUUUUCUUCCUAAGUUAUUCCCAUUACUUGUUUUGUUAGUUGGUUUGAAUCUAAAUCUUUACCAAUCAAGGUUUGAGUUUUAUUUCUUAAGCUAACCUUGAAAUGAAACACUACCAAUUCACUUUGAAUUGAUAUUAUUGAUAAUUUGCUAAUCCUUCCCAGUGAACGAUCCUAGAGUCGCUAUGCUAUAGUAGCUUUUUCUUUGCUACCCAAGUAUAUGGUGUAAUAGGUUAUAAAUUUUGUUGAUUACUCCCUCAUCCAAGGAGCACCAGCUGGACACAAAUCAGCUAAGACACCAAUUGGGCACAAAUCAAUAAUUAAACUAGAAUAGUAGGUUAGGUUUGUAGGUGGAGUUUGUUUGAAUUGUUGGAACUUCUAAGUCGUUGUGGGUCUAGUGGUCCCAUAGCUCUCUAUUAAUUUCCACCAUCAAUUUUCUGCAAUAAAGUCAAGUCAUUCCUAAUCCCUAUAUUAAGUUGGCCUUAAAAGUCAAGUCAUUGAUCAUAGUUACAUUCAUGAAUCACAACCCAAGUCGAAAAUAAAUUGAACCCAUUUUUCAAGUUCAACUUUGAAUUUUUUACUAGUGAAUGCAAAUUGGGAAAACAUAUAUAAAUAUAAUUAAACUAAAAUAGUAGAUUAGGUUUGUAGGUGGAGUCUGCUUGAAUUGUUGAAACUUCCAAGUCAUUGUGGGCCCAAUGGUCCCAUAGCUCUCUAUUAAUUUCCACCAUCAAUUUUUUGCAAUAAAGUCAAGUCAUUCCUGACCCCUAUAUUAAUUUGGCCUUAAAAGUCCAGUCAUUGAUAGCUAAAUCCCAACCCAAGUCAAAAAUAAAUUGAACCCAUUUUCUAAGUUCAACUUUGAAUUUUUUUAAUUGGAAAAAUGUAUAUAAAUACAAUUAAACUAGAAUAGUAGAUUAGGUUUGUAGGUGGAGUCUGCUUGAAUUUGUGAAACUUCCAAGUCAUCGUGGGUCUAGUGGUCUCAUAGCUCUCUAUUAAUUUCCACCAUCAAUUUUCUGCAAUAAAGUCAAGUCAUUCCUAACCCCUAUAUUAAUUUAGCCUUAAAAGUCCAGUCAUUGAUAGCUACGUUCAUGAAUCCCAACCCAAGUCAAAAAUAAAUUGAACCCAUUUUCCAAGUUCAACUUUGAAUUUUUUACUAGUGAAUGCAAAUUGGGAAAACGUAUAUAAAUAUAAUUAAACUAGAAUAGCAUAUUAGGUUUGUAGGUGGAGUAAGCUUGAAUUGUUGAAACUUCCAAGUCGUCGUGGGUCUAAUGGUCCAAUAGCUCUCUAUUAAUUUCCACCAUCAAUUUUUAUGAAUUAAGAUUUAAAAGUGAGAAGGGAAUAAAUUUUUUCUUUUUCAAUUCAUUACAAAAAAUAUUUUUGGUUUCUAUGCUAAAAUUUAUUGUUUAUUCAAAAAAUUGAAGUAUAAAAAAAAUAUAUAUAUCUUGCUAUCAUAGAAGAACUCCAAAAUUUUCGUGUUUAAGAGAAUAUGUGUUGCCACUUUAGAAGAUUUAUAUACAAAAGGUAUUGAUGUUUCUCCUUUGAUUAUGUUUGGUUCCCAUAAAUUUGAUGGAAAGAAAAUAAAGAAGAAAAGUAGUAAAAAAAAAAAAAAAAAAAGGAAAAUAAAAAAUAGUCUUUAAGUUAAUAAAUUAUUUUUUAUUAUAGAAAAAAUGGGUGAGAGAAAAAAAACCUUUAUUAAAUGAUAAUUUUUUUUUUCAAUGGAAAUCAAGUAUAAUUAUUUUUAUAAUAAUUACUUUAUUUAAAUAAAAAAAACAUAGGAGAGAUGAUUAUUAGGAGGGGUGGGACCACCCAGUAAUUUUUUUUAAAAAAAUUUUGUUAUGAAAAUUGUUAUUGGUAAAUGAAAAUUGUGAAAAACCUACUAAUGCUAAUACUUUUCACCACAUAAUUAAAUAUAAUAAACUAGAAUAGUGAUUCAUUGAUGUCUUAUAAAGCUACAUGCCUUCUUUGACUUGUUAGUUGAUUUUUGUAGGUGGAGUCCAUUUCCAUUUGAAUUGUUGAAACUUCCAAAUCCUUGUGGGUCUAGUGGUCUCUCUAAUAAUUCCCACCAUUAAUUUUUUGUGAUGAAAUGCAGUCAUUGAUAGCUACUAUAUCAAUUUGCUAUUAAAAGUCAAGUCAUUGAUAACUACUAUUCAAUCUUUUUCAAUAUGGAAAUUGGAAUCUCUAGCACUACUCUUCUCAUUGUUCAUUUUCAGGUAAUGUGAGAAUGUGUGAACAUAAAUGUCUUCUAAUCAACCAAUUUUUUUUGAAAAAAACAUGUACAAAAUUGCAAAACUUGCAAAAUCAAACUUUCUUGUUGAAUAACCAUAGCUUGAUGGUUUUGAAGAAUCAAAGGAUGAAUCAUAAAAGGGUAUUUGAUAAAAAAUAAAAAGUAAAAAAAUUAAAAGACAACUACUCCCUUAAGUGUAAUAAGUGUAUUUGGUAGCACAAAUUUCCUACCACUUAUUAUUUUUUCCUUUCUUAAAAAAUUAUUUACUCUAUUAAAUAAACUAACCUUGGCUUAUCACUUAUAGCAAAAUAGGUUAAGUAGUUUUUAAAAUUUUAUAAUAUUAGAUUUACAUUUUUAUCCUUCAAAAUUUCAUUAAUGCUAGAUUCUUCUAUAUGCUUAACUAAUAAAUAAUUUUUAGCAUUUUUCUUUUCUUAUAAACAUAAAAAAAAUAAAAAUAUUAUUAACUUAUUGGUAUAUUUUAAAAUUUUAAUUAGAUUUAAGCUUUUAUUUGUCUGGAUUACCAAUUAUACAUAUAAAUCCUUUAUUAUUAUUGUUAUUAUUGAAAGAAAGGGGUUGAAUAGGUAGUCCCUCAAUCCCCAAAUUAAAUUCUUUAUUGCCUACUUUUGGUUUAUUCCUUUACAUGAAUUCCUUGGUGAGAGUAAACAUUUCAUUAAUGGAUAAAUAAAAUUGAUUCCAUAUCAUAGGGUAUAAUGUGGAAAAAUCACCAGUCUCAUGUGUUCCUUAGUGGAUCCUUUGGAGCCCUUAUCAAAGUUUCAUGAUGAAACCAUUGACUUUUGUUUAACCCAAAUGUGCUUUCAAGACAAAUCUUGAAAGAUUUGAGAGAUGGAGGUUCAAGUCUUUUAUGAAUGACCAUGUUCUCUUAGGGUUCAUGAAAAUUCACACCUUUUGAUAAAUAAAACUUAUCUAUUUAUACGUCUAAAACCCAGUAUUUAUUUAUUUAAUUAUAGAAAGUUUCUUAGUUUUAAAAACAUUUCAAAAAUCAUUUUUAGAAUCAAAUAACAAUUUUAGAGAUAAACACAAUAUUAAAAUUUAACAAAAACAAAAUUUCAAAUUAAAAACACAAUAUAAACUAAAUUAUAAAAUAUAAAGUAAUUUUUAUCCUAAUUUCUUGUUGUAAAACCAAAUGGAACACCUAGAAGGGGAGUGAAUGAGAGAUUUUAAAUUUUUUCAAUAAUGAUUAUAAGUUAUACCCAAUUCUUUUAUCCUGCGAGUUGUUAGGGACUAUCAAUUCUUUCCUUUUGGCAAUUCAAACAAUAUAUCAAAUAAUAAAAAGAUAUAAAUAAUGAGACAUAAAGAUUUUUACGUGGAAAACCCCCCACACUAACCAUGGAGAUAAAAAGUCAUGGAGUCUAAGACCUAUUAAUCUAAAUUCAUGGUAUGAAAUCAAGUUACACAAAUUUAUUUGGCAGCUUUACCUUAAAGACUUACUCUCUGGUACUGUCAACUUGAUUCACGUCCAUGAUGUAGCAACCCUCGAUUACUCCAAUGGAUCACUUCAAGCUUACUGAAAGGAUGAAGGCCUUCAAACCAAGAUUCAAAAAUCAAUUCCUUAAAUGAGAGAUCAAGAAUGGUGUGCCACUUUAGGCUUUCUCUCUAAGAUCUUUAAAAUGCUCUCCUCAAUGAAAACCUCUUAAACAAAAUGAGAUAUUUCUCCACAAUCUCUAACCCUCAAGGGGUUAUAAUGAGAUAUUUAUAAGAAACUAAGUUGAAGAGUUUCAGUUUUGGAAGGUUUCUCAAUUGAAUUUGUAUGAAAAACUCGGUAGAAUCAACAUGACCGCUUGAGCCAACACACUUCCCACUUGAGCGUUUCGGACACUUGAGCGGUAAGGCUCGCUUGAGUUGUCCUAAGCACUUGAGCAUUCCAGGCUACUUGAGCAAUCUUGCUCUAUUUCAAAAGUUAAUUUUAAAUCAUUGUAAGUUCAAAACAAAAUUGAUUCCCUUUAUACCUCAAAGGAGCCUAACUUGCCACAAACCAAACCUUUUUAGAUAUACUUGUGACUUCCUGGUUGGACGAAUAACAACUCUUAAUCUUCAAUGGAGAGCAAGUCACUAUCUAAAAAGAUUUAUAUGGUCAAACAUAAAAAAACAAAAAAAUUGCCAACAUAACAACAAGACGCAAUGUCCUAACAAUCUCCCCCUUUGGCAAUUUUAUGACAAAAACAACGUUACAUAAACCCACCUGAACUCUCAUAAUGGAGUUUAAUAAUACACAAUAACGUUCAAUUAAAAAUAAACUAAGGGAAUACUUUGUAUCACUUUGUAGUAUUUGUCUUCCAACUUUGUAACCUACACACAUAUAGAAAACUAUACCAAAGGUAAAGCAAUGUGCAGGAUAAGAUAUGAUCAAGAAAGCAAAAUAGGAUAAUUGGAAAUUUUGCUUGAUGCCUUGUGAAAGCAUGAAAAAAGAACAAAUUCAUUUAGUAAUACCAAGGGACAAAGCAAAACUCGAGAAGAAUAUAUAUGUAUGCAAAUCAACCAAACAUAAUAAAAGCUACAUAAGAUGCAAUAGGUCAAUAAUAAUGCCUAGGGGUCUAUCUCCAACCAGAAAAUAGGGAGUGAAGAUCAUAGGAAGAACCUUCUAUGACUUAGAAAGGUUCUAGAGAGAUAGUCAAUUCAAACAUAAAUAUCUUGUUGGAAACAUCUAUGUUAUGUAUCUUUCUAAACCUUCUAAGUUAUGCUUUCAUCAGUUGAUUUGGUUUUUCUCCAAUGUCUCAGGUUUAAUUCCCUCUAAUAUUUGAAUUAGAGAGAAAUUGGUAGUCGAUUGACUUAGUGGGUGUUUGGUAAAACUUAAUACUUAUUAUUUAAUGAUUAACUUUAAGUUAAAUUGUUCUUUAAGUUAUUAAUUUAAAAUUUAUUACUUAUUCUGUAUUUAAGUAUUAAGGUUAUUUGAAAAAAUCGACUUAAAAUUUAUCCUAAAUCAUCAAAUUGACACAUUUACCCUUAUUAAUUUUAACUUAUAUUUAUUUUCAUUAAUUUUAAACAAUAAAUUUAUUCAUAAAACAUCUAUAUUUUUGUAGAUACAUAAUAACCAUAAAAUAUUUACUAUAAAAAAUGAGUCAUGGAUGUAGAAUUAUAAUUCUAAAAUAUACACUUAUGAGUGUGGGUAAAUAAGGCAAAAAUGAUUUGAGAUUAAGAGUAAAGUUAAUUAUUUUGACUUAAGACUUCAAGUUAAAAAUAACUUUAAGUUGCAAUAUUAAGUUAUUUUUAUCAAACAUGCUUAAUUUACUUAAUGACUUAAAUUAAGUUAUUAAGUUGAUUUAUCAAACACCCCACUAGUAGUAUGUUGAAAAUGAAGAGCAUCCAUAGCAGAUAAUGUAUAUGUAUUUGUGUUUAGAGUAGAAGGGCACUACGACAAUGGACUUGCAUGUGAUUUGGUCACGAUAUGAUUUUGGUGAGAAUAUUUUAUCAUCUUUAAAAUAUUGUUAUAUGAAAUGCUAGACUAUGUUAGUAAAUAAUAGUUAUGUUAGUAGAAAUGAAAGUUUGUUUUAUAAUGCAUUGACCAUCCUAACACAUGUACUUAAUUAUCAUUAGUAGUUAGACAUGUAUUCCUUUUUUUCAAAUUUUUUUCUUCUUUUUAAAUACAUUCUAGUGGUACUUUGCCUUAUGACUUAAUUUUUGUUACACUUACUACUUUUGGUUUUAGUCAUAUUUUGUUUUAUUAGUAUUUUCAUUUUGUGUUACAAUUUUAUUUAGUUUCUCUAUAUUCUCUUUUGGAUGGUGAUUUCACUUCAAAUUUUAAUUCAAAUUAAGCUUAUUGUCCUCUUAGUAAGCCUUUUCUAGGCGAGUUGUUAUAGAAAAUUAAACAAACCUCUCCUAAGGUUGGCCUUGUUACAUAGACUUCUUUUCUAUUUUGAAAUAUUAUAUUGACCUCCUUUGUUAGAUAUUGGUUUUUACGAUUACUAAGAAUGCUUCUUAAUCAUUAUUAAGGACGUCUUCUUUCUCCAAUUUUCUUCUUCCUCCUCCAUACAUGCUAAUUUGCAAAAAUUUAUACCCAUUAUUUAAAUGAAAUUUUUCGAAAUAAAUUAAAACCUUCCUUAUUUGAUAUUAUAGUAACCUAAUUUAAAUAAAAUAUUUUGAAAUAAAUUAGAUAAAAAAAAAACUUGUCAUCAUUCUAACCCAAAUCAAAUUUUAAAGAAUAAUUAAAUAUUUCAAGUCUCAUUUUGUCUCAAUAUCACCUUUGCUAAUCAACCUAUCCAAUCUUAGAUCAAACUCAAAUUGCAAUCAAAUUUUGACAAGAAAAAAAUCUACUUAAGACUGAAUAAGAAAACUUGUGGAAAGAGUCUCAUCAAGAAGGUGCAUGAAACCCUCAGUUCAAAAACUUCUUCUAAAAUAAAAUUAAAAAGAAAAAAAGAAAAGAAAGAUAUUCAAUGUUAAAGGACUUUUAAGAUAAAUCAAAAUUUGAAAAUGAAUGUUAAUACUUGCAAUAGAUUCCACAUUCAUGAAUAAAUUACCGUUGCACCACUUAUUUUCAAUUCACACUUUAAUUUACUAUCCAUAGAAACUUUCAUUAAAUUUUCCAUAAAACAAACAAAGAGCCUUAACCCCCAAAUAUUUUAAUUCUUAAAAAUACAUCAUUUCAUCAAUUUUUUAAACCCUCAUUUUAACACAAAUUAAUUUUUUUACAAAUUAUUAAAAGAAUAAAAAGAAAAUUAAGAAGAGGUUGUCAUUAUUAUUCUUGCAAAGUCACCACAAAAUAAAUUAUAAAAAAUAUAGAAAAUAAAAUAAUAUGACGAUGAAGAUGCUGCUUAGAAAGUUAGAAUGAGGAAGAUAAUAUCAUUUAGAUGAUUUAGGUUAAGAUGAGGACUAGAUAAGGAAAGUGACAUCAAUUGCCUAAUUAUUUGGGGUUUUAGAGAUACAAAAUGAGGGAGAUCACUAAAAUUAUGGUUUAAUUAUUUUGGUUAAGGAUUAUUAAGUUAUUUUAAGGAAUUAAUUAAUUAAUUUAUAAUAAAUUUAGAAAUUAAUUAAAAGUUAAUUAUAAUAAUUAUUGAUUCAUAGUUUAAUUUAAAGCUAAUUUGAAUAAAAGAUGAAAAACUGAAAGUCCAUUAGGGUUCCACCUAGAGAGGGGAGAGGAGGUGGAUGAUUUAAAAAUUUUCAAUAAAGAUCUAUAUGUUAUAUCCAAUUUUAUUUUACCCUGUGAGAUGUUAGGGAUAACCUUUUCUACCAAUCUUAGGUAAUUGAAACAAAAUAUCAAAUAUAAAAGAUAAGAACAAUAAGGUAUGCGAUUUUUAUAUGGAAAAUCCUCACACUAACUAUGACGAUAAAAACCACGAGGUCUAAGACCUAUUAAUCUAAAUGCACUAGAUGAAAUCAAGUUACACAGAUUUACUUGACUGCUUUACCUUAAAUAUUUACUCUCCGGUAGGUACAAGUUGAUUCAUGUCCACAACAUAGCAACCCUUGAUUGCUCCAGUGGAUCACUUCAGUUUCCUUGAAGGGAUGAAGGUCUUCAAAAUAAUAUUUAAAGAACAAAUCCUUGAAUGAGAAAUUGAGAAUGGUGUGGCAAUCUAGGAUUUGUCUUUAGAAGACCCUUUUUAGAGAAUAAAGUCUCUCAACAAUCUAUCUCCAAUCUCUUCAAGAUCUCUUACCCUCAAGGGGUUAUAAGGGAGGUAUUUAUAGACAAAAGUUUGAAGAGUUUCGAUUUUGGAAGGUUUCUUAAUUGAAAUUUCGUGAAAAACUUGGUAGAAUCAACAUGAUUGCUCGAGCCAACUCACCCAUCGCUUGAGCGCCUCAAGCACUUGAGUGGUAUGGCUCACUUGAGUGGUCCUAAGUUCUUGAGUAGUCUUUAGUGCUUGAGCGCUCUAGGACACUUGAGCAGUCUUGCUCUCUUUCAAAAAUCAAUUUUAAAAUCUUUUUAAGUUCAAAACAAAAUUGAUCCUCUUUAAUACCUCAACAUAGCCUUAUUAACAUAAGUCAAACCUCUUUAAACAUGUGACUUCUCAAUUGGACAAACAACAACCCUUGAUCUUCAAUGAAGAGUAAGUCACUAACUAGAAAGACUUCUAUGACCAAACAUUACAAAGAACAAAAUAGCCAACAUAUAGGCAAGACUUAUUGUCUUAACAAUCUCUCCCUUUGACAAUUUUGUGACAAAAAAUCGUUACAUAAACCCACUUGAACUCUCAUAACGGAGUUUACAUAACACACUUUAAUGCUUAAUUAAAACUAAAUUAAGGGAAAGCUUUGUAUUAGUUUAUAGUACUUAUAUUUCAACCCUGUAACCUACACACAUACAAAAAACUAUGCUAAAGGUAAAGUAGUGUGAGGGAUAAAGUGAUGUUGAGAAAGCAAAACAGGAUAGUUGGAGGUUUUGCUUGAUGACUUGUGAAAACAUGAAAAUGGAACAGAUUUUUGUAGAGACACUAAGGCACAAAGCAAAGCUUGAGAGGAAUAUAGAUACACACAAAUCAGGAAAACAUAAUAGAAGCUUGAUAAGAUACAAUAGAUCAAUAAUAAUGCUUAGAAGUCUAUCUCCAACCAGAUAAUGGGUAGUGAAAACCAUGGAAAGAAGCUUCUAUGACUCAGAAUAGUUCUAGAGUGAUAAAUAGUUUAAACAUAAAUAUCUUAUAAGAAACAUUCGUGUUAGGUAUCUCUUUAAACCAUCUAAUUUAUGCUUUCAUCAGUUGAUAUGGUUUUCUCCAAUUUCUCAAGUUUAAUUUCCUCUAAUAUUUCAAUAAUUUCCCUUAAUGGAUGAAUGAAUGAAUGAAUUGAAUUAAAGAAUUCAAAAUUUUUAACUCAUAGUCACUCCCCUUAAAUUACAAUCAAUACAAUAAUUCAAAUCAAGUAUACAAAAACAUAAAUAAUAGAACAUUUAUGCAUUAGGUGGCGGUAGAGAGAUAGAGCUUGAAGCGCCCUGAGAAUGGAUACAUGAAAAGAUGUAGUUAAGUUAUCCCUAAAUCUCUCGGAGUUGGAGAUCCUAAGAGUCCAUCUUUUGAUGAAGUCGAGCCAUGGAAUUUAGAGCCUCAUGGGCAUUGGGUCUACAGAAGUAAAAGCCUUGUGUGUAGCUCGGGAAGAACUAACACAACCUCAACUCUAGAGUGAGUCCUCGGAGCAGACUCUAAAUAGUCUGUCUCUAGAAUUCCACCCUGCUCCAUAGCUCGAAGCUCAUCCUCCUGGACAACUGCCUCUGCAUGCUGGCCUACAUCAUGUGGUUCAUAAUCUGGAAUAGCCAUCAAACUGUAUACAUGAAUGUAGUGCUUGGCCCAGGAACUCCCAUCCAAAAAGGCAUGGGUAGCCUAGACCCCUAGUGUAGGAUCAAUCUUAAAUCCCACAUCCUCGAGCAUCCGCGUGAUGAGGAGGGUAAAGGGGAGAGUGCCUCCUCUAAAGGAUAAACCACGAAGGGGAAUGAUUGUAUCCAGGAUGACCUAGCCAAUGUCAAAUUGUUAGCUUGAGAGAAUGGUGUGAAUAAAGUGAGCAGAUGGUCAAUGGAUUUGGGUGCAGUGUGUAAAUGGGUAGAAGGAGUAAGUGAAGAAUGUGGCAAACAACUAUGUUAACUUGGAGAAGCCAAAAAUCGGGAUAUAAGAAGGAAAGGGGCAAAGACUGCCAUAAAGAGAAGUCAGAAUGGUGUCAAGUUUCUCUUGGGUGAGAGCCUGAACCUCUAGGGAAAACGAAGGAAUGAGAGCCUCAAUUUGCGACUUGCUAAGGACACAUUGAAUGGAAUGGGAGGAAAUAAGGAAAAAUUGACCAUGCAUGGUCACCUGAAAGGUGACUCCGACCACAAUAUAAUGCAUGUUCUCAUAGAACAUGUGAACAAGAUGGGGAUAGGAAGUCCCCUAGAGAGAAAACAAAGUCUCCUAACCCUACUCUUGAAUGAUGAUAGGGAAGACAGUGUCCUGAAAAGCUUAGAGGUUAAUGGCAUGCUCAGGCUCGACACACUGAUAUGUGAAAGAAGCGUAAUAAUGGUCCUGUGCCACCUGGCAGUGAAAGCGCUCAACCGGAAGUGCAUCUAGGUUAAAAAGACCCUGGAGUGGGAUGCCCUAGACGGUUUCAGUGACCUAGGAAAGGUCACCUCCCUUUGACAUCUAUGACUAGCCAUAUCUAAGGUAUAUAAUAUGAAAAAACAAAAGCUAAAGAAAAUCCAGAGAAAAGCUAAACCACUAAAAAUGUUAAACUCAAUGCGUCAAACAAUACUAUACAAAUGGAAAUGAAAAAUAUGAAGUGAAGACAAAAGGACAGUAACCCCGAGGGCUCAAAGAGGAAUAGGAAAGUUUGAAAUGAAUAUGGCGUGAUAGAUGACCUUUAUAUAGCUUAUAGGAGUGCUUGAUGCAGAUUAGCACUCGAGCGUCCUUACUAACUUAAAUCAAAUUAUUUAUUAAUAUGUAAAUAUUUUAAAAGUUUCAAAGGAAGUAUUCAAUUUAGAACCUUUUUAGAUUUUUUUUAAAGAAACAAAAACAAAGCGUUAAAUAUUAUGUGUUAAAGGUGUUAGAAGACAAUAUUGUCUAAUCCAAAGCCUUACCCAUUCCCACAAAAAAAAAAAAAAGGAAAAAGAGAUAUAUUAUAUAAGAUUUUGAUCACAUCUAAUAGAAACUAAUAUUUAGCAACAUAUCACCAAGCACUAUCUUAUUAGAAAGCUUUAACAUGUUGGAAAUUUAUGUAAGGUUCCAUAACAACUAACAACUUUUUCUGAGGUCUCAGUAGUGGACCAUUUGCACUUUAACUACAUUAUUGAAUUUAAAUCAUAUUAGAAUAGUAAUUGACUUCUCUUUUGUGAGGCUACAUAUCUUGUAGGAUGGGAUAGGUGAUUCAUUUCAUAUAUGAAAUUUACUUGAUUUAGUAAUGCAUCCAGGUUCAUUAUGAAUCUAAUGGUAUCACAACUCCUUGAAUAUUUGUAAUCUGUAAUCUUUGUUUCAACUUCUCAAGUCUAGUCAUUUAUCGGCAUAACUAGUUUGCUUCAAUUAUCUCUCAACUUUAUUAUAAAACUAAGGGAAAAGAUUAUCACACAUUUUAUAUUAACUUAACCAAACAUCUUUAUAUAUCUUACAUAUAUAUAUAUUGUAAAUUUAGGAAAAUUUCAUCCAUUAGCCAUAGUAAGUAAGAAUCAAAUAAGGGAUAUGUAAGCCAAUGGUGAUAUUGAUGGCGUCAAAUCAAUGACAUAGUAGAAAAGUGGAUUGUCUAUUUUCAAACCUUUAUAUUUUCAUCCAAUAGUAAAAGGGUUUAGGCAUCACUUGAAAAGUAGUUCGUUUUUUACCUUGGACUAUGAUUUAUGAAUAAAGUUCUUCUAUUGUAUACCUUUUGUGAUGCCCCAAACCUAAUUUAGGGGUAAAAAAAAUAAUUUAGAAAAAAUUAAAUAAAUUUAAUUAAGGUAAAAAUGUAUUUUCGUAUUUAAAAUUCCUAGGUAUCAAUUAUAUAUUUCUUGUCUUCUCUAUUCAAAAAACCCUAUUACACAAAAAAUCAAAUAUCAGAGAACAUAGGACAACGCAUGGUUGAAGAUUUGAAGGUUUAGGGUUGAAGAUUAGUUUUCCAGGUAAGUUUCUAACCCUUAAAUUAGUAUUUUAGAUUCGUUAAUUAGUUUAAACACUUUAGUAUUCUUUGAAAAAUCUAAAUCUACGUUAGGGUUUGUCAAAUUUAAUUUUUAAAUAAAAAAGAUUGAAAAUUUAUGAACAUAAGUAGAGUUAUUAUUAAAGAUUGAAAUUUUUUGAAUAUUUGAAUUAAAAAUCUAGAAAAAAAGAAGAAAAUAAAUUAUAGCUUUGGAUAUGGAAAAAAAUUAAUAUUAAUAAAUAAAUAAAACCUAUGAGUAUGGAGGUAGAAAAAUAUGAGAGUUGAAAGCAAAGAAAAAAAAAAGGAAUAAUGUUUUGUGGUUGUACAUGCCUCCUUAGUGGAAAAAAAAUACAAGGUUGCUUGCAACAGGAUAUGACAAAGAGAGAGAGAUAAAUGCUUAGAUGUUGAUUUUUGUGGGGAAAAAAAGAUUGGGUAAUGUAGGAGAGAAAUAGGUAGCACUUGUAGAGUUGGUGGAGUUGUAAAAGCUUGUAGGGGUAAUUGUUAGGUAGUAGUAGGGUAUGAGAUUAAUUGUUAGGAAACAUUAGGACUUGAAAUAAUAAUAAUUGCUUCUAGUAAAAGUUUUAAUUUAGUUUAAGUAUAUAAAAGAAAUAGAUGAUUAGAAUAAGAUUUGGAAGGAAUAUGAAUUCAUAAAAAUUUCGAAAUUUACUAAUUUAGAUUAAUAUUGUUUUGGAAGUUGAAUAUAAUAUAGGUGAUAAUAUUAUUAAUAUAGGAAAUGAUUAAGAUUCUCAAACCUACAAUUUUAGAUAAAUAGUUAAUAGUAAUAGAUGAUUUUUUAUUUUUUUUAUUUUUUUAUUUUUUAUGUUAUGUUAAGUGAAUAAUGGAUUCUUUGAUUAAUAUUCUAAGGUUUCUAAGUGCUUCUUUAAGGUAAGGGAUGUUAAUACUGAUUUUGUAAAUGAAAAUAUUUCUUUUUAUAAGUUAUUUUAAAUUAUGAAAAAUUUUAUUCUUAUUUAUGCAUGGAUCAAAUAUAUAUUUUUUCAUGAGAAACAUGUUUGGGCAAUUUCUUUGUUUAUAAAUAAAUAAAUAAAUAAUGAGAACUUUGGAAAUAUAAUGUUUUGUUUUGUAAGUUUAAAAUAAUGAAAUAAAGUUUUUGGCUCUGGUUUAUAUGACCUUAGUUAAUGGGUUAUAAUUGUUGACAUUUUCAACUCCAGUCAACGAUUAUAAUUGUUGACAUUUUCGGCUCCAAUCAACGAUUAUAAUUGUUGAGAUUUUCAACCCUAGCCAACGGGUUAUAAUAGUUGAUUACUACUCAAAAAGUGCUAUUUGAUAGCCUAUAAUUAAUCCUUUUAAACACUUUUGAGUAGUAGUUUAGGCCUUUUAACUCAAUUGGCAUGUUAAGGAUCCUUUAAAGCAAUUUUAAUCACUUUGUGUAAGUUUUGGUGUUUUUAUUAGUAUUUUGAUCACCAAAGCAAGUCAAGACUGAGGAGAGCUAUGAGGAAUCUUGGGCAAAGCUUAUAAGUCAUUUGCUAAGAGUAAAUCUGGAUUGCAAGGAGAAAAAGCAAAGAGAAUCUGCCAUAAAGCAUAUUCUUGAUGACAGUCGUAGCAGCCACUUUUGGAGCACUUUCUGAAGUCCAAAUGAUGCAUGCUAUAUACCAUUUCAAAGCUCAGGAAGUCAACAAUCCAAUUCUUCAAACAAUGUGCAAUUCGGAGUUGAAACGAAGAAGUUGCAGCCAUUACAAACCAGUCACUCUGAGCUGAAGGAAGCAUUUUGCAAAGUGCUGCGAAAUCACCCUUUUGUUGCGAAGUGAUUUCGCAGCCUUUUUGUACAGUAGGGUGUAUCUCCUUCUGAAGUUGCCCGACAUAUACCGCGAGAAGGAAGCUAGGAACCUCAAGGUGGAAGCCAACUUCGCAGCCCUGCGAGUUUAGCUUGUUGUUGCGAAAAUAUUUCGCAGCCCUCUUGAGUGUCUGCGAAAUCUCGCAGACACCAUUUUUCUCCUGCGAAAUGGUUCCUGAAGCCUCCCGAUAUUUGCUACCGACUUUGGGAGAUAUUUUCCAUUAGAUUUUUGUUGUCUAAAUCCCAAAAUACUCCUUGUAAGCCACCAAUUACAAGAUUCCUUAGCUUUUAAGUUAGUAAAAAGACUAAAUAUCUAUGUAAUAAUUAGUUUUAUAUUUUGUUCAUAUAUAUACCUCUCGGGAGUCUGUUCUCAGAAAGGAGUUCCUUCUGUAAAAGUUUGGGUAAGCAAGUAAAGUUCAUUUCUUUCUACUGCCUUAUCUUCUCACUUUGUAUUUUUUAGUUAAUACUAAGUUAUGAACUCUCUGAGGAGUUUUCCCCAGAGAAUGAGUAACUAAACCUCUAAUUCCUUGGAGCUAAGGUUGCCGGGGAAGGUUCCAAGCGCAAGAAUGCAAAGCUUUAUGGUUUUAGCUAUUAAUGAAGAGGAAGUGAAAUCCUUUAGUGAUUUCUAUAUUUUUAGUUAACUUAAAACACCUUGGAGUCACCUGGGCCAACACUUGGUAAGGCAAGUGAUUUCCAACCAUGGAAAUGCACUAGUUUACCCCUUGCGAGCCUCUGGUAGGUGACUUCAGGGUAGGAUUUUCUAGAAUAGCCAACACUUGAUAAGCUUUUGGACUCCUAGGAGGCAUCCAUUAGUUAUCUCUUGCGAGCUUUUGACGGGUAAUCCAAGGUUAAGGAUCACCUUGAAUGGUUAAGGCUUAGUGAGAGGCUUAAACCAUUGCAAGUUGCAUCAGUGAGAGAAUUAAAGUGAAAUCUAAUUGAAGGAUGAAUCUGUACAACACCAGCUAGAGAAUUGACUAUAUGUUGAAUCUCUAACGCGAGGAAAGGAACCAUCUGACCGGAGCUAUGUCUUUUGCAUGAGGAACCACCCCAGUGAACCUCACUCUCCAAGGAAUGCUUUUCUUCCUAAGUUAUUCCAAACUUUUGUUAUGUUAGUUAGUUUAAGUCUAAAUCUUUACCAAUCAAAGUUUGUGUUUUACUUCUUAAGCUAACCUUGAAAUGAAACAAGACCAAUUCACUUGGAAUUGGUAUCAUUGAUAGCUUGUUAAUCUUUCCCAGUGGACGAUCCUAGAGCCACUAUACUAUAGUAGCUUUUUCUUUGCUACCCUAGUAUAUGGUGUUAUAGGUUAUAAAUUUUGUUGAUUACUCCCUCAAUCAAGGAGCACCAGCUGGACACGAAUCAGCUGAGACACCAAUUGGGCACGAAUCAAUAGUUGACCUUAUAGCCCUAGUCAAUAGAUAUAAUUGUUAACCUUUGGUUUUGCCCAUCUUAAAAUGAACAAAUUUAAGGCUAGCCAUUUAUUUGUAAAGUCUCACCUAACUAAGUACCAUUUGUUAUUUAAUAACCAGAGUAAAGAUAUUUUGAAUGUAUUUGAUAUGAAAUUGUUUUGAUAUAAAUAUGAAAAUGUUUGGUUGAAAAGUUCAAUGUUUAAUGCAUGUUGAAUUCAAAAGUUUUUAUGAAAAUGAUUAUAUGUUAUAUCUCCUAUUUGUAAGUUUGAUCCAUGAAACUGUAUUAAUAUUCCUUAUUGGACUUUGAGCUCAUUCCCCUUUGUUGACAAUUUUUUUUUUGUAUUCUCAGUUUGGGCAAGGAGUGAUGACUGGGUUGGGGAAUUUUCUUUGUUAUGAUUUUGGUUCAAUCUUUAUUUUGGACAUUGUUUAGAUGUUAAAAUUUAAUUCUCAUUUAAAUUAUUUGAGUUUGGAGUUAUUUGGACGAUAACACUUUGAUUGAUGUGUUAGUUUUAAAGUUGAGAAUUGAAAAUUAUAGAAUUUAUUUAUCUUACUACUUUGAACAGAAAUUUAGUAAUUAUCCAGUUACAAGAUGAAUAUUAUUUGUGUCGUUUCCACUUUGAGCAUUCAGGCUUAGUGUGUGAAAUGACCGUUAUGCCCUUAGAGUGGGUAUAUUGUUUAUUUGAAUUUAAUGGUCCCCGAACUCCUUAAUUACUCAUAACUUUAUAUCACCUUCUCAACUACUAUCUAGCUACUUUUCUCUACUAUGACAACUUUAUUACAUAGUGAUUAAUUGAAAGAAUUUACAUGUCUUAUUUCAUAGGAUAGUUGAUUUUUUUACUCAAUGAAUCUUGCUUUUAUUAUUGAAAUUUUCAAAUCAUUGUAGUCCAACAAUUUCCUAUCCAUUGGUAAUUUCAUAUUACAUUUCCAAAUUCUAAUCAUUUAAAAACACUUGUAGUUAAUAUAUUGGCAAUUGCAUUGUGGGAAGUUGUUCACUUGAUUUUAAUGUUGAAACUUUCAAAUUAUUGUAGUCCAACAAUUCCCUAUCCAUUGGUAAUUUCAUAUCACAUUUUCAAAGUAUAAUCAUUUACAAAUACUUGUAUAUAGUAUAUUUGGUGAUUGUAGAGUGGAAAGUUGAUCGUUUUCAUGAAGACCUCUAAAAUAGAAAUUUUUUUCAUUUCAUUUAAUAAAGAAUUUCAUUAAUUGAACAUAUAUGUUUUUUUAACCGGAAAGUAGAGGCCACAUUAGGCCUUAGGUGACAAUACUAGGCGAGGGUUUUUUUUAAAAAAAAUUAUUUAUUACGAAAUAUAAAUAAUAUUAUUUAUUGUGUAAUAAAGAUUAUUAUAAUAUAUUUUUUAUAGAUGAAAAAAAUAUUAAUUGAGUUUUAUUUAUUUUUAAAUAAUUGUUUUCAAUAAAUAACUUAUUUGUAAAAAGAAAACUAUAAAAUAUAUGCAUUUGAAAAAUAUUUAAUUUUUAUUUGAUUUAGUAUCAAUUAAUAUUUGGAAUAUUUUUUAAUAUUAUAGAAGUUAACAUACUCAAUUAAGAUAUUCAAGAUCAAGAGAAUAUUUGAGAUUGAAUUAAUUUCUUUAUUGUUUAUGUUUUAGUAAAUUUUUAUAUCCAUUACAAAUUUUUUAUUGUUUAUUUUUCAUUCAAUGUUUGCAUUUUGUAAUAGAUAUUAAAACGACUUUUUUUCUUGUAUGUUAAAAAAAUAUUUCAAUGUCUUUAAAAAUAAAAUAUUGUAGUAAAAUCAAAAUUACAUUGUGAAACUUUAAGCGAAUGUUUUAUACUUAAGAAGUGCUAAUUAAAGUAAGCAUGCAUCUACAAUUGUGAUUUAGAUGUCAUACUGAAACAUUAGUUCUCUUCGACUAUAUCAUAAAAUUUGGUUCGAAUUACUUUAAGUCAUCUUGUAGAUUUUCAAGUUCCAAUGAUAUGCAUCAAGUAUGUGCAACAUACUUGAUAUAAUUAAUAUUUUCUUAAGUAAUUGGACACUUUUUUCUAUAAAUUUACUUGAUUAUCAAUGAAUACUUUUAUGUAGGGUAUUGAUAUAAUUCGAUAAAUAUUUUAAAAUAGUAUUAGAAUAGCUUUGCUCUUUCCCAAUUAACAAAUUUACUAAAUUAACUUAUAUAUAUUUGUUUAUUUGAAUUUACUGGUAUUUGACUCAAAUUGUUAUUAUUUUUAAAAUUAUAGGAAAACCAUUAUUUAUAGAGUUUAAUUAUAUUUGGUAAAUUAUCUUUUUAAGUUUAACUAGGAUUAGGAAACUAUUAAUUUAAGAUUAAUCCAUAAGGCUCUAUAAAUUUGCAGUUUUAUAUAGGAUUUAAAAAAAGUAAGAAAAAGUAAGAAAAAGUGAAGAGAGAUAGGCAAAGAGUGCAUUGGGUUUUAGAUAGAGAAAGGUUGGGAGAGUUUUGAUUACUACUCAAAAAGAACGUAUUUUAGAUAGUAAUUCUCAUGGGUUUCACAUCUUUUGAGCAUUAAUUAUGCCUACAAAUGCUCAAUUAACAUGUUGUUGCCCUUGCAAGAGUUACUAGCAAGUUUUAUAAAGUUUUGGAGUCAUUUCAAGUUAUGAUUUUAAUAAAUUGGUGACAAAAGAGAUGAAUUGAUUUGAAGAAGGCAAAUAAUAUUGAUGAUGAUCCAAAUGCAUAAUGAAAGAAGCAAUAUAAUUAGUUUGAUCGGGAUUUGCUGCUAAUUUGGAGGUAGUUAAGGUGGAGUCAAAAGAAGAAAAUGGAAGAAAUGACAAAGAGGAGCUUAAAAACCAAAUGUUGUAGAUUUGUAUGAUCAUGCAAAAAUUUUACAUGACUACGCGAAAUGGAUUAGAGAAGGAAAAUUGACUAUAGUAUAAGGAGGAUGCUUAAGUUGAUUUAGCAUGAACAUGAGAAAAAUUCGCAUGAACAUGCGAAAAUUUUGCACAAUCAUGUGAAAUGGUACAAAAAGCUUUCUAAUGUUGUUGUUGAUCCACUAAUUUCGCACCACCAUGCGAAAUCGAUCUUUUCAUGCAAAAUGGCUGAAGCUCAUGUGAAAUCAUGAUUUUGAUGCUAAACUCUAGAUUUGUGAAUUUGGAAGGUUUUAGAAGACCAAUGAGAGGUUGCCAAGUGUCCAUUUGAUCUUGGUCUAUAAAUAGAAACUUGAAUUUCCCAUGUAAAGAGCUUUGUGAUACUUUUGAUUUUAGAUUUUUCUAGAAACUCUUUCUCUAAAUAAAAUUCUAUAUUUUCUUUAAUUUUCCCUCAUUUUCUCAUUAGCCAAACAUGCCUAGUGAAACCAAAUCUCCAAGUAUGAGUGGCUAAAUCUCAUUUUUCUCAGAGGAAUGAGGAUCUAGAGGUAAGAUCUAUGGUGAAUUAUAGAAAUGAGUUUUAAUUGCAAAUGUAAUUUGAUCCAAUUGAUUGAUUAAUUGAAAUUUGAGGAUUUUUCUCUUCAAAUUGUCCUGAAUGACUAUUACAUUGCAAACUAGGUAGAUUCAUUAAAUUCUUAAAGCUAGAUUUAAUGAGACUGAAUAGUUGCAUUGUAUGAAUCAUUGGAAGAUGAUUUAAGAUGAAUUGAAUAUAUAAUUUAAAUUGAUCUCUUUGAUUAAAUAACCUAAUUUGAAGAGAAAUUAGGUUUAGACUUAAAGGUAAAUCUAAAAUCGGUUUAGAUAAGAAUUUAGGUUUUCAAUCUAACUUGAUGAAAAAUAAAUCUCAACAUCUAUUCACCAUGGAAAUUGUUUUCUAAAAAAUAUUAACUUCGAGAAUUCCUUUUCCUUAUCAAUGUUCAUAUAUUCUACAUUAUAUUGUUCUUUUCAAUUAGAAAUCAUUGUUAUUUUGAUUUUUCAUGAAUUGUCAAAUCAAUUUCACUUAACCAUAAUCAUUUCUUUUACUCCCAUUUAAGCCUUAAUUAUCGAGAAUAAUCCAUCCCAAUGGAAGACACCUAAGACCACUAUACUACCGUAGCUUUUGCUAAAAAACCUUUUUGAUCGGGCAAGAGUUACCUUAGCAUAGGUGAAUUAGGUUAUAAUUUUUUUUAUCCAAUAAACAACAAAAAAAUCAAUCGAUCAAGUUUGCAUUGUGUAUUCUUGAAUUUUAUUAAUAAAUUUGAUCCCCCUUUUUGAAGCAAUUACACCAAACCAAGUAAAUAUUUUAUCUACUUCAUUUGCUUUAUUUUUUCUAUUAAGUUUAGGUGUUGCAAUUUUCAAGAGUCAUCGUGAGAAGAUUGUGGGAAAAAUUAUUUUAAGGAUGGAGUCGAACAUAAAAUAUGAAAUUGAGUCCUUUGAUGGAAAUAAUAAUUUUAAUAUUUGAUAGAGUAUUAUUAAAGAUGUUUUGAUACAACAAAGACUUCUCAAAGCAUUACAAGGCAAAAAAACUAGAGAGCAUGACAAAUAAAAAAAUGAAAGAAUUAGAAGCAAGAGUUGUAAGUACUAUUUGUUUAAGUCUUAAAAAUGAAAUACGUUGUUUUGAAUGAAAAAUAUUCUUUUAGGGGUGUCAAUUGCUCUUUUAGAGACCAAAAAUAUUAAGCAGUCAAGUUGUUCAUCUCAUAUUGGACAAACUGUUAUGAUGAAUUCUAAACCACAUCAUCAUAGGAGUAAAUUGAAAGAAAAGUAUCUGAUAUGAGGAUGAUCAUUCCAUUCACACUUGUGGAGGAAUAUAAAGUAUUAUUACUGUGAAAAAAAAAACAUAUCAGGAGAUAUUGUAAAGAAUUGAUGAAGUACCUAGAAGAAAUGAAAAUUUUUAAAUCCCAAGAGACUUCAAAUUCUACUAAUAUUGUUGAUGAAAAUUUUGAAAUAUUGUAGUAAAUUAAAAGUUACAUUAUGGGACUUUUAGUGAGUGUUUUAUGUUGAAGAAAGGCUAAUUAAAGUAAACAUGCAUCUAAAAUUAUAAUUUGGAUGUUGUACUCAAAUAGUUGCUCUCCUCGAUUAUAUCAUAAAAUUUGGUUUGAAGUAGUCUAAGUCAUCUAAUAAUUUUCUAGUUCCAAUUACAUGCAUCAAACAUGUGUGUUAGGAAGUGUUGCAAAUUACUAAUUAAUAUAGAUUCUUUUUUUUUUAAAGAAUAUUUUAUUGAAUAUUUCUAGGUUGAUAUAUUAUUGUAAUAUUAGACUUCCUUAUAGAAUAAGGAAUGUUGUUGAAAAUAUCCCUAUAAAUAUUUUAGUUUAUAAGGGGAAAAAGUUAUGAGAUGGAGAUGGACCCAUAAAGACUAUACAAGGUGGAUAGAGAUGUGAGGAAGAAUGGGAGGUACCCAGUGGAACGAGAGGGCUCGUGGUAGGGUAUAGGUACGAAGAGUGAGAAAACAUGGGAUGUUUUGGGAACUCAAUAGUUGUAUCUGGUUAUGUCCUCUAUAAGUUCUAGUUUUGUCAUCUGCAUUGUUCUUUAUUUUAUAGUGGAAUGAUUCUCUCUUAUCUGUGGAGGUAGGCAUGGUUUUCGAACCAUGUUAAAACCUUGUGUACCGUUUGUGUUGAUUUUUUUUAUCUUUAUUUUCUUGGUUAAUGAAGUUUGCAUCAAAUCUUCUGUCAACAUAACAAACUUGUAUCAAAGCUUGGAUUAAAUAUUUCUGGAAGAGUAAAAGAUCACAGAGCACACAAGAUGAAAACAAAAGGAAUUUUUAGUGAAAAUUGAGUCGAUUUCUCUCUUGUGGUAAUAUGAUACAAAAAGUUUGUGUCGUGGAAAGUUUGAAGAUUGACUUCAUGGAAUUUGGUCCAAAAUGAAGAUUGUUAAUAAGUGUCCCAAAUUCCCAAUUAGUAUAAUUUUUUUUUUUUUGUAAAGAAUAUUGUAUAGAAUAUUUAUAGGUUGAUAUUUUAUUGUAAUAUUAGACUUCCUUAUAGAAUAAGGAAGGUUGUUGAAAAUAUCUUUAUAAAUAUUCUAGGUCAUGAGGGAAAAAAGUUAUGAGAUGAAGAUGGGCUUGUAAAAACUAUAGGAGGUGAAUAGAGAUGUGCGGAAGAACUGGAGGUACUCAAUGGAAUGAGAGGGCUCGUGGUAGGGUAUGGAUACAAAAAGUGAGGAAAUAUGAGAUGUUUUGGGAACCUAAUAGUUGUAUUUGGUUCUGUCAUCUAUAAUGUUCUGGUUACGUCCUCUAUAAUGUUCUCUAUUGUAUAGUGGAAUGAUUCUCUUUCAUCCAUGGACGUAGGCCUGGUUGUCGAACCACGUUAAAACCUCGUGUACUAUUUGUGUUAUUUUUUUAAAAAAAUUUUAAUCUUUGUUUCUUGAUUAAUGAUGUGUGCAUCAAAGCUUCAACCUACGUAACAAACUAGUAUCAGAGCUUGGGUUGAAGAUUUUUGGAAUAGUAAAAGAUCACAAAGCACACAAGAUGAAAACAAAAGGAAUUUUUAGUGAAUGUGGAGUCAAUUGUUCUCUCAUGGUGAUAUGAUACAAAAAGUUUGUGUCAUGGAGGGUUUAAUGAUUAACUCCGUGGAAUUUGGUCCAAGGUAGAGAUUGUUAGGAAGUGUCCCAAAUUCCUAAUUAAUAUAAAUUCCUUUUUGUAAAGAAUAUUGAAUAGAAUAUUUUUAGGUUGAUAUAUUAUAGUAAUAUUAGACUUCCUUAUAGAAUAAGGAAGGUUGUUGGAAAUAUUUUUAUAAAUAUUUUAAGUCAUGAGGGGAAAAAGUUAUGAGAUGAAGAUGGGCCUAUUAAGACCAUAUGAGAUGGAUAAAGAUGUGAGGAAGAAUCAGAGGUACCCAGUGAAGCGAGAGGGCUCGUGGUAGGGUAUGAAUAUGAAGAGUGGGGAAACAUGGGAUAUUUCGGGAACCCAAUAGUUGUACCUAGUUUUUUCAUCUAUAAUGUUCUGGUUUUGUCCUCUGUAAUGUUCUUUAUUGUAUUGUGGAAUUAUUCUCUCUCAUCUGUGUAGGCAAGUUGCUAAACCACAUUAAAACCUCAAAUACCAUUUGUGUUGAUUUUUUUUUUAUCUUUGUGUUCUUGAUUAAUGAUGCUUGCAUCAAAGCUUCUACCAACAUAACAAUGUGCAACAUAUUUGAUAUAACUUAUAUUUUCUUAAGUAAUUGAACACUUUUUUCUAUAAAUUUACUUGAUUAUCAAUGAAUACCUACAUAUACGGUAUUGACAUAGUUUGAUAAAUAUUUUAAAAUAGUAUUAGAAUGGCUUUUAUUUUUCCCAAUUAACAAAUUUAUCAAAUACACACACACACACACACACAAUACUCAUUAGUAUGUCUUUUAUGAAAAAACUAUAUUUGUUUAUUUGAAUUUAGUAGCCAUUCAACUACUUAGUUACUCAUAAAUUUUAUAUUACCUUCUUAAAGUUAAGUCAUUUACAAUUAUUUCUAUCUAGCCUUCUCCAUUAUGACAACUUUAUAAGAUAGUGAUUGAUUGGAAGAAUCUACAUGCCUUUGUUGAUAGGAUAAUUGUUUUUCUUUUUUUUGUAUUCAAAGAAUCUUGCUUUUGUUAUUGGAACUUUCAAAUCCGUUAUGUCUAGUGGUCUUAUAAUUCCCUAUUCAUUGGUCUUUCAUAUUACCAAUCAUUUUGCAAAUGAAUUAAUUUCAUUCACAUCCUCUGAGAUUUGAUGUAAAUUUGCUUAGUUACCAAUGAUUUCAAAUUUCAUUAAUUAGUACCCCUAUAGAUGUAAUUUGUGUACAAAAUUUAUUUUUUAAAAGAAUUUAGGUAAAAAUAUUUUAGGUAUAUGUCUUUAACAAUUCUCUAAAAUAAAUUUUACUUGCUAAAAAAUAACUUAUAUAGAUAGAAUACAUCUACAGGAGUUCUAACUAACGAAACUUAAAACUAAUGGUGGUUUAGCGUAUUUAAAGUAAACAUUAGGAAGGGUGACUGAAAUUAACCCUCUAGGUAUAUAUGUUUAACAAAAUUUUUAUUGUUUAUUUUUCAUUUAAUGUUUGCAUUUUUCAAUAAACAUUGAAAAGGAAUUGUUUUUCCAUAUUUAAAAAAAAAAGAAAUUUGAACACCUAUAAAAAUGAAAUCUUGUAGUAAAAUUGGAGUUACAUUAUCAGACUUUUAACGAGUGUUUAUGUCUAGAAAGGCCAAUUAAAGCAAGCAUGCAUCUAGAAAUUGUAACUUAGAUGCAUCAAACAUGAGCAACAUAUUUGAUAUAACUAAUAGUUUCUUAAGUAACUAAACACUUCUUUUUCUAUAAAUUUACUUGAUUAUCGAUGAAUUCUUACAUAUAUUUACAUAGUUUGAUAAAUAUUUUAAAAUAAUAUUAGAAUAACUUUGUUUUUUCUCAAUUAUAUUAUAAAAUAAUAUAAAGUUACUUAUAAACUUUAUAUCAUUUUCUCAAAGUCAAGUCAUUUACAAUUAUUUCUAUCUAGCCUUCUCCAUUUUGACAACUUUUAUAUGAUAGUAGUUGAUUGCAAGAAUCUACAUGUCUUUUUUUAUAGGAUAGUUGUUUUUAUUAUUUUUAUUUUUUUAUUCCAAAAAUUUGCUUCUAUCAUUGAAACUUUCAAAUCUUUUAUGUAUAUUACCAAUCAUUUUACAAGUGAGUUAAUUUCACUUAGGGUAGAUAUACUUAGCCACACCCCUAUAGAUGUAAUUUGUGUUUAAAUUUUAUUUUUUAUUUAGGUAAAAAUAUCUUAGGUAUAUGUGUUCAACAAUUCUCUAAAAAAUAAAUUUUCUUAUCUAAAAGUUUAUAUAGACAAAAUACAUCUAUAGAAGUCCUAACUAAUGAAAUUUAAAAUCAAUGGUUGUUUAGUGUAUUUACAUUAAACCUUAUGGGGUAUGAUUGAAAUUAACUCUUUUACAAGCACUUGUAGCUAAUAUAUUUGUAGUUGUAGUGUUGGAAAUUGAUCAUUUUCUUGAAGACCUCUAAGAUAUUGGAAAUAUUGCCAUAGUUUUAGACUUUUUUUUUUAUUACACCUAAUAAAAAUAUUAUUAAUUUAACAUAUAUAUUCUUGACUUAAAAGUAAAGUCUCUCCAUAUUGUAUGAGCCCUUAGGUGGCAAUAUUAGGUGAAGUUUUUCUUUCGUUUAUUACAAAAUAUAAAUAAUUUAUUAUUGCAUGAUAAAAUUUUAUGUAAUAUAUUUUUAUAGAUGUAAAAUUAUUAAUUGGGUUUUAUUUUAUUAUUUUUUUACUAAAUUGUCAUUUCAAUAUAUAAAACUUAUUUGUAAAAAGACAAUUAUAAACUAUAUGAAAUUGAAAAACAUUUAGUUUUUUUAUUUAAUUUAGAAUUUUAUUUGGAUUAAUAAUUGAUAUUUGUAAGAUUUUUUAAUAUUAAAAAAAGUUAGCAUACUUAAGAAAGAUAUUCAAGAUCGGGAGUGUUUGAUAUUGGAUUAAUUUCCUUAUUUUCUCUAUUUUAAUAAAUUUUCACGUCCAUUACAAAAUUUUUGUUGAUUAUUUUUCACUUCAAUAUUUUUAUUUUGUAAUAGACAUUUGAAAAGAUUUUUUCCUACAUGUGAAAAAAAAAAAAAUUUGAACACUCCUAAAAAAGAAAUAUUGCAAUAAAAUUAAAGUUUACACUGUAGGACUAUUAGCAAGUGCUAUAUACUUAAAAUAGACCAAUUAACGUAGAAAUACUUCUAAAAUUGUAAUUUAGGUAACAAUAAUAUAAAAAGAUAAUAUUUUUGAAACAAUAGUUCUCUGAGUUUUGGGUACAAUGGACUAGACUUUAUGUAACAAUAGAUAUACAAACUUUCCAUUAACAUCUUGAGAGACAUGAUGAGGAGCAAAGUCAUCCAAGAAGGUACCAUAGAGGUACCUUAGCUCCAUUCAUCUAGACUACAUAAUGUUUAAAGAUCAAAUUCAAUGACUAGAUUUCAAAAAUCAAUAUAAGCUUUCUCAUAUUCUACUCUAUAUAAGACAAUGGUAUGAUACCUCUCUUGUGUUGUAGAAUGCACCAUGAAAACCUUAUCAUUUUAACAUCAAUUUGAAACUUAAAAGUCACUUAGCACAUUCUAGUUAUUAAUUUAAGAGCAUUAAAAUAAAAUAUAAAAAAAGUUACUUUAUCCUUGUGAUUUUGAUCUAGGACUUUUAAUGAUAUUAAAAAAAAACAAACAGAAAAAUAAAUGGAAAUAAAAUCAACAAAUUAAACAAUUGAAUUAAGUUAGUUUAAUUUUUGCAUCGUUAAAUGGGUAAGUAAAGACUCUUAGAUUUGAUAUUAAUAUGAACAUCAUGACUUCAGUGAAUCUUACAAGAAAAUUUUAGUUUGAAAGACUUCAUUCAUUAAACGUGUGGCACAUAUUAAAGUAAAACUAAGUCUUCUCUAUAAUUUGUACCUAUCAUAGUUUCUUUUCUCAUAAAUAGCCUUUUUUGAAUAUAAUAUAGACUUCAACAUGCAUGGUGGGGCCGAUCAAACUACUAGUCAAGACAACUCAUGGGCAACAACGAUGUACCAACUACAUUUAAAUACUCUUCAUCUAUUUGCAUAUCAAGAGUAAUUUAGUAGUGUCUUUCUUAUGUACCUCAUAUCUAGACUUUCAAUGGAGAGUUCUUCAUCUAAAAUUUUGACUUGGGUUUUCAUACUAGUUUUGGUUUAGACAUGUGGAUGCAAAGGUUGCAUCAAAGAAGAGAAGUAGGCUAAAUCAUCUUACAAAUUUUCAAGUUCAAAUUAGAUGCACCAAACAUAUGCAACAUAUUUGAUAUAACUAAUAUUUUCUUAAGUAAUUGAAUACAAUUUUUUUUUAAUAAAUUUACUUGAUUAUUAAUGAAUAACUACAUGUAUGGUAUUGACACAGCUUGAUAAAUCUUUUAAAAUAGUAUUAGAAUAACUUUGCUAAAAAAAAGUAAAAAUAAAAAUAAAAAUACAUCUAUAUAUAUAUAAUUAAAUAAAAUUAAAAAUUAAAAAAGAAUAUAUAUAUAUAUAUAUAUAUAUAUAUAUAUAUAUAUAUAUAUAUAUUCUCUGUGUGUGUGUGUGCAUGGUCCCACAACUCAUUAGUUACUCAUAAGCUUUAUAUCACUUUCUCAAAGUCAAGUCAUUUUGUAAUUAUUUCUAUCUAGCCUUCUCCAUUACGACAACUGUAUAGGAUAUUGAUUGGUUGGAAAAAUCUUCAUGUCUUUUUUUAUAAGAUAGUUUUUUUAUUAUUAUUAUUCAAAGAAUUUGCUUUUAUUAUUGAAACUUUCAAAUCAUUUAUGUCUAGUGGUCCUACAAUUCCCUAUUCAUUGGUAUUUCAUAUUACCAAUCAUUUUACAAAUAAGUUUAUUUCACCCGGUAAAUAUACUUAACUACCAAUGGUUUCAAAUUUAAUUGAUUAACACACUUAUAGAUGUAAUUUGUUUUUAAAUUUUAUUUUUUUUAGAAGAAUUGUAGGUAAAAAUGUUUUAGGAAUAUGUGUUCAAUAAUUCUCUAAAAACAAUUUAUAUAGAUGGAAUACAUUCAUGGAAGUUCCAACUAAUGAAAUUUAAAACCAAUGAUGAUUUAAUGUAUUUGCACUAAAUCUUAGGGGAGGUGUACUAAAACUAGCCCUUUUACAAAUAUUUGUAGCUAGUAUAUUUGUAGUUAUGGUGUUGGAAGUUGAUCAUUUUCUUAAAGGCCUCUAAGAUAUUCGAAAUAUCGCCAAAGUUUUGAACUUUUUGUUUCACCUAAAAAAAAAAUCAUUAAUUUAAUAUAAAUACUCUUCGCUUGAAAGUAUAGUUUCUUCAUAUUGUAUGAAGUUGUAGCUAGGUGACAAUAUUAGGUGAAAUUUUUUUGGUUUACUACAAAAUAUAAAUAAUAUAUUUAUUAUAUGAUAAAUUUUUUUAAAAUAUAUUAUUGUAGAUGCAAAAUUAUUAAUGGAGUUUUAUUUUUUACUAAAUUAUCAUUUCAAUAAAUAAGAACUUAUUUGUUAAAAGAAAAUUAUAAAAUAUAUGCAGUUGAAAAAAAAUUAAUUUUUUUUAUUUAAUUUGGUAUUUUAUUUGAAAUUUUUUAUAUUUAAUUUGGUAUUUUAUUUGAAUUAAUAAUUGAUAUUUGUAAGAUCUUUUAAUAUUAAAAGAAGUUAACAUACUUAAAAAAGACAUUCAAAAUCAAGAGAGUAUUUGAUAUGAAAUUAAUUUAUUUAUUUUUUCUAUUUAAAUAAAUUUUUACAUCCAUUAAAAAAAAUUUAUUGUUUAUUUUUCACUUCAAUAUUUUUAUUUUGUAAAAAAAAUAGAAAUAAAAUCAACAAAUUAAACAAUUGAAUUAAGUUAGUUUAAUUUUGCCACCAUUAAAUUGGUAAAUGAAGACUCUUAUAUUUGAUAUUAACAUGAACAUCAUGACUUCAUUGAAUCUCACAAGGAAAUUUUAGUUUGAAAGAUUUUAUCCUUUAAACAUGUGGCACAUAUUAAAGUGAGACCAAGUCUUCCCUAUAAUUUGUAUCUAUCACAAUUUCUUUCAUAAUGAAUAGCCUUUUUGAAUAGAAUAUAGACUUUAGCAUGCAUGGUGGGGCCUAGCUAUCAAACUACUAGUCAAAACAACUCAUGGGCAAGAAUGAUGUACCAACUAGAUUAAGUAUUCUUCAUCUAUUUGCAUAUCAAGAGUAAUUUAGUAGUAUCUUUCUUGUGUACCGCAUUUCUUGACUUUCAAUGGAGAGUUUUUUAUCUUAAAAUUUGACGUGGGUUUUCAUACUAGGCUUGGUUCAGAUAUGUGAAUGCAAAGGUUGCAUCGAAGAAGAGAAGUAGGCUAAGUCAUCUUACAAAUUUUCAAGUUCAAAUUAGAUGCAUCAAACAUGUGCAACAUAUUUGAUAUAACUAAUAUUUUACUAAGCAACUAAAUACUUUAUAUUUAUAUAAAUCUAUUGAUGAUCAAUGAAUACCUACAUGUAUGGUAUUGAUACAGUUUGAUAAAUCUUUUAAAAUAGUAUUAGAAUAACUUUGCUAAAAAAAGUAAAAAUACGUAUAUAUAUAUAAACAAAAUAAAAAAUUUAAAAAGAAUAUAUAUAUUAGUGGUCCCACAACUCAUUAGCUACUCAUAAGCUUUAUAUCAUUUUCUUAAAGUCAAGUCAUUUACAAUUAUUUCUACCUAGCCUUCUCCAUUGCAACAACUGUACAAUAUAUUAAUUGAUUGAAAAAACCAUCAUGUCUUUUUUGAUAGGAUAGUUUUUUUUUUAUUCAAAGAACUUUCAAAUUCUUUAUGUCUAGUGGUCCUAUAGUUCCCUAUUCAUUGGUAUUUCAUAUUACCAACCAUUUUACAAAUAAGUUAAUUUCACUCAGUAAAUAUACUUAAUCACCAAUGGUUUCCAAUUUGUAGCACUCUUAUAGAUGUAGUUUGUUUUUAAAUUUUAUUUUUUAGAAGAAUUGUAGGUAAAAAUAUUUUAGCUAUAUAUGUUCAACAAUUCUCUAAAAACAAUUUAUAUAGGUGGAAUACGUUCAUGGAAGUUCCAACUAAUGAAAUUUAAAACCAAUGAUGAUUUAGUGUAUUUGUACUAAAUCUUAGAGAGUGUGGACUAAAAUUAGCCCUUUUACAAAUAUUUAUAACUAGUAUAUUUGUAGUUGUGGUAUUGGAAGUUGAUCAUUUUCUUAAAAGGCUUACCAUUGAAGUUAGUUGAAUAUAAAGUUAGGUGAACUUUACCAUUGUUAAAUUGGUAAAUGAAGACUCUUAGAUUUGAUACUAACAUGUACAUCAUGACUUCAUUGAAUCUCUCACAAGGAAAUUUUAGUUUGAAAGACUUCAUCCUUUAAACAUGUGGCACAUAUUAAAGUGAGACCAAGUCUUCCCUAUAAUUUGUAUCUAUCACAAUUUCUUUUCUCAUAAAUAGCCUUUUUGAAUAGAAUUAAUAUAGACUUCAGCAUGCAUGGUGGGCCCUGUCAAACUAUUAGUCAAGAUAAUUUGUAGGUAAGAACGAUGGACCAACUAUGUUAAAUACUCUUCAUCUAUUUGCAUAUCAAAAGCAACUUAAUACUGUCUUUCUUUUGUACUUCAUGUUUGAACUUUCAAUGGAGAGUUUGUCAUCUAAAUAUUUGAUGUGGGUUUUUAUAUUACUCUUGGUUCAAAUAUGUGAAUGCAAAGGUUGCAUCGAAGAAGAGAAGAUGGGUUUGCUUGAAUUCAAGGCUUUUCUUAAAUUGAAUGAUGAGCAUGCAGAUUUUCUCCUCCCUUCAUGGUUAGAUAACAACACUAGUGAAUGUUGUAAUUGGGAGCGGGUUAUUUGCAAUCCCACCACAGGUCAAGUUAAGAAGCUUUUCCUCAAUGAUAUAAGGCAACAACAAAAUUUUUUGGAAGACAAUUGGUACUAUUAUGAAAAUGCCAAAUUCUGGUUACUAAAUGUCUCCCUAUUCCUUCCUUUUGAAGAACUUCACCAUCUAAACUUGUCUGCAAACUCAUUUGAUGGGUUUAUUGAGAAUGAAGGUAUGUUACUUCUCACCUUUAAAUUUUCUUCACUUAUACUCCAAACAUUCUAAAGGAACUAAUAGCAUAUGUUCUUAAAAGUGUUCAGGUGGAGACAAAAUGGUCACUAGUAACUAUUGAAUUUAAUAUAAGAACAAUUACUAAUUAUUAAAAUUUAUAAUGUAAAUUAUCAUUUAAACAAAACAAUAAAAAAAUUAUUAUUUUAGAAAAAGUAUAAUUACAUUAGCCUUAUAUAGAUAAGCAUACUUGUUAUUUAUGCCAUCAUUUCACACUCAACCCAAUAAGUAGGAUUCAACUAAGAGUGAGCAAUUUCACAAUUAUUAAUUAACAGGAACACUUAGUCUCCCAUAUCCUUAUCAUUUUUGCUGAAUUGUCUUUCCUUAUCUUCCAUUCCUAAAAAGCUUGAUUUCUAUAUUCCAAAUUGAUAGAGAUUGGUUAAAGAAAGGUGAUCACAAAAUUUGACUAUUGCUUUCAAAUGAGGAAUCACCAUCUUCAAAAUUUCACAUUUACAAAAAAAAAAAAAAAAACGAGCCUCGGGUAAGGUCCAAGCCUUAUUGUUUUAAGCUGAUGUCGGGUUGGUUUAAUAAUGAAUAGAGUAAAUCCCAACCCAUGACCAUCUAUGCAUUUCCAAAUUCCACCCAUCCACAACCCAUUAAUAUGACAUUUUCAGGGACAAAAUUUAAUCAAUUAAACCUAUUAGAUGGAUUCUCCAUACAAUGUUAAAAUGAAUAUAAAAACUUUAAUUCAAAAAAUAAUUUCCUUUAUUUAGUUAGGAUUCAAAUUAUAGGGGCACAAAAAAUGAAAAUUUUCAUGUUUAAAAUUCACAAAGAUCACAAAAGCUCUUUGAAGCUCUAUGGACUUUUUUAUUUCUAACAUUUAAACACAAAAAUCACUAAAUUGAAUUAGAAAUUUGGAUGCAUAUUCUUAUAUUAAAGACAUGUAAGCUUACAUAUUUAAAUAUGAAGAUCUCAACUUGUAAUUCAUGCUUCUAAUUAAAGUUAUAUUACUCUAUUUUACAGGAUUUAAAAGGUUAUCAAGUUUAAAGAAAUUGGAGAUCUUGGACAUAAGUGGUAAUGAGUUUGACAAAAGUGCCUUAAAAUCUUUGGGCACAAUAACAUCACUCAAGACAUUGGCUAUUUGCAGCAUGGGAUUGAAUGGAUCUUUUUCCAUUCGAGGCAUGUUAUAUGUCCACAUUGUUUCUUUGAAAUUAAGUAAAAUAUAUUUCUAACUUUUAAUGUUCCUUAGUUAAUCUCUCUUUUGAUUCAUGUUUGUUGCAGAAUUAGCUAGUUUAAGAAAUUUGGAAGUGUUGGAUCUAAGCUAUAAUGAUUUGGAAAGCUUUCAACUAUUGCAAGGUACUUCAUUACCUUGCUAAAAAAACUUAUGAUAUUUUGUUAUUAAAUUAAAGGUAAGAUUAACAAACAAUUUCUUCUCAUUAGUUACUUUUCUUUGUAAUAUCAUUAAAUUUGAUAUAACGUAGUCUAAAUCAUCCUUUCAAUUUAUAAGUUUUAAUUAAAAUGCAUCAAGCAUGCACAAGAUGUUUAAUAUAACUAAUAUUUUCAUAAGUAAUUGAAUUUUUUUUUAUGAAGUAAUUAACUUGAUUAUCAAUAAAUACUUACAUGUAUAAGAUUAAUAUAGUUUCAUAAGUAUUUUAAAAUUUUCUUACAACACACACACACACAAGGAAAAUGAAAAGUAUGUGAUACCUUUAUGCUAUGUUUGGUUGCCAAAAAAAUUGAGGGAAAAUGAAAGGAGAAAAAAGUAGAGAGGAAAAGUAAAAGAAAAGAAAAAAAGUGAAGAAAAAUAUAAAAGUGAUUAAAGUAAAUACAUUAUUUUUAUAUGUUACUUUAAACUUGUUUCACUUAUUUUAAUUCUUCAAUGUAAAGAUGAAAGAUUUGAAAAUGCAUAAGUUUCUAAUUAUUUUUUAUUUUAUUUUAUAGUUUUUACAAUACAACCAAACAUAAUAAAAUCAUUUUCUUUAAUUUUUUUCUCUUUUCUUAAUACUUUUCACGAAUCCUUAAGUUAUGUUUGGUUUGCAGAAAAUAUGAGGAACAGAAAAUAGAAAAGAAAAUUAGAAGGAAAGAAAAAGUGAAAUAAAAUAAAAAUAAAUUUAAAUUUAAUAAAUUAUUUUUAUAUGCUACUUUACACUUAUUUCACUUAUUUUAAAUUAUUUAAACUCAUUUCUAAUAAAUAAUAAUGGAAAUUGUAGAGAAGUUUGUGUUAUUCAAGCUUUGCAAUGAAUUUUCAAGGUGAAAGAAAAUAUUCUUGCUAAAAUUGAAAAAGGAAAUACCUUCUUAAAUAGCCUAUUGACCGAAAACACAUUACCCUAACAUAUACACACACCUUUAUUAUUUAUACAAUCAUGUAAUACUUAAUCCAGUUUGUGGGAUUCUAGUGGUUGUUUCUAUCUUGGUUUCCAAUAUUUCUGAUUGAUAGUGUUCGAUUAAUGAAAUAUCAUAAAUUUUGACCCCAAUAAGGACCAAUCCCUAUUAAAUGUAAUUGGGUUGACCUAAGACUAAAUGUUAGACCCAACUAAUAAAAACCCAUCUGUUUGUUGGAGUCUAAAUAACCCGGCCUUGGGUAGGGCCCAUGCCUUAUUAUUUUAAGAUGUAGUCCAACUGGUUUGACACUGGAUUGAGUAAAGCCCAACUUAUGAGCAUCUGUGCAUUUCCAUCCAUCCACAACCACAACCUACUGGCAUGGACAAACUUUGGUCAAUUAAACCUAUUAUAAAUGUAUACAAAAUUUUGAGUUCAAAAGAUAAUUUUCCUUAUUUAGUUAGGAUUCAUAUUAAAAAGACACAAAGAACGAAUUUUCAUGUUUAAAUUCACAAAUAUCACGAAAGCUCCUUCAAGCUCUAUGGACCAUUUUAUUUGUAACAUUAUAUUACUCUUAAUUAUCAAAUUAACCAACAAAUUCUUCUCAUUAGUUAUUUUUCUUUUGUAAUGUCAUAAAAUUUGAUGUAAAAUAGUAUUGGUCAUCAUUUCAACUUUCAGGUUCCAAUUAGAUGCAUCAAGCAUGUGCAACAUAUUUGAUAUAACUAAUAUUUUUAUAAGUAAUUGAAUUUUUUUUUCUAUAAAUCAAUUAACUUGAUUUCAAUGAAUACUUUCAUACAUGAUAUUGAUGUAGUUUCAUAAAUAUUUUAAAAUAGUUAUAGAAGUCUUUUAUUUGAUUCACUAGAAAGAAAAAUAAACUAUUCUAAUGAAAAUACUUGAUGAUUUGAAGUGAUUGUUUUUUAUUUUAUUUGAUUGCUACCAUUAUUAAUUGUUAGAAAUUGGCAACAAAUACCCAUUUUGCAUCACUUCUAUAUGCAUCGGGGGAAUGAAUUAUAUUUCAUAGAGCUAACAGAGCAAAACUCAUACUUUUGGAAUUAUGGAAAAGGUUGCUAGAAAGCUAAUUAACCAUUUAUAUUAUGAUUAAGACUAGUUGGGUUAGAAAUAAUUCAUAUGGAGAUUAAAAAAAACUAUGUAAUUUAGUUUAGUAGCUUGGGUGCUAUUGUAAUGAUUAAUGAUCUGCAACUUGAACACAUCUACUAGUGCUUUCUACUUGUAUAGCUAACUUUAUGUUACCACUUUGAACUACAGUACUUACAUGAGAAGAAAGCUUUUCCUUAAUGAUAAUGCAAAAGAAAUUAAGUAUCAGUUUUUGUUGAACUAACAAGUGAUAGUUUAGAUAUGGUUUGAAUACACUUCCUUUCUUCUAUUUUUUUAUUUUGAAAAAAAAAACUCUUUAAUGAAAUAUAAGAAAUCUUAUAUGUAUAAAAAGUAAAGACUUAAACAAAAAAAUUCUUCAAAUUUUAAAAAUUUCGAGAAGUAUUUUUUAGAAUUUGUAUUUUUAGUAUAACAAUUCCUAUAUUUGGUAUAAAAGUUUUUGUUCAAAAAAAUAGAAGUGUAUCCAAAUUACAAAUUAAUUGUUAAAUUAAGAAUGUUUCUCAGAUCAAGAGAUAAUGAAAGUUGUAGAGAGUUUGCAUUACUCAACCUUUGCAAUUACUUUUUGAAGGUAAAAGAAAAUACCUUCCUACAUAACAUAUAAUGGCAAGUUCUGGUUUGUAAGAAACUAAUAAAUGAUUAAGAAUAUGAAUAAGACUUCCUUAAUAAUAGAUAUGUAGAGAAGAAUAGUGGAUGAUAGGAGGUGAAAAUCUUGUAAUAAAAUAUCAAUAUCGGUUAUAAGAUAAUCAAAAUUUUCUCUAUUUCUUGUACCUAUGUGAUUAAGAAUCUUGUAGUUCCCUUAUUGAAAUAUAAUAUAAAAAUAUAAAUAAACUAUUUAGAAGUGCAUGUAGUUUUCAACAUGAGGAAGUUGAAAAGCAAGUUAAUUAUGAUAAUUUUCUAUAGUCUAUAUUGAACACAAAUUAUUUUUGCUAAAGGUUCAAUCGUUCUAUGAAGGUUAAAAGUUUGAAUUGUUUACAUAUGCAAAUAUGAAAUUUGAAAUUUUAUAAUUUUUUAUAAUUUUCUUGUAGAUUCACAAGGCUUGUCCAUAUUCAAAAAGCUCGAGACCUUGAACCUCAAUCACAACAAGUUCAAAAACACUAGCCUACAACAAUUGAAUAUAUUUACAUCCCUUAAAAAUCUUUCUCUAGGAUGGAACUAUGAUGGAGGAUUUUUUCCGAUCCAAGGUAUGUGUAAUUAUUAUUAUUAUUAUUAUUAAUGAUAAAAUAUUAUUAUUGUCAACAUCUUUUAUCUUUUUUCCCCUCAAUGGUGUUGUAGAAUUAUGCACUCUAGAAAACUUGGUGAUGUUGGACCUAAGUGGGAAUUUCUUUAUUGGCAUGCAAGGUAAAUACAAAGUGAAGUUUUGGUUAUAUAUAUAUCAUGUAAGAACAUAACUAAAAUCAACAUUCUUUGCCUAUCAAUUUGUGCAUGACUAUUAUUUAGUUAUUCUUCGUAACAUAAUUGAAAGAAUGUUUAGGUGUACAACAUUUAAGAAUUUUACAUGGCACAAUGAAAAACAUGGUAAUCAAUGUAUGCAAUAAAAUUCUAAUAGUUGAAAAAGAAUUUUCUUGUAAAUUUAUGUUCGUGUAUAGUAAUCAAAGAGAAAACCAUGAAAAUGUAUAUUAGUUAGACUUUAUAUAUCAAUAGACAAAAAAGAAAAAAAAAAAAAAAGAUUAGUUCCUUAACUUAUCCUAAAAUUUUCUAGAUAACAAGGAGUUUUUUUAUUUUGGGCUAUAAGGUUUACAACCUGAAAAGUGAAGAUGAUUAAUAUUAGUAAUAUAAUUUUGAAAUAUAAAAAUUAAUGAAAUAAUGUUCUCUAUAACUAUAACUGCAACUGCAACUAUUAAUAAAAGAUAAUAAAAGUACUUUAGACUUUGAAUCCAUGGUUAGGUUUGCAAUUUUUUGAUGAUCAAUAAAGCUACAACUUAUGUUGCAAAAAGCUAUACAAAAUGUAUUAGGAGCAUUGCUAAGCUCAUUUAUCAAUAAAAGAAAUCCAAUAAUACUUUGAUUGGAAAAAACCUAGAAUCAUGUUUGAUAUAUAUAAUAGGUGAAGAAACAAAAUAACAAUUCCAUGGUAUUAGUUAGUUUGAUAUCUCUUUUGUUAUAUGGAAUAACUAUUCCAUUUUAAAAUAAUUAUUUCAUCUUAUUGCUAGAACAAAAAAUUUCAAGCAGUUAUAUGGGCUUUUGGGUUUCUUAAGAAUUUAAGCAUUUAUGGGUCACCCAUAUAUAUAUAUAGGAAGAAUAAAAAAAAUAUUAUAUGGAGACAAGGGUAGACACCCAUAAAUGUACAUAUAAUUAUUCAAAUAAAAAUAUCAAUAAGAAACAAUAUACAACAAAAUAGAAAAUUUUAAUCUUCUUAAAUUUUAAAAAUAAAAACUAAAUGAAAAAAAAAAUUAAGAAGUAAAAAUAAUAAUAAAAAGGUCAAGAAUACAAAUAGAGAAUGUAAACAAAAAAAAAAAUACAUAAAUUAAAAUUAAAAUUUAAAAGAAAAAAUACAUAGAUUAAUAUGAACACUAAAUGGGGUUUUUUGAGAUAGACUUAGUUAGACUUGAACCAGAUGGAUAUUAAAAAUAAAAAUAAAAAAAUUCAAUGAUGUAUUAAAUGUAUUGGAUCAAAACUAAUUAGAAGCUAAAUAUUGGAUCAAAAUAACCAAAUGAAUAAAGAGUAAUUAUUAAUUUUUAUAUUUUUUAUUCCCUAGAAUUAUUAUUUUGUGUAUUAAAUGUAUUAUGAGUGUAAUAGUAUAAAAAAUGUAGUUAAGAAUACUAUGAAGAAUAAUAAUGGUGACGACACUUAAUACCUAUUAUUGUACAUUUAGAAAAAAAUGAGGUUCUUGAUCUUUAUGGAGAUUAUCAUUACUCAUCCGCAAGCAUGUUGAUAGUUGAAACUAUUCAAUUAUCAAAAAUUGAAUUUCUAACCUUCAAUUUUUCUCUCUCAAAUGUAAAUGUGGGUGAGAAAGCACUAGGAAGAUUAUAAGGUCUCACAUGUAUAUGAGUCAUAGGAUAAAAAAUAUAGAGACAAUACUAGCAUUUAUUUGAUCUAGUGGCAAAUAGAGAAAUAUAACAUAACCAUAACCAUAAUGUUCUAACCUUAUAUAUACCAGAACCAUGUUUCCUUCAUUCAAUUUUGCAACUUUUUCUUUUCAAAUUAGAAUGUAACUCGUAGGAUCCAUUGCCCAUCAAAAUUUUGAAUCAAAUAUUAUAAGAUAUUUCACAUUUCUACCUACUAAGCAUGAGCUUCAAUGUUCUCAUGCACUUUUGGCUACUAAGUUAAAGAAAUCUUUAAGGAUUAAUGGAGUUUCUAUGAGUAGCAAAGCAUUAUAAUCACAAAGUCUUAUCAGUGAUAUGCAAUUUGACCAAGAACUUAUUCCCAACUAUUUUAUGACUUUUCUUGGCUACUUGUAGGCAAGCUAAAGAAAUUUUCUGGUUUGUUCAAGUCUAAAAAGUGGUUUCAAGUUUAGGGCCAAGCUUGGGCUGCACCUAGGUCCUUGGGCCUUGUUCAGCUCCACGUUUAAACCAACCUUGAGUCCAUAUUUGUAAUUUUUCUCCCAAUUCAUUGAUUAAUAUUAGGAUUUUAUAGAGCCUAUAAAUUGACCAACUAAAUAAAGUAGGUUCAUAAACUUUUAGGUGAAAAUUUUCUCUCUAAUAAAUGUUAAUUCAAGAGUCUCCGUAAUCUUUUUAUAUUCAUAUUAAUUGGUAUUUAAACCGACCUUACUAUAUUAAAUUCAAAUACCAAAUAGUGAAUACUAUAUCUGCUACUACCACUAUGAUGGUCAUAAACAUAGAAUGCUCCUUUUUUUAGAGUUAAUUGAUGCUUAUAAACAACAACUUUGUUUGAAAAUAAAAUACAUCGAGUGAUUGCAUCAAGAGAUUGAUGUAAUAAUUGCAUACUUGAUCUUGAUAAUGCUAAUAUGAGUUGACUAAAUAAAUGAGUAUUUACUUAUAAGGUAGCCCAUAGAACAUUAUUUGUGGAAAUAUUCAUGCACCUCUACAUAUGUUCGUGAUAACUUAGGUUGAUAAAUUUAAGAAGAACAAAUUCAUAACCUUGGGCAUAGUUAGUAAGAAAUUUCACCAAUAGAGUUUGGUAUCAUGAUUCUAAUUGUUCAAAUUGUUUUAAAGGAGUAUUUUAAAUUGCAUGUUAAUUUGCUUCUAAUAAAUGGAGAGAAACCAAUUCAAGAAGAGAAUUGUACUCAAGCUAUGUAUAGCAUUCAUGAAGAUGUAGAAAAUAUUGAUGAACUUACUUUUGAGCAAGUUGAAAUCAUAAUUAAAUAAAAUAACAAACCCAAGGGUUAAGAUUGUCAAGUAAAACUUUAACUAAAAUUUAUUGAUUUUUUAAAUGCCUAUUAGAGGGACAAUAGAAGUUCUAGAUAGAAAGUAAGAACUUUUCUAAGGAAUCACUUGUUAGAUUUUAAGUGAUCAAUAAAUAUAACGUCCAAUUUAAAAUUUUUAUAAAAGCAAUGCUUCUAAAGAAUAACUUGAUUUGAAUUUAAAGUUAUUAUUGAUAUUUGUUUAUAAUGGAUGUAGUUAAUCAACUUAACAUAGUAAAAAACACAUAAAUUUUUCAAAAUACCUUCUAGUUGUUGGGUAUAUUUAAGUAGUCAUCCAUAUCUCAUUAUCUUUUCACUCACAUACUAAUCUCCUUAUUGAGUAUUUACCAAUUACAAGUAGGUUGAAAGUUACUUGAAUUUAAGUCACUAAUCAAUGUUAACUUGAUAACAAAUAAGUCUCUCUUUGAAACUUGUUUUACAAGAUAGCGAAAUGUAGUCGAUCAAUCAUCAAAUUUAAGCAUUAGGAUUUAGUUGUUAAUUUUUAUUUUUUAUUUUUUGUGCUUAAACAAAGACAAAAAUUAUAAAAACUCCUUAAAAGUACAUAGUAAUUGAAUUUAAUUUAUACAUCAAACAAGAACAAACUAGUCUUGGAUUUAAAAUUCAUCAGGUUUUGUAAUUCUAAUUCCUAAAAAUUUGUAAGACAACAAAAUUAUUGGACACUAGGUUAUUGGGUGUGUAUGACUAAGAGGUGAAGGAGGGUUCAUCUUAUACAAAGGAUGAUUUGAUUAAUUUUAAAGAUUGGAUAAACAAUAAUUGCAUAUUCAAGUAAAAAUAACAUUGCUAAAAAAGGAAAAUAAGUAUUUUAGUCCUCAAACCUAAAAUGGCUAAAAAUUUCAAUUAAUACAAUACAACUUCACCUACAAAAGAAAAAAAAAACCCAAAACUUUUCAAUAGCACAACUAAGUCCAUUUAUCAAAAGCUCUAUGAACAACAACUAUCGAAUCACAUAAAUCAUGUUGUUUUCAAAGUGCCCUUGAUGUUUUAAAACUUAAGAUAUUACAUAAAAAUCAACAAAUAGUGUAUGACAUUAUAAAAAACAUAUCCAAAUCCAUUGUCGAAAUUAAACUAAAUUCAACUUUAUAUGCAUAGUCGCAAGUGGGUCUUUUUGUCUUUCAAUUUGGGUCAAAUUCAGAUGUUAGUUUUUUACAAAACAAGGGAUUAUCAAGGUGAUAAUUCAUGCAUAUAAAUAGUAUUACUAAUAUAAAAAAAAUGGUAAAUGCAAUUUUUUUGUAUUCACUCACCAUUUGGCAUAUCAAUAAGAAAAAAAUAUAUAUAAUAGGUGUUAUCAAUAAUAUUACUCAUCACUAGAAAUUAUAAUUUUUCAUUUGUUGUCACUAUUUGUGCACUUUGGAAAGCUUGCUAGGUACAACAAAUUAGCUCAAUGAAGAAAUUGAUCAAUUCCUUCAUUUCUAAAUAAAUAUGCAUAUACACUAGAAUAAAAACAACUUUUUAACUUAACAAGUUGAUUGAGUCUCAGAACUUAGUAGGUUGAAGGCAUAAACUUCCAUCCAAACUCAUUUACUGGCACCACAUGUUGGAAAAAUAAAUAAAAAUCAAAACACUUGAGUAUAGUUGCAAACCAAUCUAAAUAUAGAGUGAGAUCUACCUUUCUUUGAAAGUUUAGAACAAAUUUUUAUUUUUAUGAUAAGACUAUGCAGUACUUAUCCCUCUCUUACAAGUCUAUAAUNNNNNNNNNNNNNNNNNNNNNNNNNNNNNNNNNNNNNNNNNNNNNNNNNNNNNNNNNNNNNNNNNNNNNNNNNNNNNNNNNNNNNNNNNNNNNNNNNNNNAGUAUUAUGUUUUGUUCAUCAUUAGUUGGUCUUGCUCUAAAGCUUCUUUUUUAUGACUAUCAAUAACCAAACUUAGAUACCAAAAUUUAUGCAAGAGAGCAUGUACUUUAUACAGUCAAGAAUUUGUGAGUUUAGAUUUUGUUAUCUAGGUAAAAGAAUAAAUUGGUUUGUUAAAAUAGCUAGCAUUAGGUAUCUAUUCAAUUCCUAUCUUAGACAAUAAAGAUAGAAGUGAUAAAAUACAUUCUUAUUAAGAAACAUUUGAUUCCAAAAGUGAAGUAAGACAACAUAGUUCCUCUAUUCAAUCAAGUUUAAGGCUUAGAUGAACCUAUGAAUUUAUAUUAAUUAAUUGGGAAAGAGAAUAAACAGGCUAAGUAGAAGUGAUAGGAUUGUAAUAGCAUUAAGUUAAUGAUCUUGUUUAGGUAUUCUACUAAAUUAGAGAAGAAACAAACAAAAGUAAUCAAACGUGUUAGUGAUAAUUAUAUCUACUUAACAUUGAGACAAUAGUUGUACUAAUGGUAAUUAUAUUAUUUCUUGAGAGUUUAAACAAUAUAUAUUGAAAAUAUUUUUAAAGGUUUAGCAACUACCAAGGUUAUAAUCAACUACGAGCUUUUUAUUUUUAAAAAUAUGAAAUAUUAAUAUCUUUACUUUCUUUGAUCUUCUUGUAGGUUUUAAAAGUUUGUCUAAGCUGAAAAAGUUGGAAAUCUUAAACCUUGGUUAUAAUUGGUUCAACAAGACCAUUAUAAAACAGUUGAGUGGACUCACAUCCCUUAAAACACUAGUUGUAAGCAACAACUAUAUUGAGGGACUUUUUCCUUCCCAAGGUAUUGCUUAUUCUUUUAAUAUCCUUAGUAACCACUCUACCAUAAUUUAUUUUUUCAAUUUUAUUUUCUUUCUUGAACCAUCUUACAGAAUUAUCUAUUUUUGGAAACUUGAUGACACUGGAUUUAAGUUGGAAUAGAUUCAAUGGCUCCCUAUCAAUCCAAGGUAAAUUCUAAUCAGAAUUAUCAUUAUAUUUAGGGCAUAUAAUAAAUUAAUUAAAUUGUUUUAUCUAUUAUCAUUACUUGGUUAUUUGGAUUUUCUUGAUAUUGUUUAGCAUUUUACAUAGGAAAAUGAAAUGGAAAAAUCAACCCAUGCUUAGUGUUUAAGCACUAGGCUAGAAGUACAUUUGUCUUCCUAAUUUAAUCAAAGAGAAAAGUCAUAAAUAACAUAAUUUAACUUAUACCUUAUAUUGAUUGAAGAGGUUAGACUACUUUUGGAUUUAAUGGUCAAUAUUUGUUGAAGAUAGGGUUUCCUAAAUUUGAUAAAAAAGAACUUCAAUUUAAAUUACCAUAACUACAUAAAGUUGUGACUAGCAUAAUUAAGCUCUUUUAUUAAUAGAUGUUUAUAGACUAGUAUUAUAAUCCCACACACACAAAUAAUCAAAUUUUGAAAUUAGACUUCAAAUAACUAUGCAAUAUAUGAAACUACAAAAUGAAUGGUAGGUCAUAAUUAAUUAAAUUCGUACUAUAUUCAAUGUUGGUCAACACGUGUCAAGUAAAAGUUUUGGCCUAAGUGUAAGGGCUCACUUGCUCCUAUAUAGAUGUUAUUCACUUUGGGUCAAGGCCUACUUUAAAAUAUCUCUAUACAUUUAUGAGAAGUCUACUAAAUAUAAAGUCGUAGAAACUUUUCUUCUUAGGUGAUGUGGAAUUUCACAUUAGGACCAACAUUGUAUAUAUUUUGAAAACAUAAUUUAAUUAACAUUUUAGAACUAAUUAUUAGUUAUCCAUUUAUAAUCCUAGAGGAAAUUCCUUUUACCUAUGCAAAUUAUAUACCUCUAGUAAUUACCUUUAAUUUCUCAUUUACAACUUCCUAAAAUAAUAUGAAAAAUGACAAAGUGUACAAUAUCUACCAAUAUGGGUGGAAUAUGCAAUGAGACCCACAAUGCUCAAUAUAGUACUAGUAUCUAUGUCAUCUAAUAGCAAUGAAAGCACUAAGUAAUAAAAACAAUUGUUUUGGGCACUUUAUGCAAUUGGCCUUGUAAAAAAAGAAAUCUAAGGUAGUUGGACUCAUUUACUAGUAAUUUAACAUAUGACUAGAACCUAUUGAAUCAUUUGCAAUAGCACUUACUUUGGUCAUGUCCAAAUUUAUUGCACAUGGUGCAAAAAGGGGUGUUGCUAGAGGAUGCUUUGUUUUCCCACUUAUGGAAGUCUCAAUCUUGCUAAUAUAUUUUAUGCCAUGUUUAUCAUAUACAAAUUUAGCCUAAGUGUAAGGGCUCGCUUGCUCCUAUAUAGAUGUUAUUCACUUUGGGUCAAGGCCUACUUUAAAAUAUCUCUAUACGUUUAUGAGAAGUCUACUAAAUAUAAAGUCGUAGAAACUUUUCUCCUUAGGUGAUGUGGAAUUUCACAUUAGGACCAACAUUUUAUAUAUUUUGAAAACAUAAUUUAAUUAACAUUCUGGAACUAAUUAUUAGUUAUCCAUUUAUAAUCCUUGAGGAAAUUCCUUUUACCUAUGAAAAUUAUAUACCUCUAGUAAUUACUUUUAAUUUCUCAUUUACAACUUCCUAAAAUAAUAUGAAAAAUGACAAGGUGUAUAAUAUGAGCCAAUAUGGGUGGUAUAUGCAAUGAGACCCACAAUGCUCAAUAUAAUACUAGAAUCUAUGUCAUCUAAUAGCAAUGAAAGUACUAAGGAACAAUUUAACAUAUGUUUUGGGUACUUCAUGAAAUGGCCUUGUAAAAAAAGAAAUAUAAGGAAGUUGGACUCAUUUACUAGCAAUUUAACAUAUGACUAAAACCUAUUGAAGAAUUUGCAAUAGCACUUACUUUGGUCAUGUCCAAACUUAUUGCACAUGGUGCAAAAAGGGGUAGUGCUCGAGGAUGCUUCCACAUAAGAAAGACCCUACUUAACUGUUACAAAGUUUAUUUUCCCACUUGUGGGAAUGCUAACCUUGCUAAUAUAUUAUAUGUCAUGUUUAUCACAUACAAAUUUUUCUUUACUAAAUAUUUCUUAAUGAUCUUAGACCUAAAAUUAAAUAUUUCAUUAGUAUUGGUCAUGUCGUUCCUCAACUUUUCAACUUUUAGAGUUAAAUCUUUAUCUUUAUCAUUGAUAGUUUUAUGUUUAGUCCUUAGAAACUUCACCUUAUUAACAAUAUGUUCAUUUAAUAUGUUGAUAUUUUUAAUUUUCAAAGAAUCAUAGAGCUCAUUAAUUUUAAUGUCUUUUUAUUCACUUUUAUGCUUUCAACCUUUGUUUUUAGUUUUCCUUGUACAUCAUUAAAAUAAAACUCAUUUUUUUCAUUAGGAUUCAAUUAACCCAAUGGAUCAUAAUCAAAAUUAGCUGCAUAUGAACAAAAGCAAUAAGAUUAUCAUUUUGUACAUCUUUACUUUCAUUUGAGUUCUUAGCCCUACAAUCAUCAAACAUGGAAUUACUCCAAGUCACCUACAUAGCCUUCAUACCUAAUGUUUUUAAGGCAAGGACAAUCAACAACCAUGUGUCCCAUUCCCCCAAUGGUUCACUACAAACAAGGUACAUAUGUUAUGCUUUCUUUGUUUCAUAGAGAUUAGAGAGGAUAAAUAUUGUAUAAAAAAAAAAAGUUGUCAUAGUUAAUGUAAGCUAAAACUAAAAAACUUGUUUUUUCAAUUGUGUAAGCAUGUUUUGUUCUUGAUUAAUAUUUACAACAUUCAGAGUUACUAAUGUUUAUAAUUCACAGAGACCUCAUUAACAAGAAGUAACAACUAAUUGCAAGUAACCAUGAAAAAAAAUAAGGAGAAAAAUAAAGGAAAAUCAAGGAAAGUGGCAAAUUUUUUCAUCCCCAUAAAAAAUGCUAAGGAAGAAAAAGGUGAAGAAAGUUUAAAGAAAGUAUAUUUUUCAAAAAUUGAAUUUUCUUUCCCUUAAAGUUGGUAUGGAUAACCAAACAAGAAAAUGAUUUUGAAAUUCUUUUUUGACCUUUUUUUAACAUUCUUUUUUUUUCCCUACUCUAUUUCCUUUCCCUCAAACUUUCUAGGUAGUAAACAUUACCUAAGAUAAAUAGGGAAGAAAAUAUUUUAUCAUUUAUUUAUUUAGUAUUUUUCUUACCUUUUUUGUAUGUUAUCCAAAUAUAAGAAAACUAUUUUUCUUUAUUUUUUCUUUUCCUUGUUGCUUUUCAAGAAUCAAGCAUACUUUAAACUCUAAUUAAGAGUUACAUAGAUUUACGAAGAAACAAUGCAACUAGUAACAAAAAAUUAAGGAAAUUUAAUUUUUUGAGAGUAAGGUGGUGUUUGUUUUUUUACUUAAUUCUAAAUAGAACCUUAAUACUUAAUAGUAUUAAAUAUUAGGUUGUUUGUUUUUGUAGUAUUUUAUUUCUAUUAAGUAUUAAAAAGUAAAAAAAACCAUUGUGUUAUUUUUUUCUAUUUAGAAAAAGCCACAUAUUUUGGCUUUUUCUAUUUAGUAAAAAGUUUAUAAUAAGUCAUGAAAAAGUAAAAAACAAACAACCUAAAUUCUAAAACUAAAUGGCUUUCAGCAAAAAGACAAAAAAAACAAACACCACCUAAGUAUAAUGAGAUUGGUUUGUUUGAUACAAAAUUUGAAUAAAAAUUCUUUCAAUGAAAAUUCAAGGAAAGGAAAAAAAAAACAACUUUAUCUCUAGACUAUAAUACUAAAUCACUUAAAAAAAUAUCCUAACAUCGUUUAUGUUCAUCUUUCUUUUUAUGGAUUUGAAAAACCCAAUAAUUUGGAGAAAACUGAUUCAAGGAAGAAUAAUUUUUAGAAUAAAAUAUUAUUAUUUAAGAAGAUCAUAAAUAUUAUAGUCAUUGUUGAAUAUGAUAAAUGAUUAAAAAAAAAAAAGGUAGUUGGAAAUUUAGAUACUUUUAUAAGACAAAUGCAUUUUUCUAGUAUGGUAUGAAAAAAGGUAAAAUGAUAGGCUUUGAUCAUUUUUUAAGGUAGUUUGUUUAAAUCAUUUUAAUUUAUUUUGAUUUAAUAACAAUAACUUUUAUUACACUAGUUAUUUUGAUUUUCUUUUGAUAGAUUUUGCAAGCUUAAGCAAUUUGGAGGUAUUGGAUUUGAGUGAUAAUUCAUUUAGUGGGAUCGUUCCAUCGUCUAUAAGAUUGUUGUCUUCUCUCAAGUCUUUAUCCCUGGCUAGAAAUUACCUCAAUGGUUCCUUACCAAAUCAAGGUACAUAUAUUGUGAUUACAGGUUUUUCUGUUAUCUUUUUUAAUAUCUUGUUUGUUCUUUAUACCAACUAAGUCAUGCAUGUCUAUUAAUUUUUGGUAUUUAAUGAAAAACAUUAUUCUUAAUUCAUAAAGACAUCAUCAACUGUAAGUAACAACUAGUUGUAAGUUUGGGGGCAUUGACAAGACGAGGAGAUGAUUGGUUACAUGCCUUAUUCUCUUUUGUAGGCUUCUGCCAAUUGAAUAAGCUUCAAGAAUUAGAUCUUUCUUACAACUUAUUCCAAGGGAUCCUUCCUCCAUGUUUGAAUAAUUUGACAUCUUUGAGGUUAUUGGAUCUUUCUUCCAACCUAUUCUCCGGAAAUCUUUCUUCCCCUCUGUUACCUAAUCUCGCAUCCCAGGAGUACAUCGAUCUCAGUUACAAUCAGUUUGAGGGUUCAUUCUCUUUCAGCUCUUUUGCUAAUCACUCCAACCUUCAAGUGGUCAAACUUGGAAGGAAUAACAACAAAUUUGAGGUAGAAACUGAAUAUCCAGUUGGUUGGGUUCCCCUGUUUCAGUUGGAAGCUCUUAUGCUAUCCAACUUAGUGGUGGUUGAUCUAUCCCAUAAUAACUUGACGAGAAGGUUCGCCAAUUGGUUGCUUGAAAACAACACAAGACUAGAAUUUCUAGCCCUGAUGAAUAACUCUUUAAUGGGUCAACUACUUCCCCUGAGACCUAAUACUCGUAUCAGUUCAUUGGAUAUCUCACACAAUCAGUUGGAUGGACAACUUCAAGAAAAUGUGGUCCAUAUGAUUCAAAAUAUUAUGUUUCUAAAUUUAUCCAACAAUGGUUUUAAAGGUAUUAUCCCAUCCUCAAUAGCUUAAAUGAGUUCCUUAGGGUCGUUGGAUUUGUCUGCUAAUAGUUUCUCAAGGAAAGUACCAAAGCAAUUGCUUGCGGUAAAAUAUUUGUGGCUUCUGAAAUUAUCAAAUAAUAAAUUUCAUAGUGAAAUAUUUUCAAGGGACUUUAACUUGACUCAGUUAGGGUUUUUGCAUUUGGACAAUAAUCAGUUCAGGGGAACACUGUCAAAUGUAAUCUCCAGAAUCUCUAGGUUGUGGGUGUUAGAUGUGAGUAACAACAACAUGUUAGGUGAAAUUCCAAGCUGGAUAGGUAACAUGACCGAUUUGACUACACUGGUGUUGGGCAACAAUAGUUUUAAAGGCAAAUUACCACCUGAGAUUUCUCAAUUGUCGGGGAUGAUAUUUCUUGACGUUUCUCAAAACGCUUAAGAGCAUGAAGUAUUUAGAGCAUUUACAUUUGCAAGGGAACAUGUUUACAAGAUUGAUACCCAAAGAUUUUCUCAAUUCCUCAUAUCUAUUGACUUUGGAUAUCAGAGACAACAGGUUAUUUGGAAGUAUUUCCAAUUCAAUCUCUAGACUUUUAGAGCUAAGAGGAAACCUUUUAAGUGGUUUCAUUCCAUAUCAGCUUUGUCAUUUGACUAAAAUAAGUUUCAUGGAUCUUUCAAACAAUUUUUCUGGGUCAAUUUCCGGAUGCUUUGGUCAUAUCGGAUUUGGAGAUUUCAAAACUGAGCACAAUGUGUAUAUACCGACGUUGGAUUCGUAUUCAGAAAGCAAUCCUUCUAUAUAUACGGGUUACUUAAUAAAAUAUUUAUUUUUCUCUAGUGAACUCCCUGAUGAAGUAGAUGAAGUUGAGUUUGUUACCAAGAAUAGGUAUAGCUCCCACAGAGUAGAUAAAAAUAUUUGUUGGGAAUUUAGAUAUUUUUAUAGGAAAGUAGGCAAGUAUUCUAAUUUAUAAAAACAAUGCAUUUCUUUAGUUUGGUAUAAAAAAAAAAUGAAACGAUAGGUAUUGGUAAUUUUUUUUAAAGUAACAAACGUUUUAUUUUAUUUGUAUUUAAGAAAGAUGUCUUUUCUUAUACUAGUUAUUUUAAUUUUCUUUUGACAGUUUUUGCAAGCUUAAGCAAUUUGGAGAUACUAGAUUUGAGUUCUAAUUCCUUAAGUGGGAUUAUUCCAUCAUCUAUAAGAUUGAUGCCUCAUCUCAAGUCUUUAUCCCCGGCCGGAAAUUAUCUCAAUGGUUCUUUACAAAAUCAAGGUACAUAUGUUAUGAUUUGUUUGUUUCAUAUAGAUUAGAGAAGAUAAAUAUUGUAAAAAAAAAAAAGUUGUAGUUAAUGUAAGCUAGAAAUAAGUAUCUUGCCUUAUAAAUUAUAUAAGCAUGUGUUUGUUCUUAAUGAAUCUUUACAACAUUUAGAGUUACCAAUGUUUAUAAUUCAUAAAGACCUCAUUAACAGUGAAUAACAACUAAUUGUAAGUAAUUGUGGAAAAAGUAAGGAAAACAAAAUGAGGGAAAAGCAAGGAAUUAGGAAAUUAUUUUGUUCCCAUUAAAAAAUGUUAAGGAAGAAAAAGGUAAAAGAAAGUUUAAAAAAAGUAUAUUUUUCAAAAAUUUAUUUCUCUUUCCUUUAAUUUUGCUAUGGACAACCAAACAAGAAAAUUAUUUUAUAAUUCCUUUUUUAUUUUUUUCAUUCUCUCUCUCUUUUUUUCCCUACUCUAUUUCUUUUCCCUCAAACUUUCUUGGUAGUAAACACAACCUAAGAUAAAUGGGGAAGAAAAUUUUCAGUUUUAUUUUUUUAUUUUUUUAGAAUGUUUUCUUACUUUUUAGUAUUUUAUGCAAAUAUAGGAAAAUUAUUUUUUUUUUCUUGCUCCUUUUCAUACAUGAAUCACACUUUAAAAGAAAAUUAAUUUUUAAUUAGGAGUUAAGAUAAAUUUAAGGAGAAACAAUGAAUCACGAAUAACAAAAAAUUAAGGAAAUUGAAUUUUUGAAAGUAAGUAUAAUCAAAUUGCUUCAUUUGAUACAAAAUUUGAAUAAAAAUUCUUUCAAUGAAAAUUCAAGGAAAGGAAUAAACAUUUUUGUCUCUAGAUUAUAAUACUAAAUCAUGUAAAAAAUCUCUUAACAUCAUUUAUAUUCAUAUUUCUUUUUAUAGAUUUGAAAAAUUCAACAAUUUGGAAUAAACUUAUUCAAUGAAGAAUAAUUUUUAGAUUUAAAGAUUAUUAUUUAAGAUCAUAAAUAUUACCAUCAUUGUUGAUGUCUAAGAAGAUCAUAUUCAACAAUUUUUUUAAUAUGUUGUUUUUUAUGGUAAUUAAUUGAUGUCUUGUAAUUUUUAAUAUUUAAUGAAAAACAUUAAUUUAAUUCAUCUAGAGCUCUUAAUUCAUGAAGACCUCAUUAAUGUAAUGGUGAGUAAUAGUUGGCUGUAAGUUUGGAGUCAAAGACAAGUUAAGGAGAUGAUUAGUUACAUGUCUUAUUCUCUUUUGUAGGUUUCUGCCAAUUGAAUAAGCUUCAAGAGUUAGAUCUUUCUUACAACUUAUUCCAAGGGAUCCUUCCUCCAUGUUUGAAUAAUUUCACAUCUCUGAGGUUAUUGGAUAUCUCUGCCAACCUAUUCUCCGGAAAUCUUUCUUCCCCUUUAUUACCUAAUCUCACAUCCCUGGAGUACAUCGAUCUCAGUUAUAAUCAGUUUGAGGGUUCAUUCUCUUUCAGCUCUUUUGCUAAUCACUCCAAGCUUCAAGUGGUCAUACUUGGAAGGGAUAACAUCAAAUUUAAGGAAUUUGGAAGGGAUAACAAAAAAUUUGAGGUAGAAACUGAAUAUCCAGUUGGUUGGGUUCCCCUGUUUCAGUUGAAGGUUCUCUCUCUAUCCAGCUGUAAGCUCACCGGUGACCUUCCUGGUUUUCUUCAAUACCAAUUCAGGUUAGUGGGGGUUGAUCUCUCCCAUAAUAACUUGACAGGAAGUUUCCCCAAUUGGCUGCUUGAAAACAAUACGAGACUGGAAAUUCUACUCCUGAGGAAUAACUCUUUAAUGGGUCAACUACUUCCCUUGGGACCUAAUACCCGUAUCAAUUCAUUGGAUAUCUCACACAAUCAGUUGGAUGGACAACUUCAAGAAAAUGUGGCCCAUAUGAUUCCAAAUAUUACGUCUCUAAAUUUAUCCAACAAUGGUUUUGAAGGUAUUAUCCCAUCCUCAAUAGCUGAACUAAGAGCCUUACAGAUUUUGGAUUUGUCUACCAAUAAUUUCUCUGGAGAAGUACCAAAGCAAUUGCUUGCAGCAAAAGAUUUGGAGAUUCUGAAAUUAUCAAAUAAUAAAUUUCAUGGUGAAAUAUUUUCAAGGGACUUUAACUUGACUGGGUUAUUGUGUUUGUAUUUGGGCAAUAAUCAGUUCACGGGAACUCUGUCAAAUGUAAUCUCCAGAAUCUCUUGGUUGUGGGUGUUGGAUGUGAGCAACAACUACAUGUCAGGUGAAAUUCCAAGCUGGAUAGGUAACAUGACAUUAUUGAGAACAUUGGUCAUGGGCAACAAUAAUUUUAAAGGCAAAUUACCACCUGAGAUUUCUCAAUUGCAACGGAUGGAGUUUCUUGACGUUUCUCAAAAUGCUCUUUCAGGAUCUCUUCCUUCUUUGAAGAGCAUGGAGUAUUUAGAGCAUCUACAUUUGCAAGGGAACAUGUUUACAGGAUUAAUACCCAGAGAUUUUCUCAAUUCCUCAAAUCUAUUGACUUUGGAUAUUAGAGAAAACAGGUUAUUUGGAAGUAUUCCCAAUUCAAUCUCUGCACUUUUGAAGCUAAGGAUUCUUUUGCUGAGAGGGAACCUUUUAAGUGGUUUUAUUCCAAAUCAUCUUUGUCAUUUGACUGAAAUAAGCUUGAUGGAUCUUUCAAACAACUCUUUUUCAGGGCCAAUUCCUAGAUGCUUUGGCCAUAUCCGAUUUGGGGAGACGAAAAAGGAGGACAACGUGUUUGGACAGUUCAUGUAUUGGUAUGAACUGAAUUCUGAUCUUGUAUAUGCAGGUUACUUGGUGAAACAUUGGGAGUUCUUAAGUCCAACAUAUAAUGAAAAAGAUGAAGUUGAGUUUGUCACCAAGAACAGGCAUGACUUCUACAGAGGUGGCAUCCUUGAAUUCAUGUCUGGAUUGGACUUAUCAUGUAACAACUUGACAGGUGAAAUUCCUCAUGAACUUGGAAUGCUAAGUUGGAUUCGUGCAUUGAACUUGUCUCACAAUCAAUUGAAUGGCUCCAUUCCAAAGAGUUUCUCCAAUCUUUCUCAAAUAGAGAGCUUAGACCUUUCUUAUAAUAAACUGGGUGGAGAAAUUCCUCUAGAGCUAGUUGAACUCAAUUUUUUAGAGGUGUUUAGUGUGGCUUACAACAACUUCUCUGGUAGAGUUCCAGAUACCAAAGCACAAUUUGGGACAUUUGAUGAAAGAAGCUAUGAAGGUAAUCCUUUCCUUUGUGGGGAACUAUUAAAGAGGAAAUGCAACACAAGUAUUGAGUCACCAUGCGCACCAUCACAGUCUUUUGAAAGUGAGGCAAAAUGGUAUGAUAUCAAUCAUGUUGUUUUCUUUGCAAGUUUUACUACUUCAUAUAUCAUGAUCUUGUUAGGAUUUGUUAUCAUCCUUUACAUCAAUCCUUAUUGGCGUCAUAGAUGGUUCAAUUUUAUCGAGGAAUGUAUAUAUUCCUGCUAUUAUUUUGUUUUUGAUAGUCUUUCCAAGUUAUCGGCAUAUUUGUAUAAUUAGAUACUUUUAAUUGGAUGAUAUUUGCAUAAUUAACUACUAUUUGUUUCCCUGGGAUAGAAAGAAAUGGGAUGUAUAAUGCUAUGAGCUGAAACUUACAUACUUUGCUCAAAUUCUAACAUCUUUUGAUUUUAUUUUCAAGUUCCGUUAUUUAUUAUGUAUUGUUAAAUUCAAGAUUUAACCAUAUUACGUUACUCUUAUAAAAGAAAAUUCAAAUUUUUAGGAACUUUUAGCAUUAAAAUAAUUUCAUAGUCAGAUUUUAAAAAAUAAAGAAGAAAGAAAAUAAUAAAUAAUUGGAAAAACAAUUCAAGGAAGUAUUAAAUUAUUAUCUUAGAAUUGUUUGGCGUAGUAUGGGAAUUCAAAAAUAAUCUUUCAAUUUGUUAGAAAUGUUUAUUUAUUUAUUAUAGCAAUGAUUGAAAUAUCAAUCACAAAGUAAUGUUUUCUUUUCUUUUGUAGGGCACUAACACUUUUUCUUUGAUUGUAAUAAUUGAUAAAUAUAUUACACAAUUAUUUGUUUUAAAAAGGGGAGGGAUGACAAACAUAAUAACAUGUAAAAUAUUUCUAAAACUGUGAUGGGAAAUAAACCAUCUAAUUAGGGUGCAAUAUUAUUCAUUUUAAUUUAUAUGAAUUUACUUAUUUUUAUUUGCAUCAUAUUCUGAACUAUUUUAUGAAAUUAAGAGAGAUUAAAACAUCAUGAAUUUCUUAGUUUAAUUUAUAUUUUUAAUAAUAAAGCAUGAAAUAUUUAAAAAAAGAAAAACAAAAUCAUGAAUUUCUUUAAUUCAUUAGGAAACCAAUAUAUAAAAAAAGUUGAAUAUAUUAUUAUUUUAUGUUCUAAAUUUCUAAAUUUGUUCAUCACGUAUUUAUUUUUAUAUUAAAUUUAUUAUCAAUAAUUAUUUAUUAUAUAUUAUUAUUUUAUGUUUAAAAAUGUUCAUAAAUAAUUAAAAUUAAUAAAUAUAAAAAAUGAAAUAUUAAAAAAAUAAAUUAAAAAGAUUUCAUCAAGCUAACAAAUUUUUAUAAAAAAAAAAAAGAGUAAAAAAGAAGAUGGGGAUAUUAUAGAGGUGGGGAAAAAGAUAAAAGAAAAAUCAUGUGGUAUAAUAAUUGCCACGUGUUAAAGUUAUUUUCUUUAAAAAUUAAUUAUAGUAAUGAUGAACUCAUUUGUCUUAUCAAAGUAAAUAAAAAUAAAUAAAUAAAAGAAAAAAAGAAAAAGAAAAAAGGUGGUAGUUGGCUGGAGGUUAGAGAGGAGGGUUUGAAGGUAAAUUUGGAAUAUUGAUUAUUUUCACUAAGUAGAUAUUUUGAAAGUUAUUUUGCCUGAAACCCAUAUUGUUUGAAAAUAAAAAAUCAAAGUUUAAAAAAAAUACAAUUUUUUUGAAAUGAUGCAUGAUUACAUCAUUCCCCUGAUAGAUUAUUUAUUCCUUUAAACUUUACUUCAAAUAAAAUAAUUUUAAUUAUUUUCUUUUUGGAAUUAUAUUUAACAUAUUAUUAAAAAUAUAAAAAAACAUUUUAAUAAUAUUGUUAAUGAGUUUUUUUUAUAUAUAUUUUGUAAAAUAAUUAAAUUUAAAAAUAUUUAAAUUUAGUUAUGGGCUGCCCAUUUCAAAAUAAUAAGAAUCUAGUAACCUAAUUUUUCCAAAUUCCAGGUAAAUAUGCUAAUCUAAAAAUAAAUAAAAAAAUAAAAAUUAGUUUUUAUGUGCUGAUUGGGUUUUUUUUCCUUUAAUUAAAAAAAAAGGAAAAAAACAAAAGUGUGUGAUCCUCUUUCUCGAGUCUUCACAUUUAGAGACACUGAACCCAAAUCAAAAUUAAUCCUUCAAAUUAAUUUUCACCUCCAAACAUAGCUAUCCGAAAAACCCUAACCUCUGCCUCCUCUUCCUCUUAUCCCGGAAACCUAAAUUCCGUGACCCUAACCCCUUCUCUUUCCGAAAACCCUCCGGAAUCGGAAAAUUCAUAAUUCUUCAGAAUUAAUUUUCACCUCGAAGCCAAACCCUAACUGCCUCAUCUUCCUCUCAUUCAUAUCCCAAAAGUAGCUUCAACAGUCAGGCCUGUAGCCAUGAAAGCCGUAGUGAUCACUACUUCCGGUGAUCCCCAAGUUCUCCAAGUGCAAGAAGUCGAAAACCCUGAAAUUGGAGAUGAUGAAGUUCUAAGUAGAGUGGACGCCGCUGCCAUUAACCGAACAGAUACGCUUCAGAGGAAGGGCUUGCACCCUUCCUCAAAGGCGGCAGUCCCUACCCGGGUCUCGAAUGUUCUGGAAUCAUCGAAGCUGUUGGAAAAGCCGUCGUUCGAUGGAAGGUUGGCGAUCAGGUAUUUCAAUUGCCUAAUAUUUUGAUUUCGUUUCUGUUCCUCUGUUUUUCUCGGCUAUCAAACACUAGGAACGUGUAAAUAAGGAGGUUAGUUGAUUGCGAAAACGGGAAUUUUUUGUUCGUGUCUGUGUUAAGGAGUCUUUGUUGAGAAUUUUGGGGAAAUUUAUGAUAAGUUUGUGAUUUUAUGAUUAAUUUUGUGUAUCAAUAUAGGUUAAAUUAUUGAGCUUAUUGGUUUUCAAAUUUAUGGUUGUAAGAAAAUUGGUCAGUGUAAGGUUAUGGGAUCAUUACCAAUUUGCUUACUGAAAAUUUUUCCAGAUAUUGUGGACCGGUUUGGUAGCAGAAAUAAGAACUGUGUUUUGUUUUUCAAAACGGAAAUGGAUGCAGAAAACAUGUUUUUCUUUCAGAACUUGUUUCCGAAAAUAUUUCCUGAAAAUGAAUUAUUUCAGAACUUGUUUUAAAAAAAUUCAAACACUUUAUCAAUUUAAAAGGUUCUGAAAUGGACAUGUUCAUGGUCUUCAUUUUUUAAAAUUAAAGCUUUUAUGAAAAAACCAUUUUCCCUUCUACUAAACAAACAGGCUCUAUAUUGUAACAGAUCGAUUGGCCAUUUCCUUUGUCAUGUUUUGUGAAUCAUGGCAACACUGGAAUCCACUCCAUUACCAUCUGUUAGUGAUUAGAAGACAAAGCACCAAUUUUAAUGAUAUCCUUUAUGUGAUUUUGCUUCCUCCUGAGUACAAGUUCAUAGUAUACAUGGUACAUGGUGAAUCUGUAUGACAGUUCAUGGUAUACAGGUGUGUGCUCUUCUUUCUGGUGGAGGGCAUGCUGAAAAAGUGGCUGUUCCAGCUGGGCAAGUUCUCCCUGUCCUAUCUGGUGUUUCUCUGAAGGAUGCUGCUGGAAUUCCUGAGGUUGCAUGUACUGUUUGGUCAACUGUUUUAAUGAUGAGCCGACUGUCUGCAGGAGAAACAUUCCUGGUGAAUUUUUUGUCUUUUUUAUUUUCUGAUGCCUGAUAUAUUUACCAGCACAAAUUUACCCUGUUGCUGUUUAAUGUGUGUGCAUCAAUAUUGGAUUAGGGAGGUAGAAGAGCCAUGGUUCUAAUUAAAUCAUUACAUCAUCAUAUUCUUAUUUAGAUACAUUGUAUCCCACAAUUUCAUUGCAUCCAAGGCUAUGUUGUUUUUUAUUGCACGGUUUGUGUCAUGGUAAUUUCUCAACCCUUCUCUGGAAAAUUAUGUUGGAUGGCUGCUAUUAAUUACCCCAAAAGAAGAAAUUUUAUGUUGAAGUAAGAUGAGUAGCACAAAGAGUUACUUGUGGUUGAUCCUAUCAUCAAAUGGGCGAUUGAUGCACAAUCCAAAUGGUAAAUUUUUUUCCCCCUUUAUCCAGAUGGAAUUUUUAUGCAUGGUUGAAUAGUGAAAUGAGGACUGAUAAUAUUUCAGGUUCAUGGGGGUUCAAUUGGAAUUGGUACCAUCUAUUCAAAUAGUGAAAUACUGAGGAGCAAGGGUAUUUGUUACAGCAGGUUUGCCAUCACUGUUCUACCUCAUCUCACAGAAUGCUUAUCUCAUGGCACCAAUUCCUUUUCUUCACAUGUUUUCAACCAUUUUUUCCACCCAGGAACGAGGAAAAAUUAGCUGUUUGUAAGGAUCAUUGAGCAGAUGUGUGCAUCAAUUACAAGACUGAAAACUUUGUUGCAUGGGUGAAGGAGGAAACAGGAGGGAAAGGUAUAAUCUAUUGUAUCUUAACGAUAAUUUCAAUUGAAGGUGGAAUUGCUUUUUAAUUUUUAGUGCACCAAAUCCACUAGUCUGGAAUGUUUGAAAAGAUAAAUAGUCAUCUUCCACUUGAUACCGAUUGUGAAGAUCUAACCCCAAAAAUGUUGAAUGACAGGUGUUGAUGUUAUACUGGAUAAUAUUGGAGGGGCCUACUUUUGGGGAGACAUCAAUGGUUUAAAUGUUGAUGGAAGGCUUUUUAUUAUUGGUUUUCAGGGUGGAACAGUGGUACAAGUAAAUCUUUCAGGUUUACUUGCAAGGCGCCUUACAGUGCAAGGUACCGCUUUCUCUGUAGUUUUGGAGUUGAAUCAAUUUGAUUAAUCUCAUCCAAGUUCAGAACUGAGGUGGAUUCUGGCAAGCCAAGGAAAAACCAAAUUACCAUAAAUUCUUUUUUUCUUGGAAAUCCUGUUUCUCAAUCUGGUCAGUAUAUGGAAAUUCCAAGGAAAAUAUGUUUUACAUUUUCCAUAAGGCUCAAUGGGUUUUAACUCCACUCAGCUACUUUAUGUCUUGUAUUUAAUAUUGCAAACCAAAAUAAUAAUACGUAGAGAUUGAGCUUGGAGGCCAAUCUAGCAAAUGUGGAGAUUAGAAAUAGUUUACCAUCUAGAUAGUCAAGCAUAGCAAUUUACCAAACCCUUACCAACCAUCCAUACUAACCAAUUGUGGUUAAAUGUUUACAAAAAUGUACAUUAAAUCAAAGAGAAAAAAGAUUAAAAACGAACAAGAGAGAAGAAGUACGUCACCUAAUUUUGGUAAUAAAUGAAAUUAAAAUAAAUUCAUAAAUUUUUUAAAUUAAAAUGAAUUUGAACUCUAGAGAUUUGUGUAGAUAUCUUAUUAAAAAACCAAAAAGUUUGUUGCAUAUAUAAUUUCAACAAUGCAUAAAUAAUUACAACAUACGCAAUACAAUAAUAUUACACAACUAUAUUUUCAAAUAUAGUAUAAGAUCAUUAAAGUGAUAAAUUGUAGUUGUAUAAAAUAUUUAUACAAGUAAAGAAGAAAUUAUGAGAUUGAAAUGCUUGUUGGAUUCUAAGUAAAAAGGAAAUGAGAUAUAGAGAUUGUCCCAUCAGACAUAGAAUUUCAUAUACAUAAUUUUCCCUUCAAGAAAAUUUAGGGUCAAAUUGAAAAAUUUUCAUUCAUAGAUUUUGGUAAAACCUCUAUCUAGUCCUCCAAAUCUUGUAUACAAAAGGAAAUAACAUUGGUAUGAGGGGUUUGAAUGCUUAAUUUUAGAUUGAAAAUGCUUGAGAUAAUUUUUGAUCGACUUCACAUGUGUUUUUGAUAAACUUGGAACAUUCAAACUUGUAUUUGAAGAAUCUUCAAAUCUUCAAUUUGAUCUUAAAUAAUGUUGAAACCUUCGAAAUUUGAAUAGAAGAAUCUUUAAGCAUUUGAAUUUUGGUUUAAAGAAUUUUGAAAUUUGAGAUUGAAGAAUCUUCAAAUUUGGGCCUGAAGAUCAAAGGCUAAGCUUGAAGAGUUCUUGAAGCUUGAGUGGUAUCUCCGAUUUUGUUUUGUAUUUCAUAAAAACUUUUAAGUAUACUAUAUUUAUAGGUUUGAAGAGACAUUGAGAUUUUGUAUACAUGUUUGGAGUUUUAAACCUUGAAAUAUUACUCUUUUAUGAAAUUAACAUUUAUAAAAUUUGGAAGAACAUAAUUAGAUAAUAUUCUAAGUUAUUUUUAAUGAAAAUUGAUAAUUACCUUUUAAUUAUCAAAUUCACUAUUUCUAUUUAUUUUUGUAAUAUAUAUUAAUUACUAAAAUCAUUUAUUUCCUUUAUUUAGUUUGAAAGCAAUUAUAUAUCUUUUGUUUGUGUAGAGCUCAUGUGACACGACAAAUUUUAUUUUGUAACUUGCUCUGGAUGAAUGGCCAUUAUAAACUUCAUUUUAUCCUCAUCUGAUUUUGAGGUGGGAAUAGGAGAGAUGAGGAUUUGACAUUUGGACCUAAGCCUCAGAGGGUUUUAACUCCACUCAACUACUUUAUGCCUUGUAUUUAAUAUUGCAAACCAAAAUAAUAACAGACAUGAUCCUUUUCAAAAUUUUUAUAAUAAUAGAAGUGUAAAUAAUAUAAGUAAAAAUAAUAUAAUAUUUUUUAAAAUGAUAAAAUAAUAGGUUAUAUAAAUUUUAAUAUAUAGGUAAAAUUAAUUAAAUUUUAACAAAUACCUUCACACUUAAACAUUACAUAUCUUUUAUUUAAUAAAAUGUUAAAAUAUUAAUAUAUUUAAAAUUGUAUAAUUAUUUUUUAUUUUAAUACUAUAUAAAUUAUAUAUUUAUGAUAUUACUGGUUCAACUAUAAUUCAAUCACUGAUCCAACCAUUGAACCAUGAAUUAGUAAAUUUUUUUAUUCAAUGAUAGGUUUGAUUCUAAAAAUAUUAUGACUAUGUUUGGUUCCAGAAAUUUUUUUUUGAUGGAUUACAUCAAUCUAGAUAAUGACAAAGAUAUUACCAAUUUGAUAUCACCAAUUGAUAACACAAUUAAAAAAUAAUAUGCAUUUUAACAUAUUUGAAUUCAUUGUACUCAUAUCCAUGACCUAAUUUUACACAUCCUUAAAUCAUGGUUGAUUUAUGAAACAAAUCUAUACCAUCAAUAGAAAAUAAAUAAAUAAAAUAAUACAAAAAAAUAUAUAGAUAGUCAAGCAUAGCAAUUUACCAAACCCUUAGCCACCAUCCAUACUAACCAAUUGUUGUUAAAUGUUUACAAAAAUAUACAUUAAAUCAAAGAGUAAAAAGAUUAAAAACGAACAAGAGAGAAGAAAUACAUCACCUAAUUUUUGUAAUAAAUGAAAUUAUAAUAAAUUCAUAAUUUUUUUAAAUUAAAAUAGAAAUUCAAAUACAUGUAACUAUUGUUUUUGUCUUGUAAAUCAUCCAAUUUUUCAAUGAAUUUAAACUCCACAUAUUUGUGUAGAUAUCUUAUUAAAAAAAACAAAAAGUUUUCACUAAAAUCAUAAAAUUUAGAUUAGAAAUGAUUUACUAUAUUAGUUCAAAAUUCAUCUCCACAAAAAUUGAAAUAAAUUAAUUAUCUUGAUCAAUUCAAAUAAAAUUUCUCCAAUUAAAUUUCCAAAUAUGUGCCUUAAUACCUAUAAUGGAAUUAGUAAUUUUAAUUAAAAAAUAAAUAAAAAUAAGGAUUUGAUCUUUUUCUUACCAUUUGAUGAAAAUUAUAAAAUAUACUAAAAUGACAAGUGAUCAGACAUUUGAAAUUUGCAUCAUUUCUACCAUUGCAAACACCACCAACUCCAUAUUUCCCAUUUUUCUACCUACUGCCAAUUCACUCAUCUCUCUGGGAAGAUUUUUGAGGUUAUCGCCAUGCUUGAGAUAAUCCAGAAAGUUGAGCGGCAUCACUCUCUGAAAGGUGCCUUACAGCAUGGGUAAUGUAUGGGAUACAUCUGAUAGCUUGCCAUAUCCAUAAACCACUAUAUUAAACCAUGGUUCAUAUCCCCAACGCCACACGAGAAUCUGUACUCAUCCCAAGCAGCUUGGAGAUCAUAAAAUUAGGUUUUGAGGGCCUCCCGAGACAUGCACAGCUUCACCUUUGUGCAUUCCUUUGAUUUGGAAAAUUUCUUCUGUAAAAUCCCCCAUUAUCAUGCCCUGAACCAAGACAAUUUCACAAUAUCCAAUAGCAUAUCAUUUACUUCCAUUUUGUCAAUGGGAAUUACCAUUUUGCAUGGGAAGCACCAACGGAGAUAGGGGUUUUCAAAUUGGAUCACUAGCAAAGAAACCCACCGCAACGAUCUGAAUAAUUGAGCACAACAUCCACUUUAGAGAACCCCUCCUGAAGGCGAAAUCGUCAUCUUGGCUAAACGUAGUCAUAGUUGGGUUGUGAGAAAUGGAGAUGAAUCACAGAAGGCUUUCAGUUUGAUAGCAACGAAAAGGUAAAUGUACUCUAGAGAAGUUUUGACCUUGGGAGAAGCGCUUUUGAAUCCAAGUCAAGGUCUGUUCUGGAUCCCUUUUCGACUCUCUCUAUUAAAGGAAGAUAAUCUGCCCAGGAUUUGGAUGCAAGCCUACAAGGCCAUGUUUAGGAGACUUAUGCAAAAUAUUUAUCCAUAGCUCCCCGCCUGAAACAUCUACAUAAAGCGUCUUCCAAGUGUGAACCAUCGUCUUGGGUCCUUGAGAUGAACAAAAACUGAGACAUGUCGUGAGUUAGAUGCAUUGCCUGAAAAUGCCGAGCAGUAGUAUGGCCUUCUUUCUGAUCAACUGUUUUGUCAAAUUCUAGAGCUCUCAUUCCAAAUCCAUCAGUUUUCUCAAAUGAUUGGCCAGUGGAGAUCCAUGGAUAUAACAUAUGAAAUGUGCACAAUAAAAGUAAUCAAACGGUUGGUUGGUUUGGCUGAAUCCCACAAUCGCAAAGACUUAUCAUAUGAAACUGUUACCAACUGAGUUGAAUUUGGCCUAAAAAGGAUAUCCGUUACUACAAACUAGCGUUCUUUCGUGGUGCUCUCUCUUUGCAGGCUAUCCAUGUUCCAAAGAAAAACUCUCUUGUCAUGUCUGGCACUGGGCACUGAUUAGAGUGUGGGACGUUCAUUCUCCAUUAUCACCAAACACAUGCAGGAUAUAUAUAUAUCAAUUCAUUCAAAAUAUGCCUUUAUUUUAUGGAACAUACCCGAAUCCAUUUUGUUUGUGUUGAAGAGGUAUAGAUCUUCUAAGGCUAUGGAGGGCACCACCUUUUCUCAGAAUUCUCUCUGACGAUGGGAAGCCGAAGAGAACGGGUUUUGUUUUUAUUUUGAAAACGUUGUUAUCCUUAAAGAACAAACACUAUUCUUUGGAUUUAUACCCUCCUACCUUAGGGACCAUACCGUUUGGCUACUGGGCCUCACGAGUCUUAGGCCCAUCAUCUAAGGCCCGUGAUGGCACUGGGCUCUACACAUAAGGUGGCCCAUACUCUAGAACGAAUAGAAAUCAUAUGUAUAUAUAUGGAUAGCUAAAUCCUGAAUAAUGGUUAAUAUGAUGUCGGUCCACAUUUAUUCUAUCAAUCUCCCACUUGGACCACAUAUAUUACAAAACAAUGUUCAUGAUAGUACUUUAUUGAGCUCAUCUUUGCUAUCCUAUCUUAAUAUCCUUAAACAAUCUGGUCUACUAGUUAUGCUAACAUAGGAUCAAAGUGGCCUUCAUUAAUCAUAAUUAUAACUAGACCCAUCAAUGAUCACAACAUUAACAAAAUUAGCAACAUAGAUCAAGUAUGGAUGUGUAGCAUGAAAAUUACAUAAAAUGUGAUCUUUAUUAUGUCUAUUUCCAAUUGGUCCUACUUUAUGACUAAAAAAUAGUCAAAUUCCACUUUCAACACUUGAUGCUAAACUGCUUCUGAAAGUCAUCAUUUCAAUUCAGAGAAUUCAAAUACAAUAGUCUUUAAAAUCAAGGUUUGUUGCGUACAUUAUUGGAAUGUUCAGCAAAUAUUUGAGUAACCCAAGUAUGGAUUACUGGAAAAAGGCAAAAUAGGUUAUGCGGUAUUUACAAAGAACUAAAGAUUAUAUGCUCACAUACCGUAGAUCCAGUCAUUUAGAGAUCAUGGGAUAUUCGGACUCCGAUUUCGCGGGAUGUCUUGACAACAAGAGAUCCACUUCAAGCUUCAUCUUCAUGUUGGCUAGAUGAACAGUUUCAUGGAAAAGUGUUAAACAAAUACUUAUUGCUUCUUUCACCAUGGAGGCAGAAUUCAUAGCCUACUACAAAGCAUCAAACCAUGGGAUAUGACUGCGGAAUUUUGUCACUCAGUUGCGAAUCGUUGAUGAGAUUGAGAAAUCAUUAAGAAUAAAUUGUGAUAAUAAAGCCAUAGAAUUGUAAUUCUAAGAACAACCGAAGUUCGUCAAAGUCCAAACACAUUGACAUCAAGUUCUUGGUUGUGAAAGAAAGAGUUUAGAGUCUUCAAGUAUCAAUUGAACAUACAAGCACAAACUCCAUGAUUGCGGAUCCGCUCACUAAGGGUUUGCCACCCAAAGUAUAUCAUGAGCAUGUCACACAUAUGGGUGUUGUACAUAUUGAUGAUGUUCCAGUAUAGUGGGAGUUUGUAUUUAGAUUUUGUGUUUGUUUUCUUGAUAUGAUGUUAUAUUGUGUUAUCGUGUACAAACUUGUGCAUACAUGAGACUUCCUAUUGUUGAGGCAUAGGGAAACCUCUUCAUAUCCUUCUUUUUAAGUUCAUUUUUCGGACAUUGGUGCAAACUAAAUUUAUCGCCUUUUGCUACAGGCAUGUCUCCUGGUGUACAAUUGCUCAUGCCAAAUCUACUCAACACCUUAUCGAUGUAGGCCUUUUGUGAUAACCCAAGUAUACCUCUUAAACGAUCCCUAUAGAUCUGUAUACCUAGCAAAAAAGAUGCAUUACCAAGAUCCUUCAUGUCAAAUUUACUAGACAAAAAUAGCUUAGUUUCAUGCAAAAGUCCCACAUCACUACUUGCAAGUAGAAUAUCAUCAACAUAUAGCACCAAGAUAAUGAAUUUGCUCCCACUAAACUUGAGAUAUAUGCAUUGAUCAAUGGUGUUUUCCUUAAAACCAAAUGAAGUAAUCACCUGAUUAAACUUUUGGUACCAUUGUCAAGAUGCUUGCUUUAAACCAUAUAUGGACCUUUUUAAUCUGCAUACAAGUUGCUUUAAAUCAUUAGACUCAAAGUUCUCCGGUUGCAUCAUGAAUAUUGUUUCAUCAAUGUUACCAUUAAGAAACGCAGUUUUAACGUCCAUUUGAUGCAACUCUAAAUCAUAAUGAGCCACAAGUGCCAUGAUGAUUCUAAAGGAGUCAUUUGACAAAACCGAUGAAAAAAUCUCCUUAUAAUCAAUGUCUUCCUUUUGAGUGAAACCUUUUGCGACUAGACGUGCCUUAUACCUAACAAUGUUGCCUUUUGAAUCCCACUUGGUCUUAAAAAUCCAUUUACAACCAAUCGAUUUUACACUUUCAGGCAACUUUACUAGGUCCCAAACACCAUUAUCUUUCAUUGAUUUCAUCUCAUCUUUUAUGGCUUCUAUCCACUUUUCAGAGUCAGAACUUUGUUUGACUUGACUAACUGAAAUUGGAUCAUCUUCCAAACCCAUGUCAAACUCUUGUUCCUGGAGAUGUACAACAUAAUCAUCUGAAAUUGUACUUCUCAUUUCUCUAGUGGAUCUCCUUAGUGGCACUUGUAUUUGAGGUUCUUGAGGCUGUUGAGUUACCUCUUCAUAAACUUGAACCGGUUCCAUAACUUGAGCAGGAGGAAUCUCAAGUGUGUUUUGAAUCUCUGUUAUUGAUUGUACAAUCUGGAUAGUGUCAUCAAACAUAAUAUGACCAUGUCCAGUCGUAAUAAUAGGAAUACUAACAGAUUCCUCUUCAAAUACCACAUUUCUUAACGGUUCUCUCCCAUUUAACUCAACAUCCUCAAUAAAUUUAGCUUUGCCCGUUUCAAAAAAGGAUCUAGUUGAGGGGUCAUAAAACUUGAAACCUCUCAACCUUUUAGAAUAUCCUACAAAGUAGCAGCUCACUAUUCUAGAGUCCAAUUUCUUUUCAUUUGGUUUUUAAGGCCUAUCUUCAGCUGGACAACCCUAGACAUGCAAGUGCCUAAUACUAGGUUUCUUGCUAGUUCAUAACUCAUAUGAGGUUUUGGCUACUGCUUUGCUUGAGACUCUAUUCAAAAUAUAAAUUGUUGUUUUGAUGGCUUCGCCCUAAAGUGAUUCUGGUAAGGUGGAAUGACUGAUCAUACUUCUUACCAUAUCCUUAAGAGUACGAUUUCGCCUAUCUGCUACACCAUUUUGGAUUGGAGUCCCCAGCAUGGUGUAUUGAGGAACGAUACCACACUCCAUCAAAUAUUUGGCGAACAGCCCUGGACGUUGUUCACUAGAUCCGUCAUAUCUACCAUAAUAUUCACCUCCACGGUCAGAUCUGACGACCUUUAUUUUCUUGCUUAGUUGGUUCUCAACUUUAGCUUUGAAAUUCUUGAACACAUCUAAUGAUUGAGACUUCUCAUGAAUCAAAUAAAGAUAGCCAUAGCGCGAGUAAUCGUCAAUGAAAGUGAUAAAAUAUUAUUGUCCAUUCCAAGAAGGGGUAGGAGAUGGACCACAAAUGUCCGUAUGUAUCAAUUCAAAGACGUCACUGCACUUGUUAACAUCAUUUUUUUUCUCAUAUUUGUUUGUUUACCCUUAAUAUACUCUAUACAGACUCGAAAGUAUAAGAAAUUAAGUGGAUCAAGAAUUCAUUCUGACACAAGCCUUUGAAUACGUUGAUUUGAAAUAUGACCCAAAUGCCUGUGCCAUAACAUCGAUGAAUUCUCAUUUGUUAAUUUCCGUUUAAUGUCAUAAUUACUUGAAUUCAAGGUUUCAUUUUCAUUAGUGGUCUUUAUGUUUAAUUUGUAUAAUUUGUCUGUUAGAUUACCUGUACCAAUAACAUUUGAAUUUAGAUAAAGACUAACCAUUCCAUUUCUAAAUGAACAAUAAUAUCCAAAGUACAUCCAGAGUCUAACUGUAAUCUAAAAAGACCAAUAGUCUUGACUGCAACCUUGUUGCCAUUUCCCGCAUAGAUGUAUCUUUCACCAUCAAUUGGCAUUCGGCUCCUUAGGCAACCCUACAUCGUGACACUUAUGUGAGUAGUUGCACCCGUAUCUAUCCACCAAGUGUCAGUAGGCACUACGACUAAAUUAAUUUAUGAACAAACAAAGUUGAGAAGUGUACCUUUCUUUUCACGCCAAGCAGCGUAUUUGGUACAUGUCUCUUCAUAUGACCAACCUUCUUGCAAAAGAAACAAGUCAUCUCCUUAUCUUGUUUCUUCUACACCUUUUGCAUUGAUGUCCCAAAAAUUGCAGUUUGUUUUUCUUUAUUGUCCCUUUUUCUUUUCUUGUUGGUACCAAAUCCCUGAGAUGUGGAAGCCAAGUGAGCACUUUCUAUCUUUUCUUGUUUCAAUCUCUCAUCCUUUUGUGCACAUUGAGCAAUAAGCUCAUUCAAAGUCCAUUUUUCUUUUUGUGUGUUGUAACUGAUUUGGAAUGGACUGAAUUGUGUAGGCAGAGAGAUCAAGACCAAGUGCACGAGUAUGUCUUCUGAAAACUCUAAUUUUAGUACCUUUAGUCUAGUCACAAGAUUAGACAUUUCCAUAAUAUACUCCCUUAUAUUCUCUUUCCCUUUGUACCGCAUAGAGACAAGCUUACUAAGAAUAGUGCUUGUCUCAACCUUUUCAUUUGUAGUGAAUCGGUUUGCUAUCUGGUCUAAGAAUGCCUUGGCUCGAGUUUUCUCAGGUAUUGCACUUCUUACAGCUUUUGGAAUUGAGUGCUUUGUUAUCAUUAGAGUCAUGCGAUUGGAUCGCUCCCAUUUUUCCAUAGUAGAACUUUGCUCAGCAGUGCUGGCACUAGUAAGAUCUGGAGGGCGAUCCUCUCUUAAUGCAUAGUCUAAAUCCAUGCACCCGAGCACAAUUAUAGCGUGUUUCUUCCAUUUCUUGAAGUUUGUGCCAUUAAGUGCAGGAAUGUUAUUAACAUUUGCAGAUAUAGAAUAUGUUGAAUUCAUAAUAAUAAAGCUCACAAUCAGUCACAUAAAUAUCAUACAUACAUGAAAAAUAACAUCAUACAAGAUACUUAGCACAAACAUUAAUAUUCUGUCUUUGGACAAUAAAUAUUAACUUGUAAUUGGUAUCCUUAUUCAAAAUUAUUCAUAAAUAUUGACAAUAAAACCAAAAACAAUAUGCUUGUCUUUAGACUAACAUAUCGAAUGCAAGAUAAACUUUAUAUGUCACAUAUUUAUGACUACUUUAUUUAUUAUUAUAUUAAAAUAAUCUUCCUUUGGGCCAAUUAUUUUAAAUAAUAAUAAUAACAUGUUUAGAUAUUAUAAAAUAAAUAAAUUAUAUAAUAUAAGUUACUUUGACAACUAACAUACAUAAUUCAUUUAUUUUAAAAUAUUAAACACAAACAUAACAAGAAAUAAUAAAUUCAAUUAAAAUUAUUUAUUUAUUUAUGCAUAAACCCAUGUAUAUAUAUAUAUAUAUAUAUUAAUUGAAGCAUAAAAAACCAUCUACAUGUGUAUAUAUAUCAAUUGAAGCAUAUAUACAAGCUUUAGUCUAAUGGUUUAAGCAAAAAAUAGGCCAUGGUAAAGGGUUUAAGCCAACCCGCCCCUUUAGUUUGGUUUUUGUUUUUUUUUUUUUGUUUUAAUUUCUUUUGGGCUACUGACCAUGCAUUCUCUCAUGGCCCAACGACCACUUAUGGUCACUUACAAGCCAAGCCCCUUCCAUAUAUAUAUAUAUAUAUAUAUGUUUUUAUUUAUUUAUUUAAAUUUUGUCCAUUGCAGCCCAAAGCGACCAUCCCUUGUAAUGGCAUCAUCAACGGUGCCAGAGCUGUCCUCGAACGACACCGAUAGUGAAACGCUGCCACCAUCACCGGAACGGUGAUUUCCCAUCGCCAAACGACGGUGUCACUACCGGAAUGAUGCUGUAACAGCAUCGCUGGGAAGCAACCUAACUUGUGGCGUGACACCAUGACAAGCAAUGCCACUAGCAGUGAAACGCUGUCGCCAUCACCGAAACGGUGAUUUUCCAUUGCCAAACAAUGGCGCCACCACCGGAACAACGUUGAAACAACAUCACUGGGAAGCAGCCCUACCCGUGGCACCAAAAUGGCGCUUGGAUGGCAUUUGGAACACUUGCAACAACGUUCAAAUCAGCGCUUCUCACUGGCAAAUGACGCUUGAACGACAUCUGGAAAUAAUGCCUACAACGCCUAAAAAUUGUGCUAUUUUGAACUCUUAAAACAACGUUGAAAUGACGUCUACCAAAGUCUGGAAUUGCACCGCUGUCUAGAACGAUGCCAUGAUGGUGUCUCACUCGCCUUAAAUGGCACCAACCACCAUGACUUGCAACCUAAAAAAUGGCACUUGAACAGCGCCUGAAGCGUGCCUGGAACGACGCUACAAACGAUGCCUGAAAUGGUGCCUUUUGUAUGCCUGAAAACGACAUAGGAAUGACGCUUAAACUACGUCCAUUUUGAACGCCUGAACGGUGUCCUAACGGCGCCUGAAACGAUGCCUGAAUGACGCCUGGAAUUGGCCCAGAUUUAUUUUAUGUUGUUUCCUUCCUCUUGGAUCUUUUGUUUGUGUUUUAAAAAAAAAAAUGUUUUGGUGAAAAUGGGAAAUGCAACCAGGCUCUGAUACCAUUUUGUGGGACGUUCAUUCUCCAUUAUCAUCGAACACAUGCAAGAUAUAUUUAUAUAUAUCUAUCAAUUCAUUCAAAAUAUGCCUUCAUUUUAUGGAACAUACCCGAAUCCAUUUUGUUUGUGUUGAAGAGGUACAGAUCUUCUAAGGCUAUGGGGGGUACCACCUUUUCUUAGAAUUCUCUAUGACGAUGGGAAGCCAGAGAGAACAAGUUCUAUUUUUAUUUUGAAAACGUUGUUAUCCUUAAAGAACAAACACUAUUAUUUGGAUUUAUACUCUCCUACCUUAGGGACCAUACCCUUUGGCUAUUGGGCCUCACGAGUCUUAGGCCCAUCAUCUAAGGCUCGUUAUAGCACUAGGCUCUACACAUAAGGUGGCCCAUACUCUGGAAAGAAUAGAAAUCAUAUGUAUAUAUAUGGAUAGCUAAAUCAUGAACAAUGGUUAAUAUGAUGUCGGUUCACAUUUAUUAUAUCAUAGAGACUUCCCAUAUGAAGAAAAUCGACAGCAGGUAGCUUUGCCAUUCUUAGUCUGUAUACAACCAACCUUAGCAAGGAUUGAACCCUUUUAUGCUUAGUUGUGCCAUAAAGAUCCUUACCACUGCCUAUAACAUGUAAUCAAAAUGAUUCGAUAAUAUCAUCUAGUGAACCAAUACCUCCAAAUGAGAGACCAUUGCCUUGGUAACUAGGGCUCAUGACUGAGAAUUGCUUGAACCCCUUUGCUUGGGUUGGAGCUUGACUGAUGCACAAAAUAUUCAUAGGCCUCUUCCCAUAACUGGCACCUUGUGUUUGCAACAUAAUUGAACAUGUAUUGAAGUGAGUUUUUUUGCAUCUUUUUGUAAGAAAAUUCUAAACAACAGAGAUUGCUUAGUGUGCCCGGCUCCUCGGGGAAUCAAGGUUCAUUCCUGUAGGGCCAAUUUUUUCACAGUCGAACUAGAUAACAUGGAGAGUAUGUUGCAAUGCUUCAACGGGGUAUUUCUUAGGAAAAUCCACCUGAAGCUAGUACAAUUCGUUGGCGUACUGAGUUCCUGGAGCUCUAUUGACUUCAAUCACCCAUCUUUGUAGAUUAUCGGUGACUUAUGCUCGGAUCCUGUAGGAGGAUUGACCUGACAUUCCACUAGCUCUUUCUGGAAGGCGAUCUUGUUUAACACCUUGUGAGAAGAGGCAAGGGAACUGGUCAUUGUUUCUUCGAGAAGAUCAGUGGCCGAGGAUGGGUUUGGAUCAGAAUUGCUAUAUGGGUUUUCUUUGGGUGAACCAAUUAGUGAAGUGGGUGGCUAUAUAGCAACUGAAGGGUAGUCAUACUAACGAGGAACUAUUAUUUCAUGCAUGUGGAGAGGAAAUGAGUAGAUUCUUCAGGGAUAUAUGAUUAUUCAUCUCUAGCUUACGUUGAAUAUCUCCUAACAAAUUUAUGCUUUGAAGCUCCCUUAGUUUCAUUACAGCUAACUUGGCCAACUUGGUUUCAUCAUGUUUCCUACAACCUCUAAGCAAAGCACGCCAGAUCACCAAAUCAGGUUCUAUUCGCAUUUUGUCCAUAAACUCCUUUGCCUAUUGACAAUAGACUGCCCCUCAAAAUUUGAUGAGAUAACAUCAACGCUGACAGGUUGGCCAUCCCCAUAAGCAUCUUUAUAGAGAUUGAUUCUAUGUUUAGAUAUUUCUCUCUCCUCAAGUGAGUUCAAUUUUUUUGUAACAUCCUUCUCCUUCUCUACUAAUAGUCUUAGCUGAACAUCCAACCUAUGUUCCUAAAGUGCCAGCAUCUCAUAUCUGAUGACAAGCCAACAACCUUGCCCUUGCUGAGACCAAUGUUUUUAAGGCGUUUGUGGGGCGCGCCUUGAGGCGAGGCGCAGCGAAAACGUGUUGAGGCGUUAAAAAUAAAAUGAAACACCUGAAAGGCGUACGCUUUUCCGAUGAGGCGUGAUUGAGGCGUGCUUUGAUCGCGCCUUUCACACUCCAAGAAGAAGGUGUAUGCUUCCUCGGAUCUGAUGUGGCAAUGAACAGAGAUUUAAAAAAAAACCCUAAGUAAUCCCUAAAACCCUAGUCCCGACUGAAAACAAACCCAAAACGAAACCCUACCUCCAACGACUCAAGUGGCGACGGAGUGCUCACCCUCGGCUGCGACCAAUCGCAAUGCAUCUUCUCCGGCGACGAUCCCUCUCAUUCAUCUCCAGGUAUGUUGCGAACUCCUUCUUCCAUGGUUUCUCCCUCUUCGUUUCUCUUUCUGCAAUCCACACGGGCUUCGUCGACUCUUCAUCCAAAUUUUUUUUUUAUCAAAUCAGUUAUGUAUAUCUAUUUAAAUUUUAAACCCUUUUUUCUCUCUCUUACAGUAUAUCUAUUUAAAUUCUUUCUCGGCAAUCCACAGCCCACACUUCCAGUCCACACUUUUCUCUCUCUCCCAAUAGGCUUUUCAUUUUCCUUUUUUUUUUUUUUUUUUUUUUAAAUUAUCAAAUCAAAUGUGCCUUUUGUUAAUAAGAUUUUUUUUGAAGUUUUUUAUAUGUUUGCUUAUAGUAUCAACAAAAAAAUAUAAUUAAAAUUAUAUAAAAGACAAUUAUUUGUGAAUUUUGAAUUUUUUAUUUCUGGUUUAAUUUUAAUUUUCACCUCAAUUUUCUUUAUUUCAUUAUUAAAUUCCAAUUAAAAUUUAUGUGUAUAAUUUUUAAACUCUUUUAAAAAAAAUUGGUUUUUUUUUAAUUUAAACCAAUUAAAUUUUGUAUUUCAUUUUUAAAUUUCUUUCAAUUGUGCUUUGUUAUUAUUUUUUUAGUCAAUUAUAUUGUUAUAUGGAAAUUUGAAUAUUAUUAUUGGUGAUUUUUUUUAGAAUGAGUUCCUCUGAUUCAAAAAAUUCAAGAAAGGAUUUUGUGUGGAAGUAUGUGAUGGAAGUUUCUAGAGAGCAAUAUUUAAUAUGUAAAUUUUGCAAUCAAAGAUGUACGGGAAGGGUGAAUAGACUAAAACAUCACUUAGCCGGAACUCAUCAUGGUAUGAAACCAUGCAACAAAGUUAGUGAAGAUGCUAGAUUGGAAUGUAAAGAGGUAUUGGCUAAUUUUAAGGAUCAAAAAACGAAGAGAAAUGAAUUGCUCCAAGAAAUUGGUAUGGGUCCAACUUCAAUGCAUGAAAGUGCCUUGUCUAAAAUAAUAGGGACAUUAGGGAGUGGGAGUGGGAGUGUAAGUGGGAGUGGGGAACCUAUUCCUAGGGGACCCAUGGAUAAAUUUACCACUUCACAACCUAGACAAAGUACUUUGAAUUCAUAGUGGAAGCAAGAAGAAAGGAAGGAAGUGUGUAGAAAAAUUGGUAGGUUUAUGUAUUCAAAAGGUCUCCCAUUCAACACUGUGAAUGAUCCUUAUUGGUUUCCUAUGAUAGAUGUUGUUGCAAACUUUGGGCCCGGGUUUAAGCCUCCAUCUAUGCAUGAAUUGAGGACAUGGAUUCUUAAAGAAGAGGUGAAUGACCUAAGUAUCAUUAUGGAAGAUCACAAAAAAGCUUGGAAACAAUAUGGAUGUUUAAUUAUGUCAGAUGGUUGGACAGAUGGAAAAAGUAGGUGUCUUAUCAAUUUUUUGGUGAAUAGUCCUGCUGGAACUUGGUUUAUGAAAUCAAUUGAUGCUUCUGAUACAAUAAAAAAUGGGGAAUUGAUGUUCAAAUAUCUUGAUGAGGUGGUUGAAGAAAUUGGAGAGGAGAAUGUUGUGCAAGUCAUCACUGAUAAUGCCUCUAAUUAUGUGAAUGCUGGAAUGAGGCUUAUGGAAAAAAAGAGUAGAUUGUGGUGGACUCCUUGUGCUGCUCAUUGCAUUGAUUUGAUGUUAGAGGAUAUUGGAAAGCUAAAUGUUCAUGCUACUACACUUUCUCGAGCUAGGCAAGUUGUGAAGUUUAUAUAUGGGCAUACUUGGGUUCUUAGCUUGAUGAGAACAUUUACAAAAAAUCAUGAACUUAUUCGUCCAGCAAUUACACGGUUUGCUACUGCAUUUCUUACUCUCCAAAGUCUUUAUAAGCAAAAGCAAGCUCUUAUAGCAAUGUUCUCCUCAGAAAAAUGGUGUUCAAGCACAUGGGCUAAAAAGGUAGAAGGUGUGAAAACUCGAAGUACAGUGUUGUUUGAUCCAAAUUUUUGGCUUCAUGUUGCUUUUUGCAUAAAGACCACUGUUCCAUUAGUUAGUGUCUUGAGAGAGGUUGAUUCAGAGGAAAGACCAGCCAUGUGUUAUAUUUAUGAGUUGAUGGAUUUAGUUAAGAAGAAGAUUGCAUUUAAUUGUCGGGGCAUGGAGAGAAAAUAUGACCCAAUUUGGAGAAAAAUUGAUGCAAGAUGGACUCCGCAACUUCAUCGACCUUUACAUGCAGCAGACUAUUAUCUUAAUCCUCAAUUGCGGUAUGGAGAUAAGUUCUCUAAUGUUGAUGAGGUGAGGAAGGGAUUAUUUGAAUGCAUGGAUAGAAUGUUGGAUUAUCAAGAACGUUUAAAAGCUGACAUUCAGUUGGACUCAUAUGACCAAGCAAUGGGUGAAUUUGGGAGUCGUAUUGCAAUUGAUUCUCGAACAUUAAGAAGUCCUACAAGUUGGUGGAUGCGUUUUGGGGGUUCAACACCGGAGUUGCAAAAGUUUGCUAUUCGAGUCCUUAGCCUUACUUGUAGUGCUUCGGGAUGUGAAAGAAAUUGGAGCACAUUUGAAUCGGUAAUACUUCUAUUUUUGUAAAUUUUUAUACAUAUAUUUCUAUUUCAAUGUUAGAGAACUUUAUUUCAUUUUAACACAUAAAAUUGUUUCUUUUAUUAUUUGUAGAUCCAUACAAAAAAAAGAAAUAGACUUGAACAUCAAAAGUUGAAUGCUCUAGUGUAUGUAAGGUACAACACUAGAUUGAGAGAGUGAAGUCUACAAAGGAAACAAAAUGUUGAUCCAACCUUGGUAGAGGAGAUUGAUUCUGAUGAUGAAUGGAUUGCGGAGAAAGAAGAUCUCCUCCUCCCCCUUGAUCUUUGUUGGCUUCAAGAUAAUGAAUUAUUCAAUGUUGAUGCCAUUAGAGUUGUGUCAUCCAACUCCCAAGAGACGCAAGCAUCAUCGGAUCAUAUGGUUUCUUCACAUUCCUACAAAAGGAAACAUAAUGAAGUACCAAGUAAGUACUCAAAAAUUGAAAUCAUAAAUUUGAUUAAAUUUAAUAAAAAAAACUUUUAAUAUUUAAACAUAAUUAAUACUUUAUGCUAGGUACAAGUGGAGGCAAAGGCAAAGAGAAGGAAUUGAAUUUGACACCAAUUGAUGAAGAUGAAGAUUUAGAUGAAAUGGGGAUACAUGAUAGUGGACAUUUUCCUACUAUUGAUACAUUGGAUGAGGAUGAUGAUGACCUUGGAGAGGAGGAUUUAAGUUGAAACAAUUUACUCUAGUUGUUAUUUCAUGACUUAGUUAUGGAUUUUUUGUAAAAGUUUAGAACUAUUAUUAUGGUUGACUCUAUUUUCUAUUUCAUGACUUAGUUAUGGCUUUUUGUUAAAGUUUGAAACUAUUAGUAUAGUUGAAUCUAUAAUCUAUUUUAUGAAUUUGUUAUGGUUUUUUGUGAAAGUAAGGAACUAGUAUGUUUUUUUUUAUGAUUCUAAUGAAUUGUUUUCAUGUUUUUAUUUAUGCUAUUUUAUUUUAUAUAUUUUAAAAUAUUAAUUAAUUAUAUAAUGUGAGGCUCAAAAAGCUUACGCCUCAAUGCCUCGAGGCUUACGCCUCGCCUCACGAACACAAAAACGCCUCGCCUUACGCUUUCGCCUUUAAAAACUUUGGCUGAGACCCAAAUAAGUAUCCAGAACCAUCAUCAUCAACCCUUUCACAAGCCUUUGUAUUUGAAGGUCAGAUUGGGAUUGCUUUGAAUGCACUGACACUGACACUGCAAUACACAAUUGUUUCUUCUCCAAUAAAAACACCACAAAGAGGUGAGGGGACUGGUAUUAGCAAAGAAGUGUUGUUAUCUAUAUUGUUCUGAGCCCGAGUACCAAAAACAAAAUCCUCAUCCUCAUCUAUACUCUUCCAUUACAUCCCUAGGCUUUUCAAUGUGAUCCACAUGGCUUACAGGAAUCCAGAAAUAUCGGUCUGUAUAAAAGUUGCUCUUAUGUGGCUCUCCUAGAAAACAUCCCAAUCAAGAUGAUCAACCUAGCUUAGAUGCUCAACACCCCAAACUUACGAGAAAUAGAGGAAUAAAAAGCAAGGAUAGGAGCCAAAGUAAAAACUGAGGGAAGAGCAAAUAGGAAAUCAAGCAAAACAUGAAUGUACAGAGCCUCAUUUCAGGUGACAUCUUUGGGCUAAUAAUAGGUGGAAUUAACAAAGUAGAUAAGCAUGAUUGUUAUAAAUAUCAAGUUCAAGGAUGAAGUCGUGCAUCAGCUACUUAUAGGGGGAGUCAAGGAAACCAAGAUAAGAUCAAAGAGAGCAUGUAUGCAAAUAAACAGAUUUGACAAAAUAGACCAAACAGCUUGUGAAUAUCCUCCUACAAAAAACUACUACACGUGGCAAAAAGUGAUGAAGCAAAAAGAGUCGGGUCCGCAUAUACAUAUCCUAUGCUAUCCUAUUCCUUCAAAUCCAAAGCAACCUGUAUUUUCAAUGGGAUUUGUUGUGAUGAAUUUUACUGGAUUGUAACAUGUAAAUAUGUUAAAAAAGGCUUGGGACAUUCCUAUAUAGUAACGCAUAAAGGUACUUCCAUUGUGAAGUUGUCAAAAUUGCAAAUUUAAAUUACAAAAUUUGAAAACAUAGAGAUGAAAGAUGAUGAAACCUUCUUUGAAAUUUUAUAUUGAACUCAUUAAUAUUAUUAAUUUUCAUUUCAGUCUAAGGGAAAGAAUUCUUUACUCUAAAGUGGUCACAAAAAUAUUAAAAUUCCUUGUCGAGAGAUUUAGAUCUAAAGUGAUCAAUAUAGAAGAAAGUAAAAAUAUUCUAAGUGUAGGUAAACUUGUAGACUCAAAUGACUCUACCUUCUCAUAAAAAAUCCUCAAUUUUAUAAAUUAUAUAGAUUUCUUCAUUUGAUACAAAAUUUGAAUAAAGAUUUUUCAAAUGACAACACAAGGAAAGGGAAAAAAAAAAUCUAUCCAGAUCAUAUUAUUUAAUCACUUAAAUUAUUUAAAAAUAAAAAUGUUUACUGCUAACAUUAUUUAGGUUCAUCUUUCUUUUGAUGGAGGUUAAAAUUCAUAAUUUUGAGGAAAAAGAUGAGGAUUCUCAUUUUUUUUUUCCAUGUAUGAAUGGGAUUCUCAUUGUGUAUAUGUGGGUUACUAAAUGGCAAAUUUGGGGGCCAAUAUGAGGGAAAAAAUGAAGUUGAGUUUGUCACCAAGAAUAGACAUGGUUCCUACAAAGGUGGCAUCUUUAAUUUCAUGUUUGGAUUGGACUUGUCAUGUAACAACUUAACAAGUGAAAUCCCUCAUGAACUUGGAAUGUUAAGUUUGAUUCAUGCAUUGAACUUGUCUCGUAAUCAACUAAAAGGCUCCAUUUCAAAGAGUUUUUGCAAUCUUUCUCAAAUAGAGAGCUUAGACCUUUUUAAUAAUAAACUAAGUGGAAAAAUUCCUCCAAAAUUGGUUAGACUAAACUUUUUAGCAGUGUUCAAUGUUAGCAUAUUCGGAAGAGUUUUAGAUAUGAAUGCAUAAUUUGCAAAAUUUGAUGAAAGUAACUAUGAAGCUAAUCCUUUCCUUUGUGGACCACCAUUAAACAGAAAAUGUAGCAUAAAUGUUGUUGAACCACCUUACCAACCAUUAGAGUCUUCAGAAGAAAGUGAUGCAAAAUGGUAUAAUAUCAAUCUUGUUAUUUUCUUUGCAAAUUUUACUACAUCAUAUAUCAUGAUAUUAUUAGGAAUUUCAACCAUUCUUUACAUUAACCCUUAUUGGUGUCAAAUAUGGUUCAAUUUUAUCGAGAAAUAUAUAUACUUUUGCUAUUAUUUUGUUUCCUAUACUCUUUCCAAGUUAUUAACAUAUUUUGAAUAAUUAGAGAUUUUUGUUUUCAAUAAUAUUUACAUAAUUAACUACUAUUGGUUUCCAUGACAUGGAAAGAAAUGCGGUGAAGGCAACAACCACUUUUUUUUCUCCUCUACUAGUGCAUGAUUGAUAUGAGUUAAAACUUGCACCCUUAUCUUUACUUAAAUUUUCUCAGCUUUUGUUUCAAUUCUUAAUUAUCAUUUCUUUUAUGUAUUGUUUAAUACAAUAUCCUAAACACAUUGCUUUGAAGGUUACUUAUUUAUUAAGCAUGAUAUUUAUUUUCAUAAAGACAAAUUCAAGUUUUUUAGGAAUUUUUAGAAUUAUUAUAAUUUGGAGUUCACAUUAGAGGAAAAAAAGGAAAGAAAAGAAUAGAUAAUUAAAAAAACAAUUUUAGUAAGUAUAAUUUGUCAUCUUCGGUAUAACAAAUGGGAAUUCCAAAAUAAUAUUUCAAUUUGUUAGUCUAUUCCUUAUAAUAUUAAUUGAAAUAUCAAAUAAGGAGUCACGUUUUGAUUUUUUUAUUAGCUUGAAUUGCAUGUCACAUAUAUUUUAAAAUCAAGCAUACCUCAGCAGGGAAGUUCUUGUAACAUGCAUGAACAUGAUAUGAUGAAUUAAAUAAUUUUCUUAAUUGUGUGAGACACAAACCCUCUUUGUUUAAUAAUAAUAAUAAUAAUAAUAAUAUACUACACAUUAUUAAAUCAUAUAUGUAUAUUUAUAGUCGUAUAAUAUAUUUAUAUAAGUAACAAUAAAUUAUAUUGUAUAAGGUAUCGGUAGGAGUUUUCAAUUCCCUCAUAUAAUAAUAUCUAUCAAUAAUUGGAUUGGACACCUUGCUGGCCAUGAGAAUGGACUUGACAUUAACACAUAGCCUUGAGUGGUGUUGAUAUUAUUACUUUGAACCAGAACUGCAGUCAUCUCAAAAACUAUAUUAUAUAGAAAAGCAAAAUAAAAACAUUAGUUAAAAAAAAUGUCAAGAUCCUUGAAAUCACGUUUCAAUAUGUUAAAUUACCAUUUUUUUAAAUAAAUUUUUGAUAGGUUGUGUGAAUAAAUAUAAUUGCUAUGAAGGGUUUCAAUUUAAUUUUACUAGCAAAUCCAUAAUAGGUGAAAAGACAAAACUACCAUUUUUGUUUUUUUUCUUUAUUUACCUUUUUUCUCUCGUAACCUUACUCCUUUCUCCUUUUUGUUUUUUCCUUUUUUAUUAUUAAUUUGUCUUUUUCCUUUUUCUCAACUAACUAUUUUUUUUCUUGUAAUUGUUAUUAUCAUUCUUAUUAUAAAUAUUAUAACCUUAUAUUAUAAAUUUUUAGUUUAGAUUAUAUUUAAACUAACUAAUGUUGUGGUUUUAAUUGACAUGGAAAAGAAUGUGGUUAUACAUGUGAUUGUCGCCUUUUUUUUUUUCAAUUAGUUAACUAUUGAUACAAGUUAAAAGUAAAAAUUGCAAUAUUAUCUUUACGUCAAUUUCACCGAUCUUUUGUUUUUAUUUUCAUGUAUCAUUCCUUUUUUGGUUAUUUAAUUAAAAGGAUUAAAAAAAAAUCACAUAUUCACAAUAAUAACCUUCAUAUUUUAAAAACAUAAAAUAAACAUUUUUUUUUUUUUAUAAAAAUACCCUCCAACUAUAUUUUUUAUAUCCCUAUUUCAAAUCCAAACACUUCUUUUAAAAAUAAUAAUAAUAAAUAAGGGCAAAAAUGUCAAACUGGGAUUAUAUUUAUAAUUUUCAAUAAUUAGAGGUUGUUUUUCCAAUGUAAAAAUUAUUUUGUUCCUUUGGCACAAAUAUUUCUUUCUUUUAUGUAUUUUUUUUAUUCAAAAUAUUAAACACAUUACCCUCAAGGUUACUAUUUAUUAUGAAUGGUGUUUACUUUACAUAACGAGAUAUUCAAAUUUUUUAGAAUUUUUUAAUGUUAAAAUAAUUUGGAGCUUAAUAGGGAAAAAAAAGAAGAAAGAAUAGAUAAUUAGAAAAGCAAUUCAAAAAAAUAAAAUUUAUCCUCUUAAAUUGGUUUUGUGUAAUACUAUAGAAGCCAUUUCUUGAGUUUGAUAUGGUAGAAUUUGGAUUCAUAUUUAUUUUAAAAUCAAGAAAUUCAAGUGUUGGUAGCAUCAAUAGAAUCUUAACAAAUUUGAAAAAAAAUAUUUAGGUAGAUCACAUUUAAAUAUAGCUAAUAGAAUAAAAAAUUAGUAUUAUUAGAAAGACAUGAUCAAUUAAAUCUUUUUUCUUAUCUAUGACACCGACUUUAUUUUUUUACAUAGUCAAUACAAUUUAUUACAACUUAUAUGUCAUUAAAUUAUAUACGUUUAUAUUAAAUAUAAUAUAAGACCAUUAAUGGAAUAAUUAUGCAAGUAAUAUAAAUUGUAUAUAAUAUAAAAAAUUUAAACUCCAUCAAACUAAUGGAAUCUAUUAUAAUAAGUAGACUAGACACCAUGUUGGCCCGAGUUGCAGGCCUGGGCCAGAUUUUAAAGGCUGGGCUUUGAGUUGCCCGUGGGCCUGAGCCAAGGCCUUCUCUUGGUAUCAUCAUUUUGAAGAAAUAAAUUGCUGAUACAGAGAAAAAAACUAUACUAAAUAGAAAAAUAAAUAAAAGCAUUGACUAAAAUGAAGGUCAAGGUCCUUGAAAAAUAAUCUUUAAAUUGUUGCAUAUAUAAUUUCAAUAAUGCAUAAAUAAUUGCAAUAUAUAUGAUAUGAUAAAGAAUUUGGAAUUAAAAGAAGAUUGAUCUAUUUUAAAUGUGGUUGGAAUAUUUCUAAAUUUGUGAUGGGAAGUUAGACAGCCAAUUAGGGAUCCAUAUUAUUUAUUUUCAAUGAUAUGAAUUUAUUUACUUUUAUUAAUAUUCUUAAUGCAACAAUAUAAAAUAUGUCAAUUUUCUAAAAUUUAAAAAGUAAUUGUAAAAGAAUUUUUUUUAAUUAUUUUUCUGAAAUUGAGUUUAUUAUAACAUUUUUCUUUACAUAAAUUUCUUUUUUAUUUUUAUUUUUUUUAAAAUGAGAUAUGAAAAAAAGAGAUCAAUAUUAGUACAAGUAAAACCCAAUAUAUAUAUAAAAAAAAUGAAUAAAUGUUUAUGAAAUAUUUUUUCUCUUUUAAUUCCUAUUCAAUUCAUUACACAAAAUAUUUUUGGUUUUUAUGCUAAAAUUUAUUGUUUAUUCAAAAAUUCUAGUAUACCUAGCUAUCAUAGAAGAGCCCCAAAAUUUUAUUGUUUAAGAGAAUAUGUGUUGCCACUUUAAAAGAUUUAUAUGCAAAAGGGAUUGAUAUUUUUUUCCUUUGGAUAUAUUUAGUUCCCGGAAAAUUUGAGGGAAAAUGUGAGGGAAGAAAAAUAGAGAAGAAAAGUAUAACGAAAUAAAAAGUGAAGGAAAAUGAAAAAUAGAUUUAAAGUUAAUAAAUUAUUUUCAUUGGUUUUUUCAAACUUAUUUUACUUAUUUUAUUCUAUUAAAUAAAGAUUAGCUAAUUUUAAUUAUAUUUGGUUUGAUUUUUAUUAUUUUUCAAAGCAAAACCAAAUAUGAAAAAAAAAACAUUUUUUUUGUUCAUUUUUUCUUUCCUUAUUACUUUUCAAAACUCAAACAUAGCUUUUAGAUUUGGAGCAUGGAAAGAUAAGAGUAUUGAAUAAAGGUUCUAUAUAUGCCCAUGCCCAUGAUACCAUUGAAAAAAAUGGAGAAAGGGUGAAACUUUUUCUCUUCAAUGGAAAUCAAAUAUAAUUAUUUUUAUCUUGUAGUAAUUGAAUGUUAUACUCCAUAAACUCAAAAUUAAAAUAAAUAAAAAAUUUAAAAACUAGGACAAUCCCAUUUUUUUUUUCAAUUUCUUAAAAAGAAAUUAAAUUACAUUUAUUUAUAUCUAUUUUCAUCCCUACCCAAAAAAAUAAAAAAAAAAUUAACAAGGUGGGACAUGUAUGAGAAAUUCUCACACUAACUCUCUCUAGUUUAUUUUUUAUUUUUUAAAAAAAAUCAAUUUCUUUUAAAAAAAUUAAACUAUAUAAAAAAUAAAUAUAAUUUAAAAUAAAAUAAUUUAACAAUUUUUUUUUUAAGAAAAGUAAAUUUCUUAUUUUAUAUAUGUUAAAAAUAAAUAUAAUCUUUUAUUUUUUUAUAUAUAUAAUCGGGUAAGGUAGAGUGGGACAAAGAAAUAAUCCCCUUCGAUUCCAAUAUGAAUUUUUAAAAUAUAAAAUAAAAAUCUUAAACUCAUCCCUAAUCCAUUUAUUUUUAAUCCUAAACUCGUCUUAUUAAGAAUAAGGCAAAGUGAGUACAUGAAAACACUUCUUUUAUCAUCAUCUCUACAAGUUCUAAUGUUUAGACUGCAAUCCAUAUCAAAGAUUUAUAAAGAAAGGACAACGAUGAAUUUCAUAAACAUUUGAAAGCAUAUACGUACAAAGUUUUAAAUAAUAUUGCUUGAGGUGCAAAUAUUAUUUGGCGCACAUAUUGAGGGACUUCAACUUGUUUUUUACAUUAGUAAGUAAUCUUGAAUAUCUAGAGUAACUUGACCAAAAUCUCUUUAAUUUUAUUUUCUUUGAUGGUUGUAUGAUGAAUUAGAAUGCUUAUAUAACAUGAUUAAAAAUUUUAAGAAAAAAAAAACUAAGAAGAAAGAAAGAAGCACCGAUCUUCCAAAUAUUGCUUCCACUUUAAUAUCUAGAAGGCUCUAAGAAAAGAACUUUUUUCAUGAAUCAUAACCCAAGUCGAAAAUAAAUUGAACCCAUUUUCUAAGUUAAAUUUUGAAUUUUUUACUAGUGAAUGCAAAUUGGGAAAAUGUAUAUAAAUAUAAUUAAACUAGAAUAGUAGGUUAGGUUUGUAGGUGGAGUUUGUUUGAAUUGUUGGAACUUCCAAGUCGUUGUGGGUCUAGUGGUCCCAUAGCUCUCUAUUAAUUUCCACCAUCAAUUUUCUGCAAUAAAGUCAAGUCAUUCCUAACCCCUAUAUUAAGUUGGCCUUAAAAGUCAAGUCAUUGAUCAUAGUUACAUUCAUGAAUCACAACCUAAGUCGAAAAUAAAUUGAACCCAUUUUUCAAGUUCAACUUUGAAUUUUUUACUAGUGAAUGCAAAUUGGGAAAACAUAUAUAAAUAUAAUUAAACUAAAAUAGUAGAUUAGGUUUGUAGGUGGAGUCUGCUUAAAUUGUUGAAACUUCCAAGUCAUCGUGGGCCCAGUGGUCCCAUAGCUCUCUAUUAAUUUCCACCAUCAAUUUUUUGCAAUAAAGUCAAGUCAUUCCUAACCCCUAUAUUAAUUUGGCCUUAAAAGUUCAGUCAUUGAUAGCUAAAUCCCAACCCAAGUCAAAAAUAAAUUGAACCCAUUUUCUACGUUCAACUUUGAAUUUUUUUUAAUUGGAAAAAUGUAUAUAAAUACAAUUAAACUAGAAUAGUAGAUUAGGUUUGUAGGUGGAGUCUGCUUGAAUUUGUGAAACUUCCAAGUCAUCGUGGGUCUAGUGGUCCUAUAGCUCUCUAUUAAUUUCCACCAUCAAUUUUCUACAAUAAAGUCAAGUCAUUCCUAACCCCUAUAUUAAUUUGGCCUUAAAAGUCUAGUCAUUGAUAGCUACGUUCAUGAAUCCCAACCCAAGUCAAAAAUAAAUUGAACCCAUUUUCUAAGUUCAACUUUGAAUUCUUUUAAUUGGGAAAAUGUAUAUAAAUACAAUUAAACUAGAAUAGUAUAUUAGGUUUGUAGGUGGAGUCUGCUUGAAUUUGUGAAACUUUCAAGUCGUCAUGGGUCUAGUGGUCCCAUAGCUCUUUAUUAAUUUUCACCAUCAAUUUUUUGCAAUAAAGUCAAGCCAUUCCUAAACCAUAUAUUAAUUUGGCCUUAAAAGUCAAGUCAUUGAUAGUUACGUUCAUGAAUCACAACCCAAGUCUAAAAUAAAUUGAACCCAUUUUCCAAGUUCAACUUUGAUUUUUUUACUAGUGAAUGCAAAUUGGGAAAACGUAUAUAAAUAUAAUUAAACUAGAAUAGUAUAUUAGGUUUGUAGGUGGAGUAAGCUUGAAUUGUUGAAACUUCCAAGUCAUCACGGGUCUAAGGGUUCCAUAGCUCUCUAUUAAUUUUCAUGGUCAAUUUUUAUGAAUUAAGAUUUAAAAGUGAGAAGGGAAUAAAUUUUUUCUUUUUCAAUUCAUUACAAAAAAUAUUUUUGGUUUUUAUGCUAAAAUUUAUUGUUUAUUCAAAAAAUUAAAGUAUAAAUAUAUAUAUAUAUAUCUUGCUAUUAUAGAAGAGCUCCAAAAUUUUUGUGUUUAAGAGAAUAUGUGUUGCCACUUUAGAAGAUUUAUAUACAAAAAGGAUUGAUGUUUCUCCUUUGACUAUGUUUGGUUCCCAAAAUUUGAGGGAAAUAAAAAAAAAAUAGUAAAAAAGAAAAAAUGAAAGAAAAUAAAAAAUAGUUUUAAAGUUAAUAAUUAUUUUUAUAUGUUUUUUCAAACUUAUUUUACUUUUUUUUUCAUUAUAUAAAGAUUAAAUAAUUUUAAAAUGCAUAAAUUUCUAACUAAUUUUAAUUAUAUUUAAUUUUUCUUUUAUAUUUUUUAGAUAGGAUCCGACACAUGAAAAAUCCUUUUUUUUAGCAUUUUUUUUUCUUUUCUUAUUACUUUCCAAUAACCAAAUAUAACCUUUAGAUUUAGCCUUUAAACUUGGAGUAUGGAACGAUACUGAGUAUUGAAAGAAGGUUUUGUAUAUGGCCAUGAUACCAUAGAAAAAAUGGGCGAGAGAGAAAAAACCUUUAUUAAAUGAUAAAUUAUUUUUUUCAAUGGAAAUCAAAUAUAAUUAUUUUUAUAAUAAUUACUUUAUUUUUUUUAAAAAUAAUAAUUUGUUGUUGCAUUAAGUAUUCUUGCAUUUGGAGAAGCAUGUUACUACUUACUACAUAAAUAGAUAUUCAUGGAGUGCAUUCUCUAAAAAGCUCCAGUCUCAUGAAAAUGGAAAGAUGGACCGGCCGGUGAACCGGUUCGAGUUUGGAUUUAUUGGCUGCCUCAGCCUUACACGCAUGAUAGGCUGUUGCAGGUGAAGAACUAAUUAAUUUAAAGCCUUCUUCUAUCCUCUCCUAUUCCUCUAUCACUCCAAAUGUUCCACAUGAUAAUGACAAUUCUUUUGUUAAAUGGUAAAAAAAAAAUUUAAAUAUUAUUUAAAAUUUUUUUUAAUUCUAAAUCCAAUGGAAAUUCGACUCUAAGGUGUGUAGAAGGCCCUAGUGCCCAUGUUGCUAAUUUGAUGAUAGUUAAAUUGUCAUUUUGGGAGAUUCCACACACUAGUAUUCUCAUUUAUAAAAUCAUGAACUUUGGCAUCCUAAUUAAUGCAAUUUAAACUUUUUUUGUUUACAAAUGAAAUAAGAGGCAACAUAUAAACCCAAAAGUUAAUUUUCCUACCAUCUCUAUGCACCAUUUUAGCUUUACUCCAAUAUAUUUUCUAUGAUUAAUUAUUUUCAUUCAAACAAUAAUAUCAAAAUAUUUUAAAAUUAGACAUAUCAUAAUCAAAUACCAUUAUAUUAUUACCGAAUAAUAUUUAAUGUAAUUUAAUUAUCAACGUAUACUUAUAAAAUUUAUAUUUUUUAUUAAUGCAUAUAAUAUUAUUAUCAAAUAUGAUAAAUUAUAUAUAUAUAUAUAUAUAUAUAUAUAUAUUUCUUCAACAAAACAACUUUAAAAUAUCUAUUAUAUUUCUAAUUUCAUUUCUAAGAAGUUUUUUUUUUUUUUUUACAUUUUUAUAAGUUUUGAUCAAUUGUAGGCUAACUGAUAUUUUUUAUAUCAAAAUAUCCACCAAUAUAUCUCUGAUAUAUUAGAUAUAUCCGUAAAAUCGAAAUACCAAUAUAUCCGUGAUUAUCGAUAUUUUUAUCCUUGAGGGAUAAUAACUAAUCUAGUUUUUGCACUUAUUGAUAUUUCUCAACAUUUAGAUUGAUUUGACCAAAAUCUUUUUAAUUUUAUUUUCUUUGAUGGUUAUAUGAUGAAUUAGAAUAGUCAUAUAAACAAAUUUAAGAAAAAACGAUAAAAAAGCUCACAUUUUUCAAAUAUUGGUUUCAACUUUGAAUAUUUUUAUUGGUAAAUGAAAAUUGUGAAAAACCUACUAAUGCUAAUACUUUUCACCACAUAAUUAAAUAUAAUAAACUAGAAUAGUGAUUCAUUGAUGUCUUAUAAAGCUACAUGCCUACUUUGACUUGUUAGUUGAUUUUUGUAGGCAGAGUCCAUUUCCAUAUGAAUUGUUGAAACUUCCAAGUCCUUGUGGGUCUAGUGGUCUCUCUAAUAAUUCCCACCAUUAAUUUUUUGUGAUGAAGUGACGUCAUUGAUAGCUACUAUAUCAAUUUGCUAUUAAAAGUCAAGUCAUUGAUAAUUACUAUUCAAUCUUUUUCAAUAUGGAAAUUGGAAUCUCUACUCUUCUCAUUGUUCAUUUUUAGGUAAUGUGAGAAUGUGAGAAUGUGUGAACAUAAAUGUCUUCUAAUCAACCAAUUUUUUUUGAAAAAAACAUGUACAAAAUUGCAAACUUGCAAAAUCAAACUUUCUUGUUGAAUAACCAUAGCUUGAUGGUUUUGAAGAAUCAAAGGAUGAAUCAUAAAAGGGUAUUUGAUAAAAAAUAAAAAUUAAAAAAAUUAAAAGACAACUACUCCCUUAGGUGUAAUAAGUGUAUUUGGUAGCACAAAUUUCCUACCACUUAUUAUUUUUUCCUUUCUUAAAAAAUUAUUUACUCUAUUAAAUAAACUAACCUUGGCUUAUCACUUAUAGCAAAAUAGGUUAAGUACUUUUUAAAAUUUUAUAAUAUUAGAUUUACAUUUUUAUCCUUCAAAAUUUCAUUAAUGUUAGAUUCUUCUAUAUGCUUAACUAAUAAAUAAUUUUUAGCAUUUUUCUUUUCUUAUAAACAUAAAAAAAUAAAAAUAUUAUUAACUUAUUGGUAUAUUUUAAAAUUUUAAUUAGAUUUAAGCUUUUAUUUAUUUGGAUUACCAAUUAUACAUAUAAAUCCUUUAUUAUUAUUGUUAUUAUUGAAAGAAAGGGGUUGAAUAGGUAGUCCCUCAAUCCCCAAAUUAAAUUCUUUAUUGCCUACUUUUGGUUUAUUCCUUUACAUGAAUUCCUUGGUGAGAGUAAACAUUUCAUUAAUAGAUAAAUAAAAUUGAUUCCAUAUCAUAGGGUAUAAUGUGGAAAAAUCACCAGUCUCAUGUGUUCCUUAGUGGAUCCUUUGGAGCCCUUAUCAAAGUUUCAUGAUGAAACCAUUGACUUUUGUUUAACCCAAAUGUGCUUUCAAGACAAAUCUUGAAAUAUUUGAGAGAUGGAGGUUCAAGUCUUUUAUGAACGACCAUGUUCUCUUAGGGUUCAUGAAAAUUCACACCUUUUGAUAAAUAAAACUUAUCUAUUUAUACGUCUAAAACCCAGUAUUUAUUUAUUUAAUUAUAGAAAGUUUCUUAGUUUUAAAAACAUUUCAAAAAUCAUUUUUAGAAUCAAAUAAUAAUUUUAGAGAUAAACACAAUAUUAAAAUUUAACAAAAACAAAAUUUCGAAUUAAAAACACAAUAUAAACUAAAUUACAAAAUAUAAAGGAAUUUUUAUCCUAAUUUCUUGUUUCAAAACCAAAUGGAACACCUAGAAGGGGAGUGAAUGGGUGAUUUUAAAAUUUUUCAAUAAUGAUUUAUAAGUUAUACCCAAUUCUUUUACCCUGCGAGUUGUUAGGGACUAUCAAUUCUUUCCUUUUGGCAAUUCAAACAAUAUAUCAAAUAAUAAAAAGAUAUAAAUAAUGAGACAUAAAGAUUUUUACAUGGAAAACCCCCCACACUAACCAUGGAGAUAAAAAGCCAUGGAGUCUAAGACCUAUUAAUCUAAAUUCACUGUACGAAAUCAAGUUACACAAAUUUAUUUGAUAGCUUUAACUUAAAGACUUACUCUCCGGUACUGACAACUUGAUUCACAUCCACAACGUAGCAACCCUCAAUUACUCCAAUGGAUCACUUCAAGCUUACUAAAAGGAUGAAGGCCUUCAAACCAAGAUUCAAAAAUCAAUUCCUUGAAUGAAAGAUCAGGGAUGGUGUGCCACUUUAGGCUUUCUCUCUAAGAACUCUAAAAUGAUCUCCUCAAUGAAAACCUCUUAAACAAAAUGAGAUAUUUCCCCACAAUCUCUAAUCCUCAAGGGGUUAUAAUGAGAUAUUUAUAAGCAACUAAGUUGAAGAGUUUCAGUUUUGGAACAUGACCGCUCGAGCCAACACACUUCCUACUUGAGCGUUUCGGGCACUUGAGCGGUAAGGCUCGCUUGAGUUGUCCUAAGCGCUUGAGCAUUCCAAGCUACUUGAGCAAUCUUGCUCUAUUUCAAAAGUUAAUUUUAAAUCAUUUUAAGUUCAAAACAAAAUUGAUUCCCUUUAUACCUCAAAGUAGCCUAACUUACAAACCAAACUUUUUUAGAUAUACUUGUGACUUCCUGGUUGGACGAACAACUCUUAAUCUUCAAUGGAAAGCAAGUCAUUAUCUAAAAAGAUUUAUAUGGUCAAACAUAAAAAAACAAAAACAAAAAAAUUGCCAACAUAACAACAAGACUCAAUGUCCUAACAAUCUCCCCCUUUGGCAAUUUUAUGACAAAAACAACAUUACAUAUACCCACUUGAACUCUCAUAAUGGAGUUUAAUAAUACACAUUAAUGUUCAAUUAAAAAUAAACUAAGGGAAUACUUUGUAUCACUUUGUAGUAUUUGUCUUCCAACUUUGUAACCUACACACAUAUAGAAAACUAUACCAAAGGUAAAGCAAUGUGUAGGAUAAGAUAUGAUCAAGAAAGCAAAAUAGGAUAAUUGAAAAUUUUGCUUGAUGCCUUGUGAAAGCAUGAAAAGGGAACAAAUUCAUAUAGUAAUACCAAGGGACAAAGCAAAACUAGAGAAGAAUAUAUAUGUAUGCAAAUCAACCAAACAUAAUAAAAGCUACAUAAGAUGCAAUAGAUCAAUAAUAAUGCCUAGGGGUCUAUCUCCAACCAGAAAAUAGGGAGUGAAAAUCAUAGGAAGAACCUUCUGUGACUUAGAAAGGUUCUAGAGAGAUAGUCAAUUCAAACAUAAAUAUCUUGCUAGAAACAUCUAUGUUAUGUAUCUCUCUAAACCUUCUAAGUUAUGCUUUCAUUAGUUGAUUUGGUUUUUCUCCAAUGUCUCAGGUUUAAUUUCCUCUAAUAUUUCAAUUAGAGAGAAAUUGGUAGUCGAUUGACUUAGUGGGUGUUUGGUAAAACUUAAUACUUAUUAUUUAAUGAUUAACUUUAAGUUAAAUUGUUCUUAAGUUAUUAAUUUAAAAUUUAUUACUUAUUUUGUAUUUAAGUACUAGGGUUAUUUGAAAAAAUCGACUUAAAAUUUAUUCUAAAUCAUCAAAAUGACACAUUUACCCUUAUUAAUUUUAACUUAUAUUUAUUUUCAUUAAUUUUAAACAAUAAAUUUAUUCAUAAAACAUCUAUAUUUUUGUAGAUACAUAACCAUAAAAUAUUUACUAUAAAAAAUGAGUCAUGGAUGUAGAAUUAUAAUUCUAAAAUAUACACUUAUGAGUGUGGGUAAAUAAGGCAAAAAUGAUUUGAGAUUAAGAGUAAAGUUAAUUAUUUUGACUUAAGACUUCAAGUUAAAAAUAACUUUAAGUUGCAAUAUUAAGUUAUUUUAUCAAACAUGCUUAAUUUACUUAACAACUUAAAUUAAGUUAUUAAGUUGAAUUAUCAAACACCCCACUAGUAGUAUGUUGAAAAUUCACACCUUUUGAUAAAUAAAACUUAUCUAUUUAUACGUCUAAAACCCAGUAUUUAUUUAUUUAAUUAGAGAAAGUUUCUUAGUUUUAAAAACAUUUCAAAAAUCAUUUUUAGAAUCAAAUAACAAUUUUAGAGAUAAACACAAUAUUAAAAUUUAACAAAAACAAAAUUUCGAAUUAAAAACACAAUAUAAACUAAAUUACAAAAUAUAAAGUAAUUUUUAUCCUAAUUUCUUGUUUCAAAACCAAAUGGAACACUUAGAAGGGGAGUGAAUGGGUGAUUUUAAAUUUUUUCAAUAAUGAUUUAUAAGUUAUACCCAAUUCUUUUACCCUACGAGUUGUUAGGGACUAUCAAUUCUUUCCUUUUGGCAAUUCAAACAAUAUAUCAAAUAAUAAAAAGAUAUAAAUAAUGAGACAUAAAUAUUUUUACGUGGAAAACCCCCCACACUAACCAUGGAGAUAAAAAGCUAUGGAGUGUAAGACCUAUUAAUCUAAAUUCACUGUACGAAAUCAAGUUACACAAAUUUAUUUGACAGCUUUACCUUAAAGACUUACUCUCCGGUACUGACAACUUGAUUCACAUCCACGACGUAGCAACCCUUGAUUACUCCAAUGGAUCACUUCAAGCUUACUAAAAGGAUGAAGGCCUUCACACCAAGAUUCAAAAAUCAAUUCCUUGAAUGAAAUAUCAGGGAUGGUGUGCCACUUUAGGCUUUCUCUCUAAGAACUCUAAAAUGAUCUCCUCAAUGAAAACCUCUUAAACAAAAUGAGAUAUUUUCCCACAAUCUCUAAUCCUCAAGGGGUUAUAAUGAGAUAUUUAUAAGCAACUAAGUUGAAGAGUUUCGGUUUUGGAAGGUUUCUUAAUUGAAUUUGUGUGAAAAACUCAACAGAAUCAACAUGACCGCUCGAGCCAGCACACUUCCCACUUGAGCAUUUCGGGCACUUGAGCGGUAAGGCUCGCUUGAGUUGUCCUAAGCGCUUGAGCAUUCCAGGCUACUUGAGCAAUCUUGCUCUAUUUCAAAAGUUAAUUUUAAAUCAUUUUAAGUUCAAAACAAAAUUGAUUCCUUUUAUACCUCAAAGGAACCUAACUUGCCACAAACCAAACCUUUUUAGAUAUACUUGUGACUUCUUGGUUGGACGAACAACAACUCUUAAUCUUCAAUGGAGAGCAAGUCACUAUCUAAAAAGAUUUAUAUGAUCAAACAUAAAAAAACAAAAAAAUUGCCAACAUCACAACAAGACUCAAUGUCCAUGCAUGGUCACCUGAAAGUUGACUCCAACCACAAUAUAAUGCAUGUUCUCAUAGAACAUGUGAACAAGAUGGAGAUAGAAAGUCCCUUAGAGAGAAAACAGAGUCUUCUAACCCUACUCUUGAAUGAUGAUAGGGAAGACAGUGUCCUGAAAAGCUUAGAGGUUAAUGGCAUGUUGAGGCUCGACACACCGAUAUGUGAAAGAAGCGUAAUAAUGGUCCCAUGCCACCUGGCAGUGAAAGCGCUCAAUCGAAAGUGCAUCUAGGUUAAAAAGACCCUAGAGUGGGAUGCCCUAGACGGUUUUCAGUGACCUAGGAAAGGUCACCUCCCUCUGAAAUCUAUGACUAGCCAUAUCUAAGGUAUAUAAUAUGAAAAAAAAAAAGCUAAAGAAAAACUAAAGAAAAUCCAAAGAAAAGCUAAACCACUAAAAAUGUUAAACUCAAUGCGUCGAACAAUACUAUACAAAUGGAAAUGAAAAAUAUGAAGCGAACUGACCUCAGAAGACAAAAGGACAGUUACCCAGAGGGCUCGAAGAGGAAUAGGAAAGUUUGAAAUGAAUAUUGUGUGAUGGAUGACCUUUAUAUAGCUUAUAGGAGUGCUUGAUGCAGAUUAGCACUUGAGCGUCAUGACUAACUUAAAUCAAAUUAUUUAUUAAUAUGGAAAUAUUUUAUAAGUUUCAAAGGAAGUAUUCAAUUUAGAACCUUUUUAGAAUUUUUUUGAAAGAAACAAAAAUAAAGCGUGAAAUAUUAUGUGUUAAAGGUGUUAGAAGACAAUAUUGUCUAAUCAAAAGCCUUACACAUUCCCAAAAAAAAAAAAAAAAAAGGAAAAAAAAAGAUACUAUAUAAGAUUUUGAUCACAUCUAAUAGAAACUAAUAUUUAGCAACAUAUCACCAAGCACUAUCUUAUCAGAAAGCUCUAACAUGUUGGAAAUUUAUGUAAGGUUCCAUAACAACUAACAACUUUUUAUGACGACUCGGUAAUGGACCAUUUGCACUUCAACUACAUUAUUAAAUUUAAAUCAUAUUAGAAUAUAAUUGACUUCUCUUUUGUGAGGUUACAUAUCUUGUAGGAUGGGAUAGGUGAUUCAUUUCAUAUAUGAAAUUUUCUUAAUUUAGUAAUGCUUCCAAGUUCAUUAUGAAUCUAAUGGUAUCACAACUCCUUGAAUAUUUGUAAUCUGUAAUCUUUGCUUCAACUUCUCAAGUCUAGUCAUUUUAUCGGCAUAACUAGUUUGCUUCAAUUAUCUCUCAACUUUAUUAUAAAACUAAGGGAAAGGAUUGUCACUCAUUUUAUAUUAACUUAACCAAACAUCUUUAUAUAUAUAUAUAUAUAUAUAUAUUGUAAAUUUAGGAAAAAUUCAUCCAUUAGCCAUAGUAAGUAAGAAUCAAAUAAGGGAUAUGUAAGCCAAUGGUGAUAUUGAUGGCGUUAAAUCAAUGACAUAGUAGAAAAGUGGAUUGUCUAUUUUCAAACCUUUAUAUUUUCAUGCAAUAGUAAAAAGGUUAAGGCAUCACUUGAAAAGUAGUUCGUUUUUUACCUUGGACUAUGAUUUAUGAAUAAAGUUCUUCUGUUGUAUACCUUUUGUGAUGCCCCAACCUAAUUUAGGGGUAAAAAAAUAAUUUAGAAAAAAAUAAAUAAAAAGUUAAAUAAAUUUAAUUAAGGUAAAAAUGUAUUUUUGUAUUUAAAAUUCCUAGGUAUCAAUUAUAUAUUUCUUGUCUUCUCUAUUCAAAAAACCAUAUUACACAAAAAUCAAAUAUCAGAGAACAUAGGACAACGCAGGGUUGAAGAUUUGGAGGUUUAGGGUUGAAGAUUAGUUUUCCAGGUAAGAUUCUAACCCUUAAAUUAGUAUUUUAGAUUCGUUAAUUAGUUUGAACACUUUAGAUAUUCUUUGAAAAAUCUGAAUAUACAUUAGGGUUUGUUAAUUUAAUUUUUAAAUAAAAAAGAUUGAAAAUUUAUGAACAUAAGUAGAGUUAUUAUUAAAGAUUGAAAAUUUUUGAAUAUUUGAAUUAAAAAUCUAGAAAAAAAAGAAGAAAAUAAAUUAUAGCUUUGGACGUGGAAAAAAAUUAAUAUUAAUUAAUAAAUAAAACCUAUGAGUAUGGAAGUAGAAAAAUAUGAGAGUUGAAAGCAAAGAAAAAAAAAGAGAAUAAGGUUUUGUGGUUGUACAUGCCUCCUUAGUGGAAAAAAAAAAUACAAGGUUGCUUGCAAUAGGAUAUGACAAAGAGAGAGAGAUAAAUGCUUAGAUGUUGAUUUUUGUGGGGAAAAAAAGAUUGGGUAAUGUAGGAGAGAAAUAGGUAGCACUUUUAGAGUCGGUGGAGUUGUUGUAAAAGCUCGUAGGGGUAAUUGUUAGGUAGUAGUAGGGUAUGAGAUUAAUUGUUAGGAAACAUUAGGACUUGAAAUAAUAAUAAUUGCUUCUAGUAAAAGUUUUAAUUUAGUUUAAGUAUAUAAAAGAAAUAGAUGAUUAGAAUAAGAUUUGGAAGGAAUAUGAAUUCAUAAAAAUUUCAAAAUUUACUAAUUUAGAUUAUUAUUGUUUUGGAAGUUGAAUAUAAUAUAGGUGAUAAUAUUAUUAAUAUAGGAAAUGAUUAAGAUUCUCAAACCUACAAUUUUAGAUAAAUAGUUAAUAGUAAUAGUUGAUUUUUUAUUUUUUUUUUAUUUUUUAUUUUUUAUGUUAUGUUAAGUGAAUAAUGGAUUCUUUGAUUAAUUCUCUAAGGUUUCUAAGUGCUUCUUUAAGGUAAGGGAUAUUAAUACUGAUUUUGUAAAUGAAAAUAUUUCUUUUUAUAAGUUAUUUUAAAUUAUGAAAAUUUUUAUUUUUAUUUAUGCAUGGAUCAAAUAUAUAUUUUUUCAUGAGAAACAUGUUUGGGCAAUUUCUUUGUUUAUAAAUAAAUAAAUGAAAACUUUGGAAAUAUAAUGUUUUGUUUUGUAAGUUUAAAAUAAUGAAAUAAAGUUUUUGACUCUGGUUUAUAUGACCUUAGUUAAUAGGUUAUAAUUGUUGACAUUUUCAGCUCCAGUCAACGAUUAUAAUUGUUGACAUUUUCGGCUCUCCAAUCAAUGAUUAUAAUUGUUGAGAUUUUCAACCCUAGCCAACGGGUUAUAAUAGUUGACCUUAUAGCCCUAGUCAACAGAUAUAAUUGUUAACCUUUGGCUUUUCCCAUCUUAAAAAGAACAAAUUUAAGGCUAGCCAUUUAUUUGUAAAGUCCCACCUAACUAAGUACCAUUUGUUAUUUAAUAACCAGAGUAAAGAUAUUUUGAAUGUAUUUGAUGUGAAAUUGUUGUGAUAUUAAUAUGAAAAUGUUUGGUUGAAAAGUUCAAAUGUUUAAUGCAUGUUGAAUUCAAAAGUUUUUAUGAAAAUGAUUAUAUGUUAUAUCUCUUAUUUGUAAGUUUGAUCCAUGAAACUGUAUUAAUAUUCCUUAUUGGACUUUGAGCUCAUUCCCCUUUAUUGAGAAUUUUUUUUCGUAUUCUCAGUUUGGGCAAGGAGUGAUGACUGGGUUGGGGAAUUUUCUUUACUAUGGUUUUGCUUCAAUCUUAUUUUGGACAUUGUUUAGAUGUUAAAAUUUAAUUCCCAUUUAAAUUAUUUGGGUUUGGAGUUAUUUGGACGAUAAAACUUUGAUUGAUGUGUUAGUUUUAAAGUUGAGAAUUGAAAAUUAUAGAAUUUAUUUAUCUUACUACUUUGAACAGAAAUUUAGUAAUUGGAGAUCAUCCAGUUACAAGAUGAAUAUUUGAGUCGUUUCAAGUCGUUUCCACUUUGAGUGUUCAGGCUUAGGGUGUGAAAUGAUCGUUAUGCCCUUGGAGUGGGUAUAUUGUUUAUUUGAAUUUAAUGGUCCCCGAACUCCUUAAUUACUCAUAACUUUAUAUCAGCUUCUCAAAGUUAAGUUGUUUUACAACUACUAUCUAGCUACUUUUCUCUACUAUGACAACUUUAUUACAUAGUGAUUAAUUGAAAGAAUCUACAUGUCUUAUUUCAUAGGAUAGUUGAUUUUUUUACUCAAUGAAUUUUGCUUUUAUUAUUGAAAAUUUCAAAUCAUUGUAGUCCAACAAUUUCCUAUCCAUUGGUAAUUUCAUAUUACAUUUCCAAAGUCUAAUCAUUUAAAAACACUUGUAGUUAAUAUAUUGGCAAUUGCAUUGUGGGAAGUUGUUCACUUGAUUUUAAUGUUGAAACUUUCAAAUUUUUGUAGUCCAACAAUUCCCUAUCCAUUGGUAAUUUCAUAUCACAUUUUCAAAGUAUAAUACUUGUAUAUAGUAUAUUUGGUGAUUGUAGAGUGGAAAGUUGAUCAUUUUCAUGAAGACCUCUAAAAUAGAAUUUUUUUUCAUUCCAUUUAUUAAAGAAUUUCAUUAAUUGAACAUAUAUGUUUUUUUAACCGAAAAGUAGAGGCCACAUUAUACGAGGCCUUAGGUGACAAUACUAGGUGAGGGCUUUUUUUUUUAAUUUAUUUAUUACGAAAUAUAAAUAAUAUUAUUUAUUGUAUAAUAAAGAUUAUUAUAAUAUAUUUUUUAUAGAUGAAAAAAAAUAUUAAUUGAGUUUUAUUUUUUUAAAUAAUUGUUUUCAAUAAAUAACGUAUUUGUAAAAAGAAAACUAUAAAAUAUAUGCAUUUGAAAAAUAUUUAAUUUUUAUUUGAUUUAGUAUCAAUUAAUAUUUGUAAUAUUUUUUAAUAUUAUAGAAGUUAACAUACUCAAUUAAGAUAUUCAAGAUCAAGAGAAUAUUUGAGAUUGAAUUAAUUUCUUUAUUGUUUAUGUUUUAGUAAAUUUUUAUAUCCAUUAAAAUUUUUUUAUUGUUUAUUUUUCAUUCAAUGUUUGCAUUUUGUAAUAGAUAUUAAAACAAAUUUUUUUCUUGUAUGUUAAAAAAAUAUUUCAAUGUCUUUAAAAAUAAAAUAUUGUAGUAAAAUCAAAAUUACAUUGUGAAACUUUAAGCGAAUGUUUUAUACUAAAGAAGUGCCAAUUAAAGUAAGCAUGCAUCUACAAUUGUAAUUUAGAUGUCAUAUUGAAACAAUAGUUCUCUUUGACUAUAUCAUAAAAUUUGGUUCGAAUUACUUUAAGUCAUCUUGUAGAUUUUCAAGUUCCAAUGAUAUGCAUCAAGUAUGUGCAACAUACUUGAUAUGACUAAUAUUUUCUUAAGUAAUUGGACACUUUUUUCUAUAAAUUUACUUGAUUAUCAAUGAAUACUUUUAUGUAAGGUAUUGAUAUAAUUCGAUAAAUAUUUUAAAAUAGUAUUAGAAUAGCUUUGCUCUUUCCUAAUUAACAAAUUUACUAAAUUAACUUAUAUAUAUUUGUUUAUUUUAAUUUACUGGUAUUUGACUCAAUUUGUUAUUAUUUUUAAAAUUAUAGGAAAACCAUUAUUUAUAGAGUUUAAUUAUAUUUGGUAAAUUAUCUUUUUAAGUUUGACUAGGAUUAGGAAACUAUUAAUUUAAGAUUAAUCCAUAAGGCUCUAUAAAUUUGCAGUUUUAUAUAACAUUUAAAAAAAGAAAGAAAAAGUAAGAAAAAGUGAAGAGAGAUAGGCAAAGAGUGCAUUGGGUUUUAGAUAGAGAAAGGUCGAGAGAGUUUUGAUUACUACUCAAAAAGAACAUAUUUUAGAUAGUAAUUCUCAUGGGUUUCACAUCUUUUGAGUAUUAAUUAUGCCUAAAAAUGCUCAAUUAACAUGUUGUUGCCCUUGCAAGAGUUACUAAUAAGUUUUAUAAAGUUUUGGAGUCAUUUCAAGUUAUGAUUUUAAUAAAUUGGUGAUGAAAGAGAUGAAUUGAUUUGAAGAAGGAAAAUAAUAUUGAUGAUGAUCCAAAUGCAUAAUGAAAGAAGCAAUAUAAUUAGUUUGAUCGGGAUUUGCUGCUAAUUUGGAGGUAGUUAAGGUGGAGUCAAAAGAAGAAAAUGGAAGAAAUGACAAAGAGGAACUUAAAAACCAAAUGUUGCAGAUUUGUAUGAUCAUUCAAAAAUUACAUGACUAUGCCAAAUGGAUUAGAGAAGGAAAAUUGACUAUAGUAUAAGGAGGAUGCUUAAGUUGAUUUAGCAUGAACAUGAGAAAAUUUCGCAUGAACAUGCGAAAAUUUUGCACAAUCAUGCGAAAUGGUCCAGAAAGCUCUCUAAUGUUGUUGUUGCUCCACUAAUUUCGCACCACCAUGCGAAAUCGAUCUUUUCAUGCAAAAUGGCUGAAGCUCAUGUGAAAUCAUGAUUUUGAUGCUAAACUCCAGAUUUGUGAAUUUGGAAGGUUUUAGAAGACCAAUGAGAGGUUGCCAAGUGUCCACUUGACCUUGGUCUAUAAAUAGAAACUUGAAUUUCCCAUGUAAAGAGCUUUGUGAUACUUUUGAUUUUAGAUUUUUCUAGAAACUCUUUCUCUAAAUAGAAUUCUAUAUUUUCUUUAAUUUUCCCUCAUUUUCUCAUUAGCCAAACAUGCCUAGUGAGACCAAAUUUCCAAGUAUGAGUGACUAAAUCUCGUUUUUCUCAGAGGAAUGAGGAUCUAGAGGCAAGAUCUAUGGUGAAUUAUAGAAAUGAGUUUUAAUUGCAAAUGUAAUUUGAUUCAAUUGAUUGAUUAAUUGAAAUUCGAGGAUUUUUCUCUUCAAAUUGUCCUGAAUGACAAUUACAUUGCAAACUAGGCAGAUUAAUUAAAUUCUUAAAGUUAGAUUUAAUGAGACUGAAUAGUUGCAUUGUAUGAAUCAUUGGAAGAUGAUUUAAGAUGAAUUGAAUAUAUAAUUUAAAUUCAUAUCUUGGAUUAAAUAACCUAAUUUGAAGAGAAAUUAGGUUUAGACUUAAAGGGAAAUCUAAAAUCGGUUUAGAUAAGAAUUUAGGUUUUCAAUCUAACUUGAUGAAAAAUAAAUCUCAACAUUUAUUCACCAUGGAAAUUGUUUUCUAAAAAAUAUUAACUCUGAGAAUUCCUUUUCCUUAUCAGUUUUCUUAUAUUCUACAUUAUAUUAUUCUUUUCGAUUAGAAAUCAUUGUUAUUUUGAUUUUUCGUGAAUUGUCAAAUCAAUUUCACUUGACCAUAAUCAUUUCUUUUCCUCUCAUUUAAACCUUAAUUAUCGAGAAUAAUCCAUCCCAAUAGAAGACACCUAAGACCACUAUACUACUGUAGCUUUUGCUAAAAAACCUUUUUGAUCGGGCAAGAGUUACCUUAGCAUAGUUGAAUUAGGUUAUAAAUUUUUUAUCCAAUAAACAACAAAAAAAUCAAUUGAUCAAGUUUACAUUGUGUAUUCUUGAAUUUUAUUAAUAAAUUUGAUCCCCUUUUUUGAAGCGAUUACACCAAACCAAGUAAAUAUUUUAUCUACUUCAUUUGCUUUAUUUUUUCUAUUAAGUUUAGGUGUUGCAAUUUUUAAGAGUCAUGGUGAGAAGAUUGUGGGAAAAAUUAUUUUAAGGAUGGAGUCGAACAUAAAAUAUGAAAUUGAGUCCUUUGAUGGAAAUAAUAAUUUUAAUAUUUGAUAGAGUAUUAUUAAAGAUGUUUUGAUACAACAAAGACUUCUCAAAGCAUUACAAGGCAAAAAAAACUAGAGAGCAUGACAAAUAAAGAAAUGAAAGAAUUACAAGCAAGAGUUGUAAGUACUAUUUGUUUAAGUCUUAAAAAUGAAAUACAUUGUUUUGAAUGAAAAAAAUAUUCUUUUAGGGGUGUCAAUUGCUCUUUUAGAGACCAAAAAUAUUAAGCAAUCAAGUAGUUCAUCUCAUAUUGGACAAACUGUUAUGAUGAAUUCUAAACCAUAUCAUCAUAGGAGUAAAUCGAAAGAAAAGUAUCUGAUAGGAGGAUGAUCAUUCCAUUCACACUUAUAGAGGAAUAUGAAGUAUUAUUNNNNNNNNNNNNNNNNNNNNNNNNNNNNNNNNNNNNNNNNNNNNNNNNNNNNNNNNNNNNNNNNNNUAGUGAUUGUUUUAUGUUGAAGAAAGGCUAAUUAAAGUAAACAUGCAUCUAAAAUUAUAAUUUAGAUGUUGUACUCAAAUAGUUGCUCUCCUCGAUUAUAUCAUAAAAUUUGGUUUGAAGUCUAAGUCAUCUAAUAAUUUUCUAGUUCCAAUUACAUGCAUCAAACAUGUGUGUUAGGAAGUGUUGCAAAUUACUAAUUAGUAUAUAUUCUUUUUUUUUUAAGAAUAUUGUAUUAAAUAUUUCUAGGUUGAUAUAUUAUUGUAAUAUUAGACUUCUUUAUAGAAUAAGGAAGGUUGUUGAAAAUAUCCCUAUAAAUAUUCUAGUUCAUAAGGGGAAAAAGUUUUGAGAUGAAGAUGGACCCAUAAAGACUAUACAAGGUGGAUAGAGAUGUGAGGAAGAACGAGAGGUACCCGAUGGAGCGAGAGGGCUCGUGGUAGGGUAUAGGUACGAAGAGUGAGGAAACAUGGGAUGUUUUGGGAACUCAAUAUUUGUAUCUAGUUAUGUCCUCUAUAAGUUCUAGUUCUGUCAUCUGCAUUGUUCUCUAUUUUAUAGUGGAAUGAUUCUCUCUUAUCUGUGGACGUAGGCAUGGUUUUCGAACCACGUUAAAACCUUGUGUACCGUUUGUGUUGAUUUUUUUUAUCUUUAUUUUCUUGAUUAAUGAAGUUUGCAUCAAAGCUUCUGUCAACGUAACAAACUUGUAUCAAAGUUUGGGAUAAAGAUUUCUAGAAGAGUAAAAGAUCAUAGAGCACACAAGAUGAAAACAAAAGGAAUUUUUAGUGAAAAAGGAGUCAAUUGCUCUCUCGUGGUGAUAUGAUAUAAAAAGUUUAUGUCAUGGAAAGUUUGAAGAUUUACUUCAUGGAAUCUGGUCCAAAAUGGAGAUUGUUAAUAAGUGUCCCAAAUUCCUAAUUAGUAUAGAUUUUUUUUUUUGUAAAGAAUAUUGUAUAGAAUAUUUCUAGGUUGAUAUAUUAUUGUAAUAUUAGACUUCCUUAUAGAAUAAGGAAGGUUGUUGAAAAUAUCUUUAUAAAUAUUCUAGGUCAUGAGGGAAAAAAGUAUGAGAUGAAGAUGGGCCCUAUAAAAACUAUAUGAGGUGGAUAAAGAUGUGAGGAAGAAUGAGAGGUACUCAAUGGAAUGAGAGGGCUCGUGGUAGGGUAUGGAUACAAAGAGUGGGGAAAUAUGGGAUGUUUUGGGAACCUAUUAGUUGUAUCUAGUUCUGUCAUCUAUAAUGUUCUAGUUACGUCCUCUAUAAUGUUCUCUAUUGUAUAGUGGAAUGAUUCUCUUUCAUCCGUGGAUGUAGGCAUGGUUGUCGAACCACAUUAAAACCUCGUGUACUAUUUGUUUUAUUUUUAAAUUUUUUUUAAUCUUUGUUUCUUGAUUAAUGAUGUGUGCAUCAAAGCUUCCAUCUACGUAACAAACUGGUAUCAGAGCUUGGGUUGAAGAUUUUUGGAAUAGUAAAAGAUCACAAAGCACACAAGAUGAAAACAAAAGGAAUUUUUAGUGAAUGUGGAGUCAAUUGUUCUCUCGUGGUGAUAUGAUACAAAAAGUUUGUGUCAUGGAGGGUUUAAUGAUUGACUCCGUGGAAUUUGGUCCAAGGUAGAGAUUGUUAGGAAGUGUCCCAAAUUCCUAAUUAGUAUAGAUUUUUUUUUUUUAAAGAAUAUUGUAUAGAAUAUUUCUAGGUUGACAUAUUAUUGUAAUAUUAGACUUCCUUAUAGAAUAAGGAAUGUUGUUGGAAAUAUUUUUAUAAAUAUUUUAAGUCAUGAGGGGAAAAAUUUAUGAGAUGAAGAUGGGCCUAUAAAGACCAUAUGAGAUGGAUAGAGAUGUGAGGAAGAAUCGGAGGUACCCAGUGGAGCGAGAGAGUUCGUGGUAGGGUGUGAAUAUGAAGAGUGGGGAAACAUGGGAUGUUUUGGGAACCCAAUAGUUGUAUCUAGUUCUGACAUCUAUAAUGUUCUGGUUCUGUCAUCUAUAAUGUUCUGGUUUUGUCCUCUGUAAUGUUCUUUAUUGUAUAGUGGAAUUAUUCUCUCUCAUCUAUAUAGGCAAGUUGCUAAACCACGUUAAAACCUCGAAUACCUUUUGUGUUGAUUUUUUUUAUCUUUGUGUUCUUGAUUAACGAUGCUUGCAUCAAAGCUUCUACCAACGUAACAAUGUGCAACAUAUUUGAUAUAACUUAUAUUUUCUUAAGUAAUUGAACACUUUUUUCUAUAAAUUUACUUGAUGAUCAAUGAGUACCUACAUAUACGGUAUUGACAUAGUUUGAUAAACAUUUUAAAAUAGUAUUAGAAUGGCUUUUCUUUUUCCCAAUUAACAAAUUUAUCAAAUACACACACACACACACACACACAAAAUACUCAUUAGUAUGUCUUUUAUGAAAAAACUAUGUUUGUUUAUUUGAAUUUAGUAGCCAUUCAAUUCCUUAGUUACUCAUAAACUUUUUAUCACCUUCUUAAAGUCAAGUCAUUUACAAUUAUUUUCAAGUCAUUUACAAUUAUUUUAGCCUUCUCCAUUAUGACAACUUUAUAAGAUAGUGAUUGAUUGGAAGAAUCUACAUGCCUUUGUUGAUAGUAUAAUUGUUUUUCUUUUUUUUCGUAUUCAAAGAAUCUUGCUUCUGUUAUUGAAACUUUCAAAUCCUUUAUGUCUAGUGGUCUUAUAAUUCCCUAUUCAUUGGUCUUUCAUAUUACCAAUCAUUUUGCAAAUGAGUUAAUUUCAUUCACAUCCUCUGAGAUUUGAUGUAAAUUCGCUUAGUUACCAAUGAUUUCAAAUUUCAUUAAUUAGUACCCCUACAGAUAUAAUUCGUGUACAAAAUUUAUUUUUUAAAAGAGUUUAGGUAAAAAUAUUUUAGGUAUAUGUCUUUAACAAUUCUCUAAAAUAAAUUUUACUUGCUAAAAAAUAACUUAUAUAGAUAGAAUACAUCUACAGGAGUUCUAACUAACGAAAUUUAAAACUAAUGGUGGUUUAGUGUAUUUAAACUAAACAUUAGGAAGGGUGACUGAAAUUAACCCUCUAGGUAUAUAUGUUUAACAAAAUUUUUAUUGUUUAUUUUUCAUUUAAUGUUUGCAUUUUUCAAUAAACAUUGAAAAGGAAUUGUUUUUCCAUAUGUUAACAAAAAGAAAUUUGAAUACCUAUAAAAAUGAAAUCUUGUAGUAAAAUUGGAGUUACAUUAUCAGACUUUUAACGAGUGUUUAUGUUUAGAAAGGCCAAUUAAAGCAAGCAUGCAUCUAGAAAUUGUAACUUAGAUGCAUCAAACAUGAGCAACAUAUUUGAUAUAACUAAUAGUUUCUUAAGUAACUAAACACUUCUUUUUCUAUAAAUUUACUUGAUUGUCGAUGAAUACUUACAUACAUUUACAUAGUUUGAUAAAUAUUUUAAAAUAAUAUUAGAAUAACUUUGUUUUUUCUCAAUUAUAUUAGAAAAUAAUAUAAAGUUACUUAUAAACUUUAUAUCAUUUUCUCAAAGUCAAGUCAUUUACAAUUAUUUCUAUCUAGUCUUCUCCAUUAUGACAACUUUUAUAUGAUAGUCGUUGAUUGGAAGAAUCUACAUGUCUUUUUUGAUAAGAUAGUUGUUUUUAUUAUUUUUAUUUUUUUUAUUCCAAAAAUUUGCUUCUAUCAUUGAAACUUUCAAAUCUUUUAUGUAUAUUACCAAUCAUUUUACAAGUGAGUUAAUUUCACUUAGGGUAGAUAUACUUAGCCACACCCCUAUAGAUGUAAUUUGUGUUUAAAUUUUAUUUUUUAUUUAGGUAAAAAUAUCUUAGGUAUAUGUGUUCUACAAUUCUCUAAAAAAUAAAUUUUCUUAUCUAAAAGUUUAUAUAGACAAAAUACAUCUAUAGAAGUCCUAACUAAUGAAAUUUAAAAUCAAUGGUUGUUUAGUGUAUUUACAUUAAACCUUAUGGGGUAUGAUUGAAAUUAAGUCUUUUACAAGCACUUGUAGCUAAUAUGUUUGUAGUUGUAGUCUUGGAAAUUGAUCAUUUUCUUGAAGGCCUCUAGGAUAUUGAAAAUAUUGCCAUAGUUUUAGACUUUUUUUUUAUUACACCUAAUAAAAAAUAUUAUUAAUUUAACAUAUAUAUUCUUGACUUAAAAGUAAAGUCUCUCCAUAUUGUAUAAGCCCUUAGGUGGCAAUAUUAGGUGAAGUUUUUCUUUCGUUUAUUACAAAAUAUAAAUAAUUUAUUAUUGUAUGAUAAAAUUUUAUGUAAUAUAUUUUUAUAGAUGUAAAAUUAUUAAUUGGGUUUUGUUUUUUUUUACUAAAUUGUCAUUUCAAUAUAUAAAACUUAUUUGUAAAAAGACAAUUAUAAACUAUAUGAAAUUGAAAAACAUUUAGUUUUUUUAUUUAAUUUAGAAUUUUAUUUGGAUUAAUAAUUGAUAUUUGUAAGAUUUUUGAAUAUUAAAAAAAGUUAGCAUACUUAAGAAAGAUAUUCAAGAUCGGGAGUGUUUGAUAUCGGAUUAAUUUCCUUAUUUUCUCUAUUUUAAUAAAUUUUCACGUCCAUUACAAAAUUUUUGUUGUUUAUUUUUUACUUCAAUAUUUUUAUUUUGUAAUAGAAAUUUGAAAAGAUUUUUUCCUACAUGUUAAAAAAAAAAAAGAUUUGAACACUCCUAAAAAAGAAAUAUUGCAAUAAAAUUAAAGUUUACACUGUAGGACUAUUAGCAAAUGCUGCAUACUUAAAAUAGACCAAUUAAAGUAGAAAUACUUCUAAAAUUGUAAUUUAGGUAACAAUAAUAUAAAAAGACAAUAUUUUUGAAACAAUAGUUCUCUUGGAGUUUUGGGUACAAUGGACUAGACUUUAUGUAACAAUAGAUAUACAAACUUUCCAUUAACAUCUUGAGAGACAUGAUGAGGAGCAAAGUCAUCCAAGAAGGUACCAUAGAGGUACCUUAGCUCAAUUCAUCUAGACUACAUAAUGUUUAAAGAUCAAAUUCAAUGACUAGAUUUCAAAAAUCAAUAUAAGCUUUCUCAUAUUCUACUCUAUAUAAGACAAUGGUAUGAUACCUCUCUUGUGUCGUAGAAUGCACCAUGAAAACCUUAUCAUUUUAACAUCAGUUUGAAACUUAAAAGUCACUUAGCACAUUCUAGUUAUUAAUUUAAGAGCAUUAAAAGAAAUAUAUAAAAAAAAAGUUACUUUAUCCUUGUGAUUUUGAUCUAGGACUUUUAAUGAUAUUAAAAAAAAAAACAGAAAAAUAAAUGGAAAUAAAAUCAAUAAAUUAAACAAUUGAAUUAAGUUAGUUUAAUUUUUGAAUCGUUAAAUGGGUAAAUAAAGAUCUUAGAUUUGAUAUUAAUAUGAACAUCAUGACUUCAGUGAAUCUUACAAGAAAAUUUUAGUUUGAAAGACUUCAUUCAUUAAACGUGUGGCACAUAUUAAAGUAAAACUAAGUCUUCUCUAUAAUUUGUACCUAUCAUAGUUUCUUUCCUCAUAAAUAGCCUUUUUUGAAUAUAAUAUAGACUUCAACAUGCAUGGUGGGGCCAAUCAAACUACUAGUCAAGACAACUCAUGGGCAACAACGAUGUACCAACUACAUUUAAAUACUCUUCAUAUAUUUGCAUAUCAAGAGUAAUUUAGUAGUGUCUUUCUUAUGUACCUCAUAUCUAGACUUUCAAUGGAGAGUUCUUCAUCUAAAAAUUUGACUUGGGUUUUCAUACUAGUUUUGGUUUAGACAUGUGGAUGCAAAGGUUGCAUCAAAGAAGAGAAGUAGGCUAAAUCAUCUUACAAAUUUUCAAGUUCAAAUUAGAUGCACCAAACAUAUGCAACAUAUUUGAUAUAACUAAUAUUUUCUUAAGUAAUUGAAUACAAUUUUUUUUUAUAAAUUCACUUGAUUAUUAAUGGAUAACUAACUACAUGUAUGGUAUUGACACAACUUGAUAAAUUUUUUAAAAUAGUAUUAGAAUAACUUUGCUAAAAAAAAGUAAAAAUAAAAAUAAAAAUACAUCUAUAUAUAUAUAUAAUUAAAUAAAAUUAAAAAUUAAUAUAUAUAUAUAUAUAUAUAUAUUCUGUGUGUGUAUGUGUGCAUGGUCUCACAAGUCAUUAGCUACUCAUAAGCUUUAUAUCACUUUCUCAAAGUCAAGUCAUUUUGUAAUUAUUUCUAUCUAGCCUUCUCCAUUACGACAACUGUAUAGGAUAUUGAUUGAUUGUAAAAAUCUUCAUGUCUUUUUUUAUAAGAUAGUUUUUUAUUAUUAUUAUUAUUCAAAGAAUUUUCUUUUAUUAUUGAAACUUUCAAAUCCUUUAUGUCUAGUGGUCCUACAAUUCCCUAUUCAUUGGUAUUUCAUAUUACCAAUCAUUUUACAAAUAAGUUUAUUUCACCCGGUAAAUAUACUUAACUACCAAUGGUUUCAAAUUUAAUUGAUUAACACACUUAUAGAUGUAAUUUGUUUUUAAAUUUUAUUUCUUUUAGAAGAAUUGUAGGUAAAAAUGUUCUAGGAAUAUGUGUUCAAUAAUUCUCUAAAAACAAUUUAUAUAGAUGGAAUACAUUCAUGGAAGUUCCAACUAAUGAAAUUUAAAACCAAUGACGAUUUAAUGUAUUUGCACUAAAUCUUAGGGGAGGUGUACUAAAACUAGCCCUUUUACAAAUAUUUGUAGCUAGUAUAUUUGUAGUUAUGGUGUUGGAAGUUGAUCAUUUUCUUAAAGGCCUCUAAGAUAUUGGAAAUAUCGCCAAAGUUUUGAACUUUUUGUUUCACCUAAAUAAAAUAUCAUUAAUUUAAUAUAUAUACUCUUCGCUUGAAAGUAUAGUUUCUUCAUAUUGUAUGAAGUUGUAACUAGGUGACAAUAUUAGGUGAAAUUUUUUUUUGUUUACUACAAAAUAUAAAUAAUAUAUUUAUUAUAUGAUAAAAUUUUGUAAAAUAUAUUAUUAUAGAUGCAAAAUUAUUAAUGGAGUUUUAUUUUUUACUAAAUUAUCAUUUCAAUAAAUAAGAACUUAUUUGUUAAAAGAAAAUUAUAAAAUAUAUGCAAUUGAAAAAAAUUUAAUUUUUUUAUUUAAUUUGGUAUUUUAUUUGAAUUAAUAAUUGAUAUUUGUAAAAUCUUUUAAUAUUAAAAGAAGUUAACAUACUUAAAAAAGACAUUCAAAAUCAAGAGAGUAUUUGAUAUGAAAUUAAUUAAUUAUUUUUUUUCUAUUUAAAUAAAUUUUUACAUCCAUUAAAAAAAUUUUCUUGUUUAUUUUUCACUUCAAUAUUUUUAUUUUGUAAAAUAAAUAGAAAUAAAAUCAACAAAUUAAACAAUUGAAUUAAGUUAGUUUAAUUUUGCCACCGUUAAAUUGGUAAAUGAAGACUCUUAUAUUUGAUAUUAACAUGAACAUCAUGACUUCAUUGAAUAUUCUCACAAGAAAAUUUUAGUUUGAAAGAUUUUAUCCUUUAAACAUGUGGCACAUAUUAAAGUGAGACCAAGUCUUCCCUAUAAUUUGUAUCUAUCACAAUUUCUUUCCUAAUGAAUAACCUUUUUGAAUAGAAUAUAGACUUUAGCAUAUUACCAACCAUUUUACAAAUAAGUUAAUUUCACUCAGUAAAUAUACUUAACCACCAAUGGUUUCCAAUUUGUAGCACUCUUAUAGAUGUAGUUUUUUUUUUAAAUUUUAUUUUUUAGAAGAAUUGUAGGUAAAAAUAUUUUAGAUAUAUAUGUUCAACAAUUCUCUAAAAACAAUUUAUAUAGAUGGAAUACGUUCAUGGAAGUUCCAACUAAUGAAAUUUAAAACCAAUGAUGAUUUAAUGUAUUUGUACUAAAUCUUAGGGAGUGUGGACUAAAAUUAGCCCUUUUACAAAUAUUUAUAACUAGUAUAUUUGUAGUUGUGGUAUUGAAAGUUGAUCAUUUUCUUAAAAGGUUUACCAUUGAAGUUAGUUGAAUAUAAAGUUAGGUGAACUUUACCAUUGUUUAAUUGGUAAAUGAAGACUCUUAGAUUUGAUACUAACAUGUACAUCAUGACUUCAUUGAAUCUCUCACAAGGAAAUUUUAGUUUGAAAGACUUCAUCUUUUAAACAUGUGGCACAUAUUAAAGUGGACCAAGUCUUCCCUAUAAUUUGUAUCUAUCACAAUUUCUUUCCUCAUAAAUAGCCUUUUUUAAUAGAAUUAAUAUAGACUUUAGCAUGCAUGGUGGGCCCUGUCAAACUAUUAGUCAAGAUAAUUUGUAGGUAAGAACGAUGGACCAACUAUAUUAAAUAUUCUUCAUCUAUUUGCAUAUCAAGAGCAACUUAAUAUUGUCUUUCUUUUGUACUUCAUGUUUGAACUUUCAAUGGAGAGUGUGUCAUCUAAAUAUUUGAUGUGGGUUUUUAUACUAUUCUUGGUUCAAAUAUGUGGAUGCAAAGGUUGCAUCGAAGAAGAGAAGAUGGGUUUGCUUGAAUUCAAGGCUUUUCUUAAAUUGAAUAAUGAGCAUGCAGAUUUUCUUCUCCCUUCAUGGAUAGAUAACAACACUAGUGAAUGUUGUAAUUGGGAGCGGGUUAUUUGCAAUCCCACCACAGGUCGAGUUAAGAAGCUUUUCCUCAAUGAUAUUACGCAACAACAAAGUUUCUUGGAAGACAAUUGGUACCAAUAUGAAAAUGUCAAAUUCUGGUUACUAAAUGUCUCCCUAUUCCUUCCUUUUGAAGAACUUCACCAUCUAAACUUGUCUGCAAACUCAUUUGAUGGGUUUAUUGAGAAUGAAGGUAUGUUACCUCUCACCUUUAAAAUUUCAUUUCACUUAUACUCCAAACAUUCUAAAGGAACUACUAGCAUAUGUUCUUAAAAGUGUUCAGGUGGAGACCAAAUGGUCACUAGUAACUAUUGAAUUUAAUAUAAGAACAAUUACUAAUUAUUAAAAUUUAUAAUGUAAAUUAACAUUUAAACAGAACAAUAAAAAAAUUAUUAUUUUAGAAAACUAUAGAUUACAUUAGCCUUAUAUAUAUAAGCAUACUUGUUAUUUAUGCCAUCAUUUCACACUCAACCCAAUAAGUGGGAUUCAACUAAGAGUGAGCAAUUUCACAAUUAUUAAUUAACAGGAACACUUAGUCUCCCAUAUCCUUAUCCUUUUUGUUGAAUUGUCUUUCCUUAUCUUCCAUUCCUAAAAAGCUUGAUUUCUAUAUUCUAAAUUGAUAAAGAUUGGUUAAAGAAAGGUGAUCACAAAAUUUGACUAUUGCUGUCAAAUAAGGAAUCACCAUCUUCAAAGUUUCACAUUUACAAAAAAAAAAAAAAAAAAAAAAAAAAAAAAAAAAAACCCUAGCCUUGGGUAAGGUCCAAGCCUUAUUGUUUUAAGCUGAUGUCGGGUUGGUUUAAUAAUAAACAAAAAAAAUCCUAACCCAUGACCAUCUACGCAUUUCCAAAUUCCACCCAUCCACAACCCAUUAAUAUGACAUUUUCAAGGACAAAAUUUAAUCAAUUAAACCUAUUAGAUGGAUUCUCCAUACAAUGUUAAAAUGAAUAUAAAAACUUUAAUUCAAAAAAUAAUUUCCUUUAUUUAGUUAGGAUUCAAAUUAUAGGGGCACAAAACAUGAAAAUUUUCAUGUUUAAAAUUCACAAAGAUCACAAAAGCUCUUUGAAGCUCUAUGGACUUUUUUAUUUCUAACAUUUAAACACAAAAAUCACCAUAUUUAAUUAGAGAUUUGGAUACAUAUUCUUAUAUUAAAGACAUGUAAGCUUACAUAUUUAAAUAUGAAGAUCUCAACUUGUAAUUACAUGCUUCUAAUUAAAGUUAUAUUACUCUAUUUUAUAGGAUUUAAAGGGUUAUCAAGUUUAAAGAAAUUGGAGAUCUUAGACAUAAGUGGUAAUGAGUUUGAAAAAAGUGUCUUAAAAUCUUUGGACACAAUAACAUCACUCAAGACAUUGGCUAUUUGCAGCAUGGGACUGAAUGAAUCUUUUUCCAUUCGAGGCAUGUUAUAUGUCCACAUUGUUUCUUUGAAAUUAAGUAAAAUAUAUUUCUAACUUUUAAUGUUCCUUAGUUAAUCUCUCUUUUGAUUCAUGUUUGUUGCAGAAUUAGCUAGUUUGAGAAAUUUGGAAGUGUUGGAUCUAAGCUAUAAUGAUUUGGAAAGCUUUCAACUAUUGCAAGGUACUUCAUUAACUUGCUAAAAAAACUUAUGAUAUUUUGUUAUUAAAUUAAAGGUAAGAUUAACAAACAAUUUCUUCUCAUUAGUUACUUUUCUUUGUAAUAUCAUUAAAUUUGAUAUAAAGUAGUCUAAAUCAUCCUUUCAAUUUAUAAGUUUUAAUUAAAACGCAUCAAGCAUGCACAAGAUGUUUAAUAUAACUAAUAUUUUCAUAAGUAAUUGAAUUUUUUUAUAUGAAUUAAUUAACUUGAUUAUCAAUAAAUACUUACAUGUAUAAGAUUAAUAUAGUUUCAUAAGUAUUUUAAAAUUGUCUUACAACACACACACACACACACACAAGGAAAAUGAAAGGUAUGUGAUAUCUUUAUGCUAUGUUUGGUUCCCAAAAAAAUUGAGGGAAAAUGAAAGGAGAAAAAAGUAGAGACGAAAAGUAAAAGAAAAGAAAAAAAGUAAAGAAAAAUAUAAAAUUGAUUAAAGUAAAUACAUUAUUUUUAUAUGUUACUUUAACUUGUUUCACUUAUUUUAAUUCUUCAAUGUAAAGAUGAAAGAUUUGAAAAUGCAUAAGUUUCUAAUUAUUUUUUAUUUUAUUUUAUAGUUUUUACAAUACAACCAAACAUAAUAAAAUCAUUUUCUUUAAUUUUUUUUCUUUUCUUAAUACUUUUCACGAACCCUUUAAGUUAUGUUUGUUUGCAGAAAAUAUGAGGAAUAGAAAAUAGAAAAGAAAAUUAGAAGGAAAGAAAAAGUGAAGUAAAAUAAAAAUAAAUUUAAAUUUAAUAAAUUAUUUGUAUAUGCUACUUUAAACUUAUUUCACUUAUUUUAAAUUAUUUAAACUCAUUUCUAAUAAAUAAUAAUGGAAAUUGUAGAGAAGUUUGUGUUAUUCAAGCUUUGCAAUGACUUUACAAGGUGAAGGAAAAUAUUCUUGCUGAAAUUGAAAAAAGAAAUACCUUCUUAAAUAGCCUAUUGACCGAAAACACAUUACCCUAACAUAUACACACACCUUUAUUAUUUAUACAAUCAUUUAAUACUUAAUCCAGUUAGUGGGAUUCUAGUGGUUGUUUUUAUCUUGGUUUCCAAUAUUUCUGAUUGAUAGUGUUCGAUUAAUGAAAUAUCAUAAAUUUUGACCCUAAUAAGGACCAAUCCCUAUUAAAUGUAAUUGGGUUGACCUAAGACUAAAUGUUAGAUCCAACUAAUAAAAACCCAUCUAUUUGUUGGAGUGUAAAUAACCCGGCCUUAGGUAGGGCCCAUGCCUUAUUAUUUUAAGAUGUAGUCCAACUGGUUUGACACUAGAUUGAGUAAAGCCCAACUUAUGAGCAUCUAUGCAUUUCCAUCCAUCCACAACCUACUGGCAUGGACAAACUUUGGUCAAUUAAACCUAUUAUAACUGCAUACAAAAUUUUAAGUUCAAAAGAUAAUUUUCCUUAUUUAGUUAGGAUUCAUAUUAAAAAGGCACAAAGCACGAAUUUUCAUGUUUAAAUUCACAAAUAUCACAAAAGCUCCUUCAAGCUCUAUGGACCAUUUUAUUUGUAACAUUAUAUUACUCUUAAUUAUCAAAUUAACCAACAAAUUCUUCUCAUUAGUUAUUUUUCUUUAGUAAUGUCAUAAAAUUUGAUAUAAAGUAGUAUUGGUCAUCAUUUCAAAUUUUAGGUUCCAAUUAGAUGUAUCAAGCAUGUGUACCAUAUUUGAUAUAACUAAUAUUUUUAUAAGUAAUUGAAUUUUUUUUUCUAUAAAUCAAUUAAUUUGAUUAUCAAUGAAUACUUUCAUACAUGAUAUUGAUGUAGUUUCAUAAAUAUUUUAAAAUAGUCAUAGAAGUCUUUUAUCUGAUUCACUAGAAAGAAAAAUAAACUAUUCUAAUGAAAAGACUUGAUGAUUUGAAGUGAUUGCUUUUGAUUUUAUUUGAUUGCUACCAUUAUUAAUUGUUAGAAAUUGGCAACAAAUACCCAUUUUGCAUCACUUCUAUAUGCAUCGGGGGAAUGAAUUAUAUUUCAUAGAGCUAAUAGGGCAAAACUCAAACUUUUGGAAUUAUGGAAAAGGUUGCUAGAAAGCUAAUUAACCAUUUAUAUUAUGAUUAAGACUAGUUGGGUUAGAAAUAAUUCAUAUGGAGAUUAAAAAAAACUAUGUAAUUUAGUUUAGUAGCUUGGGUGCUAUUGUAAUGAUUAAUGAUCUGCAACUUGAACACAUCUACUAGUGCUUUCUACUUGUAUAGCUAAAUUUAUGUUACCACUUUGAACUACAGUACUUACAUGAGAAGAAAGUUUUUCCUUAGUGAUAAUGCAAAAGAAAUUAAGUAUCAAUUUUUGUUAAACUAACAAGUGAUAGUUUAGAUAUGGUUUGAAUACACUUCCUUUCUUCUAUAUUUUUAUUUUGAAAAAAAAAAACUCUUUAAUGAAAUAUAAGAAAUCUUAUAUGUAUAAAAAUUAAAGACUUAAACAAAAAAAUUCUUCAAAUUUGAAAAUUUUCGAGAAGUAUUUUUAAGAAUUUGUAUUUUCAAUAUAAUAAUUCAUAUAUUUUGUAUAAAAGUUUUUGUUUAAAAAAAUAGAAGUGUGUCCAAAUUACAAAUUAAUUGUUAAAUUAAGAAUGUUUCUCAGAUCAAGAGAUGAUGAAAGUUGUAGAGAGUUUGCAUUACUCAACCUUUGCAAUUACUUUUUGAAGGUAAAAGAAAAUACCUUCCUACAUAACAUACAAUGGCAGGUUCUGGUUUGUAAGAAACUAAUAAAUGAUUAAGAAUAUGAAUAAGACUUCCUUUAUAAUGGAUAUGUAGAGAAGAAUAGUGGAUGAUAGGAGGUGAAAAUCUUGUAAUAAAAUAUCAAUAUCAGUUAUAAGAUAAUCAACAUUUUCUCUAUUUCUUGUACCUAUGUGAUUAAGAAUCUUGUAGCUCCCUUAUUGAAAUAUAAUAUAAAAAUAUAAAUAAACUAUUUAGAAGUGCAUGUAGUUUUCAACAUGAGGAAGUUCAAAAGCAAGUUAAUUAUGAUAAUUUUCUAUAGUCUAUAUUGAACACAAAUUAUUUUUACUAAAGGUUCAAUCGUUCUAUGAAGGUUAAAAGUUUGAAUUGUUUACAUAUGCAAAUGGACAACCAAACAAGAAAAUGAUUUUGAAAUCCUUUUUGGACCUUUUUUUAUCAUUCAUUUUUUCCCCUACUCUAUUUCCUUUCCCUCAAACUCUCUAGGUAGUAAACAUUACCUAAGAUAAAUAGGGAAGAAAAUAUUUUAUCAUUUAUUUAUUUAGUAUUUUUCUUACAUUUUUUGUAUGUUAUCCAAAUAUAAGAAAACUAUUUUUCUUUAUUUUUUCUUUUCCUUGUUGCUUUUCAAGAAUCAAGCAUACUUUAAACUCUAAUUAAGAGUUACAUAGAUUUACGAAGAAACAAUGCAACUGGUAACAAAAAAUUAAGGAAAUUUAAUUUUUGAGAGUAGGUAUAAUGAGAUUGGUUUGUUUGAUACAAAAUUUGAAUAAAAAUUCUUUCAAUGAAAAUUCAAGGAAAGGAAAAAAAAAACAACUUUCUCUCUAGACUAUAAUACUAAAUCACUUAAAAAAUAUCCUAACAUCGUUUAUGUUCAUCUUUCUUUUUAUGGAUUUGAAAAACCCAAUAAUUUGGAGAAAACUGAUUCAAGGAAGAAUAAUUUUUAGAAUAAAAUAUUAUUAUUUAAGAAGAUCAUAAAUAUUAUAGUCAUUGUUGAAUAUGAUAAAUGAUUUAAAAAAAAUGGUAGUUGGAAAUUUAGAUACUUUUAUAAGACAAAUGAAUUUUUCUAGUAUGGUAUGAAAAAAGGUAAAAUGAUAGGCUUUGAUCAUUUUUUAAGGUAGUUUGUUUAAAUCAUUUUAAUUUAUUUUCAUUUAAGAACAAUAACUUUUAUUACACUAGUUAUUUUGAUUUUCUUUUGAUAGAUUUUGCAAGCUUAAGCAAUUUGGAGCUAUUGGAUUUGAGUAAUAAUUCAUUUAGUGGGAGCGUUCCAUCAUCUAUAAGAUUGAUGUCUUCUCUCAAGUCUUUAUCCCUGGCUGGAAAUUACCUCAAUGGUUCCUUACCAAAUCAAGGUAUAUAUAUAUUGUGAUUACAGGUUUUUCUGUUUUCUUUUUUAAUAUCUUGUUUGUUCUUUAUGCCAAUGAAGUCAUGCAUGUCUAUUAAUUUUUGGUAUUUAAUAAAAAACUUUAUUCUUAAUUCAUAAAGACCUCAUCAACGGUAAGUAACAGCUAGUUGUAAGUUUGGGGGCAUUGACAAGACGAGGAGAUGAUUGGUUACAUGUCUUAUUCUCUUUUGUAGGCUUUUGCCAAUUGAAUAAGCUUCAAGAAUUAGAUCUUUCUUACAACUUGUUCCAAGGAAUCCUUCCUCCAUGUUUGAAUAAUUUGACAUCUUUGAGGUUAUUGGAUCUCUCUUCCAACCUAUUCUCCGGAAAUCUUUCUUCCCCUCUGUUACCUAAUCUCACAUCCCUGGAGUACAUCGAUCUCAGUUACAAUCAUUUUGAGGGUUCAUUCUCUUUCAGCUCUUUUGCUAAUCACUCCAACCUUCAAGUGGUCAAACUUGGAAGGAAUAACAACAAAUUUGAGGUAGAAACUGAAUAUCCAGUUGGUUGGGUUCCCCUGUUUCAGUUGAAAGCUCUUGUGCUAUCCAACUGUAAGCUCAUCGGUGACCUUCCUAGUUUCCUUCGACACCAAUUAAGAUUAACCGUGGUUGAUCUCUCCCAUAAUAACUUGACUGGAAGUUUCUCCAUUUGGCUGCUUGAAAACAAUACAAGACUAGGAUCUCUAGUUCUGAGGAAUAACUCUUUAAUGGGUCAACUACUUCCCCUGAGACCUAAUAGUCGUAUCACUUUAUUGGAUAUCUCAGACAACCGACUUGAUGGGGAACUUCAACAAAAUGUGGCCAAUAUGAUUCCAAAUAUUGAGUUUCUAAAUUUAUCCAACAAUGGUUUUGAAGAUAUUCUCCUAUCCUCAAUAGCCGAAAUGAGUUCCUUACAGUCAUUGGAUUUGUCUGCUAAUAGUUUCUCAGGGGAAGUACCAAAACAAUUGCUUGUGGCAAAAUAUUUGUGGCUUCUGAAAUUAUCAAAUAAUAAAUUUCAUGGUGAAAUAUUUUCAAGGGAGUUUAACUUGACUCAGUUAGGGUUUUUACAUUUGGACAAUAAUCAGUUCAAGGGAACACUGUCAAAUGUAAUCUCCAGAAUCUCUAGGUUAUGGGUGUUGGAUAGGUAACAUGACCGAUUUGACUACCCUAGUGUUGGGCAACAAUAGUUUUAAAGGCAAAUUACCACCUGAGAUUUCUCAAUUGUUGGGGAUGAUAUUUCUUGACCUUUCUUAAAACGCUCUUUCAGGAUCUUUUCUUUCUUUGAAGAGCCUGGAGUAUUUAGAGCAUCUACAUUUGCAAGGGAACAUGUUUAUAGGAUUGAUACCUAGAGAUUUUCUCAAUUCCUCAUAUCUAUUGACUUUGGAUAUCAGAGACAACAGGUUAUUUGGAAGUAUUCCCAAUUCAAUCUCUAGACUUUUAGAGCUAAGAGGAAACCUUUUAAGUGGUUUCAUUCCAUAUCAGCUCUGUCAUUUGACUAAAAUAAGCUUCAUGGAUCUUUCAAACAACAAUUUUUCUAGGUCAAUUCCUGGAUGCUUUGGUCAUAUCAGAUUUGGAGAUUUCAAAACUGAGCACAAUGUGUAUAUACCGAUGUUGGAUUCGUAUUCAGAAAGCAAUCCUUCUAUAUAUGCGGGUUACUUAAUAAAAUUUUAUUUUUCUCUAGUGAACUCCCUAAUGAAGUAGAUGAAGUUGAGUUUGUUACCAAGAAUAGGUAUAGCUCCCACAGAGUAGAUAAAUAUAUUUGUUGGGAAUUUAGAUAUUUUUAUAGAAAAGUAGACAAGUAUUCUAAUUUAUAAAAAUAAUGCAUUUCUUUAGUUUGGUAUAAAAAAAAUGAAAUGAUAUGUAUUGGUAAUUUUUUUUAAAGUAACAAACGUUUUAUUUUAUUUGUAUUUAAGAACAAUUUUUUUUCUUAUACUAGUUAUUUUAAUUUUCUUUUGACAGAUUUUGCAAGCUUAAGCAAUUUGGAGAUGCUAGAUUUGAGUUAUAAUUCCUUAAGUGGGAUUAUUCCAUUAUCUAUAAGAUUGAUGCCUCAUCUCAAGUCUUUAUCCUUGGCCAGAAAUCACUUCAAUGGUUCUUUACAAAAUCAAGGUACAUAUGUUAUGAUUUGUUUGUUUCAUAUAGAUUAGAGAAGAUGAAUAUUGUUAAAAAAAAAAAGUUGUUGUUAAUGUAAGCUAGAAAUAAGUAUUUUGCCUUAUAAAUUAUAUAAGCAUGUGUUUGUUCUGAAUGAAUCUUUACAACAUUUAGAGUUACCAAUGUUUAUAAUUCAUAAAGACCUCAUUAACAGUGAGUAACAACUAAUUGUAAGUAAUUGUGGAAAAAGUAAGGAAAACAAAAUGAGGGAAAAGCAAGGAAUUAGGAAAUUAUUUUGUUCCCAUAAAAAAAUGCUAAGGAAGAAAAAGGUAAAAGAAAGUUUAAAAAAAGUGUAUUUUUCAAAAAUUUAUUUCUCUUUCCUUUAAUUUUGCUAUGGACAACCAAACAAGAAAAUAAUUUUAUAAUUCCUUUUUUUUUUCAUUCUCUCUCUCUCUCUCUCUUUUUCCCUACUCUAUUUCUUUUCCCUCAAACUUUCUUGAUAGUAAACACAACCUAAGGUAAAUGAGGAAGAAAAUUUUUAGUUUUUUUUAUUUUUUAUUUUUUUAGAAUGUUUUCUUACUUUUUAGUAUUUUAUGCAAAUAUAGGAAAAUUUUCAUCUUUCUUUUUAUGGAUUUGAAAAACCCAAUAAUUUGGAGAAAACUGAUUCAAGGAAGAAUAAUUUUUAGAAUAAAAUAUUAUUAUUUAAGAAGAUCAUAAAUAUUAUAGUCAUUGUUGAAUAUGAUAAAUGAUUUAAAAAAAUGGUAGUUGGAAAUUUAGAUACUUUUAUAAGACAAAUGAAUUUUUCUAGUAUGGUAUGAAAAAAGGUAAAAUGAUAGGCUUUGAUCAUUUUUUAAGGUAGUUUGUUUAAAUCAUUUUAAUUUAUUUUCAUUUAAGAACAAUAACUUUUAUUACACUAGUUAUUUUGAUUUUCUUUUGAUAGAUUUUGCAAGCUUAAGCAAUUUGGAGCUAUUGGAUUUGAGUAAUAAUUCAUUUAGUGGGAGCGUUCCAUCAUCUAUAAGAUUGAUGUCUUCUCUCAAGUCUUUAUCCCUGGCUGGAAAUUACCUCAAUGGUUCCUUACCAAAUCAAGGUAUAUAUAUAUUGUGAUUACAAGUUUUUAUGUUUUCUUUUUUAAUAUCUUGUUUGUUCUUUAUGCCAAUGAAGUCAUGCAUGUCUAUUAAUUUUUGGUAUUUAAUAAAAAACUUUAUUCUUAAUUCAUAAAGACCUCAUCAACUGUAAGUAACAGCUAGUUGUAAGUUUGGGGGCAUUGACAAGACGAGGAGAUGAUUGGUUACAUGUCUUAUUCUCUUUUGUAGGCUUUUGCCAAUUGAAUAAGCUUCAAGAAUUAGAUCUUUCUUACAACUUAUUCCAAGGAAUCCUUCCUCCAUGUUUGAAUAAUUUGACAUCUUUGAGGUUAUUGGAUCUCUCUUCCAACCUAUUCUCCGGAAAUCUUUCUUCCCCUCUGUUACCUAAUCUCACAUCCCUGGAGUACAUCGAUCUCAGUUACAAUCAUUUUGAGGGUUCAUUCUCUUUCAGCUCUUUUGCUAAUCACUCCAACCUUCAAGUGGUCAAACUUGGAAGGAAUAACAACAAAUUUGAGGUAGAAACUGAAUAUCCAGCUGGUUGGGUUCCCCUGUUUCAGUUGAAAGCUCUUGUGCUAUCCAACUGUAAGCUCAUCGGUGACCUUCCUGGUUUCCUUCGACACCAAUUAAGAUUAACUGUGGUUGAUCUCUCCCAUAAUAACUUGACUGGAAGUUUCCCCAUUUGGCUGCUUGAAAACAAUACAAGACUAGGAUCUCUAGUCGUAUCACUUUAUUGGAUAUCUCAAACAACCGACUUGUUGGGGAACUUCAACAAAAUGUGGCCAAUAUGAUUCCAAAUAUUGAGUUUUUAAAUUUAUCCAACAAUGGUUUUGAAGGUAUUCUCCCAUCCUCAAUAGCUUAAAUGAGUUCCUUACAGUCGUUAGAUUUGUCUGCUAAUAGUUUCUUAGGGGAAGUACCAAAACAAUUGCUUGCGGCAAAAUAUUUGUGGCUUCUGAAAUUAUCAAAUAAUAAAUUUCAUGGUGAAAUAUUUUCAAGGGACUUUAACUUGACUCAGUUAGGGUUUUUACAUUUGGACAAUAAUCAGUUUAGGGGAUAUUUCUCCAGAAUCUCUAGGUUAUGGGUGUUGGAUGGGAGAUAGUUUUAAAGGCAAAUUACCACCUGAGAUUUCUCAAUUGUCGGGGAUGAUAUUUCUUGACAUUUUUCAAAACGCUCUUUCAGGAUCUCUUCCUUCUUUGAAGAGCCUGGAGUAUUUAGAGCAUCUACAUUUGCAAGGGAACAUGUUUAUAGGAUUGAUACCCAGAGAUUUUCUCAAUUCCUCAUAUCUAUUGACUUUGGAUAUCAGAGACAACAGGUUAUUUGGAAGUAUUCCCAAUUCAAUCUCUAGACUUUUAGAGCUAAGAGGAAACCUUUUAAGUGGUUUCAUUCCAUAUCGGCUUUGUCAUUUGACUAAAACAAGCUUCAUGGAUCUUUCAAACAACAAUUUUUCUGGGUUAAUUCCCGGAUGCUUUGGUCAUAUCGGAUUUGGAGAUUUCAAAACUAAGCACAAUGUGUAUAUACCGAUGUUAGAUUCGUAUUCAGAAAGCAAUCCUUCUAUAUAUACGGGUUACUUAAUAAAAUAUUUAUUUUUCUCUACUGAACUCCUUGAUGAAGUAGAUGAAGUUGAGUUUGUUACCAAGAAUAGGUAUAGCUCCCACAGAGUAGAUAAAAAUAUUUGUUGGGAAUUUAGAUAUUUUAUAGGACAAUAUACAAGUAUUCUAAUUUAUAAAAACAAUGCAUUUCUUUAGUUUGGUAUAAAAAAAAUAAAAUGAUAGGUAUUGGUAAUUUUUUUUCAAAGUAACAAACGUUUUAUUGUAUUUGUAUUUAAGAACAAUGUCUUUUCUUAUACUAGUUAUUUUAAUUUUCUUUUGACAGAUUUUGCAAGCUUAAGCAAUUUGGAGAUACUAGAUUUGAGUUAUAAUUCCUUAAGUGGGAUUAUUCCAUCAUCUAUAAGAUUGAUGUCUUGUCUCAAGUCUUUAUCGUUGGCCGGAAAUCACCUCAAUGGUUCUUUACAAAAUCAAGGUACAUAUGUUAUGAUUUGUUUGUUUCAUAUAGAUUAGAGAAGAUAAAUAUUGUAAAAAAAAAAAAAGUUGUAGUUAAUGUAAGCUAGAAAUAAGUAUCUUGCCUUAUAAAUUAUAUAAGCAUGUGUUUGUUCUUAAUGAAUCUUUACAACAUUUAGAGUUACCAAUGUUUAUAAUUCAUAAAGACCUCAUUAACGGUGAAUAACAACUAAUUGUAAGUAAUUGUGGAAAAAGUAAGGAAAACAAAAUGAGGGAAAAGCAAGGAAUUAGGAAAUUAUUUUUUUCCCAUAAAAAAAUGCUAAGGAAGAAAAAGGUAAAAGAAAGUUUAAAAAAAGUGUAUUUUUAAAAAAAUUAUUUCUCUUUCCUUUAAUUUUGCUAUGGACAACCAAACAAGAAAAUCAUUUUAUAAUUCCUUUUUAUUUUUUUCAUUCUCUCUCUCUUUUUUUCCCUACUCUAUUUCUUUUCCCUCAAACUUCCUUGGUAGUAAACACAACCUAAGAUAAAUGGGGAAGAAAAUUUUCAGUUUUUAUUUUUAUUUUUUUAGAAUGUUUUCUUACUUUUUAGUAUUUUAUGCAAAUAUAGGAAAAUUAUUUUUUUUUCUUGCUCCUUUUCAGACAUGAAUCACACUUUAAAAGAAAAUUAAUUUUUAAUUAGGAGUUAAGAUAAAUUUAAGGAGAAACAAUGAAUCACGAAUAACAAAAAAUUAAGGAAAUUGAAUUUUUGAAAGUAAGUAUAAUCAAAUUGCUUCAUUUGAUACAAAAUUUGAAUAAAAAUUCUUUCAAUGAAAAAUCAAGGAAAGGAAAAAACAUUUUUGUCUCUAGAUUAUAAUACUUAAUCAUGUAAAAAAUCUCUUAACAUCAUUUAUAUUCAUAUUUCUUUUUGUAGAUUUGAAAAAUUCAACAAUUUGGAAUAAACUUAUUCAAUGAAGAAUAAUUUUUAGAUUUAAAGAUUAUUAUUUAAGAUCAUAAAUAUUACCAUCAUUGUUGAUGUCCAAGAAGAUCAUAUUCAACAAUUUUUUUAAUAUGUUGUUUUUUAUGGUAAUUAAUUGAUGUCUUGUAAUUUUUAAUAUUUAAUGAAAAACAUUAAUUUAAUUCAUCUAAAGCUCUUAAUUCAUGAAGACCUCGUUAAUGUAAUGGUGAGUAAUAGUUGGCUGUAAGUUUGGAGUCAAAGACAUGUUAAGGAGAUGAUUAGUUACAUGUCUUAUUCUCUUUUGUAGGUUUCUGCCAAUUGAAUAAGCUUCAAGAGUUAGAUCUUUCUUACAACUUAUUCCAAGGGAUCCUUCCUCCAUGUUUGAAUAAUUUCACAUCUCUGAGGUUAUUGGAUCUCUCUUCCAACCUCUUUUCCGGAAAUUUUUCUUCCCCUCUGUUACGUAAUCUCACAUCCCUAGAGUACAUAGAUCUCAGUUCCAAUCAGUUUGAGGGUUCAUUCUCUUUCAGCUCUUUUGCUAAUCAUUCCAAGCUUCAAGUGGUCAUACUUGGAAGGGAUAACAACAAAUUUGAGGUAGAAACUGAAUAUCCAGUUGGUUGGGUUCCCCUGUUUCAGUUGAAGAUUCUCUCUCUAUCCAGCUGUAAGCUCACCGGUGACCUUCCUGGUUUUCUUCAAUACCAAUUCAGGUUAGUGGGGGUUGAUAUCUCACAUAAUAACUUGACAGGAAGUUUCCCCUAUUGGUUGCUUGAAAACAAUACGAGACUAGAAUCUCUAGUCUUGAGGAAUAACUCUUUAAUGGGUCAACUACUUCCCUUGGGACCUAAUACUCGUAUCAAUUCAUUGGAUAUCUCACACAAUCAGUUGGAUGGACAACUUCAAGAAAAUGUGGCCCAUAUGAUUCCAAAUAUUAUGUUUCUAAAUUUAUCCAACAAUGGUUUUGAAGGUAUUCUCCCAUCCUCAAUAGCUGAACUAAGAGCCUUAUGGAUUUUGGAUUUGUCUACCAAUAAUUUCUCUGGAGAAGUACCAAAGCAAUUGCUUGCAACAAAAGAUUUGGGGAUUCUGAAAUUAUCAAAUAAUAAAUUUCAUGGUGAAAUAUUUUCAAGGGACUUUAACUUGACUGGGUUAUUGUGUUUGUAUUUGGGCAAUAAUCAGUUCACAGGAACUCUGUCAAAUGUAAUCUCCAGAAGCUCUUGGUUGGAGGUGUUGGAUGUGAGCAACAACUACAUGUCAGGUGAAAUUCCAAGCCAGAUAGGUAACAUGACCGAUUUGACUACACUGGUGUUGGGCAACAAUAAUUUUAAAGGCAAAUUACCACUUGAGAUUUCUCAAUUGCAACGGAUGGAGUUUCUUGACGUUUCUCAAAAUGCUUUUUCAGGAUCUCUUCCUUCUUUGAAGAGCAUGGAGUAUUUAGAGCAUCUACAUUUGCAAGGGAACAUGUUUACAGGAUUAAUACCCAGAGAUUUUCUCAAUUCCUCAAAUCUAUUGACUUUGGAUAUUAGAGAAAACAGGUUAUUUGGAAGUAUUCCCAACUCAAUCUCUGCACUUUUGAAGCUAAGGAUUCUUUUGCUAGGAGGAAACCUUUUAAGUGGUUUUAUUCCAAAUCAUCUUUGUCAUUUGACUGAAAUAAGCUUGAUGGAUCUUUCAAACAACUCUUUUUCAGGGCCAAUUCCCAAAUGCUUUGGCCAUAUCCGAUUUGGGGAAAUGAAAAAGGAGGACAACGUGUUUGGACAGUUCAUUGAAUUUGGGUUUGGAAUGGUUUCUCAUCUUGUAUAUGCAGGUUACUUGGUGAAAUAUUACGGUUCCCCAACUUUAGUAUAUAAUGAAAAAGAUGAAGUUGAGUUUGUCACCAAGAACAGGAGUGACUUCUACAAAGGUGGCAUCCUUGAAUUCAUGUCUGGAUUGGACUUAUCAUGUAACAACUUGACAGGCGAAAUACCUCAUGAACUUGGAAUGCUAAGUUGGAUUCGUGCAUUGAACUUGUCUCACAAUCAAUUGAAUGGCUCCAUUCCAAAGAGUUUCUCUAAUCUUUCUCAAAUAGAGAGCUUAGACCUUUCUUAUAAUAAACUGGGUGGAGAAAUUCCUCUAGAGCUAGUUGAACUCAAUUUUUUAGAGGUGUUUAGUGUGGCUUACAACAACUUCUCUGGUAGAGUUCCAGAUACCAAAGCACAAUUUGGGACAUUUGAUGAAAGGAGCUAUGAAGGUAAUCCUUUCCUUUGUGGGGAACUAUUAAAGAGGAAAUGCAACACAAGUAUUGAGUCACCAUGCACACCAUCACAGUCUUUUGAAAGUGAGGCAAAAUGGUAUGAUGUCAAUCAUGUUGUUUUCUUUGCAAGUUUUACUACUUCAUAUAUCAUGAUCUUGUUAGGAUUUGCUAUCAUCCUUUACAUCAAUCCUUAUUGGCGUCAUAGAUGGUUCAAUUUUAUCGAGGAAUGUAUAUAUUCCUGCUAUUAUUUUGUUUUUGAUAGUCUUUCCAAGUUAUCAGCAUAUUUGUAUAAUUAGAUACUUUUAAUUGGAUGAUAUUUGCAUAAUUAACUACUAUUUGUUUCCCUGGGAUAGAAAGAAAUGGGAUGUAUAAUGCUAUGAGCUGAAACUUACAUACUUUGCUCAAAUUCUAACAUCUUUUGAUUUUAUUUUCAAGUUCCGUUAUUUAUUAUGUAUUGCUUAAUUCAAGAUUUAACCAUAUUACGUUACUCUUAUAAAAGCAAAUUCAAAUUUUUAGGAACUUUUAGCAUUAAAAUAAUUUCAUAGUCAGAUUUUAAAAAAUAAAGAAGAAAGAAAAUAAUAAAUAAUUGGAAAAACAAUUCAAGGAAGUAUUAAAUUAUUAUCUUAGAAUUAUUUGGCGUAGUAUGGGAAUUCAAAAAUAAUCUUUCAAUUUGUUAGAAAUGUUUAUUUAUUUAUUAUAGCAAUGAUUGAAAUAUCAAUCACAAAGUAAUGUUUUCUUUUCUUUUGUAGGGCACUAACACUUUUUCUUUGAUAGUAAUAAUUGAUAAAUAUAUUACACAAUUAUUUGUUUUAAAAAAGGGAGGGAUGACAAACAUAAUAACAUGUGAAAUAUUUCUAAAACUGUAAUGGGAAAUAAGCCAUCUAAUUAGGGUGCAAUAUUAUUCAUUUUAAUUUACAUGAAUUUACUUAUUUUUAUUUGCAUCAUAUUUUGAACUAUUUUAUGAAAUUAAGGGAGAUUAAAACAUCACGAGUUUCUUAUUUUAGUUUAUAUUCUUAAUAAUAAAGCAUGAAAUAUUAUAAAAAAAAAAAUCAUGAAUUUCUUUAAUUCCUUAGGAAACCAAUAUAUAAAAAAUUGAACAUAUUAUUAUUUUAUAUCCUAAAUCUCUAAAUUUGUUCAUUACCUAUUUAUUUUUAUAUUAAAUUUAUUAUUAAUUAUUUAUUUAUAUUAUUAUUUUAUGUUUAAAAUGUUCAUAAAUAAUUAAAAUUAAUAAAUAUAAAAAUAAAAUAUUAAAAAAUUAAAUUAUAAAGAUUUCAUCAAACUGACAUAUUUAAAAAAAAAAAAAAGCUAAAAAAGAUGAGGAUAUUAUAGAGGAGGGGAAAAGGAUAAAAGAAAAUUCAUGUGGUAUGAUAAUAUCACGUGUCAAAGUUAUUUUCUUUAAAAAAUAAUAAUAGUAAUGAUGAACUCAUUUGUCUUAUCAAAGUAAGUUAAAAAAAAAAAAAAAAAAAAAAAAGAAAAGAAAAAGAUGGUAGUUGGCUUAUUUGUUCUUUGAAAAUAAAAAAUCAAAGUUUUAGAAAAAUACAAUUUUCUUUUAAAUGAUGAAUGGUUACAUCAUUUCCCCUUAGCUUAUCUGUUCCUUUAAACUUUAGUUUGAAUAAAAUUAGUUUUAAUUAUUUUCUUUUUGGAAUUAUAUUUAAUCGUAUUAUUAAAAAUAUAAAAAACAUCGUAAUAAUAUUGUCAAUAAGUUUUUUUAUAUAUAUUGAAAAAUAUUUAUAUUUAAAAAUAUUUAAAUUUUGUCAUGGGCUGCCCAUUUCAAAAUGAUAAGAAUAUAAUAACCUAAUUUUUCCAAAUUCCAGGUAAAUAUGCUAAUCUAAAAAAAAAAAAUUAUUAGGUUUUUAUGUGCUGAUUGGGUUUUUUUUAUACCCAGUAUGCUCUCCAAUCUACCACUUAAGCAUCCGACAUGGCUAAAAAUAAAUUUUUAAAAAAAAGAAUAAAAAAGGAAAAAAACGAAAGUGUGUGAUCUCUUUCUUGAGUCUUCACAAUCUGAGACACUGAACCCAAAUCAAAAUUAAUCCUCCAAAUUAAUUUUCACCUCCAACCCAAACCCUAACGACUGCCUCACUUUCUUCUCAAACAUAGCUAUACGAAAAACCCUAGCCUCUGCCUCGUCUUCCUCUUAUCCCGGAAACCCAAAUCCCGUGACCCUAACCCCUUCUCUUUCCGAAAACCCUCCAGAAUCGGAAGAUUCAAGUGAUCGAAUUAAUUCUUCAGAAUUAAUUUUCACCUCGAAGCCGAACCCUAACUGCCUCAUCUUCCUCUCAUUCAUAUCCCAAAAGUAGCUUCAACAGUCAGGCCUGCGGCCAUGAAAGCCGUAGUGAUCGCCACUUCCGGCGAUCCCCAAGUUCUCCAAGUGCAAGAAGUCGAAAACCCUGAAAUUGGAGAUGAUGAAGUUCUAAUUAGAGUGGACGCCGCUGCCAUUAAUCGAGCGGAUACGCUUCAGAGGAAGGGCUUGCACCCUCCCUCAAAGGCGGCAGUCCCUACCCCGCUGGAAUCAUCGAAGCUGUUGGAAAGGUCGUCGUUCGAUGGAAGGUUGGCGAUCAGGUAUUUCAAUUGCCUAAUAUUUUGAUUCCGUUUCUGUUCCUGUAUUUUUCUCGGCUAUCCUUUAUGUGAUUUUGCUUCCUCCUGAGUACAAGUUCAUAAUAUACAUGGUACAUGGUGAAUCUGUAUGACAUUUCAUGGUAUACAGGUGUGUGCUCUUCUUUCUGGUGGAGGGCAUGCUGAAAAAGUGGCUGUUCCAGCUGGGCAAGUUCUCCCUGUCCUAUCUGGUGUUUCUCUGAAGGAUGCUGCUGAGGUUGCAUGUACUGUUUGGUCAACUGUUUUAAUGAUGAGCCGACUGUCUGCAGGAGAAACAUUCCUGGUGAAUUUUUUGUCUUUUUUAUUUUCUGAUGCCUGAUAUAUUUACCAGCACAAAUUUUCCCUGUUGCUGUUUAAUGUGUGUGCAUCAAUAUUGGAUUAGGGAGGUAGAAGAGCCAUGGUUCUAUUACAUCAUCAUAUUCUUAUUUAGAUACAUUGUAUCCCACAAUUUCAUUGCAUCCAAGGCUAUGUUGUUUUUUAUUGCACGGUUUGUCAUGGUAAUUUCUCAACCCUUCUCUGGAAAAUUAUGUUGGAUGGCUGCUAUUAAUUACCCCAAAAGAAGAAAUUUUAUGUUGAAGUAAGAUGAGUAGCACAAAGAGUUACUUGUGGUUGAUCCUAUCAUCAAAUGGGCGAUUGAUGCACAAUCCAAAUGGUAAAUUUUUUUCCCCCUUUAUCCAGAUGGAAUUUUUAUGCAUGGUUGAAUAGUGAAAUGAGGACUGAUAAUAUUUCAGGUUCAUGGGGGUUCAAUUGGAAUUGGUACCAUCUAUUCAAAUAGUGAAAUAUUGAGGAGCAAGGGUAUUUGUUACAGCAGGUUUGCCAUCACUGUUCUACCUCAUCCCACAGAAUGCUUAUCUCAUGGCACCAAUUCCUUUUCUUCACAUGUUUUCAACCAUUUUUUCCACCCAGGAACGAGGAAAAAUUAGCUGUUUGUAAGGAUCAUUGAGCAGAUGUGUGCAUCAAUUACAAGACUGAAAACUUUGUUGCAUGGGUGAAGGAGGAAACAGGAGGGAAAGGUACAUUCUAUUGUAUCUUAACGAUAAUUUCAAUUGAAGGUGGAAUUGCUUUUUAUUUUUUAGUGCACCAAAUCCACUAGUCUGGAAUGUUUGAAAAGAUAAAUAGUCAUCUUCCACUUGAUUCCGAUUGUGAAGAUCUAACCCCAAAAAUGUUGAAUGACAGGUGUUGAUGUUAUACUGGAUAAUAUUGGAGGGGCCUACUUUUGGGGAGACAUCAAUGGUUUAAAUGUUGAUGGAAGGCUUUUUAUUAUUGGUUUUCAGGGUGGAACAGUGGUACAAGUAAAUCUUUCAGGUUUACUUGCAAGGCGCCUUACAGUGCAAGGUACCACUUUCUCUGUAGAAGAUUUUUCUGUAGUUUUGGAGUUGAAUCAAUUUGAUUAAUCUCAUCCAAGUUCAGAACUGAGGUGGAUUCUGGCAAGCCAAGGAAAAACCAAAUUACCAUAAAUUCUUUUUUUUUUUCUGGAUCGUUUUACUUCUUGGAAAUCCUGUUUCUCGAUCUGGUCAGGUAUAUGGAAAUUCCAAGGAAAAUAUGUUUUACAUUUUCCAUAAUUGGAAACACUCAGGAAUUUAAUAUUUUCCUCUGAAAUAGCAAUGGUUUUCUAAUUACGACAUUUGUUUUUCUUGUAUCAUCCCAAAAUAUUUUUUAGGUGUUUGUUCUCUCUUGACACAGCUUUUAAUUGGGUCUGUCUUGCUUUUUGAUAGAUCUCUUGACAAGUUGCUUGUAUAUCAUACUUUCUUUAUUGUUUUCGGAUCAUGAACCUUGCUUCUGUCAGCCCUGUUAUCACUACCCAAACUAGUAAAUUUAUGCACAAAACUCCAUGUGUCAGUAACAGUGGUUAUUUGAUUGUAUUAAAUAAUUUGUAAAUACAGUGGAUAAGUUUGUGCAUAGAUUGAAGGCGAAUGAAAAACGUGCAUAGAUUGAAGGUGUGCUGCUUGAGUUGAUUGUAGUUUGAGCAUGAAAAUUUGAAGAUCCAGAACAGCAAAUGAGGAAUGCCUAUCAAUUUGAAACCAGCAUGGGUGGAUGAAUGGAGAGGUUCUUCACUGAAUUUGUCCAUGAAGCUUUUUAGCACUCUAGGGCAAGGGUCUCCAAGCCUAGCUGUUGAUUGCACAUCCCUCCUGCGCAAUACUAAGAACAGAGUGAAAUGCAAAUGCAGGAAAGGGUGUUUCUUAGCUGUUCAACAACUGACAAUACAUUGGCAUGACAAUUCCCUGGAUCGAAUGCCACAAUGCCCUCUUGGAGUUCCAAAGCUUGUUCACAGGUCAAACGAACUUGAGGGUUUUGGGACAUGAACUCCAAGUUUGGUUGCCAAGAAUCUCCAGGUGGAGGAUCAGCUUCUGACACGUGCACACACCUCUUGGCCAGUUUGUGUUAUUGCAAUUUUUAUUAAAUUGCUAAAAAAUUUAUCGCGAACAAUUUUUUCUUUUUUCUUUUUUCUUUUUUUCUUUUUAAACAAACUGCAAAAAUCCCUUUUUUUUUUAUAUAAAAAAAAAAAAAAUUCUCCAACAAAGUGAUUUUUUUUUGUGGCAUGACUCGGUUUGACCACUAACUCGGUGAACUGGUCUAUCGGCUCAAGUUUGGAUCCCUUAAUUUUGUGGCAAAUUGGGCAUCAAGCCCAACAACCUAACUUCCAUGCGGGCUAUCUACUGGAUCUCACCCAUUGUAACUUGCUCUGGGUGAAUGGCCAUUAUAAACUUCAUUUUAUCCUCAUGUGAUUUUGAUGUGGGAAUGGGAGAGAUGAGGAUUUGACAUUUGGACCUAAGGCUCAAUGGGUUUUAACUCCACUCAGCUACUUUAUGUCUUGUAUUUAAUAUUGCAAACCAAAAUAAUAAUAGACAUGAUUCUUUUCAAAAAAUUUAUAAUGUAAUAUUUUUUAAAAUUAUAAAAUAAUAGGUUAUAUAAAUUUUAAUAUAUAGGUAAAAUUAAUUAAAUUUUAACAAAUAUCUUCACAUUUAGACAUUACAUAUUUUUUAUUUAAUAAAAUUUUAAAAUAUUAAUAUAUCUAAAUAUAAUAUUAAAAAUGAAAAAUAAAAUAGUAAUAAUUUUUAUUUUCUUUAUAUAUUUAAAAUUAUAUAAUUAUUUUUUAUUUUAAUAACAUAUAAAUUGUAUAUUUAUAAUAUUAUUGGUUCAACUGUGAUUCAACCAUCACUCCGAUUAUUCAAUUAUGAAUUAAUAAAUUUUUUAAUUCAAUGAUAGGUUUGAUUAUAAAAAUAUUAUGUUUUUUUUUAUGAAAAGUACUCAAGAAAUAUCAUUAAUCACUAAGAUCACGUGGUUGGAUUAGGUGUAUCCGAAACAUAGGUAUUACUCUCUUCCUUAGUUAGGGCUUAGCUUUUGAAAAUGUAGAUAGGUAAAGUGGAUGGAAAGUCUAUAACUACGUAGAGAUUGAGCUUGGAGGCCAAUCUAGCAAAUGUGGAGAUUAGAAAUAGUUUACCAUCUAGAUAGUCAAGCAUAGCAAUUUACCAAACCCUUACCAACCAUCCAUACUAACCAAUUGUGGUUAAAUGUUUACAAAAAUGUACAUUAAAUCAAAGAGAAAAAAGAUUAAAAACGAACAAGAGAGAAGAAGCACAUCACCUAAUUUUGGUAAUAAAUGAAAUUAAAAUAAAUUCAUAAAUUUUUUAAAUUAAAAUGAAUUUGAACUCUAGAGAUUUGUGUAGAUAUCUUAUUAAAAAACCAAAAAGUUUGUUGCAUAUAUAAUUUCAACAAUGCAUAAAUAAUUACAACAUACGCAAUACAAUAAUAUUACACAACUAUAUUUUCAAAUAUAAUAUAAGAUCAUUAAAGUGAUAAAUUGUAGUUGUAUAAAGUAUUUAUACAAGUAAAGAAGAAAUUAUGAGAUUAAAAUGCUUGUUGGAUUCUAAGUAAAAAAGAAAUGAGAUAUAGAGAUUGUCCCAUCAGACAUAUAGAAUUUCAUAUACAUAAUUUUCCCUUCAAGAAAAUUUAGGGUCAAAUUGAAAAAAUUUCAUUCAUAGAUUUUGGUAAAACCUCUAUCUAGUCCCCGAAGUCUUGUAUACAAAAGGAAAUAACAUUGGUAUGAGGGGUUUGAAUGCUUAAUUUUAGAUUGAAAAUGCUUGAGAUAAUUUUUGAUCGACUUCACAUGUGUUUUUAAUAAACUUGGAACAUUCAAACUUGUAUUUGAAGAAUCUUCAAUUUGAUCUUAAAUAAUGUUGAAACCUUCAAAAUUUGAAUAGAAGAAUCUUUAAGCAUUUGAAUUUUGGUUUAAAGAAUUUUGAAAUUUGAGACUGAAGAAUCUUCAAAUUUGGGCCUGAAGAUCAAAGGCUAAGCUUGAAGAGUUCUUGAAGCUUGAGUGGUAUGUCCGAUUUUGUUUUGUAUUUUAUAAAAACUUUUAGGCUAUGUUUGGUUCCCAGAAAAUUUGAGGGAAAAUGCGAGGGAAAGAAAAUACAAAGGAAAAGUAGAAGGAAAGAAAAAGUGAAGGAAAAUAAAAAAAUAGAUUAAAAGUUGAUAAAUUAUUUUUUUUGUUACUUCAAACUCAUUUUAUUUAUUUUAACUCAUCAAUAUAAAGAUUAAAUAAUUUAAAAAUAUAAAAGUUUUUAAUUAGUUUUAAUUAUAUUUAAUUUUCUUUGAUAUUUUUUAUAAGACAACCAAACAUGAGAAAAUCAUUUUCCUUAGCAUUUUUUUUCUUUCCUUUGUACUUUCCGGGAACCAAACAUAGCCUUAAGUAUACUAUAUUUAUAGGUUUGAAGAGACAUUGAGAUUUUGUAUACAUGUUUGGAGUUUUAAACCUUGAAAUAUUACUCUUUUAUGAAAUUAACAUUUAUAAAAUUUGGAAGAACAUAAUUAGAUAAUAUUCUAAGUUAUUUUUAAUGAAAAUUGAUAAUUACCUUUUAAUUAUCAAAUUCACUAUUUCUAUUUAUUUUUGUAAUAUAUAUUAAUUACUAAAAUCAUUUAUUUCCUUUAUUUAGUUUGAAAGCAAUUAUAUAUCUUUUGUUUGUGUAGAGCUCAUGUGACACGACAAAUUUUAUUUUGUAACUUGCUCUGGAUGAAUGGCCAUUAUAAACUUCAUUUUAUCCUCAUCUGAUUUUGACGUGGGAAUAGGAGAGAUGAGGAUUUGACAUUUGGACCUAAGCCUCAGAGGGUUUUAACUCCACUCAACUACUUUAUGCCUUGUAUUUAAUAUUGCAAACCAAAAUAAUAACAGACAUGAUCCUUUUCAAAAUUUUUAUAUUAAUAGAAGUGUAAAUAAUAUAAGUAAAAAUAAUGUAAUAUUUUUUAAAAUGAUAAAAUAAUAGGUUACAUAAAUUUUAAUAUAUAGGUAAAAUUAAUUAAAUUUUAACAAAUACCUUCACACUUAAACAUUACAUAUCUUUUAUUUAAUAAAAUGUUAAAAUAUUAAUAUAUUUAAAAUUGUAUAAUUAUUUUUAUUUUAAUACUAUAUAAAUUAUAUAUUUAUGAUAUUACUGGUUCAACUAUAAUUCAAUCACUGGUCCAACCAUUGAACCAUGAAUUAGUAAAUUUUUUUAUUCAAUGAUAGGUUUGAUUCUAAAAACAUUAUGGCUAUGUUUGGUCCCAGAAAUUUUUUUUUGAUGGAUAAUGACAAAGAUAUUACCAAUUUGAUAUCACCAAUUGAUAACACAAUUAAAAAAUAAUAUGAAUUUUAACAUAUUUGAAUUCAUUGUAAUCAUAUCCAUGACCUAAUUUUACACAUCCUUAAAUCAUGGUUGAUUUAUGAAACAAAUCUAUACCAUCAAUAGAAAAUAAAUAAAUAAAAUAAUACAAAAAAAAUAUAUAGAUAGUCAAGCAUAGCAAUUUACCAAACCCUUAGCCACCAUCCAUACUAACCUGUUGUUGUUAAAUGUUUACAAAAAUAUACAUUAAAUCAAAGAGUAAAAAGAUUAAAAACGAACAAGAGAGAAGAAAUACAUCACCUAAUUUUUGUAAUAAAUGAAAUUAUAAUAAAUUCAUAAUUUUUUUAAAUUAAAAUAGGAAUUCAAAUACAUGUAACUAUUGUUUUUGUCUUGUAAAUCAUCCAAUUUUUCAAUGAAUUUAAACUCCACAGAUUUGUGUAGAUAUCUUAUUAAAAAAAGCAAAAAGUUUUCACUAAAAUCAUAAAAUUUAGAUUAGAAAUGAUUUACUAUAUUAGUUCAAAAUUCACCUCCACAAAAAUUGAAAUAAAUUAAUUAUCUUCAAUUCAAAUAAAAUUUCUCCAAUUAAAUUUCCAAAUAUGUGCCUUAAUACCUAUAAUGGAAUUAGUAAUUUUAAUUAAAAUAAAAAUAAAAAUAAGGAUUUGAUCUUUUUCUUACCAUUUGAUGAAAAUUAUAAAAUAUAUUAAAAUGACAAGUGAUCAGACAUUUGAAAUUUGCAUCAUUUCUACCAUUGCAAACACCACCAACCCCAUAUUUCCCAUUUUUCUACCUACUGCCAAUUCACUCAUCUCUCUGGGAAGAUUUUUGAGGUUAUCGUCAUGCUUGAGAUAAUCCAGAAAGUUGAGCGGCAUCACUCUCUGAAAGGUGCCUUACAGCAUGGGUAAUGUAUGGGAUACAUCUGAUAACUUGCCAUAUCCAUAAACCACUAUAUUAAACCAUGGUUCAUAUCCCCAACGUUACACGAGAAUCUGUACUCAUCCCAAGCAGCUUGGAGAUCAUAAAAUUAGGUUUUGAGGGCCUCCCGAGACAUGCACAGCUUCACCCUUUGUGCAUUCCUUUGAUUUGGAAAAUUUCUUCUUUAGAAUUCCCCAUUAUCAUGCCCUGAACCAAGACAUAUCAUGAUUGGAUGGGCCCCUUCACCAAUUUCACAAUAUCCAAUAGCAUAUCAUUUACUUCCCUUUUGUCAAUGGGAAUUACCAUUUUGCAUGGGAAGCACCAACGGAGAUGGAGGUUUUCAAAUUGGAUCACUAGCAAAGAAACCCACCGCAACUAUCUGAAUAAUUGAGCACAACAUCGGCUUUAGAGAACUCCUCCUGAAGGCGAAAUCGUCAUCUUGGCUAAACGUAGUCAUAGUUGGGUUGUGAGAAAUGGAGAUGAAUCAUAGAAGGCUUUCAGUUUCAUAGCAACGAAAAGGUAAAUGUACUCUAGAGAAGUUUUGACCUUGGGAGAAGCGCUUUUGAAUCCAAGUCAAGGUCUGUUCUGGAUCCCUUUUCGACUCUCUCUAUUAAAGGAAGAUAAUCUGCCUAGGAUUUGGAUGCAAGCUUGCAAGGCCAUGUUUAGGAGACUUAUGCAAAAUAUUUAUCCAUAGCUCCCCGCCUGAAACAUCUACAUAAAGCGUCUUCCAAGUGUGAACCAUUGUCUUGGGUCCUUGAGAUGAACAAAAACUGAGACAUAUCGUGAGUUAGAUGCAUUGCCUGAAAAUGCCGAGCAGUAGUAUGGCCUUCUUUCUGAUCAACUGUUUUGUCAAAUUCUAGAGCUCUCAUUCCAAAUCCAUCAGUUUUCUCAAAUGAUUGGCUAGUGGAGAUCCAUGGAUAUAACAUAUGAAAUGUGCACAAUAAAAGUAAUCAAACGGUUGGUUGGUUUGGCUGAAUCCCACAAUCGCAAAGACUAAUCAUAUGAAACUGUUACCAGCUGAGUUGAAUUUGGCCUAAAAAGGAUAUCCGUUACUACAAACUAGCGUUCUUUCAUGGUGCUCUCUCUUUGCAGGCUAUCCAUGUUCCAAAGAAAAACUCUCUUGUCAUGUCUGGCACUAGGCACUGAUUAGAGUGUGGGACGUUCAUUCUCCAUUAUCACCAAACACAUGCAGGAUAUAUAUAUAUCAAUUCAUUCAAAAUAUGCCUUUAUUUUAUGGAACAUAACCGAAUCCAUUUUGUUUGUGUUGAAGAGGUAUAGAUCUUCUAAGGCUGUGGAGGGCACCACCUUUUCUCAGAAUUCUCUCUGACGAUGGGAAGCCGAAGAGAACGGGUUUUGUUUUUAUUUUGAAAACGUUGUUAUCAUUAAAGAACAAACACUAUUCUUUGGAUUUAUACCCUCUUGCCUUAGGGACCAUACUGUUUGGCUAUUGGGCCUCACGAGUCUUAGGCCCAUCAUCUAAGGCCCAUGAUGGCACUGGGCUCUACACAUAAGGUGACCCAUACUCUGGAACGAAUAGAAAUCAUAUGUAUAUAUAUGGAUAGCUAAAUCCUGAACAAUGGUUAAUAUGAUGUCGGUCCACAUUUAUUCUAUCAAUCUCCCACUUGGACCACAUAUAUUACAAAACAAUGUUCAUGAUAGUACUUUAUUGAGCUCAUCUUUGCUAUCCUAUCUUAAUAUCCUUAAACAAUCCGGUCUACUAGUUAUGCUAACAUAGGAUCAAAGUGGCCUUCAUUAAUCAUAAUUAUAACUAGACCCAUCAAUGAUCACAACAUUAACAAAAUUAGCAACAUAGAUCAAGUAUGGAUGUGUAGCAUGGAAAUUACAUAAAAUGUGAUCUUUAUUAUGUCUAUUUCCAAUUGGUCCUACUUUAUGACUAAAAAAUAGUCAAAUUCCACUUUCAACACUUGAUGCUAAACUGCUUUUAAAAGUCAUCAUUUCAAUUCAGAGAAUUCAAAUACAAUAGUCUUUAAAAUCAAGGUUUGUACAGAUAACACAAUAUAACAUCAUAUCAAGAAAACAAACACAAAAUCUAAAUACAAACUCCCACUAUACUGGAACAUCAUCAAUAUGUACAACACCCAUAUGUGUGACAUGAUCAUGAUAUACUUUGGGUGGCAAACCCUUAGUGAGCGGAUCCGCAAUCAUGAAGUUUGUGCUUGUAUGUUCAAUCGAUACUUGAAGACUCUAAACUCUUUCUUUCACAACCAAGAACUUGAUGUUAAUGUGUUUGGACUUUGACGAACUUCGGUUGUUCUUAGAAUUACAAUUCUGUGGCUUUAUUAUCACAAUUUAUUCUUAAUGGUUUCUCAAUCUCAUCAACGAUUCGCAACUGAGUGACAAAAUUCCGUAGCCAUAUCCCAUGGUUUGAUGCUUUGUAGUAGGCUAUGAAUUCUGCCUCCAUGGUGAAAGAAGCAAUAAGUAUUUGUUUAACACUUUUCCAUGAAACUGUUCAUCCAACCAACAUGAAGAUGUAGCUUGAAGUGGAUCUCUUGCUGUCAAGACAUCCCACGAAAUCGGAGUCCGAAUAUCCCAUGAUCUCUAAAUGACUGGAUCUACGGUAUGUGAGCAUAUAAUCUUUAGUUCUUUGUAAAUACUGCAUAACCUAUUUUGCCUUUUUCCAGUGAUCCAUACCUGGGUUACUCAAAUAUUUGCCUAACAUUCCAAUAAUGUACGUAAUAUCUGGAUGCGUACAAACUUGUGCAUACAUGAGACUUCCUAUUGUUGAGGCAUAGGGAAACCUCUUCAUAUCCUUCUUUUUAAGUUCAUUUUUCGGACAUUGGUGCAAACUAAAUUUAUCGCCUUUUGCUACAGGCAUGUCUCCUGGUGUACAAUUGCUCAUGCCAAAUCUACUUAACACCUUAUCGAUGUAGGCCUUUUGUGAUAACCCAAGUAUACCUCUUGAACGAUCCUUAUAGAUCUGUAUACCCAGCAAAAAAGAUGCAUUACCUAGAUCCUUCAUGUCAAAUUUACUAGACAAAAAUCGCUUUGUUUCAUGCAAAAGUCCCACAUCACUACUUGCAAGUAGAAUAUCAUCAACAUAUAGCACCAAGAUAAUGAAUUUGCUCUCACUAAACUUGAGAUAUAUGCAUUGAUCAAUGGUGUUUUCCUUAAAACCAAAUGAAGUAAUCACCUGAUCAAACUUUUGGUACCAUUGUCAAGAUGCUUGCUUUAAACCAUAUAUGGACCUUUUUAAUCUGCAUACAAGUUGCUUUGAAUCAUUAGACUCAAAGUUCUCCGGUUGCAUCAUGAAUAUUGUUUCAUCAAUGUUACUAUUAAGAAACGUAGUUUUAACGUCCAUUUGAUGCAGCUCUAAAUCAUAAUGAGCCACAAGUGCCAUGAUGAUUCUAAAGGAGUCAUUUGACGAAACCGGUGAAAAGGUCUCCUUAUAAUCAAUGCCUUCCUUUUGAGUGAAACCUUUUGCGACUAGACGUGCCUUAUACCUAACAAUGUUGCCUUUUGAAUCCCACUUGGUCUUAAAAAUCCAUUUACAACCAAUCGGUUUUACACUUUCAGGCAACUUUACUAGGUCCCAAACACCAUUGUCUUUCAUUGAUUUCAUCUCAUCCUUUAUGACUUCUAUCCACUUUUCAGAGUCAGAACUUUGUUUGAAUUGACUAACUGAAAUUGGAUCGUCUUCCAAACCCAUGUCAAACUCUUGUUCCUGGAGAUGUACAACAUAAUCAUCUGAAAUUGUACUUCUCAUUUCUCUAGUGGAUCUCCUUAGUGGCACUUGUAUUUGAGGUUCUUGAGGCUGUUGAGUUACCUCUUCAUAAACUUGAAUCGGUUCCAUAACUUGAGCAGGAGGAAUCUCAGGUGUGUUUUGAAUCUCUGUUAUUGACUGCACAUUCUGGAUAGUGUCAUCAAACAUAAUAUGACCAUGUCCAGUUGUAAUAAUAGGAACACUAACAGAUUACUCUUCAAAUACCACAUUUCUUAACGGUUCUCUCCCAUUUAACUCAACAUCCUCAAUAAAUUUAGCUUUGCCCGUUUCAAAAAAGGAUCUAGUUGAGGGGUCAUAAAACUUGAAACCUCUCAACCUUUUAGAAUAUCCUACAAAGUAGCAGCUCACUGUUCUGGAGUCCAAUUUCUUUUCAUUUGGUUUUUAAGGCCUAGCUUUAGUUGGACAACCCCAGACAUGCAAGUGCCUAAUACUAGGUUUCUUGCUAGUUCAUAACUCAUAUGAGGUUUUGGCUACUGCUUUGCUUGAGACUCUAUUCAAAAUAUAAAUUGUUGUUUUGAUGGCUUCGCCCCAAAGUGAUUCUGGUAAGGUGGAAUGACUGAUCAUACUUCUUACCAUAUCCUUAAGAGUACGGUUUCGCCUAUCUGCUACACCAUUUUGGCUUGGAGUCCCCAGCAUAGUGUAUUGAGGAACGAUACCACACUCCAUCAAAUAUUUGGCGAACGACCCUAGACGUUGUUCAUUGGAUCCGUCAUAUCUGCCAUAAUAUUCACCUCCACGGUCAGAUCUGACGACCUUUAUUUUCUUGCUUAGUUGGUUCUCAACUUUAGCUUUGAAAUUCUUGAACACAUCUAAUGAUUGAGACUUCUCAUGAAUCAAAUAAAGAUAGCCAUAGCGCGAGUAAUCGUCAAUGAAAGUGAUAAAAUAUUGUUGUCCAUUCCAAGAAGGGGUAGGAAAUGGACCACAAAUGUCCGUAUGUAUCAAUUCAAAGACGUCACUGCACUUGUUAGCAUCAUUUUUUUCUCAUAUUUGUUUGUUUACCCUUAAUACACUCUAUACAGACUCGAAAGUCUAUGAAAUUAAGUGGAUCAAGAAUUCAUUCUGACACAAGCCUUUGAAUACGUUGAUUUGAAAUAUGACCCAAACGCCUGUGCCAUAACAUCGAUGAAUUCUCAUUUGUUAAUUUCCGUUUAAUGUCAUAAUUACUUGAAUUCAAGGUUUCAUUUCCAUUAGUGGUCUUUAUAUUUAAUUUGUAUAAUUUGUCUAUUAGACUACCUGUACCAAUAACAUUUGAAUUUAGAUAAAGACUAACCAUUCCAUUUCUAAAUGAACAAUAAUAUCCAAAUUUGUCUAGACAUAAAACAGAAAUUAAAUUCCGUCUAAACGACGAUACUACAAAAGUCUCUUCCAAAUCCAAAGUACAUCCAGAGUCUAACUGUAAUCUAAAAAGACCAAUAGUCUUGACUGCAACCUUGUUGCCAUUUCCCACAUAGAUGUAUUUUUCACCAUCAGUUGGCAUUCGACUCCUUAGGCAACCCUACAUCGUGACACUUAUGUGAGUAGUUGCACCCGUAUCUAUCCACCAAGUGUCAGUAGGCACUACGACUAAAUUAAUUUAUGAACAAACAAAGUUGAGAAGUGUACCUUUCUUUUCACGCCAAGCGGCGUAUUUGGUACAUGUCUUCUUCAUAUGACCAACCUUCUUGCAAAAGAAACAAGUCAUCUCCUUAUCUUGUUUCUUCUGCACCUUUUGCAUUGAUGUCCUAAAAAUUGCAUUUUGUUUUUCUUUAUUGUCCUUCUUUCUUUUCUUUUUGGUACCAAAUCCCUGAGAUGUGGAAGCCAAGUGAGAACUUUCUAUCUUUUCUUGUUUCAAUCUCUCAUCCUCUUGUGCACAUUGAGCAAUAAGCUCAUUCAAAGUCCAUUUUUCCUUUUGUGUUGUAACUAAUUUUGAAUGGACUGAAUUGUGUAGGCAGAGAGAUUAAGACCAAGUGCACAAGUAUGUCUUCCGAAAACUCUAACUUUAGUGCCUUUAGUCUAGUCACAAGAUUAGACAUUUCCAUAAUAUACUCCCUUAUAUUCUCUUUCCCUUUGUAUCGCAUAGAGACAAGCUUACUAAGAAUAGUGCUUGUCUCAACCUUUUCAUUUGAAGCGAAUCGGUUUGCUAUCUGGUCUAAGAAUGCCUUGGCUUGAGUUUUCUCAGGUAUUGGACUCCUUAUAGCUUUUGGAAUUGAGUACUUCGUUAUCAUUAGACUCAUGCGAUUGGAUCGCUCCCAUUUUUCCAUAGUAGACCUUUGCUCAGUAGUGCUGGCACUAGUAAGAUCUGGAGGGCGAUCCUCUCUUAAUGCAUAGUCUAAAUCCAUGCACCCGAGCACAAUUAUAACGUGCUCCUUCCAUUUCUUGAAGUUUGUGUCAUUAAGCGCAGGAAUGUUAUUAACAUUUGUAGAUAUAGAAUAUGUUAAAUUCAUAAUAAUAAAGCUCACAAUCAAUCACAUAAACAUCAUACAUACAUGAAAAAUAACAUCAUACAAGAUACUUAGCACAAAUAUUAAUAUUUUGUCUUUGGACAAUAAAUAUUAACUUGUAAUUGGUAUCCUUAUACAAAAUUAAUUCAUAAAUAUUGACAAUAAAACCAAAAACAAUAUGUUUGUCUUUAGACUAAUAUGUCGAAUGCAAGAUAAACUUUAUAUGUCACAUAUUUAUGACUACUUUAUUUAUUAUUAUAUUAAAAUAAUCUUCCUUUGGGCCGAUUAUUUUAAAUAAUAAUAAUAACAUGUUUAGAUAUUAUAAAAUAAAUAAAUUAUAUAAUAUAAGUUACUUUGGCAACUAACAUACAUAAUUCAUUUAUUUUAAAAUAUUAAACACAAACAUAACAAGAAAUAAUAAAUUCAAUUAAAAUUAUUUAUUUAUUUAUGCAUAAUAUAUAUAUAUAUAUAUAUAUAUAUAUAUAUAUAUAUUAAUUGAAGCAUAAAAAACCAUCUACAUGUGUAUAUAUAUCAAUUGAAGCAUAUAUACAAGCAUUAGUCUAAUGGUUUAAGCAAAAAAUAGGCCAUGGUAAAGGGUUUAAGCCAACCCGCCCCUUUAGUUUGGUUUUUGUUUUUUUUUUUUUUUUUUUUAAUUUCUUUUGGGCUACUGACCAUGCAUUCUCUCAUGGCCCAACGAAUAUAUAUAUAUAUUUGUUUUAAAAAAAUUUUGUCCAUUGCAGCCCAAAGCGACCAUCCCUUGUAAUGGCAUCAUCAACGGUGCCAGAGCUGUCCUCGAACGACACCGACAGUGAAACGCCGCCACCAUCACCGGAACGGUGAUUUCCCAUCGCCAAACGACGGUGUCACUACCAGAAUGACGUUGUAACGGCAUCGCUGGGAAGCAGCCUAACCUGUGGCGUGACACCAUGACAAGCAAUGCCGCUAGCAGUGAAACGUUGUCGCCAUCACCAGAAUGGUGAUUUUCCAUCGCCAAACGAUGGCGCCACCAUCGAAACAACGCUGAAACGACGUCACUGGGAAGCAACCCUACCCGCGGCACCAAAAUGGCACUUGGAUGACAUUUGGAACUCUUGCAACAACGCUCAAAUCAGCGAUUCUCACUGGCAAAUGACGCUUGAACGACGUCUGGAAAUAAUGCCUACAACGCCUAAAAAUUGUGCUCUUUUGAACGCCUGAAACAACGUUGAAAUGACGUCUACCGGCGUCUGGAAUUGCACCGCUGUCUAGAACGAUGCCAUGAUGGUGUCUCACUCACCUUAAAUGGCACCAACCACCGUGACUUGCAUCCCCAAAAAUGGCACUUGAACAGCGCCUGAAGCGUGCCUGGAACGACGCUGCAAACGAUGCUUGAAAUGGUGCAUUUUGUAUGCUUGAAAAUGGCACAGGAAUGACGCCUACACUACGUCCAUUUUGAAUGCCUGAACGGUGUCCUAACGGCGCCUGAAUGACGCCUGGAAUUGGCCCAGAUUUAUUUUAUGUUGUUUCCUUCCUCUUGGAUCUUUUGUUUGUGUUUUAAAAAAAAAGUGUUUUGGUGAAAAUGGGAAAUGCAACCAGGCUCUGAUACCAUUUUGUGGGACGUUCAUUCUCCAUUAUCAUCGAACACAUGCAGGAUAUAUUUAUAUAUAUAUAUAUAUAUCAAUUCAUUCAAAAUAUGCCUUCAUUUUAUGGAACAUACCCGAAUCCAUUUUGUUUGUGUUGAAGAGGUAUAAAUCUUCUAAGGCUAUGGGGGGUACCACAUUUUCUUAGAAUUCUCUAUGACGAUGGGAAGCCAGAGAGAACAAGUUCUAUUUUUAUUUUGAAAACGUUGUUAUCCUUAAAUAACAAACACUAUUAUUUGGAUUUAUACUCUCCUACCUUAGGGACCAUACCCUUUGGCUAUUGGGCCUUACGAGUCUUAGGCCCAUCAUCUAAGGCUCGUGAUGGCACUAGGCUCUACACAUAAGGUGGCCCAUACUCUGGAACGAAUAGAAAUCAUAUGUGUAUAUAUGGAUAGCUAAAUCUUGAACAAUGGUUAAUAUGAUGUCAGUUCACAUUUAUUAUAUCAUAGAGACUUCCCAUAUGAAGAAAAUUGACAGUAGGUAGCUUUGCCAUUCUUGUCCGUAUACAACCAACCUUAGCAAGGGUUGAACCCUUUUAUGCUUAGUUGUGCCAUACAAAUCCUUACCACCGCCUACAACAUGUAAUCGAAAUGAUUCGAUAAUAUCAUCUAGUGAACCAAUACCUCCAAAUGAGAGACCAUUGCCUUGGUAACUAGGGCUCAUGACUGAGAAUUGCGUGAACCCCUUUGCUUGGGUUGGAGCUUAACUGAUGCACAAAAUAUUCAUAGGCCUCUUCCCAUAACUGGCACCUUGUGUUUGCAACAUAAUUGAACAUGUAUUGAAGUGAGUUUUUUUGCAUCUUUUUGUAAGAAAAUUCUAAACAACAGAGACUGCUUAGUGUGCCCGGCUCCUCGGGAAAUCAAGGUUCAUUCCUGUAGGGCCAGUUUUUUCACAGUCGAACUAGAUAACAUGGAGAGUAUGUUGCAAUGCUUCAACAGGGUAUUUCUUAGGAAAAUCCACCUGAAGUUGGUACAAUUCGUUGGCGUACUGAGUUCCUGGAGCUCUAUUGACUUCAAUCACCCAUCUCUGUAGAUUAUCGAUGACUUAUGCUCGGAUCCUGUAGGAGGAUUGACCUGACAUUCCACUAGCUCUUUCUGGAAGACGAUCUUGUUUAACACCUUGUGAGAAGAGGCAAGGGAACUGGUCAUUGUUUCUUCGAGAAGAUCAGUGGCCGAGGAUGGGUUUGGACCAUAAUUGCUAUAUGGGUUUUCUUUGGGUGAACCAAUUAGUGGAGUGGGUGGCUAUAUAGCAACUGAAGGGUGGUCAUACUAAUGAGGAGCUAUUAUUUCAUGCAUGUGGAGAGGAAAUGAGUAGCUUCUUCAAGGAUAUAUGAUUAUUCAUCUCUAGCUUACGUUGAAUAUCUCCUAACAAAUUUCUGCUUUGAAGCUCCCUUAGUUUCACUACAGCUAACUUGGCCAACUUGGUUUCAUCAUGUUUCCUACAACCUCUAAGCAAAGCACGCCAGAUCACUGAAUCAGGUUCUAUUUGCAUUUUGUCCAUAAACUCCUUUGCCUAUUGACAAUAAACUGCCCCUCAAAAUUUGAUGAGAUAACAUCAAUGCUGACAUGUUGGUCAUCCCCAUAAGCAUCUUUAUAGAGAUUGAUUCUAUGUUUAGAUAUUUCUCUCUCCUCAAGUGAGUUCAACUUUUUUGUAACAUCCUUCUCCUUCUCUACUAAUAGUCUUAGUUGAACAUCCAACCUAUGUUCCCAAAGUGCCAGCAUCUCAUAUCUGAUGACAAGCCAACAACCUUGCCCUUGCUGAGACCCAAAUAAGUAUCCAGAACCAUCAGCAUCAACCCUUUCAUAGGCCUUUGUAUUUGAAGGUCGGAUUGGGAUUGCUUUGAAUGCACUGGCACUACAAUACACAAUUGUAUCUUCUCCAAUAAAAACACCACACAGAGGUGAGGGGACUGGUAUUAGCAAAGAAGUGUUGUUAUCUAUAUUGUUCUGAGCCCGAGUACCCUCAACAAAAUCCUCAUCCUCAUCUGUACUCUUCCAUUACAUCCCUAGGCUUUUCAAUGUGAUCCACAUGGCUUACAGGAAUCCAGAAAUACCAGUCUGUAUAAAUGUUGCUCUUAUGGGGCUCUCCUAGAAAACAUCCCUAUCAAGAUGAUCAACCUAGCUUAGAUGCUCAGCACCCCAAACUUACUAGAAAUAGAGGAAUUAAAAGCAAGGAUAGGAGCCAAAGUAAAAAUUUAGGGAAGAGCAAAUAGGAAAUCAAGCAAAACAUGAAUGUACAGAGCCUCAUUUCAGGUGACAUCUUUGGGCUAAUAAUAGGUGGAAUUAACAAAGUAGACAAGCAUGAUUGUUAUAAAUAUCAAGUUCAAGGAUGAAGCCGUGCAUCAGCUACUUAUAGGGGGAGUCAAGGAAACCAAGAUAAGAUCAAAGAGAGCAUGUAUGCAAAUAAACAGAUUCGAAAAAAUAGACCAAACAACUCGUGAAUAUCCUCCUACAAAAAACUACUACACGUGGCAAAAAGUGAUGAAACAAAAAGAGUCGGGUCCGCAUAUACAUAUCCUAUUCUAUCCUAUUCCUUCAAAUCCAAAGCAACCUGUAUUUUCAAUGGGAUUUGUUGUGAUGAAUUUUACUGGAUUGUAACAUGUAAAUAUGUUAAAAGAGGCUUGGGACAUUCCUAUAUAGUAACGCAUAAAGGUACUUCCAUUGUGAAGUUGUCAAAAUUGCAAAUUUAAAUUACAAAAUUUGAAAACAUAGAGAUGAAAGAUGAUGAAACCUUCUUUGAAAUUUUAUAUUGAACUCAUUAAUAUUAUUAAUUUUCAUUUCAGUGUAGGGGAAAGAAUUCUUUACUCUAAAGUGGUCACAAAAAUAUUAAAAUUCCUUGUUGAGAGAUUUAGACCUAAAGUGAUCAAUAUAGAAGAAAGUAAAAAUAUUCUAAGUGUAGGUAAACUUGUAGACUCAAAUGACUCUACCUUCUCAUAAAAAAUCCUCAAUUUUAUAAAUUAUAUAGAUUUCUUCAUUUGAUACAAAAUUUGAAUAAAGAUUUUUCAAAUGACAACACAAGGAAAGGGAAAAAAAAAAUUCUCUCCAGUUCAUUUCAUUUAAUCACUUAAAUUAUUUAAAAAUAAAAAUGUUUACUGCUAACAUUAUUUAGAUUCAUCUUUCUUUUGAUGGAGGUUAAAAUUCAUAAUUUUGAGGAAAAAGAUGAGGAUUCUCAUUUUUUUUUCCAUGUAUGAAUGGGAUUCUCAUUGUGUAUAUGUGGGUUACUAAAUGGCAAAUUUAGGGGCCAAUAUGAGGAAAAAUAUGAAGUUGAGUUUGUCACCAAGAACAAACAUGACUCCUAUAAAGGUGGCAUCCUUAAUUUCAUGUCUGGAUUAGACUUCUCAUGUAACAACUUAACAGGUGAAAUCUCUCAUGAACUUGGAAUGUUAAGUUUGAUUCAUGCAUUGAACUUGUCUCGCAAUCAACUAAAGGGCUCCAUUUCAAACAGUUUUUGCAAUCUUUCUCAAACAGAGAGCUUAGAUCUUCUUAAUAAUAAACUAAGUGGAGAAAUUCCUCCAAAAUUGGUUAGACUAACUUUUUUAGUGGUGUUCAAUGUGACUCAUAGUAGCAUCUUUGGAAGAGUUUCAGAUAUGAAUGCAUAAUUUGCAAUAUUUGAUGAAAGUAACUAUGAAGAUAAUCCUUUCCUUUGUGGACCACCAUUAAAGAGAAAAUGUAGCAUAAAUGUUAAGCCACCUUACCCACCAUUAGAGUCUUCGGAAAAAAGUGAUGCAAAAUGGUAUAAUAUCGAUCUUGUGGUUUUCUUUGCAAGUUUUACUAUAUCAUAUAUCAUGAUAUCAUUAGGAAUUUCAACCAUUCUUUACAUUAACCCUUAUUGGUGUCAAAGAUGGUUCAAUUUUAUCGAGAAAUAUAUAUACUUUUGCUAUUAUUUUGUUUCCUAUACUCUUUCCAAGUUAUUAACAUAUUUUGAAUAAUUAGAGAUUUUUGUUUUCAAUAAUAUUUACAUAAUUAACUACUAUUGGCUUCCAUGACAUGGAAAGAAAUGCGGUGAAGGCAACAACCACUUUUUUUUCUCCUCUACUAGUGCAUGAUUGAUAUGAGUUAAAACUUGCACCCUUAUCUUUGCUUAAAUUUUCUCAGCUUUUGUUUCAAUUCUUAAUUAUCAUUUCUUUUAUGUGUUGUUUAAUACAAUAUCCUAAACACAUUGCUUUGAAGGUUACUUAUUUAUUAAGCAUGAUAUUUAUUUUUCAUAAAGACAAAUUCAAGUUUUUUAGGAAUUUUUAGAAUUAUUAUAAUUUGGAGUUCACAUUAGAGGAAAAAAGGAAAGAAAAGAAUAGAUGAUUAAAAAAACAAUUUUAGUAAGUAUAAUUUGUCAUCUUCGGUAUAACAAAUGGGAAUUCCAAAAUAAUAUUUCAAUUUGUUAGUCUAUUCCUUAUAGUAUUAAUUGAUAUAUCAAAUAGGAAGUCACGUUUUGAUUUUUUAUUAGCUUCAAUUGCAUGUCACAUAUAUUUUAAAAUCAAGCAUACCUCAGCCGGGAAGUUCUUGUAACAUGCAUGAACAUGAUAUGAUGAAUUGAAUAAUUUUCUUAAUUGUGUGAGACACAAACCCUCUUUGUUUAAUAAUAAUAAUAAUAUACUACACAUUAUUAAAUCAUAUAUGUAUAUUUAUAGUCGUAUAAUAUAUUCAAAAUAUUAAACACAUUACCCUCUUAAAUUUUUAUGAAUGGUGUUUACUUUACAUAACGACAGAUUCAAAUUUUUUUAGAAUUUUUUAAUGUUAAAAUAAUUUGGAGCUUAAUAGGGAAAAAAAAGAAUAAAUAAUUAGAAAAGCAAUUCAAAAAAAAUAAAAUUUAUCCUCUUAAAUUGGUUUUGUGUAAUACUAUAGAAGCCAUUUCUUGAGUUUGAUAUGGUAGAAUUCGGAUUCAUAUUUAUUUUAAAAUAAAGAAUUUCAAGGGUUGGUAGCAUCAAUAGAAUCUUAACAAAUUUGCAAAAAAGUAUUUGGGUAGAUCACAUUUAAAUAUAGCUAACAGAAUAAAAAAUUAAUAUUAUUAGGAAGACAUGAUCAAUUAAAUCUUUUUUCUUAUCUAUGACACCGAUUUUAUAUUUUUACAUAGUCAAUAUAAUUUAUUACAACUUAUAUGUCAUUAAAUUAUACAUGCUUAUAUUAAAUAUAAUAUAAGAUCAUUAAUGGAAUAAUUAUGCAAGUAAUAUAAAUUGUAUAUAAUAUAAAAAAUUUAAACUCCGUCAAACUAAUGGAAUCUAUUAUAAUAAGUAGACUAGACACCAUAUUGGCCCGAGUUGGAGGCCUGGGCCAGAUUUUAAAGGCUGGGCUUUGAGUUGCCCGUGGGCCUGAGCCAAGGCCUUCUCUUGGUAUCAUCAUUUUGAAGAAAUAAAUUGCUGAUACAGAGAAAAAAACUAUACUAAAUAGAAAAAUAAAUAAAAGCAUUGACUAAAAUGAAGGUCAAGGUCCUUGAAAAAUAAUCUUUAAAUUGUUGCAUAUAUAAUUUCAAUAAUGCAUAAAUAAUUGCAAUAUAUAUGAUAUGAUAAAGAAUUUGGAAUUAAAAGAAGAUUGAUCUAUUUUAAAUGUGGUUGGAAUAUUUUUAAAUUUGUGAUGGGAAGUUAGACAGCCAAUUAGGGAUCCAUAUUAUUUAUUUUCAAUUAUAUGAAUUUAUUUACUUUUAUUAAUAUUCUGAAUGCAACAAUAUAAAAUAUGUCAAUUUUCUAAAAUUAAAAAAGUAAUUGCAAAAGAAAAUUUUUAAUUAUUUUUCUGAAAUUGAGUUUAUCAUAACAUUUUUCUUUACAUAAAUUUCUUUUUUAUGUUUAUUUUUUUAAAAAUGAGAUAUGAAAAAAAAAGAUCAAUAUUAGUAAAAGUAAAACCCAAUAUAUAUAAAAAAAAUGAAUAAAUGUUUAUGAAAUAAGAUUUAAAAGUGAGAAGGUAAUAAAUUUUUUCUCUUUUAAUUCCUAUUCAAUACAUUACAAAAAAUAUUUUUGGUUUUUAUGCUAAAAUUUAUUGUUUAUUAAAAAAUUCUAGUAUAUCUAGCUAUCAUAGAAGAGCUCCAAAAUUUUAUUGUUUAAGAGAAUGUGUUGCCACUUUAAAAGAUUUAUAUGCAUACCUUUGGAUAUGUUUAGUUCCCGGUAAAUUUGAAGGAAAAUGUGAAGGAAGAAAAAUAGAGAAGAAAAGUAUAACAAAAUAAAAAGUGAAGGAAAAUGAAAAAUAGAUUUAAAAUUAAUAAAUUAUUUUCAUUGGUUUUUUCAAAUUUAUUUUACUUAUUUUAUUCUAUUAAAUAAAGAUUAACUAAUUUUAAUUAUAUUUGGUUUGAUUUUUAUUAUUUUUCAAAGCAAAACCAAAUAUGAAAAAAAAAACAUUUUUUUUGGUUAUUUUUUUCUUUCCUUAUUACUCUUCGGGACUCAAACAUAGCUUUUAGAUUUGGGGCAUGGAAAAAUAAGAGUAUUGAAUAAGGGUUCUAUAUAUGCCCAUGCCCAUGCCCAUGAUACCAUUGAAAAAAAUGGAGAGAGGGUGAAACCUUUACUAGAUGAUAAAUUAUUCUCUUCAAUGGAAAUCAAAUAUAAUUAUUUUUAUCUUGUAUUAAUUGAAUGUUAUACUCCAUAAACUCAAAAUUAAAAUAAAUAAAAAAUUUAAAAACUAGGACAAUCCCAUUUUUUUUCAAUUUCUUAAAAAGAAAUUAAAUUAUAUUUAUUUAUAUCUAUUUUCAUCCCUACCCAACAAAAUAAAAAAAAUUAACAUUGUGGAACAUGUAUGAGAAAUUCUCACAAUUUUUUUUAAGAAAAAUAAAUUUCUUAUUUUAUAUAUGUUAAAAAUAAAUAUAAUCUUUUAUUUUUUAUAUAUAUAAUCGGGUAAGGUAGAGUGGGACAAAGAAAUAAUCCCCUUCGAUUCCAAUCCGAAAUUUUAAAAUAUAAAAUAAAAAUCUUAAACUCAUCCCUAAUCCAUUUAUUUUUAAUCCUAAACUUGUCUUAUAAGGAAUAAGGCAAAGUAAGUACAUGAAAACACUUUUUUUUAUCAUCAUCUCUACAAGUUCUAAUGUUUAGAUUGCAAUCCAUAUCAAAGAUUUAUAAAGAAAGAACAACGAUGAAUUUCAUAAACAUUUGAAAGCAUAUACAAAGUUUUAAAUAAUAUUGCUUGAGGUGCAAAUAUUAUUUGGCGCACACGUUGAGGGACUUCAACUGGUGUUGUCUAGGUUUUUUACACUAGUAAGUAAUCUUGAAUAUCUAGAGUAACUUGAUCAAAAUCUCUUUAAUUUUAUUUUCUUUGAUGAAUUAGAAUGCUUAUAUAACAUGAUUAAAAAUUUUAAGAAAAAAAAACUAAGAAGAAAGAAAGAAGUACCGAUCUUCCAAAUAUUGCUUCCACUUUAAUAUUUAGAAGGCUCUAAGAAAAGAAUUUUAUUCAUGAAUCACAACCCAAGUCGAAAAUAAAUUGAACCCAUUUUCUAAGUUAAAUUUUGAAUUUUUUACUAGUGAAUGCAAAUUGGGAAAAUGUAUAUAAAUAUAAUUAAACUAGAAUAGUAGGUUAGGUUUGUGUGGUCCCACGAUGACUUGGAAGUUUCAACAAUUCAAGCAGACUCCACCUAUAAACCUAAUAUACUAUUUUAGUUUAAUUAUAUUUAUAUAUGUUUUCCCAAUUUGCAUUCACUAGUAAAAAAUUCAAAGUUGAACUUGAAAAAUGGGUUCAAUUUAUUUUCGAUUUGGGUUGUGAUUCAUGAAUGAAACAAUGAUCAAUGACUUGACUUUUAAGGCCAACUUAGUUAAGUCAUUCCUAACCCCUAUAUUAAUUUGGCCUUAAAAGUCCAGUAAUUGAUAGCUAAAUCCCAACCCAAGUCAAAAAUAAAUUGAACCCAUUUUCUAAGUUCAACUUUGAAAUUUUUUUUAAUUGGAAAAAUGUAUAUAAAUACAAUUAAACUAGAAUAGUAGAUUAGGUUUGUAGGUGGAGUCUGCUUGAAUUUGUGAAACUUCCAAGUCGUCGUGGGUCUAGUGGUCCCAUAGCUCUCUAUUAAUUUCCACCAUCAAUUUUCUGCAAUAAAGUCAAGUCAUUCCUAACCCCUAUAUUAAUUUGGCCUUCAAAGUCCAGUCAUUGAUAGCUACGUUCAUGAAUCCCAACCCAAGUCAAAAAUAAAUUGAAUCCAUUUUCUAAGUUCAACUUUGAAUUUUUUUUAAUUGGAAAAAUGUAUAUAAAUACAAUUAAACUAGAAUAGUAGAUUAGGUUUGUAGGUGGAGUCUGGUUGAAUUUGUGAAACUUCCAAGUCGUCGUGGGUCUGGUGGUCUUAUAGCUCUCUAUUAAUUUCCACCAUCAAUUUUCUGCAAUAAAGUCAAGUCAUUCCUAACCCCUAUAUUAAUUUGGCCUUAAAAGUCCAGUCAUUGAUAGCUACGUUCAUGAAUCCCAACCUAAGUCAAAAAUAAAUUGAACCCAUUUUCCAAGUUCAACUUUGAAUUUUUUUUAAUUGGAAAAAUGUAUAUAAAUACAAUUAAACUAGAAUAGUAGAUUAGGUUUAUAGGUGGAGUCUGCUUGAAUUUGUGAAACUUCCAAGUCGUCGUGGGUCUAGUGGUCCCAUAGCUCUCUAUUAAUUUUCACCAUCAAUUUUCUGCAAUAAAGUCAAGCCAUUCCUAAACCAUAUAUUAAUUUGGCCUUAAAAGUCAAGUCAUUGAUAGUUACGUUCAUGAAUCACAACCCAAGUCUAAAAUAAAUUGAACCCAUUUUCCAAGUUCAACUUUGAUUUUUUUUACUAGUGAAUGCAAAUUGGGAAAACGUAUAUAAAUAUAAUUAUACUAGAAUAGUAUAUUAGGUUUGUAGGUGGAGUAAGCUUGAAUUGUUGAAACUUCCAAGUCAUCAUGGGUCUAAGGGUCCCAUAGCUCUCUAUUAAUUUCCAUCAUCAAUUUUUAUGAAUUCAGAUUUAAAAGUGAGAAGGGAAUAAAUUUUUUCUUUUUCAAUUCAUUACAAAAAAUAUUUUUGGUUUUUAUGCUAAAAUUUAUUGUUUAUUCAAAAAAUUAAAGUAUAAAAAUAUAAAAUAUAUAUCUUGCUAUUAUAGAAGAGCUCCAAAAUUUUCGUGUUUAAGAGAAUAUGUGUUGCCACUUUAGAAGAUUUAUAUACAAAAAGGAUUGAUGUUUCUCCUUUGACUAUGUUUGGUUCCCAAAAAUUUGAGGGAAAGAAAAUAAAAAAAAGGUAGUAAAAAAGAAAAAAUGAAGGAAAAUAAAAAAUAGUUUUAAAGUUAAUAAAUUAUUUUUAUAUGCUAUUUCAAACUUAUUUUACUUAUUUUUUUUCAUUAUAUAAAGAUUAAAUAAUUUUAAAAUGCAUAACUAAUUUUAAUUAUAUUUAAUUUUUCUUUUAUAUUUUUUAGACGGGAUCCAACACAUGUAAAAAUCCUUUUUUUUAGCAUCUUUUUUUCUUUUCUUAUUACUUUCCAAUAACCAAAUAUAACCUUUAGAUUUAGCCUUUAGACUUGGAGUAUGGAAGGAUACUGAGUAUUGAAAGAAGGUUUUGUAUAUGGCCAUGAUACCAUAGAAAAAAUGGGCGACAGAGAAAAAACCUUUAUUAAAUGAUAAAUUAUUUUUUUCAAUGGAAAUCAAAUAUAAUUAUUUUUAAAAAUAAAAAUAAAAAAUAAUAAUUUGUUGUUGCAUUAAGUAUUCUUGCAUUUGGAGAAGCAUGUACUACUUACUACAUAAAUGGAUAUUCAUGGAGUGCAUUCUCUAGAAAGCUCCAGUCUCAUGAAAAUGGAAAGAUGGACCGGCCGGUGAACCGGUUCGAGUUUGGAUUUAUGGGCUGCCUCAGCCUAACACGCAUGAUAGGUUGUUGUAGGUGAAGAACUAACUAAUUAAUUUAAAGCCUUCUUCUAUCCUCUCCUAUUCCUCUAUCACUCCAAAUGUUCCACAUGAUAAUGACAAUUCUUUUGUUAAAUGGUAAAAAAAAAAUUUAACAAUUAAUUUAAAAAAUUUUUAAAAUCUAAAUCCAAUGGAAAUUUGACUGUAAGGUGCGUAGAAGGCCCUAGUGCCCAUGUUGCUAAUUUGAUGAUAGUUAAAUUACCAUUUCGAGAGAUUCCACUCACUAGUAUUCUCAUUUAUAAAAUCAUGAACUUUGGCAUCCUAAUUAAUGUAAUUUAACUUUUUUUUGUUUACAAAUGAAAUAAGAGGCAACAUAUAAACCCAAAAGUUAAUUUUCCUACCAUCUCUAUGCACCAUUUUAGCUUUACUCCAAUAUAUUUUCUAUGAUUAAUUAUUUUCAUUCAAACAAUAAUAUCAAAAUAUUUUAAAAUUAGACAUAUCCACUAAUAUAUCUUCGAUAUAUUAUAUAUAUCUGUAAAAUCGAAACACCAAUAUAUCCGUGAUUAUCGAUAUUUUUAUCGUUGAGGGAUAACAACUAAUCUAGUUUUUGUACCUAUUGAUAUUCCUCAACAUUUAGAUUGAUUUGACCAUUUUUUUUUUAAUUUUAUUUUCUUUGAUGGUUAUAUGAUGAAUUAGAAUAGUCAUAUAACAUUAACAGAUUUAAGCAAAAAUGAUAAAAAAGCUCGCAUUUUUCAAAUAUUGGUUUCAACUUUGAAUAUUUUUAUUGGUAAAUGAAAAUUGUGAAAAACCUACUAAUGCUAAUACUUUUCACCACAUAAUUAAAUAUAAUAAACUAGAAUAGUGAUUCAUUGAUGUCUUAUAAAGCUACAUGCCUUCUUUGACUUGUUAGUUGAUUUUUGUAGGUGGAGUCUGUAGGGACCCCUCCCCCUGAUGACACGUGGCACGCAUUUCUAUCCGGAUUAGCUCCAUCCGGAUUUCCUCCAAGGAGACACGUGGCGCGCUUCCCCUAUCCGGACUCCCUCAGGGAGAAGCACACGACACUCGCAAACAUCACAUCCGGACGACCGCCAUAUCGCAUCCGGACGAUCGACAUAUCCUAUCCGGAUAUGUUUGUCCGGAUCGUUGACUAAAGUAAGCAAGUCUUACUACGUCAUUCCGACAGCCUGCCAUGGCCCACGUUCCACCACCUGCAAAGUGAAAAGACAGGAAUGAUGGCAAGUCACUUCCUACGAUCUCUGACAGCUGUGGCGCCUCUCACGAUCUCUGUCAGCCGCCCGUAGGGUGAUGAUGGCCCUGUCACCACCUAGAGUCAUCAUGACAAGCCAAAAUAUCUCUCUAUCAUUAAAGAGGGAGACAGAGCUUCUGGUACUAUAUAUAUGGACCUUCACACAAAGAGGAAGGUAAGCUUGCUAUACCUAGUAAAAGGCCAACUGAUUUAUCUCUUUAACCAUGGCUGACAAAACCAUCGGAGGGUGUGUCCGGACACCCUGUCCGGACGCCUUUUGCAGGAACGAUUGAACCAGGAAUCUAUAUUGGUUGAGAUCGUGCGUCCAUCCAUUUGGCAACUACGUGGAUCACCAGGGACGCGAGGCCUCAACAUUGGCGCCGUCUGUGGGAAAAUCACUGAUUCAGUCACCGACAAAGAUAGCCACACCUUCCCAAAGCCGCUCGUCCGCUAGGGAAAAGGAAGAUAAUUCUGAAUGGCGCCGAGCCAUUGAAAGAAGACAGUUGGCAAGCUCGUGACAACUGCAAGCUCUCCUCCAGGAGACAGAAUGACUAAGAGAAGAAAACGCGGUACUACGCAUCCAAGCUUCAUCGACGGGGCCUCCCCGUCGUCAGCAUUCAAAAGGCCAGGUAGCAAACUCAAGGCCUGACCCAGAGUCAAUAUACCCUGGGGCAGCAGGAGCAAUACUUGAAACAUGCAACGUUAGGCCACAUGAGCCACACACGCCCAUGCACCGAGCUCCCCAUGAGGAAAGCUCAGACUCUACUCAUUUUUCAGCAAAAAGACAACGCGACAAAAAAUCCCAAUUGUCAAACUCAAUGCGUGCGAGACUAGGCCCACAGGAGCCUGGGAGGCCAAAGCCGCCAGUAGCCAUAACCUGGGCAGUGCACCUUGACCCUAUGGUCACCCCCAUGGUGCAGAGCGUUCUCCCGCACCGUGACCCUAUGGUCACCCCUAUGGUGCAGAACGUUCACCCGCACCUAGCGGUACGACAAGCUGGGAGAAACCUCCCAAAUGAGCCACCCAUUGGCUCCAUUAGCAAAAGGCUGGACGACAUGCUCUCCACGCCUUUUUGCUCUCAUAUCAUUCAUUACGAGCCCCCAAGGGGAUUCCUCGUGCCCAAAUUCUCCACAUACGAUGGGUCCAGCGACCCCUUCGACCAUAUCAUGCAUUAUCGACAGCUCAUGACUCUCGAUAUAGGCAAUGACGCGCAGCUAUGCAAAGUAUUCCCCGCCAACCUACAAGGGCAGGCCCUCUCAUGGUUUCACCGCCUACCUCCCAACUAUGUUGAUAAUUUCAGAGACCUAUCAGAGGCCUUCGUGGGACAAUACUUAUGCUCUGCUCGACAUAAGCAGAACAUCAGCACUCUGCAAAACAUAAAAAUGCAGGAUAACGAAUCCUUAAGGGAGUUCGUGAAGUGGUUUGGUCAUGCCGUACUACAGGUAAAGGCUUACAGCAUGGAUGCUGUCCUGCAGAUCUUCAAGCGAAGUAUUUGUCCAGGCACCCCAUUUUUUGAAUCACUCGCUAAAAAGCCUCCUACGACGAUGGACGACUUGUUCCAGCGUGCGAGCAAAUACUCAAUGCUCGAAGAUGACGUGCGAGCAGCCACCCAGCAAGUCUUGGUUGCCGGACAGGCAUCUAGAAGUGGCACGGAAAGAAGUGCCAAACUUCCGGACAGGCCAAGACAGUCCCAUCAAAGGCAGGAAGGGCCAAGUCGCCCGGAAAGGCCGCCCCUCACACCCCUUUCCAUAUCCUAUGAGAAGCUUCUCCCUAUGAUCUAAGACAUGUCCGACUUCAGGUGGCCUAGACCCAUCGGAACGGACCCAUCCAAAAGGGAUCAUAGUAAAAAAUGUGCCUUCCAUAAAGAGCAUGGUCACACAACGGAGACAUGCAGGUGCCUUCAUUAUUUGGUCGAAAGGCUCAUAAGGGCGGGACAUUUAAAGCAAUACCUCCACUCAGAUACCGGAGGUAGAGAUGCUUCCCGAAAUCACAACUCUGGAGCCCCUAGGGCCCUAGCCGUCCCCAAAGCCGUUAUAAACUAUAUUAACAGAGGCCCAUCUGACGAGGAGUACGACUCCAAACGAAAGAAACAAAAGUUGUUGCGGGCAGCAUCGGUGCGCGAACGUGUCAACUCCAUCCGGCCUGGGAUAACUGGGGGGGCCCUCGCCCCAUAGAUGGGAUAAUCAUUUUCCCACCAGUAGACCCCACCCGGAUAUUGAAGCCGCACCGCGACGCCCUCAUCCUGUCCUUAAAGAUAGGAGACUUCGACGUGAGACGCAUCCUGGUUGACCCAGGUAGCUCGGCCGAUCUUGUGCAAGCAUCGGUCAUUAGCCACAUGGGGCACAAUCUCACAGGCCUCGAAAACCCUGGGCGAAUCUUGUCCGGAUUCAACGGGGCGUCAACUACUUCAUUGGGAGACAUUGUACUGUCGGUCCAAGCUGGCCCAGUCACUCUCAACGUACAAUUUUCGGUGGUACAAGAUUUAUCACCCUUCAAUGUCAUCUUGGGGCGCACAUGGCUGCACUACAUGAAAGUCAUCCCCUCUACAUAUCAUCAAAUGGUAAGCUUCCUUACCAAGGAUGGGCAAAUUGACCUAUACGGCAGCCAGUUAGCCGCUCGCCAAUGCUACCAGAUAGCACGAGAAGCAGGGACCAACCAGGAGGAUGCAUCCCUCCCUGAGUCCAGCCAUGCACGUGACCAAUAGCAAUUAUUGAGUCCGGGGGACAAAGAUCCCCCGGCAGCGGAUCCCUUGCAAGCAAUCCAAAUUUCGGAAGAAGGUACUCACCUUACGAAUAUCAGUUAGAAGAGACCCGGAACAUGCAGAACGCCCUCAGACAAAACCAUGACGUCUUCGCAUGGACACAUUCUGAUAUGAAGGGAAUUCAUCCCUCCAUUACCUCUCAUAGGCUUAACGUCUUGCCAACAGCCAGACCCAUCCGGCAGAGGGUUAGACGUUUUCACCCGGACAGACAAAAAAUUAUCCGGAAUGAGAUUGACAAGUUGCUAGAAGUCGGAUUCAUCAGAGAAGUGCAUUACCCGGACUGGUUGGCAAAUGUAGUGGUGGUACCCAAAAAAGAAGGCAAAUGGCGGGUGUGAGUCGACUAUACCAACCUCAAUAAUGCAUGCCCAAAAGACAGUUUCCCUUUGCCACGGAUGGAUCAAAUUGUGGACUCCACUGCUGGGUAAGGGAUGCUCUCCUUCUUGGACGCCUUCUCUGGAUACCACCAAAUCCCCAUGUCCCCGGCUGAUGAAGAAAAGACAGCCUUCAUAACACCACAUGGUCUCUAUUGCUACAAAGUCAUGCCAUUCAGACUCAAAAACGCUGGUGCCACUUACUAGAGACUGAUGACGAAGAUCUUCAAACCUCUGGUCGGCCGCACAAUAGAGGUAUAUAUUGACGAUAUCGUGGUUAAAAGUAAAACCCGAGAGGAACAUGUCCUCCACUUGCAAGAAGUCUUCCACCUCUUGAGGAAGUAUGGCAUGAAGUUGAAUCCCUCUAAAUGUGCCUUUGGCAUAAGUGGUGACAAAUUCUUGGGAUUUAUGGUUAGCCAAAUGGGGAUAGAGGUCAGCCCGGACCAAGUCAAGGCAGUCAUGGAAACACCACCCCCUAGGAGCAAAAAGGAAUUACAACGCCUCACAGGCAAGCUCGUCGCGCUAGGGCGUUUUAUAGCCCGCUUCACUAAUGAACUGCGACCCUUCUUCUUGGCAAUACGAAAAGAAGGAGCAAACGGAUGGACGAACAACUGUCAAAGCGCUUUUGAAAAAAUUAAACAUUGCCUCAUGCAAUCGCCCAUCCUGAGCAGUCCCCUCCUUGAAGAAAAACUGUAUAUGUAUCUGGCUGUAUCGGAGUGGGCAAUUAGUGAUGUUCUAUUCCGCUGCCCCUUACCCAAGGAGCAGAAACCUAUCUACUACGUCAGCAGAGCAUUGGCAGACGUAGAAACCAGGUAUUCAAAGAUGGAGCUAAUGGCCUUAGCUCUUCGAAGUGCUGCCCAGAAGCUCUGCCCCUACUUCCAAGCCCACCCGGUGGUCAUGCUAACUGACCAGCCCCUUCGCAACAUUCUGCACAAGCCAGACUUAACCGGAAGAAUGCUUCAAUGGGCCAUAGAGUUAAGCGAAUAUGGAAUCGAGUUCCAACCCAGGCUGUCCAUGAAAGGCCAAGUUAUGGCUGACUUCGUGUUGGAAUACUCCCGAAGGCCUAUCCAGCGCAAGGAACCAAGUGAAAAAGAGUGGUGGACUUUGCGGGUCGAUGGAGCCUCACGAUCAUCAGGAUCCGGAGUAGGGCUCCUGCUGCAAUCACCAACAGGAGAACAUCUGGAGCAAGCCAUCUGGAUGGGGUUCCCCGCCUCUAACAAUGAAGCGGAAUAUGAGGCCAUCCUAUCCGGAUUGGACCUCGCCCUGGCUCAUCCGUCUCCAAGCUCCGGGUCUAUAGUGACUCCCAACUCAUGGUAAGACACGUUAAGAAGGAAUACGAAGCUAAGGAUGCGCGCAUGACGUGAUAUCUGACUAAAGUAAGGGACACCUUACAACGGUUCACCGAAUGGACGAUCGAAAAAAUCAAACGAUCUAAAAAUGGACGUGCCGACGCCUUAGCAGGCAUAGUUGCCUCCCUCCCCAUCAAAGAAGCCAUAUUGUUGCCUAUACAUGUGUAAGUCAACCAUUCCGUCGCGGAAACCUCCACUUGCAAUACCAUUGAGGCAAAUCAAGCAGACGACCAAGAGUGGACGGAAGACAUUAUAAGGUACCUCUAGACAGGCACUCUGCCUGAAGAGCCCAAGCAGGUACACAAGCUCCGGGUGCAAGCCGCCCGUUUCACCCUAAUUGGGGGGUACUUGUACAAGCGAUCCUUCACAGGUUCCUAUCUUCGGUGCCUAAACCACUCAGAGGCCCUGUAUGUAUUAGCUGAAUUGCACGAGGGAGUAUGUGGAAUUAUUCUGGAGGUCGAUUUCUGGCACACAGGGCCCAUUCGCAAGGAUAUUACUGGCCCACGAUGAAGAAGGAUGCGGCAGCCUAUGUCAAAAAAUGUGACAAAUGCCAAAGGCAUGCCCCCAUACCACAUGUGCCGUCGGAGACAUUGAAGCCAAUAUCAGGCCCCUGGCCCUUCACGCAGUGGGGCAUGGACAUAGUAGGACCCCUACCACCCCCACCCGCUCAAAAGAAAUUCCUGCUCGUCGCCACGAAUUACUUCAGUAAAUGGGUGGAAGCUGAGGCAUACGCUAGCAUCAAAGACAAAGAUGUCACCAAGUUCAUGUGGAAGAACAUCAUCUGCCGCUUCGGAAUCCCCCAAACCAUUAUAGCCGACAACGGUCCAUAGUUUGAUAGCAUCGCUUUCCAGAAUUUCUGUUCGAAACUAAACAUCCGGAAUUCAUACUCCACACCGCGUUAUCCUCAAAGUAAUGGGCAAGCAGAGGCCACAAACAAGACUCUAAUCACUACCUUAAAGAAAAGGCUCGAGCAAGCCAAAGGAAAGUGGGUGGAAGAGCUACCCGGCGUCUUGUGGGCUUAUCGAACCAUACCCAGAUGUCCGACAGGAAACACUCCCUUCGCCCUCGCAUACGGUAUGGACGCAAUCAUUUCUAUUGAAAUAGGGCUACCCACUAUCCCGGACCGAGGCAGGAAAGCAGGAUGAUGCAAAUGUGGAGUUAAGAAGAAACUUGGACUGGGCAAACGAAGUAAGGGAAACUGCAUCCAUUCGGAUGGCAGAUUAUCAACAAAGGGCAUCCGCUCACUACAAUCGCAAAGCAAGGCCCAGAAGCUUUAAAAAUGAUACGCUGGUCCUUAGAAAGGUUUUCGAAAAUACUGCUGAGAUAGGAGCGGGAAAAUUUCAAGCCAAUUGGGAAAACCCCUAUAUAGUAUCUAAGACAAGUGAAAGUGGAGCCUAUCAUCUGCAGAAGCUAGAUGGAACCCCAUUGCUCCGACCAUGGAAUGUAUCUAAUCUAAAGUAGUAUUACCAAUGAAAGAAAAAUAGAGGUACAAAUAUGAAUAAGUAUGUUUUAUUAAUACUUGUGAAAAAUUGUAUACAAAAGUUCUCCGGACUACAAAAUACAGAGAGAAGAUAGCAGUAAAAAUUACAAAAAGAAAAGCUCUCAUUGGGAAGGCUUGCCACGCAGCUUCUCCUCCUCACCCGGGGGAAUCGAAGGGACGUCCCGUUUGAUACCAAGUUUCUUCAUACAGCAACGGUAGCCGAAGAAGUACAUUUCGUCUACCUACUUCUGGUAGUCUGCUUCAAGUUCCUCCCUUUCCGCAGCAAACUCAGCCUCCAACUCUUCUUUUUGCGCUAAUAAACGCAACUGCAAAUCCUCUCUCUGCUUUUUCUCAAUUGACACCUCUGUUUGGAGUUGCCUCACUUCUCCCGCAGUUGGGCCAUUUCGUCCUCCGCCUCAUGUAGACGGGCGUCUGUAGAUUCCUCCCGACUCUUUGCCUCAGCUAGCUCUACCCGGAGAGCCUCGUUGUCAUCUCGAGCAGCGGAUAAACUGGCUUCGGCCUGCUCUAAUCUCAAGCGCAGUUCCUCUUCACUGUUUAUGCGUUGAGAGACGAAGGCCUUCAUAUAAUCAGCAGUUCGUAGUAGGUCAGAAAAAAGAUCACGUUGUUGAGCCAUGCCGCGGAUACCGCUCACCAGCUGCAGAAAAACCCACAAACAAGAAGUGCAAAAAUUACAACCCAUGUGACAAACACAUCAGAAUGGCAAGAAAAAUCAAGAAGUAAACUAUACCAUUUCCGCUGCUUCAAACAUUUUUGCUGAAGGCACAGCAACAUCUGAGCUGGAUGGAAUCCGUUUCAGCAUCUCUCCCAACUGCGCAUAGCUGAAAGGACUAGCGGAGAUGCAAGCUGCAUCAUCAACGGGACUUCCUCCUGACGAGGCAUUAGGGAGUGACUCCUUUCCCGAGUCCGGGGCCUCAUCAUUCUCGACCGGCUGGGUCUCUCCGAGUGAACCCCCAUCUGGGACCAGCACCGGGGCGGUUGGAUUCUCUUCUGCCAUCUCUGUCUCACUCCCCUCCGGAUGAUCCUCCUGGACGGACGAGCAGCUGACUUCGAUGGUUUCCAAAAAACGAUCUUGAAGCCGCCUGAUGAGGCUAGACUUUAAGUCACGGGCCGGACGAGACCUCCUUGCAGUUGGCCCCUUCACCGGUAUAAAGGCAAGGGAGCUUGGCUCGCAAGGAGGCACACCCUGACUUUCUGCCCUCGUUUCUUCCGUUGGGGGUGCCGUAGGAGGCAAUGCUUCAGUACAAGAGGCCUCGGCUGCAUCCGCGUCCGAAUGGGGAGAGCCGAGCUGAUUUACUGAAGUCGCUUCCUCAGCCAGAAGAGCCAGCCGUCCAGCCGCUGGCACUGAAGGCCCCGAAUGGUUUAGACCCGCGAGACGUCCGGAGCCUCUUGAAACAGAAGGCAAGACGGGGGAAGGGGGGAGAGGGGGGGGGGGGGGGGUGGUCUGGCUCUCUUAUUAUUAUUUCCUUUACGAAAGUUGGAGGUGGUAUUACCACUUCCUUUGGUGGAGUUGGAAGUUUUAUUUAUUUCCCCUUAUUGAGAGCCUUCUUCUUCUUUUUCUUCGCCGGGGCGCCAGCAGGAAGAGAGGGCGCGAAGCGUUUUAUAUCGGGGGCCCUCCGCAAAGUUCCCUCUUGCCUCAUUCCCUCCCGUUCGUCGAGACGUGCUCGGCGUGCCUGGGCAUCUGCCUUGCGCACCUCCUUGUAGAAAGGAAGGUCUUUUAGAACAAAAUGCUCCCCAGGCAUUACCUUCUUUGGCAACUUCCUGGGGAGAAUAUUGAUGACAUACGCCUGGGGCUCUUGGACAACGGCUAGCAAGUUUCGCGUAGUAAGCAGCGUCUCAUGAUGCCUCUCAGCGGCAGUAAUCUCAAAUAACUUGUUCAGUCGAACGAAAGACGUUUUUUCUACCCACUCGACUACGCGACCCCUCUUGUCCGGACCUGCAUUAUCAGCAACCAAAGAUAUUAAGCCAUCUGAUAACCCCAAAGCAAGAAAAGCAACAAGACGAAUGCCGAACAAACCCCGCAAGCUGUCUUACCCGGAAGCACCAACGAAAGGUUUGGGGAGAAUGGCCUCUCCGGAUGCUCCAGUAGCCCAGCCCAGAUACCCCGGACCAACACAUGUCCCUUGGCUCCUCCCUUCGUCGAAUCCGAAAGCUUAGUCACUAGUUGGAGAGAAGGCAGGUGGGAAACCAUGCUAAAAAUGUCAUUUUUCUCCUUCUUAAGGGAGUAGAUGAAAAGAACCUCCAGCAGCGAGAGGUCCAGGUUGAACAACAUGCUCAGAAUGCUGCAUCCCAUCAGCACCCGGACCAUGUUGGGAUGGAUGUAGGCCGGGGGGAUCUGGGUGAAGUGGAGAAAUUCUUUGAAAAGUGAUGGGAGAGGGAACCGGAGCCCAACAUUGAGUUGCUUCUUGGUAAAGCAGAUAGUGUUCUCCUCAGUUUUCUCAGUCGACAUGGCCUCUCCGUCCAUAAGUUCAACGGACACGCCAUUUGGGAUGCAGAAGCGUUCGCGAAACUCCCUCACAUUCAACUUAUCCACGGAUUUCUCAGCAUGAGCAUCUCCGGGUGAGCUGGAUGAAGUAGCUUCCUUGUUCGCAGACAUUUUGUAGGCUGGGGCUGAAAUGGAAUCUGCAUGGAGGAAUGCCAACAGUCAAACACAGCAAUCCGACCCCACAACCUUAACUCUACCCCAAAGAAGAAUCGGUGACCCACAAAAGGCACAAGGGUGCAACAGAAACCCUAAACACACCCAAAACACGAUCAAAACCCCCCGAAAAAAGCCCUAGAAACCAAUACCGAUUCCUAGUCGCAAAGCAACUUGCCCAGCAAGCCAGAAACAACCAACAAAACAAACACAACAAGGAGAAAAAAAAAAUAGAAAACGUACCGAGUGUAAAACUGGAAAAAUGGGAUGAAAUCCGCAGUGCAGUCACCGUCACGAUACGAGUAUUACCGGCAGAAAACCCUAGAGCUUCACUAGAAAGUGAAAAUACGCGGAAGGUAGAAGAGAAAGCACUACCAGAAAAAGCGCAGAAGGAAAAAUGCAAGAGAAAGGCACAGUUUGCUAUUUAUAGAGAGACAGCUCCUCGGUAUCCCAAAUGCUUAGCCGCACCAUCAUUGAAAGGACACGCUGCCUGGGAAAUCCCAGAAUCGGCGGCUCAUCAUAAAUGAUCUUCUUCCUUUUUCGCCCCCGCUCGCCACGUGGCCCAAUAAAGCGAAAAAAGUCAACCUCAGUUUCAAAAAACAAUCAUUUUUUAACCCACCCAUUUUGCCCUGGCAAAAUGGGCAGGUUAAAAGGGGGGCAUUGUAGGGACCUCUCCCCCUGAUGACAUGUGACACACAUUUCUAUCCGAAUUAGCUCCAUCCGGAUUUCCCCCAAGGAGACACGUGGCGCGCUUCCCCUAUCCGGACUCCCUCAGGGAGAAGCACACGACACUUGCAAACCUCACAUCCGGACGACCGCCAUAUCGCAUCCGGACGACCGACAUAUCCUAUCCGAAUAUGUUUGUCCAGAUCGUUGACUAAAGUAAGCAAGUCUUACUACGUCAUUCCGACAGCCUGCCACGGCUCACGUUCCGCCACCUGCAGAGUGAAAAGACAGGAAUGAUGGCAAGUCACUUCCUACGAUCUCUGACAGUUGCGACGCCUCCCACGAUCUCUGUCAGCCGCUCGUAUGGUGAUGAUGGCCCUGUCACCACCUAGAGUCAUCAUGACAAGCCAAAAUAUCUCCCUAUCAUUAAAGAGGGAGAUAGAGCUUCUGGUACUAUAUAUAUGGACCUUCACACAAAGAGGAAGGUAAGCUUGCUAUACCUAGUAAAAGGCCAACUGAUUUAUCUCUCUAACCAUGGUUGACAAAACCAUCGGAGGGUGUGUCCGGACGCCUUUUGCAGGAAUGACUAAACUAGGAAUCUAUAUUGGUUGAGAUUGUGCGUCCAUCUAUUUGGCAACUACGUGGAUCACCAGGGACGCGAGGCCUCAACAUAGUCCAUUUCCAUUUGAAUUGUUGAAACUUCCUAGUCCUUGUGGGUCUAGUGGUCUCUCUAAUAAUUCCCACCAUUAAUUUUUUGUGAUGAAGUGCAGUCAUUGAUAGCUACUAUAUCAAUUUGCUAUUAAAAGUCAAGUCAUUGAUAACUACUAUUCAAUCUUUUUCAAUAUGGAAAUUGGAAUCUCUAGCGCUACUCUUCUCAUCGUUCAUUUUUAGGUAAUGUGAGAAUGUGUGAACAUAAAUGUCUUCUAAUCAACCAAUUUUUUUUUGAAAAAAACAUGUACAAAAUUGCAAAACUUGCAAAAUCAAACUGACUGUAAUCAACCAUCAUAAUUUUGAUGGUUUUGAAGAAUCAAAGGAUGAAUCCUAAAAGGGUAUUUGAUAAAAAAUAAAAAUUAAAAAAAUUAAAAGACAACUACUCCCUUAAGUAUAAUAAGUGUAUUUGGUAGCACAAAUUUCCUACCACUUAUUAUUUUUUUUCUUAAAAAAUCAUUUACUCUAUUAAAUAAACUAACCUUGGCUUAUCACUUAUAGCAAAAUAGGUUAAGUAGUUUUUAAAAUUUUAUAAUAUUAGAUUUACAUUUUUAUCCUUCAAAAUUUCAUUAAUGCUAGAUUCUUCUAUAUGCUUAACUAAUAAAUAAUUUUUAGCAUUUUUCUUUUCUUAUAAACAUAAAAAAAUAAAAAUAUUAUUAACUUAUUGGUAUAUUUUAAAAUUUUAAUUAGAUUUAAGCUUUUAUUUUUUUGGAUUACCAAUUAUACAUAUAAAUCCUUUAUUAUUAUUGUUAUUAUUGAAAGAAAGGGGUUGAAUAGGUAGUCCCUCAAUCCCCAAAUUAAAUUCUUUAUUGCGUACUUUUGGUUUAUUCCUUUACAUGAAUUCCUUGGUGAGAGUAAACAUUUCAUUAAUGGAUAAAUAAAAUUGAUUCCAUAUCACAGGGUAUAAUGUGGAAAAAUCAUCGGUCUCAUGUGUUCCUUAGUGGAUCCUUUGGAGCCCUUAUCAAAGUUUCAUGAUGAAACCAUUGACUUUUGUUUAACCCAAAUGUGCUUUCAAGACAAAUCUUGAAAGAUUUGAGAGAUGGAGGUUCAAGUCUUUUAUGAACGACCAUGUUCUCUUAGGGUUCAUGAAAUUUCACACCUUUUGAUAAAUAAAACUUAUUUAUUUAUACGUCUAAAACCUAGUAUUUAUUUAUUUAAUUAUAGAAAGUUUCUUAGUUUUAAAAACAUUUCAAAAAUCAUUUUUAGAAUCAAAUAACAAUUUUAGAGAUAAACACAAUAUUAAAAUUUAACAAAAACAAAUUUUUGAAUUAAAAACACAAUAUAAACUAAAUUACAAAAUAUAAAGUAAUUUUUAUCCUAAUUUCUUCUUGCAAAACCAAAUAGAACACCUAGAAGGGGAGUGAAUAGGUGAUUUUAAAUUUUUUCAAUAAUGAUUUAUAAGUUAUACCCAAUUCUUUUACCCUGCGAGUUGUUAGGGACUAUCAAUUCUUUCCUUUUGGCAAUUCAAACAAUAUAUCAAAUAAUAAAAAGAUAUAAAUAAUGAGACAUAAAGAUUUUUACAUGGAAAACCCCCCACACUAACCAUGGAGAUAAAAAGCCAUGGAGUCUAAGACCUAUUAAUCUAAAUUCACUAUACGAAAUCAAGUUACACAAAUUUAUUUGGUAGCUUUACCUUAAAGACUUACUCUCCGGUACUGACAACUUGAUUCACGUCCAUGACGUAGCAACCCUCGAUUACUCCAAUGUAUCACUUCAAGCUUACUAAAAGGAUGAAGGCCUUCAAACCAAGAUUCAAAAAUCAAUUCCUUGAAUGAGAGAUUAGGAAUGGUGUGCCACUUUAGGCUUUCUCUCUAAGAUCUCUAAAAUGAUCUCCUCAAUGAAAACCUCUUAAACAAAAUGAGAUAUUUCUCCACAAUCUCUAACCCUUAAGGGGUUAUAAUGAGAUAUUUAUAGGCAACUAAGUUGAAAGUUUCAGUUUUGGAAGGUUUCUCAAUUGAAUUUGUGUGAAAAACUCGGCAGAAUCGACAUGAUCGCUCGAGCCAACACACUUCCCACUUGAGCGUUUUGGGCACUUGAGCGGUAAGGCUCGCUUGAGUUGUCUUAAGCACUUGAGCAUUCUAGGCUACUUGAGCAAUCUUGCUCUAUUUCAAAAGUUAAUUUUAAAUCAUUUUAAGUUCAAAACAAAAUUGAUUCCCUUUAUACCUCAAAGAAGCCUAACUUGCCACAAACCAAACCUUUUUAGAUAUACUUGUGACUUCCUGGUUGGACGAACAACAACUCUUAAUCUUCAAUGGAGAGCAAGUCACUAUCUAAAAAGAUUUAUAUGGUCAAACAUAAAAAAACAAAAAAAUUGCCAACAUAACAACAAGACUCAAUGUCCUAACAAUCUUCCCCUUUGGCAAUUUUGUGACAAAAACAACGUUACAUAAACCCACCUGAACUCUCAUAAUGGAGUUUAAUAAUACACAUUAACGUUCAAUUAAAAAUAAACUAAGGGAAUACUUUAUCUCACUUUGUAGUAUUUGUCUUCCAACCUUGUAACCUACACACAUAUAGAAAACUAUACCAAAGGUAAAACAAUGUGCAGGAUAAGAUAUGAUCAAGAAAGCAAAAUAGGAUAAUUGGAAAUUUUGCUUGAUGCCUUGUGAAAGCAUGAAAAAAGAACAAAUUCAUAUAGUAAUAUCAAGGGACAAAGCAAAACUCGAGAAGAAUAUAUAUGUAUGCAAAUCAACCAAACAUAAUAAAAGCUAAAUAAGAUGCAAUAGAUAAAAAAUAAUGCCUAGGGGUCUAUCUCCAACCAGAAAAUAGGGAGUGAAGAUCAUAGAAAGAACCUUCUGUGACUUAGAAAGAUUCUAGAGAGAUAGUAAAUUCAAACAUAAAUAUCUUGCUGGAAACAUCUAUGUUAUGUAUCUCUCUAAACCUUUUAAGUUAUGCUUUCAUCAGUUGAUUUGGUUUUUCUCCAAUGUCUCAGGUUUAAUUUCCUCUAUUAUUUCAAUUAGAGAAAUUAGUAGUCGAUUGACUUAGUGGGUGUUUGGUAAAACUUAAUACUUAUUAUUUAAUGAUUAACUUUAAGUUAAAUUGUUCUUAAGUUAUUAAUUUAAAAUUUAUUACUUAUUUUGUAUUUAAGUAUUAAGGUUAUUUGUAAAAAUCAACUUAAAAUUUAUUCUAAAUCAUCAAAUUAACACAUUUACCCUUAUUAAUUUUAACUUAUAUUUAUUUUCAUUAAUUUUAAACAAUAAAUUUAUUCAUAAAACAUCUAUAUUUUUGUAGAUACAUAAUAACCAUAAAAUAUUUACUAUAAAAAAUGAGUCAUGGAUGUAGAAUUAUAAUUCUAAAAUAUACACCUAUAAGUGUGGGUAAAUAAGACAAAAAUGAUUUGAGAUUAAGAGUAAAGUUAAUUAUUUUGACUUAAGACUUCAAGUUAAAAAUAACUUUAAGUUGCAAUAUUAAGUUAUUUUAUCAAACAUGCUUAAUUUACUUAACAACUUAAAUUAACUUAUUAAGUUGAUUUAUCAAACACCCCACUAGUAAUAUGUUGAAAAUGAAGAGCAUCCAUAGCAGAUAAUGUAUAUGUAUUUGUGUUUAGAGUAGAAGGGCACUACAACAAUGGACUUGCAUGUGAUUUGGUCGCGAUAUGAUUUUGAUGAGAAUAUUUUAUUGUCUUUAAAAUAUUGUUAUAUGAAAUGCCACACUAUGUUAGUAAAUGAUAGUUAUGUUAGUAGAAAUGAAAGUUUGUUUUAUAAUGCAUUGACCAUCCUAACACAUGCACUUAAUUAUCAUUAGUAGUUAGACAUGUAUUCCCUUUUUUCAAUUUUUUUUCUUCUUUUUAAAUACAUUCUAGUGGUACUUUGCCUUAUGACUUAAUUUUUGUUACACUUACUACUUUUGGUUUUAGUCAUAUUUCAUUUUAUUAGUAUUUUCAUUUUGUGUUACAAUUUUAUUUAGUUUCUCUAUAUUCUCUUUUGGAUGGUGAUUUCACUUCAAAUUUUAAUUCAAAUUAGGCUUAUUGUCCUCUUAGUAAGCCUUUUCUAGGCGAGUUGUUAUAGAAAAUUAAACAAACCUCUCCUAAGGUUGGCCUUGUUACAUAGACUUCUUUUCUAUUUUGAAAUAUUAUAUUGACCUCCCUUGUUAGAUAUUGGUUUUUACGAUUACUAAGAAUAAUGCUUCUUAAUCAUUAUUAACGAUAAUGCAAAAUGAUAUAACUACUCUUAGUUAAAUCAAAUCAUAAUGACAAUAUUUUCAUCUUCUUUUUCCAAUUUUCUUCUUCUUCCUCCAUACAUGCUAAUUUGCAAAAAUUUAUACCCAUUAUUUAAAUGAAAUCUUUUGAAAUAAAUUAAAAUCUUCCUUAUUUGAUAUUAUAGAAACCUAAUUUAAAUAAAAUAUUUUGAAAUAAAUUAGAUAAAAAAAAAACUUGUCAUCAUUCUAACCCAAAUCAAAUUUAAAAGAAUAACUAAAUAUUUCAAGUCUCAUUUUGUCUCAAUAUCACCUUUGCUAAUCAACCUAUCCAAUCUUAGAUCAAACUCAAAUUGCAAUCAAAUUUUGACAAGAAAAAAUCUACUUAAGACUGAAUAAGAAAACUUGUGGAAAGAGUCUUAUCAAGAAGGUGCAUGAAACCCUCAGUUCAAAAACUUCUUCUAAAAUAAAAUUAAAAAAAGAAAAGAAAAGAAAGAUAUUCAAUGUUAAAGGACUUUUAAGAUAAAUCAAAAUUUGAAAAUGAAUGUUAAUACUUGCGAUAGAUUCCACAUUCAUGAACAAAUUACCAUUGCACCACUUAUUUUCAAUUCACACUUUAAUUUACUAUCCAUAGAAACUUUCAUUAAAUUUUCCAUAAAACAAACAAAGAGCCUUAACCCCCAAAUAUUUUAAUUCUUAAAAAUACAUCAUUUCAUCAAUUUUUGAAACCCUCAUUUUAACACAAAUUAUUUUUUUUUACAAAUUAUUAAAAGAAUAAAAAGAAAAUUAAGAAGAGGUUGUCAUUAUUAUUCUUGCAAAGUCACCACAAAAUAAAUUAUAACAAAUAUAGAAAAUAAAAUAAUGUGACGAUGAAGAUGAUGCUUAGAAAGUUAGAAUGAAGAAGAUAGUAUCAUUUAGAUGAUUUAGGUUAAGAUGAGGACUAGAUAAGGAAAGUGACAUCAAUUGCCUAAUUAUUUGGGGUUUUAGACAUACAAAAUGAGGGAGAUGACUAAAAUUAUGGUUUAAUUAUUUUUGGUUAAGGAUUAUUAAGUUAUUUUAAGGAAUUAAUUAAUUAAUUUAUAAUAAAUUUAGAAUUAAUUAAAAGUUAAUUAAAAUAAUUAUUGAUUCAUAGUUUAAUUUAAAACUAAUUUGAAUAAAAGAUGAAAAACUGAAAGUCCAUUAGGGUUUCACCUAGAGAGGGGAGAGGAGGUGGAUGAUUUAAAAAAUUUCAAUAAAGAUCUAUAUGUUAUAUCCAAUUUUAUUUUACCCUGUGAGAUGUUAGGGAUAACCUUUUCUAUCAACCUUAGGCAAUUCAAACAAAAUAUCAAAUAUAAAAGAUAAGAACAAUAAGGCAUGCGAUUUUUAUAUGGAAAAUCCUCACACUAACUGUGACGAUAAAAACCACGAGAUCUAAGACCUAUUAAUCUAAAUGCACUAGAUGAAAUCAAGUUACACAGAUUUACUUGACUGCUUUACCUUAAAGAUUUACUCUCUGGUAAGUACAACUUGAUUCAUGUCCACAACAUAGCAACCCUUGAUUGCUCCAGUGGAUCACUUCAGCUUCCUGGAAGGGAUGAAGGUCUCCAAAAUAAUAUUUAAAGAACAAAUCCUUGAAUGAGAAAUUGAGAAUGGUGUGGCAAUCUAGGUUUUGUCUAUAGGAGACCCUUUUUAGAGAAUAAAGUCUCUCAACAAUCUAUCUCCAAUCUCUUCAAUAUCUCUAACCCUCAAGGGGUUAUAAGGGAGGUAUUUAUAGGCAAAAGUUUGAAAAGUUUUGAUUUUGGAAGGUUUCUCAAUUGAAAUUUUGUGAAAAACUUGGUAGAAUCAACAUGAUUGCUCGAGCCAACUCACCCAUCGCUUGAGCGCCUCAAGCACUUGAGUGGUAUGGCUCACUUGAGCGGUCUUAAGCGCUUGAGUAGUCUUUAGUGCUUGAGCGCUCUAGGCCACUUGAGCAGUCUUGCUCUCUUUCAAAAAUCAAUUUUAAAAUCUUUUUAAGUUCAAAACAAAAUUGAUGCUCUUUAAUACCUCAACAUAGCCUAAUUAACAUAAGUCAAGCCUCUUUAAACAUGUGACUUCUCAAUUGGACAAACAACAACCCUUGAUCUUCAAUGAAGAGUAAGUCACUAACUAGAAAGACUUCUAUGACCAAACAUUACAAAGAACAAAAUUGCCAACAUAUAGGAAGGACUUACUGUCUUAACAAUCUCUCCCUUUGACAAUUUUGUGACAAAAAAUUGUUACAUAAACCCACUUGAACUCUGAUAACGGAGUUUACAUAACACACUUUAAUGCUCAAUUAAAACUAAAUUAAGGGAAAGCUUUGUAUUAAUUUAUAGUACUUAUAUUUCAACCCCGUAACCUACACACAUACAAAAAACUAUACUAAAGGUAAAGUAGUGUGAGGAAUAAAGUAAUGUUGAGAAAACAAAACAGGAUAGUUGGAGGUUUUGCUUGAUGACUUAUGAAAACAUGAAAAUGGAACAGAUUUUUGUAGAGACACUGAGGCACAAAGCAAAGCUUGAGAGGAAUAUAGAUACACACAAAUCAGGAAAACACAAUAGAAGCUUGAUAAGACACAAUAGAUCAAUAAUAAUGCUUAGAAGUCUAUCUCCAACCAGAAAAUGGGUAGUGAAAACCAUGGAAAGAAACUGCUAUGACUUAGAAUAGUUCUAGAGUGAUAAUUAGUUUAAACAUAAAUAUCUUAUAAGAAACAUUUGUGUCAAGUAUCUCUUUAAACCAUCUAAGUUAUGUUUUCAUCGGUUGAUAUGGUUUUCUCCAAUUUCUCAAGUUUAAUUUCCUUUAAUAUUUCAAUAAUUUCCCUUAAUGGAUGAAUGAAUGAAUGAAUUGAAUUAAAGAAUUCAAAAUUUUUAACUCAUAGUAACUUCCCUUAAAUUACAAUCAAUACAAUAAUUCAAAUCAAGUAUACAAAAACAUAAAUAAUAGAACAUUUAUGCAUUAGGUGGCGGUAGAGGGAUAGAGCUUGAAGCAUCGUGAGAAUGGGUACAAGAAAAGAUGUAGUUAAGUUAUCCCUAAAUCUCUCGGAGUUGGAGAUCCUAAGAGUCCAUCUUCUGAUGAAGUCGGGCCAUGGAAUUUAGAGCCUCAUGGGCGUUGGGUCUACAAAAGUAAAAGCCUUGUGUGUAGCUCGGGAAGAACUAACACAACCUCAACUUUAGAGUGAGUCCUCGGAGCAGACUCUAAAUAGUCUGCCUCUAGAAUUCCACCAUGCUCCAUAGCUCGAAGCUCAUCCUCCUAGACAACUACCUUUGCAUGCUGGCCUACAUCAUGUGGUUCAUAAGUUGGAAGAGCCAUCAAACUAUAUACAUGAAUGUAGUGCUUGGGCUAGGAACUCCCAUCUAAAAAGGCAUGGGUAGCCUAGACCCCUAGUGUAGGAUCAAUCUUAAAUCCCACAUCCUCGAGUAUCCGCGUCAUGAGGAGGGUAAAAGGGAAAGUGCCUCCUCUAAAGGAUAAACCACGAAGGGGAAUGAUUGUAUCCAGGAUGACUUAGCCAAUGUCAAAUUGUUGGCUUGAGAGAAUGACGUGAAUAAAGUGAGCAGAUGGUCAAUGGAUUUGGGUGCAGUGUGUAAAUGGGUAGAAGGAGUAAGUGAAGAAUGUGGCAAACAACCAUGUUAGCUUGAAGAAGCCAACAAUCAAGAUAUAAGAAGGAAAGGGGCAAAGACCCCCAUAAAGAGAAGUCAGAAUGGUGUCAAGUUUCUCUCGGGUGAGAGCCUGAACCUCUAGGGAAAAUGAAGAAAUGAGAGCCUCAAUUUGCGACAUGCUAAGGACACAUUGAAUGUAAUGGGAGAAAAUAAGGAAAAAUUGACCAUGCAUGGUCAAUUGAAAGGUGACUCCGACCACAAUAUAAUGCAUGUUCUCAUAGAACAUGUGAACAAGAUGGGGAUAGGAAGUCCCCUAGAGAGAAAACAAAGUCUCCUAACUUUACUCUUGAAUGAUGAUAGGGAAGACAGUGUCCUGAAAAGCUUAGAGGUUAAUGGCAUGCUCAGGCUCGACACAUUGAUAUGUGAAAGAAGCGUAAUAAUGGUCUCGUGCCACCUGGCAGUGAAAACGCUCAACCGAAAGUGCAUCUAGGUUAAAAAGACCCUGGAGUGGGAUGCCCUAGACGGUUUCAGUGACCUAGGAAAGGUCACCUCCCUCUGACAUCUAUGACUAGCCAUAUCUAAGGUAUAUAAUAUGAAAAAACAAAAGCUAAAGAAGAACUAAAGAAAAUCCAAAGAAAAGCUAAACCACUAAAAAUGUUAAACUCAAUGCGUCGAACAAUACUAUACAAAUGGAAAUGAAAAAUAUGAAGUGAACUGACCUCAGAAGACAAAAGGACAGUAACCUAGAGGGCUCGAAGAUGAAUAGGAAAGUUUGAAAUGAAUAUGGCGUGCUGGAUGACCUUUAUAUAGCCUAUAGGAGUGCUUGAUGCAGAUUAGCACUCGAGCGUCAUGACUAACUUAAAUCAAAGUAUUUAUUACUAUCAAAAUAUUUUAAAAGUUUCAAAGGAAGUAUUCAAUUUAGAACCUUUUUAGAAAUUUUUUUGAAAGAAACAAAAAUAAAACGUGAAAUAUUAUGUGUUAAAGGUGUUAGAAGACAAUAUUGUCUAAUCCAAAGCCUUACACAUUCCACAAAAAAAAAAAAGGAAAAAGAGAGAUAUUAUAUAAGAUUUUGAUCACAUCUAAUAGAAACUAAUAUUUAGCAACAUAUCACCAAGCACUAUCUUAUCAGAAAGCUCUAACAUGUUGGAAAUUUAUGUAAGGUUCCAUAACAACUAACAACUUUUUCUGACGACUUGGCAAUGGACCAUUUGCACUUUAACUACAUUAUUGAAUUUAAAUCAUAUUAGAAUAGUAAUUGACUUCUCUUUUGUGAGGCUACAUAUCUUGUAGGAUGGGAUAGGUGAUUCAUUUCAUAUAUGAAAUUUACUUAAUUUAGUAAUGCAUCCAAGUUCAUUAUGAAUAUAAUGGUACCACAACUUUUUGAAUAUUUGUAAUCUGUAAUCUUUGUUUCAACUUCUCAAGUCUAGUCAUUUUAUCGGCAUAACUAGUUUGCUUCAAUUAUCUCUCAACUUUAUUAUAAAACUAAGGGAAAUGAUUAUCACGCAUUUUAUAUUAACUUAACCAAACAUCUUUAUAUAUCUUACAUAUAUAUAUAUAUUGUAAAUUUAGGAAAAUUUCAUCCAUUAGCCAUAGUAAGUAAGAAUCAAAUAUGGGAUAUGUAAGCCAAUGGUGAUAUUGAUGGCGUCAAAUCAAUGACAUAGUAGAAACGUGGAUUGUCUAUUUUCAAACCUUUAUAUUUUCAUCCAAUAGUAAAAAGGUUUAGGCAUCACUUGAAAAGUAGUUUGUUUUUUACCUUGGACUAUGAUUUAUGAAUAAAGUUCUUCUGUUGUAUACCUUUUGUGAUGCCCCAAACCUAAUUUAGGGGUAAAAAUAAUAAUUUAGAAACAAAUAAAUAAAAAUUUAAAUAAAUUUAAUUAAGGUAAAAAUGUAUUUUCGUAUUUAAAAUUCCUAGGGAUCAAUUAUAUAUUUCUUGUCUUCUCUAUUCAAAAAACCCUAUUACACAAAAAUCAAAGAUCAGAGAACAUAGGACAACGUAGGGUUGAAGAUUUGGAGGUUUAGGGUUGAAGAUUAGUUUUCCAGGUAAGAUUCUAACCCUUAAAUUAGUAUUUUAGAUUCGUUAAUUAGUUUGAACACUUUAGAUAUUCUUUGAAAAAUCUGAAUCCACGUUAGGGUUUGUUAAUUUAAUUUUUAAAUAAAAAAGAUUGAAAAUUUAUGAACAUAAGUAGAGUUAUUAUUAAAGAUUGAAAAUUUUUGAAUAUUUGAAUUAAAAAUCUAGAAAAAAAAAAAGAAAAUAAAUUAUAGAUUUGGAUGUGGAAAAAAAUUAAUAUUAAUAAAUAAAUAAAACCUAUGAGUAUGGAGGUAGAAAAAUAUGAAAGUUGAAAGCAAAGAAAAAAAAAAGGAAUAAGGUUUUGUGGUUGUAUAUGCCUCCUUAGUGGAAAAAAAAUACAAGGUUGCUUGCAAUAGGAUAUGAUAAAGAGAGAGAGAUAAAUGCUUCGAUAUUGAUUUUUGUGGGGAAAAAAAGAUUGGGUAAUGCAGGAGAGAAAUAGGUAGCAUUUGUAGAGUUGGUGGAGUUGUUGUAAAAGCUCGUAGGGGUAAUUGUUAGGAAACAUUAGGACUUGAAAUAAUAAUAAUUGCUUCUAGUAAAAGUUUUAAUUUAGUUUAAGUAUAUAAAAGAAAUAGAUGAUUAGAAAAAGAUUUGGAAGGAAUAUGAAUUCAUAAAAUUUCGAAAUUUACUAAUUUAGAUUAUUAUUGUUUUGGAAGUUGAAUAUAAUAUAGGUGAUAAUAUUAUUAAUAUAGGAAAUGAUUAAGAUUCUCAAACCUACAAUUUUAGAUAAAUAGUUAAUAGUAAUAGAUGAUUUUUUAUUUUUUUUAUUUUUUAUUUUUUAUGUUAUGUUAAGUGAAUAAUGGAUUCUUUGAUUAAUUCUCUAAGGUUUCUAAGUGCUUCUUUAAGGUAAGGGAUAUUAAUACUGAUUUUGUAAAUGAAAAUAUUUCUUUUUAUAAGUUAUUUUAAAUUAUGAAAAAUUUUAUUAUUAUUUAUGCAUGGAUCAAAUAUAUAUUUUUUCAUGAGAAACAUGUUUAGGCAAUUUCUUUGUUUAUAAAUAAAUAAAUAAAAAAUGAGAACCUUGGAAAUAUAAUGUUUUGUUUUGUAAGUUUAAAAUAAUGAAAUAAAGUUUUUGACUCUGGUUUAUAUGACCUUAGUUAAUGGGUUAUAAUUGUUGACAUUUUUAGCUCCAAUCAACAAUUAUAAUUGUUGACAUUUUCAGCUCCAAUCAACGAUUAUAAUUGUUGAGAUUUUCAACCCUAGCCAAUGGGUUAUAAUAGUUGACCUUAUAGCCCUAGUCAACAGAUAUAAUUGUCAACCUUUGGUUUUGCCCAUCUUAAAAAGAACAAAUUUAAGGCUAGCCAUUUAUUUGUAAAGUCCCACCUAACUAAGUACCAUUUGUUAUUUAAUAACCAGAGUAAAGAUAUUUUGAAUGUAUUUGAUAUGAAAUUGUUUUGAUAUAAAUAUGAAAAUGUUUGGUUGAAAGUUCAAAUGUUUAAUGCAUGUUGAACUCAAAAGUUUUAUUAAAAUGAUUAUAUGUUAUAUAUCCUAUUUGUAAGCUUGAUCCAUGAAACUGUAUUAAUAUUCCUUAUUGGACUUUGAGCUCAUUCCCCUUUGUUGAGAAUUUUUUUGGUAUUCUCAGUUUGGGCAAGGAGUGAUGACUGGGUUGGGGAAUUUUCUUUGCUAUGAUUUUGGUUCAAUCUUUAUUUUGGACAUUGUUUAGAUGUUAAAAUUUAAUUCCCAUUUAAAUUAUUUGAGUUUGGAGUUAUUUGGACGAUAACACUUUGAUUGAUGUGUUAGUUUUAAAGUUGAGAAUUGAAAAUUAUAGAAUUUAUUUAUCUUACUACUUUGAACAGAAAUUUAGUAAUUGGAGAUCAUCCAGUUACAAGAUGAAUAUUUGUGUCAUUUCCACUUUGAGAGUUCAGACUUGGGGUGUGAAAUGACCGUUAUGCCCUUGGAGUGGGUAUAUUGUUUAUUUGAAUUUAAUGGUCCCCGAACUCCUUAAUUACUCAUAACUUUAUAUCACCUUCUCAAAGUUAAGUUGUUUUACAACUAUUAUCUAGCUACUUUUCUCUACUAUGACAACUUUAUUACAUAGUGAUUAAUUGAAAGAAUCUACAUGUUUUAUUUCAUAGGAUAGUUGAUUUUUUUACUCAAUGAAUCUUGCUUUUAUUAUUGAAAUUUCAAAUCAUUGUAGUCCAACAAUUUCCUAUCCAUUGGUAAUUUCAUAUUACAUUUCCAAAGUCUAAUCAUUUAAAAACACUUGUAGUUAAUAUAUUGGCAAUUGCAUUGUGGGAAGUUGUUCACUUGAUUUUAAUGUUGAAACUUUCAAAUUAUUGUAGUCCAACAAUUCCCUAUCCAUUGGUAAUUUCAUAUCACAUUUUCAAAUUAUAAUCAUUUACAAAUACUUGUAUAUAGUAUAUUUGGUGAUUGUAGAGUGGAAAGUUGAUCGUUUUCAUGAAGACCUCUAAAAUAUAAAUUUUUUUCAUUCCAUUUAAUAAAGAAUUUCAUUAAUUGAACAUAUAUGUUUUUUUUAGCUGGAAAGUAGAGGCCACAUUAUACGAGGCCUUAGGUGACAAUACUAGGUGAGGGUUUUUUUUUUAAUUUAUUUAUUAUGAAAUAUAAAUAAUAUUAUUUAUUGUAUAAUAAAGAUUAUUAUAAUAUAUUUUUUAUAGAUGAAAAAAAUAUUAAUUGAGUUUUAUUUAUUUUUUAAUAAUUGUUUUCAAUAAAUAACUUAUUUGUAAAAAGAAAACUAUAAAAUAUAUGCAUUUGAAAAAUAUUUAAUUUUUAUUUGAUUUAGUAUCAAUUAAUAUUUGUAAUAUUUUUUAAUAUUAUAGAAGUUAACAUACUCAAUCAAGAUAUUCAAGAUCAAGAGAACAUUUGAGAUUGAAUUAAUUUCUUUAUUGUUUAUGUUUUAGAAAAUUUUUAUAUCCAUUACAAAUUUUCUAUUGUUUAUUUUUCAUUCAAUUUUUGCAUUUUGUAAUAGAUAUUAAAACGAAUUUUUUUUCCUAUAUGUUAAAAAAAUAUUUCAAUGUCUUUAAAAAUAAAAUAUUGCAGUAAAAUCAAAAUUACAUUGUGAAACUUUAAGCGAAUGUUUUAUACUUAAGAAGUGCCAAUUAAAGUAAGCAUGCAUCUACAAUUGUAAUUUAGAUGUCAUACUGAAACAAUAGUUCUCUUCGACUAUAUCAUAAAAUUUGGUUCGAAUUACUUUAAGUCAUCUUGUAGAUUUUCAAGUUCUAAUGAUAUGCAUCAAGUAUGUGCAACAUACUUGAUAUAACUAAUAUUUUCUUAAGUAAUUGGACACUUUUUUUCUAUAAAUUUACUUGAUUAUCAAUGAAUACUUUUAUGUAGGGUAUUGAUAUAAUUCGAUAAAUAUUUUAAAAUAGUAUUAGAAUAGCUUUGCUCUUUCCCAAUUAACAAAUUUACCAAAUUAACUUAUAUAUAUUUGUUUAUUUGAAUUUACUGGUAUUUGACUCAAAUUGUUAUUAUUUUUAAAAUUAUAGGAAAACCAUUAUUUAUAGAGUUUAAUUAUAUUUUGGUAAAUUAUCUUUUUAAGUUUGACUAGGAUUAGGAAACUAUUAAUUUAAGAUUAAUCCAUAAGGCUCUAUAAAUUUGCAGUUUUAUAUAGGAUUUAAAAAAAGAAAGAAAAAGUAAGAAAAAGUGAAGAGAGAUAGGCAAAGAGUGCAUUGGGUUUUAGAUAGAGAAAGAUUGAGAGAGUUUUGAUUACUACUAAAAAAGAACAUAUUUUAGAUAGUAAUUCUCAUGAGUUUCGCAUCUUUUGAGCAUUAAUUAUGCCUAAAAAUGCUCAAUUAACAUGUUGUUGCCCUUGCAAAAGUUACUAACAAGUUUUAUAAAGUUUUGGAGUCAUUUCAAGUUAUGAUUUUAAUAAAUUGGUGACGAAAGAAAUGAAUUGAUUUGAAGAAGGCAAAUAAUAUUGAUGAUGAUCAAAUGCAUAAUGAAAUAAGAAAUAUAAUUAGUUUGAUCGGGAUUUGCUGCUAAUUUGGAGGUAGUUAAGGUGGAGUCAAAAGAAGAAAAUGGAAGAAAUGACAAAAAGGAGCUUAAAAACCAAAUGUUGCAGAUUUGUAUGAUCAUGCAAAAAUUUUACAUGACUAUGCGAAAUGGAUUAGAGAAGGAAAAUUGACUAUAGUAUAAGGAGGAUGCUUAAGUUGAUUUCGCAUGAACAUGAGAAAAUUUCGCAUGAACAUGCGAAAAUUUUGAACAAUCAUGCGAAAUGGUCCAGAAAGCUCUCUAAUGUUGUUGUUGCUCCACUAAUUUCGCACCACCAUGCGAAAUCGAUAUUUUCAUGCAAAAUGGCUGAAGCUCAUGUGAAAUCAUGAUUUUGAGGCUAAACUCCAGAUUUGUGAAUUUGGAAGGCUUUAUAAGACCAAUGAGAGGUUGCCAAGUGUUCACUUGACCUUGGCCUAUAAAUAGAAACUUGAAUUUCCCAUGUAAAGAGCUUUGUGAUACUUUUAAUUUUAGAUUUUUCUAGAAACUCUUUUUCUAAAUAGAAUUCUAUAUUUUCUUUAAUUUUCCCUCAUUUUCUCAUUAGCCAAACAUGCCUAGUGAGACCAAAUCUCCAAGUAUGAGUGGCUAAAUUUCGUUUUUCUCAAAGGAAGGAGGAUCUAGAGGCAAGAUCUAUGGUGAAUUAUAGAAAUGAGUUUUAAUUGCAAAUGUAAUUUGAUCCAAUUGAUUGAUUAAUUGAAAUUUGAGGAUUUCUCUCUUCAAAUUGUCUUGAAUGACUAUUACAUUGCAAACUAGGUAGAUUCAUUAAAUUCUUAAAGCUAGAUUUAAUGAGACUGAAUAGUUGCAUUGUAUGAAUCAUUGGAAGAUGAUUUAAGAUGAAUUGAAUAUAUAAUUUAAAUUGAUCUCUUGGAUUAAAUAACCUAAUUUGAAGAGAAAUUAGGUUUAGACUUAAAGGUAAAUCCAAAAUCGGUUUAGAUAAGAAUUUAGGUUUUCAAUAUAACUUGAUGAAAAAUAAAUCUCAACAUCUAUUCACUAUGGAAAUUGUUUUCUAAAAAAUAUUAACUCCGAGAAUUCCUUUUCCUUAUCAAUUUUCUUAUAUUCUACAUUAUAUUGUUCUUUUCAAUUAGAAAUCAUUGUUAUUUUGAUUUUUCAUGAAUUGUCAAAUCAAUUUCACUUGACCACAAUCAUUUCUUUUCCUUCCAUUUAAACCUUAAUUAUCGAGAAUAAUCCAUCCCAAUGGAAGACACCUAAGACCACUAUACUACCGUAGCUUUUGCUAAAAAACCUUUUUGAUCGGGCAAGAGUUACCUUAGCAUAGUUGAAUUAUGUUAUAAUUUUUUUUAUCCAAUAAACAACAAAAAAAUCAAUCGAUCAAGUUUGCAUUGUGUAUUCUUGAAUUUUAUUAAUAAAUUUAAUCCCCCUUUUUGAAGCGAUUACACCAAACCAAGUAAAUAUUUUAUAUACUUCAUUUGCUUUAUUUUUUCUAUUAAGUUUAGGUGUUGCAAUUUUCAAGAGUCAUGGUGAGAAGAUUGUGGGAAAAAUUAUUUUAAGGAUGGAGUCGAACAUAAAAUAUGAAAUUGAGUCCUUUGAUGGAAAUAAUAAUUUUAAUAUUUGAUAAAGUAUUAUUAAAGAUGUUUUGAUACAACAAAGACUUCUCAAAGCAUUACAAGGCAAAAAAACUAGAGAGCAUGACAAAUAAAGAAAUGAAAGAAUUAGAAGCAAGAGUUGUAAGUACUAUUUGUUUAAGUCUUAAAAAUGAAAUACAUUGUUUUGAAUGAAAAAUAUUCUUUCAGGGGUGUCAAUUGCUCUUUUAGAGACCAAAAAUAUUAAGCAAUCAAGUAGUUCAUCUCAUAUUGGACAAACUGUUAUGAUGAAUUCUAAACCACAUCAUCAUAGGAGUAAAUCGAAAGAAAAGUAUCUGAUAGGAGGAUGAUCAUUCCAUUCACAUUUAUGGAGGAAUAUGAAGUAUUAUUACUAUGAAAAAAAAAACAUAUCAGGAGAUAUUGUAAAGAAUUGAUGAAGUACCUAGAAGAAAUGAAAAUUUUUAAAUCCCAAGAGACUUCAAAUUCUACUAAUAUUGUUGAUGAAAAUUUUGAAAUAUUGUAGUAAAUUAAAAGUUACAUUAUGGGACUUUUAGUGAGUGUUUUGUGUUGAAGAAAGGCUAAUUAAAGUAAACAUGCAUCUAAAAUUAUAAUUUAGAUGUUGUACUCAAAUAGUUGCUCUCCUCGAUUAUAUCAUAAAAUUUGGUUUGAAGUAGUCUAAGUCAUCUAAUAAUUUUCUAGUUCCAAUUACAUGCAUCAAACAUGUGUGUUAGGAAGUGUUGCAAAUUACUAAUUAGUAUAGAUCCCUUUUUUUUUUUAAAGAAUAUUGUAUUGAAUAUUUCUAGGUUGAUAUAUUAUUGUAAUAUUAGACUUCCUUAUAGAAUAAGGAAUGUUGUUGAAAAUAUCCCUAUAAAUAUUCUAGUUCAUAAGGGGAAAAAGUUAUGAGAUGAAGAUGGACCCAUAAAGACUAUACAAGGUGGAUAGAGAUGUGAGGAAGAACAGGAGGUACCCGGUGGAGCGAGAGGGCUCGUGGUAAGGUAUAGGUACGAAGAGUGAGGAAACAUGGGAUGUUUUGGGAACCCAAUAGUUAUAUCUAGUUAUAUCAUCUAUAAGUUCUAGUUCUGUCCUUUGCAUUGUUCUCUAUUUUAUAGUGGAAUGAUUCUCUCUUAUCUGUGGAUGUAGGCAUGGUUUUCGAACCACGUUAAAACCUUAUGUACCGUUUGUGUCGAAUUUUUUUAUCUUUAUUUUCUUGAUUAAUGAAGUUUGCAUCAAAGCUUCCGUCAACGGAACAAACUUGUAUCAAAGCUUGGGUUAAAGAUUUCUGGAAGAGUAAAAGAUCACAAAGCACACAAGAUGAAACCAAAAGGAUUUUUUAGUGAAAAUGGAGUCGAUUGCUCUCUUGUGGUGAUAUGAUAUAAAAAGUUUGUCUCAUGGAAAGUUUGAAGAUUGACUUCAUGGAAUUUGGUCCAAAAUGGAGAUUGUUAAUAAGUGUCCCAAAUUCCUAAUUAGUAUAGAUUUUUUUUUUUUUUGUAAAGAAUAUUGUAUAGAAUAUUUCUAGGUUGAUAUAUUAUUGUAAUAUUAGACUUUCUUAUAGAAUAAGGAAGGUUGUUGAAAAUAUCUUUAUAAAUAUUCUAGGUCAUGAGGAAAAAAAGUUAUGAGAUGAAGAUGGGCCUGUAAAAACUAUAUGAGGUGGAUAGAGAUGUGAGGAAGAACGGGAGGUACUCAAUGGAAUGAGAGGGCUCGUGGUAGGGUAUGGAUACAAAGAGUGGGGAAAUAUGGGAUGUUUUGGGAACCUAAUAGUUGUAUCUGGUUCUGUCAUCUAUAAUGUUCUAGUUACGUCCUCUAUAAUGCUCUCUAUUGUAUAGUGGAAUGAUUCUCUUUCAUCCAUGGACGUAAGCAUGGUUGUCGAACCACGUUAAAACCUCAUGUACUGUUUGUGUUAUUAUUCUUUAAAUUUUUUAAUAUUUGUUUCUUGAUUAAUGAUGUGUGCAUCAAAGCUUCCACCUACAUAACAAACUGGUAUCAGAGCUUGGGUUGAAGAUUUUUGGAAUAGUAAAAGAUCACAAAGCACACAAGAUGAAAACAAAAGGAAUUUUUAGUGAAUGUGGAGUCAAUUGUUUUCUCGUGGUGAUAUGAUACAAAAAGUUUGUGUCAUGGAGGGUUUAAUGAUUGACUCCGUGAAAUUUGGUCCAAGGUAGAGAUUGUUAGGAAGUGUCCCAAAUUCCUAAUUAAUAUAAAUUCCUCUUUGUAAAGAAUAUUGUAUAGAAUAUUUCUAGGUUGAUAUAUUAUUGUAAUAUUAGACUUCCUUAUAGAAUAAAGAAGGUUGUUGGAAAUAUUUUCAUAAAUAUUUUAAGUCAUGAGGGAAAAAAGUUAUGAGAUGAAGAUGGGCCUAUAAAGACCAUACGAGAUGGAUAGAGAUGUGAGGAAGAAUCGAAGGUACCCAGUGGAGCGAGAGGGCUCAUGGUAGGACAUGAAUAUGAAGAGUGGGGAAACAUGGGAUGUUUUGGGAACCCAAUAGUUGUAUCUAGUUCUGUCAUCUAUAAUGUUCUAAUUCUGUCAUCUAUAAUGUUCUGGUUUUGUCCUCUGUAAUGUUCUUUAUUGUAUAGUGGAAUUAUUCUCCCUCAUCUGUGUAGGCAAGUUGUUAAACCACGUUAAAACCUCGAAUACCAUUUGUGUUGAUUUUUUUUUAGUUUUGUGUUCUUGAUUAACAAUGCUUGCAUCAAAGCUUCUACCAACGUAACAAUGUGCAACAUAUUUGAUAUAACUUAUAUUUUCUUAAGUAAUUGAACACUUUUUUUCUAUAAAUUUACUUGAUUAUCAAUGAAUACCUACAUAUGCGGUAUUGACAUAGUUUGAUAAAUAUUUUAAAAUAGUAUUAGAAUGGCUUUUCUUUUUCCCAAUUAAAAAAUUUAUCAAAUAUAUACAUACACACACACACACACAAUACUCAUUAGUAUGUCUUUUAUGAAAAAACUAUAUUUGUUUAUUUGAAUUUAGUAGCCAUUUAACUCCUUAGUUACUCAUAAACUUUAUAUCACCUUCUUAAAGUCAAGUCAUUUACAAUUAUUUCUAUCUAGCCUUCUCCAUUAUGACAACUUUAUAAGAUAGUGAUUGACUGGAAAAAUCUACAUGCCUUUGUUGAUAGGAUAAUUGUUUUUCUUUUUUUCGUAUUCAAAGAAUCUUGCUUUUGUUAUUGAGACUUUCAAAUCCUUUAUGUCUAGUGGUCUUAUAAUUCCCUAUUCAUUGGUCUUUCAUAUUACCAAUCAUUUUGCAAAUGAGUUAAUUUCAUUCACAUCCUCUGAGAUUUGAUGUAAAUUCGCUUAGUUACCAAUGAUUUCAAAUUUCAUUAAUUAGUACCCCUAUAGAUGUAAUUUGUGUACAAAAUUUAUUUUUUAAAAGAAUUUAGGUAAAAAUAUUUUAGGUUUAUGUCUUUAACAAUUCUCUAAAAUAAAUUUUACUUGCUAAAAAAUAACUUAUAUAGAUAGAAUACAUCUACAGGAGUUCUAACUGACGAAAUUUAAAACUAAUGGUGGUUUAGUGUAUUUAAACUAAACAUUAAGAAGGGUGACUGAAAUUAACCCUCUAGGUAUAUAUGUUUAACAAAAUUUUUAUUGUUUAUUUUUCAUUUAAUGUUUGCAUUUUUCAAUAAACAUUGAAAAGGAAUUGUUUUUCCAUAUGUUAACAAAAAGAAAUUUGAGCACCUAUAAAAAUGAAAUCUUGUAGUAAAAUUGAAGUUACAUUAUCAAACUUUUAACGAGUGUUUAUGUUUAGAAAGGCCAAUUAAAGCAAGCAUGCAUCUAGAAAUUAUAACUUAGAUGCAUCAAACAUGAGCAACAUAUUUGAUAUAACUAAUAGUUUCUUAAGUAACUAAACACUUCUUUUUCUAUAAAUUUACUUGAUUAUCGAUGAAUACUUACAUAUAUUUACAUAGUUUGAUAAAUAUUUUAAAAUAAUAUUAGAAUAACUUUUUUUUUCUCAAUUAUAUUAGAAAAUAAUAUAAAGUUACUUAUAAACUUUAUAUCAUUUUCUCAAAGUCAAGUCAUUUACAAUUAUUUCUAUUUAGCCUUCUCCAUUAGGACAACUUUUAUAUGAUAGUCGUUGAUUGGAAGAAUCUACAUGUCUUUUUUGAUAGGAUAGUUGUUUUUAUUUUUUUUAUUUUUUUUAUUCCAAAAAUUUGCUUCUAUCAUUGAAACUUUCAAAUCUUUUAUGUAUAUUACCAAUCAUUUUACAAGUGAGUUAAUUUCACUUAGGGUAGAUAUACUUAGCCACACCCCUAUAGAUGUAAUUUGUGUUUAAAUUUUAUUUUUUAUUCAGGUAAAAAUAUCUUAGGUAUAUGUGUUCAACAAUUCUCUAAAAAAUAAAUUUUCUUAUCUAAAAGUUUAUAUAGACAAAAUACAUCUGUAGAAGUCCUAACUAAUGAAAUUUAAAAUCAAUGGUUGUUUAGUGUAUUUACAUUAAACCUUAUGGGGUAUGAUUGAAAUUAACUCUCUUACAAGCACUUGUAGCUAAUAUGUUUGUAGUUGUAGUGUUGGAAAUUGAUCAUUUUCUUGAAGGCCUCUAAGAUAUUGGAAAUAUUGCCAUAGUUUUAGACUUUUUUUUAUUACACCUAAUAAAAAAUAUUAUUAAUUUAACAUAUAUAUUCUUGACUUAAAAGUAAAGUCUCUCCAUAUUGUAUAAGCCCUUAGGUGACAAUAUUAGGUGAAGUUUUUCUUUCGUUUAUUAAAAAAUAUAAAUAAUUUAUUAUUGUAUGAUAAAAUUUUAUGUAAUAUAUUUUUAUAGAUGUAAAAUUAUUAAUUGGGUUUUAUUUUAUUUUUUUACUAAAUUGUCAUUUCAAUAUAUAAAACUUAUUUGUAAAAAGACAAUUAUAAACUAUAUGAAAUUGAAAAACAUUUAGUUUUUUUAUUUAAUUUAUAAUUUUGUUUGGAUUAAUAAUUGAUAUUUGUAAGAUUUUUUAAUAUUAAAAAAAGUUAGCAUACUUAAGAAAGAUAUUCAAGAUCGGGAGUGUUUGAUAUUGGAUUAAUUUCCUUAUUUUCUCUAUUUUAAUAAAUUUUCAUGUCCAUUACAAAAUUUUUGUUGUUUAUAUUUUACUUCAAUAUUUUUAUUUUGUAAUAGACAUUUGAAAAGAUUUUUUCCUACAUGUUAAAAAAAAAAAAUGAACACUCCUAAAAAAGAAAUAUUGCAAUAAAAUUAAAGUUUACACUGUAGGACUAUUAGCAAGUGCUAUAUACUUAAAAUAGACCAAUUAAAGUAGAAAUACUUCUAAAAUUUUAAUUUAGGUAACAAUAAUAUAAAAAGAUAAUAUUUUUGAAACAAUAGUUCUCUUGGAGUUUUGGGUACGAUGGACUAGACUUUAUGUAACAAUAGAUAUAUGAACUUUCCAUUAACAUCUUGAGAGACAUGAUGAGGAGCAAAGUCAUCCUAGAAGGUACCAUAGAGGUACCUUAGCUCCAUUCAUCUAGACUACAUAAUGUUUAAAGAUCAAAUUCAAUGACUAGAUUUCAAAAAUCAAUAUAAGCUUUCUCAUAUUCUACUCUAUAUAAGACAAUGGUAUGAUACAUCUCUUGUGUCGUAGAAUGCACCAUGAAAACCUUAUCAUUUUAACAUCAGUUUGAAACUUAAAAGUCACUUAGCACAUUCUAGUUAUUAAUGUAAGAACAUUAAAAGAAAAUAUAAAAAAAGUUACUUUAUUCUUGUGAUUUUGAUCUAGGACUUUUAAUGAUAUUAAAAAAAAAAAAAAAAAACAGAAAAAUAAAUGGAAAUAAAAUCAACAAAUUAAACAAUUGAAUUAAGUUAGUUUAAUUUUUGCAUCGUUAAAUGGGUAAAUAAAGACUCUUAGAUUUGAUAUUAAUAUGAACAUCAUGACUUUAGUGAAUCUUACAAGAAAAUUUUAGUUUGAAAGACUUCAUUCAUUAAACGUGUGGCACAUAUUAAAGUAAAACUAAGUCUUCUCUAUAAUUUGUACCUAUCAUAGUUUCUUUCCUCAUAAAUAGCCUUUUUUGAAUAUAAUAUAGACUUCAACAUGUAUGGUGGGGCCGAUCAAACUACUAGUCAAGACAACUCAUGGGCAACAACGAUGUACCAACUAUAUUAAAUACUCUUCAUCUAUUUGCAUAUCAAGAGUAAUUUAGUAGUGUCUUUCUUAUGUACCUCGUAUCUAGACUUUCAAUGGAGAGUUCUUCAUCUAAAAAUUUGACUUGGGUUUUCAUAUUAGUUUUGGUUUAGACAUAUGGAUGCAAAGGUUGCAUCAAAGAAGAGAAGUAGGCUAAAUCAUCUUACAAAUUUUCAAGUUCAAAUUAGAUGCACCAAACAUAUGCAAUAUAUUUGAUAUAACUAAUAUUUUCUUAAGUAAUUGAAUACAAUUUUUUUUAUUUUAUAAAUUUACUUGAUUAUUAAUGAAUAACUACUUGUAUGAUAUUGACACAACUUGAUAAAACUUUUAAAAUAAUAUUAGAAUAACUUUGCUAAAAAAAAGUAAAAAUAAAAAUAAAAAUAUGUCUAUAUAUAUAAAAUUAAAUAAAAUUAAAAAUUAAAAAAGAAUAUAUAUAUAUAUAUAUAUAUUGUGUGUGUGUGUGUGUGUGCAUGGUCCCACAACUCAUUAGCUACUCAUAAGCUUUAUAUCACUUUCUCAAAGUCAAGUCAUUUUGUAAUUAUUUCUAUCUAGCCUUCUCCAUUACGACAACUGUAUAAGAUAUUGAUGGGUUGGAAAAAUCUUCAUGUCUUUUUUAAUAAGAUAGUUUUAUUAUUAUUAUUAUUAUUAUUAUUAUUAUUAUUAUUCAAAGAAUUUGAUUUUAUUAUUGAAACUUUCAAAUCCUUUAUGCCUAGUGGUCCUACAAUUCCCUAUUCAUUGGUAUUUCAUAUUACCAAUCAUUUUACAAAUAAGUUUAUUUCACCCGGUAAAUAUACUUAACUACUAAUGGUUUCAAAUUUAAUUGAUUAACACACUUAUAGAUGUAAUUUGUUUUUAAAUUUUAUUUUUUUAGAAGAAUUGUAGGUAAAAAUAUUUUAGGAAUAUGCGUUCAAUAAUUCUCUAAAAACAAUUUAUAUAGAUGGAAUACAUUCAUGGAAGUUCCAACUAAUGAAAUUUAAAACCAACGACGAUUUAAUGUAUUCUCACUAAAUCUUAGGGGAGGUGUACUAAAACUAGCCUUUUUACAAAUAUUUGUAGCUAGUAUAUUUGUAGUUAUGGUGUUGGAAGUUGAUCAUUUUCUUAAAGGCCUCUAUGAUAUUGGAAAUAUCGCCAAAGUUUUGAACUUUUUGUUUCAUCUAAAAAAAAUAUCAUUAAUUUAAUAUAUAUACUCUUUGCUUGAAAGUAUAGUUUCUUCAUAUAGUAUGAAGUUGUAGCUAGGUGACAAUAUUAGGUGAAAUUUUUUUGGUUUACUACAAAAUAUAAAUAAUAUAUUUAUUAUAUGAUAAAAUUUUGUAAAAUAUAUUAUUAUAGAUGCAAAAUUAUUAAUGGAGUUUUAUUUUUUACUAAAUUAUCAUUUCAAUAAUAAGAACUUAUUUGUUAAAAGAAAAUUAUAAAAUAUAUGCAGUUGAAAAAAUUUUAAUUUUUUUAUUUAAUUUGGUAUUUUAUUUGAAUUAAUAAUUGAUAUUUGUAAGAUAUUUUAAUAUUAAAAGAAGUUAACAUACUUAAAAAAGACAUUCAAAAUCAAGAGAGUAUUUGAUAUGAAAUUAAUUUAUUUAUUUUUUCUAUUUAAAUAAAUUUUUACAUCCAUUAAAAAAAUUUUAUUGUUUAUUUUUCACUUCAAUAUUUUUAUUUUGUAAAAGAAAUAGAAAUAAAAUCAACAAAUUAAACAAUUGAAUUAAGUUAGUUUAAUUUUGCCACCGUUAAAUUGGUAAAUGAAGACUCUUAUAUUUGAUAUUAACAUGAACAUCAUGACUUCAUUGAAUCUCACAAGAAAAUUUUAGUUUGAAAGAUUUUAUUCUUUAAUCAUGUGGCACAUAUUAAAGUGAGACCAAGUCUUCCCUAUAAUUUGUAUCUAUCACAAUUUCUUUCCUAAUGAAUAGCCUUUUUGAAUAGAAAAUAGACUUUAGCAUGCAUGGUGGGGCCUAGCUAUCAAACUACUAGUCAAAGCAACUCAUGGGCAAGAAUGAUGUACCAACUAGAUUAAGUAUUCUCCAUCUAGUUGCAUAUCAAGAGUAAUUUAGUAGUAUCUUUCUUGUGUACCUCAUUUCUAGACUUUCAAUGGAGAGUUUUUUAUCUUAAAAUUUGAUGUGGGUUUUCAUACUAGUCUUGGUUCAGAUAUGUGAAUGCAAAGGUUGCAUCGAAGAAGAGAAGUAGGCUAAGUCAUCUUACAAAUUUUCAAGUUCAAAUUAGAUGCAUCAAACAUGUGCAACAUAUUUGAUAUAACUAAUAUUUUACCAAGCAACUAAAUACUUUAUAUAUAUAUAUAUAUAUAUAUAUAAAUUUAUUGAUGAUCAAUGAAUACACAUGUAUGGUAUUGACACGGUUUGAUAAAUCUUUUAAAAUAGUAUUAGAAUAACUUUGCUAAAAAAAGUAAAAAUAAAAAUAAAAAUACAUAUAUAUAUAUAUAUAUAAAAUAAAAAAUUUUAAAAGAAUAUAUAUAUAUUAGUGGUCCCACAACUCAUUAGCUACUCAUAAGCUUUAUAUCAUUUUCUUAAAGUCAAGUCAUUUACAAUUAUUUCUAUCUAGCCUUCUCCGUUGCGACAACUGUACAAGAUAUUAAUUGAUUGAAAAAAUCAUCAUGUCUUUUUUGAUAGGAUAGUUUUUUUUUUUAUUCAAAGAACUUUCAAAUCCUUUAUGUCUAGUGGUCCUACAAUUCCUUAUUCAUUGGUAUUUCAUAUUACCAAUCAUUUUACAAAUAAGUUAAUUUCACUCGGUAAAUAUACUUAACCACCAAUGGUUUCCAAUUUGUAACACUCUUAUAGAUGUAGUUUGUUUUUAAAUUUGAUUUUUUAGAAGAAUUGUAGGUAAAAAUAUUUUAGCUAUAUAUGUUCAACAAUUCUCUAAAAACAAUUUAUAUAGAUGGAAUACAUUCAUGGAAGUUCCAACUAAUGAAAUUUAAAACCAAUGAUGAUUUAAUGUAUUUGUACUAAAUCUUAGGGAGUGUGGACUAAAAUUAGCCCUUUUACAAAUAUUUAUAACUAGUAUAUUUGUAGUUGUGGUAUUGGAAGUUGAUCAUUUUCUUAAAAGGUUUACCAUUGAAGUUAGUUGAAUAUAAAGUUAGGUGAACUUUACCAUUGUUAAAUUGGUAAAUGAAGACUCUUAGAUUUGAUACUAACAUGUACAUCAUGACUUCAUGGAAUCUCUCACAAGGAAAUUUUAGUUUGAAAGACUUCAUCUUUUAAACAUGUGGCACAUAUUAAAGUGAGACCAAGUCUUCCCUAUAAUUUGUAUCUAUCACAAUUUCUUUCCUCAUAAAUAGCCUUUUUGAAUAGAAUUAAUAUAGACUUUAGCAUGCAUGAUGGGCCCCGUCAAACUAUUAGUCAAGAUAAUUUGUAGGUAAGAACGAUGGACCAACUAUAUUAAAUACUCUUCAUCUAUUUGCAUAUCAAGAGCAACUUAAUAUUGUCUUUCUUUUGUACUUCAUGUUUGAACUUUCAAUGGAGAGUUUGUCAUCUAAAUAUUUGAUGUGGGUUUUUAUACUACUCUUGGUUCAAAUAUGUGGAUGCAAAGGUUGCAUCAAAGAAGAGAAGAUGGGUUUGCUUGAAUUCAAGGCUUUUCUUAAAUUGAAUAAUGAGCAUGCAGAUUUUCUUCUCCCUUCAUGGAUAGAUAACAACACUAGUGAAUGUUGUAAUUGGGAGCGGGUUAUUUGCAAUCCCACCACAGGUCGAGUUAAGAAGCUUUUCCUCAACGAUAUAACGCGACAACAAAAUUUCUUGGAAGACGAUUGGUACCAUUAUGAAAAUGUCAAAUUCUGGUUACUAAAUGUCUCCCUAUUCCUUCCUUUUGAAGAACUUCACCAUCUAAACUUGUCUGCAAACUCAUUUGAUGGGUUUAUUGAGAAUGAAGGUAUGUUACCUCUCACCUUUAAAAUUUCUUUUCACUUAUACUCCAAACAUUCUAAAGGAACUACUAGCAUAUGUUCUUAAAAGUGUUCAGGUGGAGACCAAAUGGUCACUAGUAACUAUUGAAUUUAAUAUAAGAACAAUUACUAAUUAUUAAAAUUUAUAAUGUAAAUUAACAUUUAAACAAAACAAUAAAAAAAUUAUUAUUUUAGAAAACUAUAGAUUACAUUAGCCUUAUAUAUAUAAGCAUACUUGUAAUUUAUGCCAUCAUUUCACACUCAACCCAAUUAGUGGGAUUCAACUAAGAGUGAGCAAUUUCACAAUUAUUAAUUAACAAAAACACUUAGGCUCCCAUAUCCUUAUCCUUUUUGCUGAAUUGUCUUUCCUUAUCUUCCAUUCCUAAAAAGCUUGAUUUCUAUAUUCCAAAUUGAUAGAGAUUGGUUAAAGAAAGGUGAUCACAAAAUUUGACUAUUGCUUUCAAAUGAGGAAUCACCAUCUUCAAAAUUUCACAUUUAAAAAAAAAAAAAAAAAAAAAACUAGCCUCGGGUAAGGUCCAAGCCUUAUUGUUUUAAGCUGAUGUCGGGUUGGUUUAAUAAUGAACAGAGUAAAUCCCAACCCAUGACCAUCUACGCAUUUCCAAAUUCCACCCAUCCACAACCCAUUAAUAUGACAUUUUCAGGGACAAAAUUUAAUCAAUUAAACCUAUUAGAUGGAUUCUCCAUACAAUGUUAAAAUGAAUAUAAAAACUUUAAUUCAAAAAAUAAUUUCCUUUAUUUAGUUAGGAUUCAAAUUAUAGGGGCACAAAACAUGAAAAUUUUCAUGUUUAAAAUUCACAAAGAUCACAAAAGCUCUUUGAAGCUCUAUGGACUUUUUUAUUUCUAACAUUUAAACACAAAAAUCACCAAAUUGAAUUAGAAACUUGGAUGCAUAUUCUUAUAUUAAAGACAUGUAAGCUUACAUAUUUAAAUAUGAAGAUCUCAACUUGUAAUUACAUGCUUCUAAUUAAAGUUAUAUUACUCUAUUUUACAGGAUUUAAAGGGUUAUCAAGUUUAAAGAAAUUGGAGAUCUUGGACAUAAGUGGUAAUGAGUUUGACAAAAGUGCCUUAAAAUCUUUGGGCACAAUAACAUCACUCAAGACAUUGGCUAUUUGCAGCAUGGGACUGAAUGGAUCUUUUUCCAUUCGAGGCAUGUUAUAUGUCCACAUUGUUUCUUUGAAAUUAAGUAAAAUGUAUUUCUAACUUUUAAUGUUCCUUAGUUAAUCUCUCUUUUGAUUCAUGUUUGUUGCAGAAUUAGCUAGUUUGAGAAAUUUGGAAGUGUUGGAUCUAAGCUAUAAUGAUUUGGAAAGCUUUCAACUAUUGCAAGGUACUUCAUUAACUUGCUAAAAAAACUUAUGAUAUUUUGUUAUUAAAUUAAAGGUAAGAUUAACAAACAAUUUCUUCCCAUUAGUUACUUUUCUUUGUAAUAUCAUUAAAUUUGAUAUAAAAUAGUCUAAAUCAUCCUUUCAAUUUAUAAGUUUUAAUUAAAACGCAUCAAGCAUGCACAAGGUGUUUAAUAUAACUAAUAUUUUCAUAAGUAAUUGAAUUUUUUUUAUGAAUUAAUUAACUUGAUUAUCAAUAAAUACUUACAUGUAUAAGAUUAAUAUAGUUUCAUAAGUAUUUUAAAAUUGUCUUACAACACACACACACACACACAGAGGGAAAAUGAAAGGUAUGUGAUACAUUUAUGCUAUGUUUGGUUCCCAAAAAAAUUGAGGGAAAAUGAAAGGAGAAAAAAGUGGAGAGGAAAAGUAAAAGAAAAGAAAAAAAGUGAAGAAAAAUAUAAAAUUGAUUAAAGUAAAUACAUGUUACUUUAAACUUUUUUACUUAUUUUAAUUCUUCAAUGUAAGGAUGAAAGAUUUGAAAAUGCAUAAGUUUCUAAUUUUUUUAUUUUAUUUUAUAGUUUUUACAAUACAACCAAACAUACUAAAAUCAUUUUCUUUAAUUUUUUUUUCUUUUCUUAAUACUUUUCACGAACCCUUAAGUUAUGUUUGGUUUGCAGAAAAUAUGAGGAAUAGCAAAUAGAAAAGAAAAUUAGAAGGAAAGAAAAAAUGAAGUAAAAUAAAAAUAAAUUUAAAUUUAAUAAAUUAUUUUUAUAUGCUACUUUAAGCUUAUUUCACUUAUUUUAAAUUAUUUAAACUCAUUUCUAAUAAAUAAUAAUGGAAAUUGUAGAGAAGUUUGUGUUAUUCAAGCUUUGCAAUGACUUUUCAAGGUGAAGGAAAAUAUUCUUGCUGAAAUUGAAAAAGGAAAUACCUUCUUAAAUAGCCUAUUGACCGAAAACACAUUACCCUAACAUAUACACACACCUUUAUUAUUUAUACAAUCAUGUAAUACUUAAUCCAGUUAGUGGGAUUCUAGUGGUUGUUUCUAUCUUGGUUUCCAAUAUUUCUGAUUGAUAGUGUUCGAUUAAUGAAAUAUCAUAAAUUUUGACCCCAAUAAGGACCAAUCCCUAUUAAAUGUAAUUGGGUUAACCUAAGACUAAAUGCUAGACCCAACUAAUAAAAACCCAUCUGUUUGUUGGAGUCUAAAUAACCUGGCCUUAGGUAGAGCCCAUGCCUUAUUAUUUUAAGAUGUAGUCCAACUGGUUUAACACUAGAUUGAGUAAAGCCCAACUUAUGAGCAUCUGUGCAUUUCCAUCCAUCCACAACCUACUGGCAUGGAUAAACUUUGGUCAAUUAAACCUAUUAUAACUGUAUACAAAAUUUUAAGUUCAAAAGAUAAUUUUCCUUAUUUAGUUAGGAUUCAUAUUAAAAAGGCACAAAACAUGAAUUUUCAUGUUUAAAUUCACAAAUACCACGAAAGCUCCUUCAAGCUCUAUGGACCAUUUUAUUUGUAACAUUAUAUUACUCUUAAUUAUCAAAUUAACCAACAAAUUCUUCUCAUUACUUAUCUUUCUUUUGUAAUGUCAUAAAAUUUGAUGUAAAGUAGUAUUGGUCAUCAUUUCAACUUUCAGGUUCCAAUUAGAUGCAUCAAGCAUGUGCAACAUAUUUGAUAUAACUAAUAUUUUUAUAAGUAAUUGAAUUUUUUUUUUCUAUAAAUCAAUUAACUUGAUUAUCAAUGAAUACUUUCAUACAUGAUAUUGAUGUAGUUUCAUAAAUAUUUUAAAAUAGUCAUAGAAGUCUUUUAUCUGAUUCACUAGAAAGAAAAAUAAACUAUUCUAAUGAAAAUACUUGAUGAUUUGAAGUGAUUGCUUUUGAUUUUAUUUGAUUGCUACCAUUAUUAAUUGUUAGAAAUUGGCAACAAAUACCCAUUUUGCAUCACUUCUAUAUGCAUCGGGGGAAUGAAUUAUAUUUCAUAGAGCUAACAGGGCAAAACUCAAACUUUUGGAAUUAUGGAAAAUGUUGCUAGAAAGCUAAUUAACCAUUUAUAUUAUGAUUAAGACUAGUUGGGUUAGAAAUAAUUCAUAUGGAGAUUAAAAAAAACUAUGUAAUUUAGUUUAGUAGCUUGGGUGCUAUUGUAAUGAUUAAUGAUCUGCAACUUGAACACAUCUACUAGUGCUUUCUACUUGUAUAGCUAAAUUUAUGUUACCACUUUGAACUAGAGUACUUACAUGAGAAGAAAGCUUUUCCCUAGUGAUAAUGCAAAAGAAAUUAAGUAUCAAUUUUUGUUAAAAAUAACAAGUGAUAGUUUAGAUAUGGUUUGAAUACACUUUCUUUCUUCUAUUUUUUUAUUUUGAAAAAAAAAACUCUUUAAUGAAAUAUAAGAAAUCUUAUAUGUAUAAAAAUUAAAGACUUAAACAAAAAAAUUUGAAAUUUUGAAAAUUUUCGAGAAGUAUUUUUAAGAAUUUGUAUUUUUAGUAUAAUAAUUCCUAUAUUUUGUAUAAAAGUUUUUGUUUAAAAAAAUAGAAGUGUAUCCAAAUUACAAAUUAAUUGUUAAAUUAAGAAUGUUUCUCAGAUCAAGAGAUAAUGAAAGUUGUAGAGAGUUUGCAUUACUCAACCUUUGCAAUUACUUUUUGAAGGUAAAAAAAAAAUACCUUCCUACAUAACAUACAAUGGUAGGUUCUGGUUUGUAAGAAACUAAUAAAUGAUUAAGAAUAUGAAUAAGACUUCCUUUAUAAUAGAUAUGUAGAGAAGAAUAGUGGAUGAUAGGUGGUGAAAAUCUUGUAAUAAAAUAUCAAUAUCGGUUAUAAGAUAAUCAACAUUUUCUCUAUUUCUUGUACCUAUGUGAUUAAGAAUCUUGUAGCUCCCUUAUUGAAAUAUAAUAUAAAAAUAUAAAUAAACUAUUUAGAAGUGCAUGUAGUUUUCAACAUGAGGAAGUUCAAAAGCAAGUUAAUUAUGAUAAUUUUCCAUAGUCUAUAUUGAACACAAAUUAUUUUUACUAAAGGUUCAAUCGUUCUAUGAAGGUUAAAAGUUUGAAUUGUUUACAUAUGCAAAUGUGAAAUUUGAAAGUUUAUAAUUUUUUAUAAUUUUCUUGUAGAUUCAAAAAGCUUGUCCAUAUUCAAAAAGCUCGAGACCUUGAACCUCAAUUACAACAAGUUCAAAAACACUAGCCUACAACAAUUGGAUAUAUUUACAUCCCUUAAAAAUCUUUCUCUAAGAUGGAACAAUGUUGGAGGAUUUUUUCCUAUCCAAGGUAUGUGUAAUUAUUAUUAUUAUUAUUUUUAAUGAUGAAAUAUUAGAAUUGUCAACAUCUUUUAUCUUUUUUUCCCCUCAAUGGUGUUGCAGAAUUAUGCACUCUGGAAAACUUGGUGAUGUUAGACCUAAGUGGGAAUUUCUUUUUUGGCAUGCAAGGUAAAUACAAAGUGAAGUUUUGGUUAUAUAUAUAUAUAUAUAUAUAUAUAUAUAUAUCAUGUAAGAACAUAACUAAAAUCAACAUUAUUUGCCUAUCAAUUUGUGCAUGACUAUUAUUUAGUUAUUCUUCGUAACAUAAUUGAAAGAAUGUCUAGGUGUACAACAUUUAAGAAUUUUACAUGGCACAAUGAAAAACAUGGUAAUCAAUGUGUGCAAUAAAAUUCUAAUAGUUGAAAAAGAAUUUUCUUGUAAUUUUAUGUUCAUGUAUAGUAAUCAAAGAGAAAAUCAUGAAAAUGUAUAUUAGUUAGACUUUAUAUAUCAAUAGACAAAAAAGAAAGAAAAAAAAAGAUUAGUUCCUUAACUUAUCCUAAAAUUUUCUAGAUAACAAGGAGUUUUUUUAUUUUGGGCUAUAAGGUUUACAACCUGAAAAGUGAAGAUGAUUAAUAUUAGUAAUAAAAUUUUAAAAUAUAAAAAUUAGUGAAAUAAUGUUCUCUAUAACUAUAACUCCAACUGCAACUAUUAAUAAAAGAUAAUAAAGGUACUUUAGACUUUGAAUCCAUGGUUAGGUUUGCAAUUUUUUGAUGAUCAAUAAAGCUACAACUUAUGCUGCAAAAGGCUAUACAAAAUGUAUUAGGAGCAUUGCUAAGCUCAUUUAUCAAUAAAGGAAAUCCAGUAAUACUUUGAUUGGAAAAAACCUAGAAUCAUGUUUGAUAUAUAAUAGGUGAAGAAACAAAAUAACAAUUCCAUGGUAUUAGUUAGUUUGAUAUCUCUUUUGUUAUAUGGAAUAACUAUUCCAUUUUAAAAUAAUUAUUUCAUCUUAUCGCUAGAACAAAAAAUUUCAGGCGAUUAUAUGGGCUUUUGGGUUUCUUAAGAAUUUAAGCAUUUAUGGGUCACCCAUAUAUAUAUAGGAAGAAUAAAAAAAAAAAUAUUCUAUGGAGACAAGGGUAGACACCCAUAAAUGUACAUAUAAUUAUUUAAAUAAAAAUAUCAAUAAGAAACAAUAUACAACAAAAUAGAAAAUUUUAAUCUUCCUAAAUUUUAAAAAUAGAAAAUAAAUGAAAAAAAAUUAAAAAGUAAAAAAAAAAAAAAAAAAAGGUCAAGAAUACAAAUAGAUAAGUAAACAAAAUAUAAAAAAAAUACAUAAAUUAAAAUUAAAAUUUUUUUAAAAAAAAUACAUAGAUUAAUAUGAACACUAAAUGAGGUUUUUUGAGAUAGACUUAGUUAGACUUGAACUAGAUGGAUAUUAAAAAAAAUAAAAAUAAAAAUUCAAAGAAAUAAAAACUAAUUAGAUGCUAAAUAUUGGAUUAAAAUAACCAAAUGAAUAAAGAGUAAUUAUUAAUUUUUAACAUUUUUUAUUCCUUAGAAUUAUUAUUUUGUGUAUUAAAUGUAUUAUGAGUGUAGUGGUAUAAAAAAUGUAGUUAAGAAUACUAUGAAGAAUAAUAAUGGUGAUGAUAAUGGUGACGACACUUAAUACCUUUUAUUGUACAUUUAGAAAAAAUGAGGUUCUUGAUCUUUAUGAAGAUUAUCAUUACUCAUCCGCAAGCAUGUUGAUAGUUGAAACUACUCAAUUAUCAAAAAUUGAAUUUCUAACCUUCAAUUUUUCUCUCUCAAAUGUAUAUGUGGGUGAGAAAGCACUAGGUAGGUUAUAAGGUCUCACAUGUAUAUGAGUCAUAGGAUAAAAAAUAUAGAGACAAUACUAGCAUUUAUUUGAUCCAGUGGCAAAUAGAGAAAUAUAACAUAACCAUAACCAUAAUGUUCUAACCUUAUAUAUACCAGAACCAUGUUUCCUUCAUUCAAUUUUGCAACUUUUUCUUUUCAAAUUAGAAUGUAACUCGUAGGAUCCAUUGUCCAUCAAAAUUUUGAAUCGAAUAUUAUAAGAUAUUUCACAUUUCUACCUACUAAAGCAUGAGCUUCAAUGUUCUCAUGCACUUUUGGCUACUAAGUUAAAGAACUCUUUGAGGGUUAAUGGAGUUUCUAUGAGUAGCAAAGCAUUAUAAUCACAAAGUCUUAUCAGUGAUAUGCAAUUUAACCAAGAACUUAUUCCCAACUAUUUUAUGACUUUUCUUGGCUACUUGUAGGCAAGCUAAAGAAAUUUUCUGGUUUGUUCAAGUCUAAAAAGUGGUUUCAAGUUUAGGGCCAAGCUUGGGCUGCACCUAGGUCCUUGGGCCUUAUUCAGCUCCACGUUUAAACCAACCUUGAGUCCAUCUUUGUAAUUUUUCUCCCAAUUCAUUGAUUUAUAUUAGGAUUUUAUAAAGCCUAUAAAUUGACCAACUAAAUAAAGUAGGUUCAUAAACUUUUAGGUGAAAAUUUUCUCUCUAAUAAAUGUUAAUUCAAGAGUCUCCGUAAUCUUUUUAUAUUCAUAUUAAUUGGUAUUUAAACUGACCUUACUAUAUUAAAGUCAAAUACCAAAUAGUGAACACUAUAUCUGCUACUACCACUAUGAUGGUCACAAACAUAGAAUGCUCCUUUUUUUAGAGUCAAUUGAUGCUUAUAAACAACAACUUUGUUUGAAAAUAAAAUACAUCGAGUGAUUGCAUCAAGAGAUUGAUGUAAUAAUUGCAUACUUGAUCUUGAUAAUGCUGAGUUGACUAAAUAAAUGAGUAUUUACUUAUAAGGUAGCCCAUAGAACAUUAUUUGUGGAAAUAUUCAUGCACCUCUACAUAUGUUCAUGAUAACUUAGGUUGAUAAAUUUAAGAAGAACAAAUUCAUAACCUUGGGCAUAGUUAGUAAGAAAUUUCACCAAUAGAGUUUGGUAUCAUGAUUCUAAUUGUUCAAAUUGUUUUAAAGGAGUAUUUUAAAUUGCAUGUUAAUUUGCUUCUAAUAAAUGGAGAGAAACCAAUUCAAGAAGAGAAUUGUACUCAAGCUAUGUAUAACAUUCAUGAAGAUGUAGAAAAUAUUGAUGAACUUACUUUUGAGCAAGUUGAAAUCAUAAUUAAAUAAAAGAACAAACCCAAGGGUUAAGAUUGUCAAGUAAAACUUUAACUAAAAUUUAUUGAUUUUUUAAAUGCCUAUUAGAGGGACAAUAGAAGUUCUAGAUAAAAAGUAAGAACUUUUCUAAGGAAUCACUUGUUAGAUUUUAAGUGAUCAAUAAAUAUAAUGUCCAAUUUAAAACUUUUAUAAAAGCAAUGCUUCUAAAGAAUAACUUGAUUUGAAUUUAAAGUUAUUAUUGAUAUUUGUUUAUAAUGGAUGUAGUUAAUCAACUGAACAUAGUAAAAAACACAUAAAUUUUUCAAAAUACCUUCUAGUUGUUGGGUAUAUUUAAAUAGUCAUCCAUAUCUCAUUAUCUUUUCACUCACAUACUAAUCUCCUUAUUGAGUAUUUACCAAUUACAAGUAGGUUGAAAGUUACUUGAAUUUAAGUCACUAAUCAAUGUUAACUUGAUAACAAAUAAGUCUCUCUUUGAAACUUGUUUUACAAGAUAGCGAAAUGUAGUCGAUCAAUCAUCAAAACAAUGUUCAAGCAUUAGGAUUUAGUUGUUAAUUUUUAUUUUUAUUUUUUGUGCUUAAACAAAGACAAAAAUGAUAAAAACUCCUUAAAAGUACAUAGUAAUUGAAUUUAAUUUAUACAUCAAACAAGAACAAACUAGUCUUGGAUUUAAAAUUCAUCAGGUUUUGUAAUUAUAAUUCCUAAAAAUUUGUAAGACAACAAAAUUAUUGGGCACUAGGUUAUUGGGUGUGUAUGACUAAGAGGUGAAGGAGGGUUCAUCUUAUACAAAGGAUGAUUUGAUUAAUUUUAAAGAUUGGAUAAACAAUAAUUGCAUAUUCAAGUAAAAAUAACAUUGCUAAAAAGGAAAAUAAGUAUUUUAGUCCUCAAACCUAAAAUGGCUAAAAAUUUUAAUUAAUACAAUACAACUUCACCUACAAAAGAAAAAAAAAACCCAAAACUUUUCAAUAGCACAACUAAGUCCAUUUAUCAAAAAAAAGAAAUAUAAGGAAGUUGGACUCAUUUACUAGCAAUUUAACAUAUGACUAAAACCUAUUGAAGAAUUUGCAAUAGCACUUACUUUGGUCAUGUCCAAACUUAUUGCACAUGGUGCAAAAAGGGGUAGUGCUCGAGGAUGCUUCCACAUAAGAAAGACCCUACUUAACUGUUACAAAGGUUAUUUUCCCACUUGUGGGAAUGCUAACCUUGCUAAUAUAUUAUAUGCCAUGUUUAUCAUAUACAAAUUUUUCUUUACUAAAUAUUUCUUUAAUGAUCUUGGACCUAAAAUUAAAUAUUUCAUUAGUAUUGGUCAUGUCGUUCCUCAACUUUUCAACUUUUAGAGUUAAAUCUUUAUCUUUAUCAUUGAUAGUUUUAUGUUUAGUCCCUAGAAACUUCACCUUAUUAACAAUAUGUUCAUUUAAUAUUUUGAUAUUUUUAAUUUUCAAAGAAUCAUAGAGCUCAUUAAUUUUAAUGUCUUUUUAUUCACUUUUAUGCUUUCAACCUUUGUUUUUAGUUUUCCUAUAAUAAUGCAUCAUAGACCCCAUGUAUAUCAUUAAAAUAAAACUCAUUUUUUUCAUUAGGAUUCAAUUAACCCAAUGGAUCAUAAUCAAAAUUAGUUGCAUAUGAACAAAAGCAAUAAGAUUAUCAUUUUGUACAUCUUUACUUUCAUUUGAGUUCUUAGCCCUACAAUCAUCAAACAUGGAAUUACUCCAAGUUACCUACAUAGCCUUCAUACCUAAUGUUUUUAAGGCAAGGACAAUCAACAACCAUGUGUCCCAUUCCCCCAAUGGUUCACUACGAAAUCAAGGUACAUAUGUUAUGCUUUCUUUGUUUCAUAGUGAUUAGAGAGGAUAAACAUUGUAAAAAAAAAAGUUGUCAUAGUUAAUGUAAGCUAAAACUAAAAAACUUGCUUUUUCAAUUGUGUAAGCAUGUUUUGUUCUUGAUGAAUAUUUACAACAUUCAGAGUUACUAAUGUUUAUAAUUCACAGAGACCUCAUUAACAACAAGUAACAACUAAUUGUAAGUAACCAUGAAAAAAAAAUAAGGAGAAAAAUAAAGGAAAAUCAAGGAAAGUGUCAAAUUUUUUCAUCCCCAUAAAAAAUGCUAAGGAAGAAAAAUGUGAAGAAAGUUUAAAGAAAGUAUAUUUUUCAAAAAUUGAAUUUUCUUUCCCUUAAAGUUGGUAUGGACAACCAAACAAGAAAAUGAUUUUUAAAUUCUUUUUUGACCUUUUUCUAUCAUUCUUUUUUUUUUCCCCCUACUCUAUUUCCUUUCCCUCAAACUUUCUAGGUAGUAAACAUUACCUAAGAUAAAUAGGGAAGAAAAUAUUUUAUCAUUUAUUUAUUUAGUAUUUUUCUUACCUUUUUUUGUAUUUUAUCCAAAUAUAAGAAAACUACUUUUCUUUAUUUUUUCUUUUCCUUGUUGCUUUUCAAGAAUCAAGCAUACUUUAAACUCUAAUUAAGAGUUACAUAGAUUUACAGAGAAACAAUGCAACUAGUAACAAAAAAUUAAGGAAAUUUAAUUUUUUAAUUUUUGAGAGUAAGUAUAAUAAGAUUGGUUUGUUUGAUACAAAAUUUGAAUAAAAAUUAUUUUAAUGAAAAUUCAAGGAAAGGAAAAAAAAAAAAAAAAACUUGAUCUCUAGACUAUAAUACUAAAUCAAUUAAAAAAUCUCCUAACAUCGUUUAUGUUCAUCUUUUUUUUUUUAUGGAUUUGAAAAACCCAAUAAUUUGGAGAAAACUGAUUCAAGGAAGAAUAAUUUUUAGAAUAAAAUAUUAUUAUUUAAGAAGAUCAUAAAUUUUAUAGUCAUUGUUGAAAAUGAUAAAUGAUUAAAAAAAAAAAGGUAGUUGGAAAUUUAGAUACUUUUAUAAGACAAAUGCAUUUUUCUAGUCUGGUAUGAAAAAAGGUAAAAUGAUAGGCUUUGAUCAUUUUUCAAGUUAGUUUGUUUAAAUCAUUUUAAUUUAUUUUGAUUUAAGAACAAUAACUUUUAUUACACUAGUUAUUUUGAUUUUCUUUUGAUAGAUUUUGCAAGCUUAAGCAAUUUGGAGCUAUUGGAUUUGAGUUAUAAUUUAUUUAGUGGGAGCAUUCCAUCAUCUAUAAGAUUGAUGUCUUCUAUCAAGUCUUUAUCCUUGGCUGAAAAUUACCUCAAUGGUUUCUUAGCAAAUCAAGGUACAUAUAUUGUGAUUACAGGUUUUUCUAUUUUCUUUUUUAAUAUCUUGUUUGUUCUUUAUGCCAAUUAAGUCAUGCAUGUCUAUUAAUUUUUGGUAUUUAAUGAAAAACUUUAUUCUUAAUUCAUAAAGACCUCAUCAACUAUAAGUAACAGUUAGUUCUAAGUUUGGGGGCAUUGACAAGACGAGGAGAUGAUUGGUUACAUGUCUUAUUCUCUUUUGUUGGCUUUUGCCAAUUGAAUAAGUUUCAAGAAUUAGAUUUUUCUUACAACUUAUUCCAAGGAAUCCUUCCUCCAUGUUUGAAUAAUUUGACAUCUUUGAGGUUAUUGGAUCUCUCUUCCAACCUAUUCUCCGGAAAUCUUUCUUCCCCUCUGUUACCUAAUCUCACAUCCCUGGAGUACAUCGAUCUCAGUUACAAUCAUUUUGAGGGUUCAUUCUCUUUCAGCUCUUUUGCUAAUCACUCCAACUUUCAAGUGGUCAAACUUGGAAGGAAUAACAACAAAUUUGAGGUAGAAACUGAAUAUCCAGUUGAUUGGGUUCCCCUAUUUCAGUUGAAAGCUCUUAUGCUAUCCAACUGUAAGCUCAUCGAUGACCUUCCUGGUUUUCUUCGACACCAAUUAAGAUUAACCGUGGUUGAUCUCUCCCAUAAUAACUUGACUGGAAGUUUCCCCAUUCAGCAGCUUGAAAACAAUACAAGACUAGGAUCUCUAGUUUUGAGGAAUAACUCUUUAAUGGGUCAACUACUUCCCCUGAGACCUAAUAGUCGUAUCACUUUAUUGGAUAUCUCAGACAACCGACUUCAUGGGGAACUUCAACAAAAUGUGGCCAAUAUGAUUCCAAAUAUUGAGUUUCUAAAUUUAUCCAACAAUCUUCCCCUUCAUUUCAUCCAUAUUUGGAUCUACCUUUAAAUCUCUAUUGCAUACAACCCAUAUAUGAUUCCCUCUAAAUUUAGCCUUCAUUUCUUGUUAAGAGGUUUUAAAAGCCAGCAAUUUAAUUUACUUUCAUCCUCUAUAUAGAUGAGAACUCUUAUAUUUAUCCAAUGAUAGGUAACAUUUUUGCAAAUGCUUUUAUUUGAUUUUUUUAAUUGGUCUUAAAAAUAAGUGUUAAUAAAGAUCCACAAUAUAAAAUAAUAAAUUAUAUCUCAAUUGACCUCAAGAUACUAUUUACUUCUACUAACUCAUUUUACAUCUCAAUUGUUCUUAAAAAGUCUAUAAUGGUAAUUAACUAUAGAAUUCAAGUUUUAAUUAUGCAAAAAAUAUAUAAAGGUUUUUAAAAUUAAUAGAAAAAAAGAUUCUAAUAAAUAAUAAGUAGAUUGAAACAUUUAUUUCUAGAAGUAGAGAAAGAUGGAGGAUCAUAAAAGUUGAAAAAAGAAUAAUUUGGAAGUCAUAAAAUUUUGGAAAAAGAAUAAUUCAUAGAGACCUCAUUAACAACAAGUAACAACUAAUUGUAAGUAACCAUGAAAAAAGUAAGGAGAAAAAUAAGGGAAAAGCAAGGAAAGUAGCAAAUUUUUUCAUCCCCAUAAAAAAAUGAUAAGGAAGAAAAAAGUGAAGAAAGUUUAAAGAAAGCAUAUUCUUCAAAAAUUGAAUUUUCUUUCCCUUAAAAUUGGUAUGGACAACCAAACAAGAAAAUGAUUUUUAAAUUCUUUUUUGACCUUUUUCUAUCAUUCUUUUUUUUCCCCCUACUCUAUUUCCUUUCCCUCAAACUUUCUAGGUAGUAAACAUUACCUAAGAUAAAUAGGGAAGAAAAUAUUUUAUCAUUUAUUUAUUUAGUAUUUUUCUUACCUUUUUUGUAUUUUAUCCAAAUAUAAGAAAACUAUUUUUCUUUAUUUUUUCUUUUCCUUGUUGCUUUUCAAGAAUCAAGCAUGCUUUAAACUCUAAUUAAGAGUUACAUGGAUUUACGGAGAAACAAUGCAACUGGUAACAAAAAAUUAAGGAAAUUUAAUUUUUGAGAGUAAGUAUAAUGAGAUUGGUUUGUUUGAUACAAAAUUUAAAUAAAAAUUCUUUCAAUGAAAAUUCAAGGAAAGGAAAAAAAAACAAAUUUAUCUCUAGACUAUAAUACUAAAUCACUUAAAAAAAACUCCUAACAUCGUUUAUGUUCAUCUUUCUUUUUAUGGAUUUGAAAAACCCAAUAAUUUGGAGAAAACUGAUUCAAGGAAGAAUAAUUUUUAGAAUAAAAGAUUAUUAUUUAAGAAGAUCAUAAAUAUUAUAGUCAUUGUUGAAUAUGAUAAAUGAUUAAAAAAAAAAAAGGUAGUUGGAAAUUUAGAUACUUUUAUAAGACAAAUGCAUUUUUCUAGUAUGGUAUGAAAAAAAGGUAAAAUGAUAGGCUUUGAUCAUUUUUUAAGGUAGUUUGUUUAAAUCAUUUUAAUUUAUUUUGAUUUAAUAACAAUAACUUUUAUUACACUAGUUAUUUUGAUUUUCUUUUGAUAGAUUUUGCAAGCUUAAGAAAUUUGGAGGUAUUGGAUUUGAGUUAUAAUUCAUUUAGUGGGAUCGUUCCAUCGUCUAUAAGAUUGUUGUCUUCUCUCAAGUCUUUAUCUCUGGCUGGAAAUCACCUCAAUGGUUCCUUAGCAAAUCAAGGUACAUAUAUUGUGAUUACAGGUUUUUCUAUUUUCUUUUUUAAUAUCUUGUUUGUUCUUUAUGCCAAUGAAGUCAUGCAUGUCUAUUAAUUUUUGGUAUUUAAUAAAAAACUUUAUUCUUAAUUCAUGAAGACCUCAUCAACUGUAAGUAACAACUAGUUGUAAAUUUGGGGGCAUUGAUAAGACGAGGAGAUGAUUGGUUACAUGUCUUAUUCUCUUUUGUAAGCUUCUGCCAAUUGAAUAAGCUUCAAGAGUUAGAUUUUUCUUACAACUUAUUCCAAGGGAUCCUUCCUCCAUGUUUGAAUAAUUUGACAUCUUUGAGGUUAUUGGAUCUCUCUUCCAACCUAUUCUCCGAAAAUCUUUUUUCCCCUCUGUUACCUAAUCUCACAUCCCUGGAGUACAUCGAUCUCAGUUACAAUCAUUUUGAGGGUUCAUUCUCUUUCAGCUCUUUUACUAAUCACUCCAACCUUCAAGUGGUCAAACUUGGAAGGAAUAACAACAAAUUUGAGGUAGAAACUGAAUAUCCAGUUGGUUGGGUUCCCCUGUUUCUGUUGAAAGCUCUUGUCCUAUCCAACUGUAAGCUCAUCGGUGAUCCUGGUUUCCUUCGACACCAAUUAAGAUUAACCGUGGUUGAUCUCUCCCAUAAUAAUUAGACUGGAAGUUUCCCCAUUUGGCUGCUUGAUAACAAUACAAGACUAGGAUCUCUAGUUCUGAGGAAUAACUCUUUAAUGGGUCAACUACUUCCCCUGAGACCUAAUAGUCGUAUCACUUUAUUGGAUAUCUCAGACAACCGACUUCAUGGGGAACUUCAACAAAAUGUGGCCAAUAUGAUUCCAAAUAUUGAGUUUCUAAAUUUAUCCAACAAUCAUCCCCUUCAUUUCAUCCAUAUUUGGAUCUACCUUUAAAUCUCUAUUGCAUACAACCCAUAUAUGAUUCCCUCUAAAUUUAGCCUUCAUUUCUUGCUAAGAGGUUUUAAAAGCCAGCAAUUUAAUUUACUUUCAUCCUCUAGAUUGAUGAGAACUCUUAUAUUUAUCCAAUGAUAGGUAACAUUUUUGCAAAUGCUUUUAUUUGAUUUUUUUAAUUGGUCUUAAAAAUAAGUGUUAAUAAAGAUCCACAAUAUAAAAUAAUAAAUUACAUCUCAAUUGACCUCAAGAUACUAUUUACUUCUACUAACUCAUUUUACAUCUUAAUUGUUCUUAAAAAGUCUAUAAUGGUAAUUAACUAUAGAAUUCAAGUUUUAAUUAUGCAAAAAAUAUAUAAAGGUUUUUAAAGUUAAUAGAAAAAGAGAUUCUGAUAAAUAAUAAGUAGAUUGAAACAUUUAUUUCUAGAAGUAGAGAAAGAUGGAGGAUCAUAAAAGUUGAAAAAAGAAUAAUUUGGAAGUCAUAAAAUUUUGGAAAAAGAAUAAUUCAUAGAGACCUCAUUAACAACAAGUAACAACUAAUUGUAAGUAACCAUGAAAAAAGUAAGGAGAAAAAUAAAGGAAAAUCAAGGAAAGUGACAAAUUUUUUCAUCCCCAUAAAAAAUGAUAAGGAAGAAAAAGGUGAAGAAAGUUUAAAGAAAGUAUAUUUUUCAAAAAUUGAAUUUUCUUUCCCUUAAAGUUGGUAUGGACAACCAAACAAGAAAAUGAUUUUUAAAUUCUUUUUUGACCUUUUUCUAUCAUUCUUUUUUUUUUCCUUACUCUAUUUCCUUUCCCUCAAACUUUCUAGGUAGUAAACAUUACCUAAGAUAAAUAGAGAAGAAAAUAUUUUAUCAUUUAUUUAUUUAGUAUUUUUUUUACCUUUUUUUGUAUUUUAUCCAAAUAUAAGAAAACUAUUUUUCUUUAUUUUUUCUUUUCCUUGUUGCUUUUCAAGAAUCAAGCAUACUUUAAACUUUAAUUAAGAGUUACAUAGAUUUACGGAGAAACAAUGCAACUGGUAACAAAAAAUUAAGGAAAUUUAAUUUUUGAGAGUAAGUAUAAUGAGAUUGGUUUGUUUGAUACAAAAUUUGAAUAAAAAUUCUUUCAAUGAAAAUUCAAGGAAAGGAAAAAAAACAAAUUUAUCUCUAGACUAUAAUACUAAAUCACUUAAAAAAAACUCCUAACAUCGUUUAUGUUCAUCUUUCUUUUUAUGGAUUUGAAAAACCCAAUAAUUUGGAGAAAACUGAUUCAAGGAAGAAUAAUUUUUAGAAUAAAAGAUUAUUAUUUAAGAAGAUCAUAAAUAUUAUAGUCAUUGUUGAAUAUGAUAAAUGAUUAAAAAAAAAAAAGGUAGUAGGAAAUUUGGAUACUUUUAUAAGACAAAUGCAUUUUUCUAGUAUGGUAUGAAAAAAAGGUAAAAUGAUAGGCUUUGAUCAUUUUUUAAGGUAGUUUGUUUAAAUCAUUUUAAUUUAUUUUGAUUUAAUAACAAUAACUUUUAUUACACUAGUUAUUUUGAUUUUCUUUUGAUAGAUUUUGCAAGCUUAAGCAAUUUGGAGGUAUUGGAUUUGAGUGGUAAUUCAUUUAGUGGGAUCGUUCCAUCGUCUAUAAGAUUGUUGUCUUCUCUCAAGUCUUUAUCUCUGGCUGGAAAUCACCUCAAUGGUUCCUUAGCAAAUCAAGGUACAUAUAUUGUGAUUACAGGUUUUUCUAUUUUCUUUUUUAAUAUCUUGUUUGUUCUUUAUGCCAAUGAAGUCAUGCAUGUCUAUUAAUUUUUGGUAUUUAAUAAAAAACUUUAUUCUUAAUUCAUGAAGACCUCAUCAACUGUAAGUAACAACUAGUUGUAAAUUUGGGGGCAUUGAUAAGACGAGGAGAUGAUUGGUUACAUGUCUUAUCACUACUACAAAAAUUGAAAUUAAUGACGCUUUAUUUUAUGACGCUUUCUAAAAGCGUCAUUAUUGAGGGUAUACAAUGACGCUUAUAAGAAGUGUCAUAGUUGUAUUAUUUAUCUUGAUACUGAUUAUAAGUGUCAUUAUUUGAUGUCAUCUUUUUCCUUGUAACUGUGUAUAUAAUGACGCUUAUAAGAAGCGUCAUAGUUUUAUUAUUUACCUUGACACUUAUUAUAAGCAUCAUUAUUUGAUGGGUAUGUAAUGACGUUCUUGAGAAGUGUCAUAGUUGUAUUGACUUUUAAAAUUUUUGUUUUUAAGUUAACUUAUACAAAUUUUGAUAUUAGAAUAUUAUUCUAUAAAUUAAUUAUGGUAAAUUGACAUUAAUAUUAAUGACAUAAAGUUGCUACAUUAAGGUUUUUUUAAAAAAAUUUGGAUAUAAAUAAAAUAAAAUCCUAAUAAAUUAUUUUUUUAUUGUUUGAUAUUAAUUUUUUUAUAGUUUGUAUCAAUACAAUCUAUUUUCAUAAACUAUUUUUCAUUUUUAUUAAAUUAGAAAUUAUCUUAUAUUUCAUUUAAAAAUAAUUUGUUAAUUUAUUUGUGGACCACAAAAAAGUGGCCUAUUUUGAGCACUUGUUCGAGCCUUGGGCCACAUUUAUUGGGUUUAACCCUUUUAUUUGAGAAGGUUUUAUAGUUAAUGAAUAUAAAUUUGAAAUUAUUUAACUAAAAUGAAAUAAAUUAAUAUUUAAAUUAAUUUAAUGAUGAUUAGACUCACAAUAAAACUAAAUGCAAUAAGAAUAUUUAUAAAAACUUUCUAAUAUUUAUGGGAAUUAAGCUCAUUCUAUUAAAUUAGUUUUUUUUUUAAAUAUCAAUAUUCAAAUUAAACCAAUAUCAACCUAAAAUAUCAAAUAAUUAAACAAUAUAAAUUUAUUAUGAGUUCAAUAUAUAAAAAUUAUUAUUGGAAGAUGAAAUAAAGAAUACUAUUUUAAUUUAUUGAAAAAGGACAUGCAUGAUAUUUUAGAAUUUGUUAUAAAGUCUCCAUUGAAAACCCUAACUUUUGGAAGACAAGAAAGAAGGGAGAGAGCCACCGUUUUUAGUGAGAAAGAAGAGAAGAGAGAAAAAUGCAAGUUUUUCUCAUCAGGCCCAGAUUUCAUCAAAGGUCUGAUCCCACUUUGUCCGUGGUCCGAUCGAGCUGAAAUUUGGAGGAGAGUUUCGUGACUCAUUUAUCUUCAAUCUGAACGGUGAAGAUCGGAUUUGGAGUUUCGGAAAGUCAUUAGAAAGAAAGAGGAGAAGAGAGAAAAACGUAGGUUUUUCUCAUCAUGCCCAGAUUUUAUCAAAUGUCCGAUCCCGCUUCGUCCGUGGUCCGAUCGAGUUGAAAUUUGAAGGAGAGGUUUGUGGCUCAUGUAUCUUCAAUAUGAACGGUGGAGAUCUGAUUUGGAGUUUCGGACAGUCAUUAGAGAGAAAGAGGAGAAGAGAGAAAAACUUAGGUUUUUCUCAUCGUGCCCAGAUUUCAUCAAAUGUCUGAUCCCGCUUCGUCCGUGGUCCGAUCGAGUUGAAAUUUGAAGGAGAGGUUCGUGGCUCAUGUAUAUUCAAUAUGAACGGUGGAGAUCGGAUUUGGAGUUUUGGACAGUCAUUAGAGAGAAAGAGGAGAAGAGAGAAAAACAGUGGUUUUUUUAUAUCAUGCCCAGAUUUCAUCAAAGGUUCAAUGCCGCUUUUUUCAUGGUCUGAUUGAGCUGAAAUUUGGAGGAGAGGUUCAUAAGUCAUUAAUCUUAAAUUUGAACGGUGAAGAUCGGAUUUAGAGUUUUGGAAAGUCAUCUUUCAGCCAAAAACAAAACCUUUAUUUUAUCAAAGAUGGCGCUUCCUGAAAGUGUCAUUGUUGCCUAAGACAUACAAUGACAGAGGCGAAGAGGACGCUUUAGAGAAGCGUCAUCUGUUACCUUUCUUGACGCUUAAAAAACGUCAUAGUUUCCCAUUUUUCUUGUAGUGUAUUCUCUUUUGUAAGCUUCUGCCAAUUGAAUAAGCUUCAAGAGUUAGAUCUUUCUUACAACUUAUUCCAAGGGAUCCUUCCUCCAUGUUUGAAUAAUUUGACAUCUUUGAGGUUAUUGGAUCUCUCUUCCAACCUAUUCUCCGAAAAUCUUUCUUCCCCUCUGUUACCUAAUCUCACAUCCCUGGAGUACAUCGAUCUCAGUUACAAUCAUUUUGAGGGUUCAUUCUCUUUCAGCUCUUUUACUAAUCACUCCAACCUUCAAGUGGUCAAACUUGGAAGGAAUAACAACAAGUUUGAGGUAGAAACUGAAUAUCCAGUUGGUUGGGUUCCCCUGUUUCUGUUGAAAGCUCUUAUCCUAUCCAACUGUAAGCUCAUCGGUGAUCCUGGUUUCCUUCGACACCAAUUAAGAUUAACCGUGGUUGAUCUCUCCCAUAAUAAUUAGACUGGAAGUUUCCCCAUUUGGCUGCUUGAUAACAAUACAAGACUAGGAUCUCUAGUUCUGAGGAAUAACUCUUUAAUGGGUCAACUACUUCCCCUGAGACCUAAUAGUCGUAUCACUUUAUUGGAUAUCUCAGACAACCGACUUCAUGGGGAACUUCAACAAAAUGUGGCCAAUAUGAUUCCAAAUAUUGAGUUUCUAAAUUUAUCCAACAAUGGUUUUGAAGGUAUUCUCCCAUCCUCAAUAGCCGAAAUGAGUUCCUUACAGUCAUUAUAUUUGUCUGCUAAUAGUUUCUCAGGGGAAGUACCAAAACAAUUGCUUGCGGCAAAAUAUUUGUGGCUUCUGAAAUUAUCAAAUUAUAAAUUUCAUGGCGAAAUAUUUUCAAGGGACUUUAACUUGACUCAGUUAGGGUUUUUGCAUUUGGACAAUAAUCAGUUCAAGGGAACACUGUCAAAUGUAAUCUCCAGAAUCUCUAGGUUAUGGGUGUUGGAUAGGUAACAUGACCGAUUUGACUACACUGGUGUUGGGCAACAAUAGUUUUAAAGGCAAAUUACCACCUGAGAUUUCUCAAUUGUUGGGGAUGAUAUUUCUUGACGUUUCUCAAAACGCUCUUUUAGGAUCUCUUCCUUCUUUGAAGAGCCUGGAGUAUUUAGAUACCCAGAGAUUGAUACCCAGAGAUUUUCUCAAUUCCUCAUAUCUAUUGACUUUGGAUAUCAGAGACAACAGGUUAUUUGGAAGUAUUCCCUAUUCAAUCUCUAGACUUUUAGAGCUAAGAGGAAACCUUUUAAGUGAUUUCAUUCCAUAUCAGCUUUGUCAUUUGACUAAAAUAAGCUUGAUGGAUAUUUCAAACAACAAUUUUUCUGGGUCAAUUCCCGGAUGCUUUGGUCAUAUCGGAUUUGGAGAUUUCAAAACUGAGCACAAUGUGUAUAUACCGAUGUUGGAUUCGUAUUCAGAAAGCAAUCCUUCUAUAUAUACGGGUUACUUAAUAAAAUAUUUAUUUUUCUCUAGUGAACUCCCUGAUGAAGUAGAUGAAGUUGAGUUUGUUACCAAGAAUAGGUAUAGCUCCUACAGAGUAGAUAAAAAUAUUUGUUGGGAAUUUAGAUAUUUUUAUAGGAAAGUAGACAAGUAUUCUAAUUUAUAAAAACAAUGCAUUUCUUUAGUUUGGUAUAAAAAAAAAUGAAACGAUAGGUAUUGGUAUUUUUUUUAAAGCAACAAACGUUUUAUUUUAUUUGUAUUUAAGAACAAUGUCUUUUCUUAUACUAGUUAUUUUAAUUUUCUUUUGACAGAUUUUGCAAGCUUAAGCAAUUUGGAGAUACUAGAUUUGAGUUCUAAUUCCUUAAGUGGGAUUAUUCCAUCAUCUAUAAGAUUGAUGUCUCAUCUCAAGUCUUUAUCCUUGGCCGGAAAUCAGCUCAAUGGUUCUUUACAAAAUCAAGGUACAUAUGUUAUGAUUUGUUUGUUUCAUAUGGAUUAGAGAAGAUGAAUAUUGUAAAAAAAAAGUUGUAGUUAAUGUAAGCUAGAAAUAAGUAUCUUGCCUUAUAAAUUAUAUGAGCAUGUGUUUGUUCUUAAUGAAUCUUUACAACAUUUAGAGUUACCAAUGUUUAUAAUUCAUAAAGACCUCAUUAACCGUGAGUAACAACUAAUUGUAAGUAAUUGUGGAAAAAGUAAGGAAAACAAAAUGAGGGAAAAGCAAGGAAUUAGGAAAUUAUUUUGUUCCCAUUAAAAAAUGCUAAGGAAGAAAAAGGUAAAAGAAAGUUUAAAAAAAGUGUAUUUUUCAAAAAUUUAUUUCUCUUUCCUUUAAUUUUGCUAUGGACAACCAAACAAGAAAAUUAUUUUAUAAUUCCUUUUUUAUUUUUUUCAUUCUCUCUCUCUUUUUUCCCCUACUCUAUUUCUUUUCCCUCAAACUUUCUUGGUAGUAAACACAACCUAAGAUAAAAUGGGGAAGAAAAUUUUCAGUUUUUUUUUUAUUUUUUUAGAAUGUUUUCUUACUUUUUAGUAUUUUAUGCAAAUAUAGGAAAAUUAUUUUUUUUUCUUUUUUUUUCUUGCUCCUUUUCGGACAUGAAUCACACUUUAAAAGAAAAUUAAUUUUUAAUUAGGAGUUAAGAUAAAUUUAAGGAGAAACAGUGAAUCACGAAUAACAAAAAAAUAAGGAAAUUGAAUUUUUGAAAGUAAGUAUAAUCAAAUUGCUUCAUUUGAUACAAAAUUUGAAUAAAAAUUCUUUCAAGGAAAGGAAAAAACAUUUUUGUCUCUAGAUUAUAAUACUAAAUCAUGUAAAAAAUCUCUUAACAUCAUUUAUAUUCAUAUUUAUUUUUGUAGAUUUGAAAAAUUCAACAAUUUGGAAUAAACUUAUUCAAUGAAUAAUAAUUUUUAGAUUUAAAGAUUAUUAUUUAAGAUCAUAAAUAUUACCAUGAUUGUUGAUGUCUAAGAAGAUCAUAUUCAACAAUUUUUUUAAUAUGUUGUUUUUUUAUGGUAAUUAAUUGAUGUCUUGUAAUUUUUAAUAUUUAAUGAAAAACAUUAUUUUAAUUCAUCUAGAGCUCUUAAUUCAUGAAGACCUCAUUAAUGGUGAGUAAUAGUUGGCUGUAAGUUUGGAGUCAAAGACAUGUCAAGGAGAUGAUUAGUUACAUGUCUUAUUCUCUUUUGUAGGUUUCUGUCAAUUGAAUAAGCUUCAAGAGUUAGAUCUUUCUUACAACUUAUUCCAAGGGAUCCUUCCUCCAUGUUUGAAUAAUUUGACAUCUCUAAGGUUAUUGGAUCUCUCUGUCAACCUAUUCUCCGGAAAUCUUUCUUCUCCUUUAUUACCUAAUCUCACAUCCCUGGAGUACAUCGAUCUCAGUUACAAUCAGUUUGAGGGUUCAUUCUCUUUCAGCUCUUUUGCUAAUCACUCAAAGCUUCAAAUGGUCAAACUUGGAAUGAAUAACAACAAAUUUGAGGUAGAAACUGAAUAUCCAAUUGGUUGGGUUCCCUUGUUUCAAUUGAAGGCUCUUUCGCUAGACAGCUGUAAGCUCACCGGCGACCUUCCUAGUUUUCUUCAAUACCAAUUCAGGUUAGUGGGGGUUGAUCUCUCACAUAAUAACUUGACAGGAAGUUUUCCCAAUUGGCUGCUUGAAAACAAUACGAGACUAAAAUCUCUAGUUCUGAGGAAUAACUCUUUAAUGGGUCAAUUACUUCCCUUGGAACGUAAUACCCGUAUCCAUUCAUUGGAUAUCUCACACAAUCAGUUGGAUGGACAACUUCAAGAAAAUGUGGCCCAUAUGAUUCCAAAUAUGAAAUAUCUAAAUUUAUCCGACAAUGGUUUUGAGGGUAUUCUCCCAUCCUCAAUAGUUGAACUAAGAGCCUUAUGGUAUUUGGAUUUGUCUACCAAUAAUUUCUCUGGAGAAGUACCAAAGCAAUUGCUUGCAGCAAAAGAUUUGGGGGUUUUGAAAUUAUCAAAUAAUAAAUUUCAUGGUGAAAUAUUUUCAAGGGACUUUAACUUGAUUAGGUUGGAAGUUUUGUAUUUGGGCAAUAAUCAGUUGACGGGAACUCUGUCAAAUGUAAUCUCUAAAAGCUCUUGGUUGGGGGUGUUGGAUGUGAGCAACAACUACAUGUCAGGUGAAAUUCCAAGCCAGAUAGGUAACAUGACCUAUUUGACUACACUGGUGUUGGGCAACAAUAGUUUUAAAGGCAAAUUACCACCCGAGAUUUCUCAAUUGUGGGGUUUGGAGUUUCUUGACGUUUCUCAAAAUGCUCUUUCAGGAUCUCUUCCUUGUUUGAAGACCAUGGAGAGUUUAAAGCAUCUACAUUUGCAAGGGAACAUGUUUACAGGAUUAAUACCCAGAGAUUUUCUCAAUUCCUCACAUUUAUUGACUUUGGAUAUGCGAGAUAACAGGUUAUUUGGAAGUAUUCCCAAUUCAAUCUCUGCACUUUUGAAGCAGCUAAGGAUUUUUUUGCUGGGAGGAAACCUUUUAAGUGGUUUUAUUCCAAAUCAUCUUUGUCAUUUGACUGAAAUAAGCUUGAUGGAUCUUUCAAACAACUCUUUUUCAGGGCCAAUUCCCAAAUGCUUUGGCCAUAUCCGAUUUGGGGAGAUGAAAAAGGAAGACAACGUGUUUGGACAGUUCAUUGAAAUUAGGUAUGGAAUGGAUUCUCAUCUUGUAUAUGCAGGUUACUUGGUGAAAUAUUGGGAGGACUUAAGUUCAGUAUAUAAGGGAAAAGAUGAAGUUGAGUUUGUGACCAAGAACAGGCGUGACUUCUACAGAGGUGGCAUCCUUGAAUUCAUGUCUGGAUUGGACUUAUCAUGUAACAACUUGACAGGCGAAAUACCUCAUGAACUUGGAAUGCUAAGUUGGAUUCGUGCAUUGAACUUGUCUCACAAUCAAUUGAAUGGCUCCAUUCCAAAGAGUUUCUCCGAUCUUUCUCAAAUAGAGAGCUUAGACCUUUCUUAUAAUAAAUUGGGUGGAGAAAUUCCUCUAGAGCUAGUUGAACUCAAUUUUUUAGCGGUGUUUAGUGUGGCUUACAACAACAUCUCUGGUAGAGUUCCAAAUGCCAAAGCACAAUUUGCAACAUUUGAUGAAAGCAGCUAUGAAGGUAAUCCUUUCCUUUGUGGGGAACUAUUAAAGAGGAAAUGCAACACAAGUAUUGAGUCACCAUGCGCACCAUCACAGUCUUUUGAAAGUGAGACAAAAUGGUAUGAUAUCAAUCAUGUUGUUUUCUUUGCAAGUUUUACUACUUCAUAUAUCAUGAUCUUGUUAGGAUUUGUUACCAUCCUUUACAUCAAUCCUUAUUGGCGUCAUAGAUGGUUCAAUUUUAUUGAGGAAUGUGUAUAUUCCUGCUAUUAUUUUGUUUUUGAUAGUCUUUCCAAGUUCUCAGCAUAUUUGUAUAAUUAGAUACUUUUAAUUGGAUGAUGUUUGCAUAAUUAACUACUAUUUGUUUCCAUGGGAUAAAAAGAAAUGGGAUUAUAAUUGCUAUGAGUUGAAACUUACAUACUUUGCUCAAAUUCUAACAUCUUUUGAUUUUAUUUUCAAGUUCCGUUAUUUAUUAUGUAUUGUUUAAUUCAAGAUUUAACCAUAUUAUGCUACUCUUAUAAAAACAAAUUCAAAUUUUUAGGAACUUAGCAUUAAAAUAAUUUCAUAGUCAGAUUUUUAAAAAUAAAGAAGAAAGAAAAUAAUAAAUAAUUAGAAAAACAAUUCAAGGGAGUAUUAAAUUAUUAUCUUAGAAUUGUUUGGCGUAGUAUGGGAAUUCAAAAAUAAUCUUUCAAUUUGUUAGAAAUGUUUAUUUAUUUAUUAUAGCAAUGAUUGAAAUAUCAAUCACAAAGUAAUGUUUUCUUUUCUUUUGUAGGGCACUAACAUUUUUUCUUUGAUUGUAAUAAUUGAUAAAUAUAUUACACAAUUAUUUGUUUUAAAGAGGGGAGGGAUGACAAACAUAAUAACAUGUGAAAUAUUUCUAAAACUGUGAUGGGAAAUAAACCAUCUAAUUAGGGUGCAAUAUUAUUCAUUUUAAUUUAUAUGAAUUUACUUAUUUUUAUUUCCAUCAUAUUUUGAACUAUUUUUUGAAAUUAAGGGAGAUUAAAACAUCAUGAAUUUCUUAGUUUAAUUUAUAUUUUUAAUAAUAAAGCAUGAAAUAUUUAAAAAAAAAAAAGAAAAUCAUGAAUUUCUUUAAUUCCUUAGGAAACCAAUAUAUAAAAAAAGUUGAAUAUAUUAUUAUUUUAUAUCCUAAAUUUCUAAAUUUGUUCAUCACGUAUUUAUUUUUAUAUUAAAUUUAUUAUCAAUAAUUAUUUAUUAUAUAUUAUUAUUUUAUAUUUAAAAAUGUUCAUAAAUAAUUAAAAUUAAUAAAUAUAAAAAAUGAAAUAUUAAAAAAUUAAAUUAAAAAGAUUUCAUCAAGCUAACAUAUUUUGAUAAAAAAAAAAAGAGUAAAAAAGAAGAUGGGGAUAUUAUAGAGGUGGGGAAAAAGAUAAAAGAAAAAUCAUGUGGUAUAAUAAUUGCCACGUGUUAAAGUUAUUUUCUUUAAAAAUUAAUUAUAGUAAUGAUGAACUCAUUUGUCUUAUCAAAGUAAAUAAAAAUAAAUAAAUAAAAGAAAAAAAGAAAAAGAAAAAAAGUGGUGGUUGAUUGGAGGUUAGAGAGGAGGGUUUGAAGGUAAAUUUGGAAUAUUGAUUAUUUUCACUAAGUAGAUAUUUUGAAAGUUAUUUUCAAUGUUUUAAAAACCGGACCGGCCGGUCCGACCGGUCCAACCGUCGACCGGUCACCAUUCCGGUCCGAUCCGGUCAUUUGGACCGGAUUGAGAUCGAACCGGAGUUGAACCGCUCGAACCAGCGGUUCAACCGCUGAACCGGACAAACCGAUCGGUUCCAAGGGAACCGGCCAAUUCAAAUAAUUUUAAUUUUAAAAAAAAAAUUACACAAUAAAAAUAUUACUGUGGGUAAGCUGCAAGCAUGAAAGGUAGGAUUCCAUGUUGGGCCUGUCUUGUGACAAGCCCACACACCCACUCCAAUUACCCUGGGCCUCUUUUUUGAGCCCACAAGAUCAUGCCAAGGCUUUGCUGAGGAUGGCUUUUAUAGGAGUCAUUUGACUCCUUGUUCCUCUCAUAUUCCGAUGUGGGAUUGCAUUUUAUCAAUGAAAAAAAACAUAACAAACAUAACAAAACUCCACCAACAGAAUUUGAACCUUGGACCAAUCUUUAACUCUAGUCCACCUAGGAAACCACUCGGCUACAUGUGUUUUAUCAUCUAAUGUGCCAAACAAAAUAAUAUAUAUUAGAUUUUAAAUUUUUUUAUAAUAUUAAAUAAAAAUAAUAUAAUAUUUUUAAAAAUUAUGAAAUUAGUUUAAAUUUUCAUUUUUUUUAUAUUCACAUUUAAAUAUUAUACAUAUUUCAUUUAAUAAAAUUUAAAAUAUUAAUAUGAUUUAAUUUGAUAAUAUCAAAGAUAUAAAAUAAUAUUAUUGAUGUUUAAUUUAUUCAUAUAUAUUUUAAAAUUUUUUAUAAUUAUUUUUAAUUUUAAUAAUAUAUAAAUUAUAUAUUUAUUACGUCACCGGUUCGAUAGCGGUUCGACCGCCGGUCCGACCAGUGAACCGUGAACCGGUAACUUUUCCAGUUCGAUCACCGGUCCGAUUCUGAAAACAUUGGUUAUUUUGCCUGAAACCCAUAUUGUUUGAAAAUAAAAAAUCAAAGUUUUAAAAAAAUACAAUUUUUUUGAAAUGAUGCAUGAUUAUAUCAUUCCCCUAAUAGAUUAUUUAUUCCUUUAAACUUUACUUCAAAUAAAAUAGUUUUAAUUAUUUUCUUUUUGGAAUUAUAUUUAACAUAUUAUUAAAAAUAUAAAAAACAUUUUAAUAAUAUUGUUAAUGAGUUUAUAUAUAUAUAUAUAUAUUGUAAAAUAAUUAAAUUUAAAAAUAUUUAAAUUUAGUUAUGGGCUGCCCAUUUCAAAAUAAUAAGAAUCUCGUAACCUAAUUUUUCCAAAUUCCAGGUAAAUAUGCUAAUCUAAAAAUAAAAAAUAAAAAUUAGGUUUUUAUGCUCUCCAAUCUACCACUUAAGCAUCCGACAUGGCUAAAAUAAAUUACAAAAAAAAAAAAAAAAAAAAAAGGAAAAAAAACAAAAGUGUGUGAUCCUCUUUCUCGAGUCUUCACAUUUUGAGACACUGAAACCAAAUCAAAAUUAAUCCUUCAAAUUAAUUUUCACCUCCAAACAUGGCUAUCCGAAAAACCCUAACGUCUGCCUCCUCUUCCUCUUAUCCCGGAAACCUAAAUUCCGUGACCCUAACCCCUUCUCUUUCCGAAAACCCUCCGGAAUCGGAAGAUUCAUAAUUCUUCAGAAUUAAUUUUCACCUCGAAGCCAAACCCUAACUGCCUCAUCUUCCUCUCAUUCAUAUCCCAAAAGUAGCUUCAACAGUCAGGCCUGUAGCCAUGAAAGCCGUAGUGAUCACUACUUCCGGUGAUCCCCAAGUUCUCCAAGUGCAAGAAGUCGAAAACCCUGAAAUUGGAGAUGAUGAAGUUCUAAGUAGAGUGGACGCCGCUGCCAUUAACCGAACAGAUACGCUCCAGAGGAAGGGCUUGCACCCUUCCUCAAAGGCGGCAGUCCCUACCCGGGUCUCGAAUGUUCUGGAAUCAUCGAAGCUGUUGGAAAAGCCGUCGUUCGAUGGAAGGUUGGCGAUCAGGUAUUUCAAUUGCCUAAUAUUUUGAUUUCGUUUCUGUUCCUCUGUUUUUCUCGGCUAUCAAACACUAGGAACGUGUAAAUAAGGAGGUUAGUUGAUUGCGAAAACGGGAAUUUUUUGUUCGUGUCUGUGUUAAGGAGUCUUUGUUGAGAAUUUUGGGGAAAUUUAUGAUAGGUUAAAUUAUUGAGCUUAUUGGUUUUCAAAUUUAUGGUUGUAAGAAAAUUGGUCAGUGUAAGGUUAUGGGUUCAUUACCAAUUUGCUUAGUGAAAAUUUUUCCACAUAUUGUGGACCGGUUUGGUAGCAGAAAUAAGAACUGUGUUUUGUUUUUCAAAACGGAAAUGGAUGCAGAAAACAUGUUUGGUAGCCUACUUUCAGAACUUGUUUCCGAAAAUAUUUCCUGAAAAUGAAUUAUUUCAGAACUUGUUUUUAAAAAAUUCAAACACUUUAUCAAUUUAAAAGGUUCUGAAAUGGACAUGUUCAUGGUCUUCAUUUUUUAAAAUUAAAGCUUUUAUGAAAAAACCAUUUUCCCUUCUACUAAACAAACAGGCUCUAUAUUGUAACAGAUCGAUUGGCCAUUUCCUUUGUCAUGUUUUGUGAAUCAUGGCAACACUGGAAUCCACUCCAUUACCAUCUGUUAGUGAUUAGAAGACAAAGCACCAAUUUUAAUGAUAUCCUUUAUGUGAUUUUGCUUCCUCCUGAGUACAAGUUCAUAAUAUACAUGGUACAUGGUGAAUCUGUAUGACAGUUCAUGGUAUACAGGUGUGUGCUCUUCUUUCUGGUGGAGGGCAUGCUGAAAAAGUGGCUGUUCCAGCUGGGCAAGUUCUCCCUGUCCUAUCUGGUGUUUCUCUGAAGGAUGCUGCUGAGGUUGCAUGUACUGUUUGGUCAACUGUUUUAAUGAUGAGCCGACUGUCUGCAGGAGAAACAUUCCUGGUGAAUUUUUUGUCUUUUUUAUUUUCUGAUGCCUGAUAUAUUUACCAGCACAAAUUUACCCUGUUGCUGUUUAAUGUGUGUGCAUCAAUAUUGGAUUAGGGAGGUAGAAGAGCCAUGGUUCUAAUUAAAUCAUUACAUCAUCAUAUUCUUAUUUAGAUACAUUGUAUCCCACAAUUUCAUUGCAUCCAAGGCUAUGUUGUUUUUUAUUGCACGGUUUGUCAUGGUAAUUUCUCAACCCUUCUCUGGAAAAUUAUGUUGGAUGGCUGCUAUUAAUUACCCCAAAAGAAGAAAUUUUAUGUUGAAGUAAGAUGAGUAGCACAAAGAGUUACUUGUGGUUGAUCCUAUCAUCAAAUGGGCGAUUGAUGCACAAUCCAAAUGGUAAAUUUUUUUCCCCCUUUAUCCAGAUGGAAUUUUUAUGCAUGGUUGAAUAGUGAAAUGAGAGGACUGAUAAUAUUUCAGGUUCAUGGGGGUUCAAUUGGAAUUGGUACCAUCUAUUCAAAUAGCGAAAUACCGAGGAGCAAGGGUAUUUGUUACAGCAGGUUUGCCAUCACUGUUCUACCUCAUCUCACAGAAUGCUUAUCUCAUGGCACCAAUUCCUUUUCUUCACAUGUUUUCAACCAUUUUUUCCACCCAGGAACGAGGAAAAAUUAGCUAUUUGUAAGGAUCAUUGAGCAGAUGUGUGCAUCAAUUACAAGACUGAAAACUUUGUUGCAUGGGUGAAGGAGGAAACAGGAGGGAAAGGUAUAUUCUAUUGUAUCUUAACGAUAAUUUCAAUUGAAGGUGGAAUUGCUUUUUAUUUUUUAGUGCACCAAAUCCACUAGUCUGGAAUGUUUGAAAAGAUAAAUAGUCAUCUUCCACUUGAUUCCGAUUGUGAAGAUCUAACCCCAAAAAUGUUGAAUGACAGGUGUUGAUGUUAUACUGGAUAAUAUUGGAGGGGCCUACUUUUGGGGAGACAUCAAUGGUUUAAAUGUUGAUGGAAGGCUUUUUAUUAUUGGUUUUCAGGGUGGAACAGUGGUACAAGUAAAUCUUUCAGGUUUACUUGCAAGGCGCCUUACAGUGCAAGGUACUGCUUUCUCUGUAGAAGAUUUUUCUGUAGUUUUGGAGUUGAAUCAAUUUGAUUAAUCUCAUCCAAGUUCAGAACUGAGGUGGAUUCUGGCAAGCCAAGGAAAAACCAAAUUACCAUAAAUUCUUUUUUUUUUUUCUGGAUCGUUUUACUUCUUGGAAAUCCUGUUUCUCGAUCUGUUAAUCACAUGGUUUGUUUUUCUUUAUUGUCCCUCUUUCUUUUCUUGUUGGUACCAAAUCCCUAAGAUGUGGAAGCCAAGUGAGCACUUUCUAUCUUUUCUUGUUUCAAUCUCUCAUCCUCUUGUGCACAUUGAGCAAUAAGCUCAUUCAAAGUCCAUUUUUCCUUUUGUGUGUUGUAACUGAUUUUGAAUGGACUGAAUUGUGUAGGCAGAGAGAUCAAGACCAAGUGCACGAGUAUGUCUUCCGAAAACUCUAACUUUAGUGCCUUUAGUCUAGUCACAAGAUUAGACAUUUCCAUAAUAUACUCCCUUAUAUUCUCUUUCCCUUUAUACCGCAUAGAGACAAGCUUACUAAGAAUAGUGUUUGUCUCAACCUUUUCAUUUGCAGCGAUCAAUUUGCUAUCUGGUCUAAGAAUGCCUUGGCUCGAGUUUUCUCAGGUAUUGCACCCCUUAUAACUUUUGGAAUUGAGUGCUUCGUUAUUAUUAGACUCAUGCGAUUGGAUCGCUCCCAUUUUUCCAUAGUAGACCUUUGCUCAGCAGUGCUGGCACUAGUAAGAUCUGGAGGGCGAUCCUCUCUUAAUGCAUAGUCUAAAUCCAUGCACCCGAGCACAAUUAUAGCGUGUUCCUUCCAUUUCUUGAAGUUUGUGCCAUUAAGGGCAGGAAUGUUAUUGACAUUUGCAGAUAUAGAAUAUGUUGAAUUCAUAAUAAUAAAGCUCACAAUCAGCCACAUAAACAUCAUACAUACAUGAAAAAUAACAUCAUACAAGAUACCUAGUACAAACAUUAAUAUUCUGUCUUUUGACAAUAAAUAUUAACUUGUAAUUGGUAUCCUUAUACAAAAUUAAUUCAUAAAUAUUGACAAUAAAACCAAAAACAAUGUGCCUCUCUUUGGACUAACAUAUUGAAUGCAAGAUAAACUUUAUAUGUCACAUAUUUAUGACUACUUUAUUUAUUAUUAUAUUAAAAUAAUCUUUCUUUGGGUCGCUUAUUUUAAAUAAUAAUAAUAACAUGUUUAGAUAUUAUAAAAUAAAUAAAUUAUAUAAUAUAAGUUACUUUGGCAACUAACAUACAUAAUUCAUUUAUUUUUUGUUGUUUCCUUCCUCUUGGAUCUUUUGUUUGUGUUUUAAAAAAAAAAAUGUUUCAGUGAAAAUGGGAAAUGCAACCAGGCUCUAAUACCAUUUUGUGGGACGUUCAUUCUCCAUUAUCAUCGAACACAUGCAGGAUAUAUUUAUAUAUAUCUAUCAAUUCAUUCAAAAUAUGCCGAUGGGAAGCCAGAGAGAACAAGUUCUAUUUUUAUUUUGAAAACAUUGUUAUCCUUAAAGAACAAACACUAUUAUUUGGAUUUAUACUCUCCUGCCUUAGGGACCAUACCCUUUGGCUAUUAGGCCUCACGAGUCUUAGGCCCAUCAUCUAAGGCUCGUGAUGGCACUGGGCUCUACAUAUAAGGUGGCCCAUACUCUGGAACGAAUAUAAAUCAUAUGUAUAUAUAUGGAUAGCUAAAUCCUGAAUAAUGGUUAAUAUGAUGUCGGUUCACAUUUAUUAUAUCAUAUAGACUUCCCAUCUGAAGAAAAUCGACAACAAGUAGCUUUGCCAUUCUUAGUUCGUAUACAACCAACCUUAGCAAGGGUUGAACCCUUUUAUGCUUAGUUGUGCCAUACAGAUCCUUACCACCGCCUACAACAUGUAAUUGAAAUGAUUCGAUAAUAUCAUCUAGUGAACCAAUACCUCCAAAUGAGAGACCAUUGCCUCAGUAACUAAGACUCACGACUGAGAAUUGCGUGAACCCCUUUGCUUGGGUUGGAGCUUGACUGAUGCACAAAAUAUUCAUAGGCCUCUUCCCAUAACAGGCACCUUGUGUUUGCAACAUAAUUGAACAUGUAUUGAAGUGAGUUUUUUUGCAUCUUUUUGUAAGAAAAUUCUAAACAACAAAGAUUGCUUAGUGUGCCUGACUCCUCAAGGAAUCAAGGUUCAUUCCUGUAGGGCCAGUUUUUUCACAGUCGAACUAGAUAACAUGGAGAGUAUGUUGCAAUGCUUCAACGGGGUAUUUCUUAGGAAAAUCCACCUGAAGCUGGUACAAUUCGUUGGCGUACUGAGUUCCUAAAGCUCUAUUGACUUCAAUCACCCAUCUCUGUAGAUUAUCGGUGACUUUAUGCUCGGAUCCUGUAGGAGGAUUGACUUGACAUUCCACUAGUUUUUUCUGGAAGGCGAUUUUGUUUAACACCUUGUGAGAAGAGGCAGGGGAACUGGUCAUUGUUUCUUCGAGAAGAUCAGUGGCCGAGGAUGGGUUUGGACCAGAAUUGCUAUAUGGGUUUUCUUUGGGUGAACCAAUUAGUGAAAUAGGUGGCUAUAUAGCAACUAAAGGGUGGUCAUACUAACGAGGAGCUAUUAUUUCAUGCAUGUGGAGAGGAAAUGACUAGCUUCUUCAAGGAUAUAUGAUUAUUCAUCUCUAGCUUACGUUGACUAUCUCCUAACAAAUUUCUGCUUUGAAGCUCCCUUAGUUUCACUACAGCUAAUUGGCCAACUUGGUUUCAUCAUGUUUCCUACAACCUCUAAGCAAAGCAUGCCAGAUCACCGAAUCAGGUUCUAUUCGCAUUUUGUCCAUAAACUCCUUUGCCUAUUGACAAUAGACUGCCCCUCAAAAUUUGAUGAGAUAACAUCAACGCUGACAUGUUGGCCAUCCCCAUAAGCAUCUUUAUAGAGAUUGAUUCUAUGUUUAGAUAUUUCUCUCUCCUCAAGUGAGUUCAACUUUUCUGUAGCAUCCUUCUCCUUCUCUACUAAUAGUCUUAGUUGAACAUCCAACCUAUGUUCCCAAAGUGCCAGCAUCUCAUAUCUGAUGACAAGCCAACAACCUUGCCCUUGCUGAGACCCAAAUAAGUAUCCAGAACCAUCAACAUCAACCCUUUCAUAGGCCUUUGUAUUUGAAGGUCGGAUUGGGAUUGCUUUGAAUGCACUGGCACUACAAUACACAAUUGUUUCUUCUCCGAUAAAAACACCACAAAGAGGUGAGGGGACUGGUAUUAGCAAAGAAGUGUUGUUAUCUAUAUUGUUCUAAGCCCGAUUACCCUCAACAAAAUCCUCAUCCUCAUCUGUACUCUUCCAUUACAUCCCUAGGCUUUUCAAUGUGAUCCACAUGGCUUACAGGAAUCCAGAAAUACUGAUCUGUAUAAAAGUUGCUCUUAUGGGGCUCUCCUAGAAAACAUCCCAAUCAAGAUGAUCAACCUAGCUUAGAUGCUCAGCACCCCAAACUUACCAGAAAUAGAGGAAUAAAAAGCAAGGAUAGGAGCCAAAGUAAAAACUAAGGGAAGAGCAAAUAGGAAAUCAAGCAAAACAUGAAUGUACAGAGCCUCAUUUCAGGUGACAUCUUUGGGCUAAUAAUAGGUGGAAUUAACAAAGUAGAUAAGCAUGAUUGUUAUAAAUAUCAAGUUCAAGGAUGAAGUCGUGCAUCAGCUACUUAUAGGGGGAGUCAAGGAAACCAAGAUAAGAUCAAAGAGAGCAUGUAUGCAAAUAAACAGAUACGACAAAAUAGACCAAACAACUCGUGAAUAUCCUCCUACAAAAAACUACUACACGUGGCAAAAAGUGAUGAAACAAAAAGAGUUGGGUCCGCAUAUACAUAUCCUAUUCUAUCCUAUUCCUUCAAAUCCAAAGCAACCUGUAUUUUCAAUGGGAUUUGUUGUGAUGAAUUUUACUGGAUUGUAACAUGUAAAUAUGUUAAAAGAGGCUUGGGACAUUCCUAUAUAGUAACGCAUAAAGGUACUUCCAUUGUGAAGUUGUCAAAAUUGCAAAUUUAAAUUACAAAAUUUGAAAACAUAGAGAUGAAAGAUGAUGAAACCUUCUUUGAAAUUUUAUAUUGAACUCAUUAAUAUUAUUAAUUUUCAUUUCAGUCUAGGGGAAAGAAUUCUUUACUCUAAAGUGGUCACAAAAAUAUUAAAAUUCCUUGUCGAGAGAUUUAGACCUAAAGUGAUCAAUAUAGAAGAAAGUAAAAAUAUUCUAAGUGUAGGUAAACUUGUAGACUCAAAUGACUCUACCUUCUCAUAAAAAAUCCUCAAUUUUAUAAAUUAUAUUGAUUUCUUCAUUUGAUACAAAAUUUGAAUAAAGAUUUUUCAAAUGACAACACAAGGAAAGGGAAAAAAAAAUUCUCUCCAAAUCAUAUUAUUUAAUCACUUAAAUUAUUUAAAAAUAAAAAUGUUUACUGCUAACAUUAUUUAGGUUCAUCUUUCUUUUGAUGGAGGUUAAAAUUCAUAAUUUUGAGGAAAAAGAUGAGGAUUCUCAUUUUUUUUCCAUAUAUGAAUGGGAUUCUCAUUGUGUAUAUGUGGGUUACUAAAUGGCAAAUUUGGGGGCCACCAGAGUCUGCAAUAUGAGGGAAAAAUGAAGUUGAGUUUGUCACCAAGAAUAGACAUGGUUCCUACAAAGGUGGCAUCUUUAAUUUCAUGUUUGGAUUGGACUUGUCAUGUAACAACUUAACAAGUGAAAUCCCUCAUGAACUUGGAAUGUUAAGUUUGAUUCAUGCAUUGAACUUGUCUCGUAAUCAACUAAAAGGCUCCAUUUCAAAGAGUUUUUGCAAUCUUUCUCAAAUAGAGAGCUUAGACCUUUUUAAUAAUAAACUAAGUGGAGAAAUUCCUCCAAAAUUGGUUAGACUAAACUUUUUAGCAGUGUUCAAUGUGACUCACAAUAGCAUCUUCGGAAGAGUUUUAGAUAUGAAUACAUAAUUUGCAAAAUUUGAUGAAAGUAACUAUGAAGCUAAUCCUUUCCUUUGUGGACCACCAUUAAAGAGAAAAUGUAGCAUAAAUGUUGUUGAACCACCUUACCAACCAUUAGAGUCUUCGGAAGAAAGUGAUGCAAAAUGGUAUAAUAUCAAUCUUGUUAUUUUCUUUGCAAAUUUUACUACAUCAUAUAUCAUGAUAUUAUUAGGAAUUUCAACCAUUCUUUACAUUAACCCUUAUUGGUGUCAAAGAUGGUUCAAUUUUAUCGAGAAAUAUAUAUACUUUUGCUAUUAUUUUGUUUCCUAUACUCUUUCCAAGUUAUUAACAUAUUUUGAAUAAUUAGAGAUUUUUGUUUUCAAUAAUAUUUACAUAAUUAACUACUAUUGGCUUCCAUGACAUGGAAAGAAAUGCGAUGAAGGCAACAACCACUUUUUUUUCUCCUCUACUAGUGCAUGAUUGAUAUGAGUUAAAACUUGCACCCUUAUCUUUGCUUAAAUUUUCUCAGCUUUUGUUUCAAUUCUUAAUUAUCAUUUCUUUUAUGUAUUGUUUAAUACAAUAUCCUAAACACAUUGCUUUGAAGGUUACUUAUUUAUUAAGCAUGAUAUUGAUUUUCAUAAAAACAAAUUCAAGUUUUUUAGGAAUUUUUAGAAUUAUUAUAAUUUGGAGUUCACAUUAGAGGAAAAAAGGAAAGAAAAGAAUAGAUGAUUAAAAAAACAAUUUUAGUAAGUAUAAUUUGUCAUCUUCGGUAUAACAAAUGGGAAUUCCAAAAUAAUAUUUCAAUUUGUUAGUCUAUUCCUUAUAGUAUUAAUUGAUAUAUCAAAUAGGAAGUCACGUUUUGAUUUUUUAUUAGCUUGAAUUGCAUGUCACAUAUAUUUUAAAAUCAAGCAUACAUCAGCCGGGAAGUUCUUGUAACAUGCAUGAACAUGAUAUGAUGAAUUGAAUAAUUUUCUUAAUAUAUGUGUAUAUACUACACAUUAUUAAAUCAUAUAUGUAUAUUUAUAGUCGUAUAAUAUAUUUAUAUAAGUAACAAUAAAUUAUAUUGUAUAAGGUAUCGGUAGGAGUUUUCAAUUCCCUCAUACAAUAAUAUCUAUCAAUAAUUGGAUUGGACACCUUGCUGGCCAUGAGAAUGGACUUGACAUUAACACAUAGCCUUGAGUGGUGUUGAUAUUAUUACUUUGAACCAGAACUGCAGUCAUCUCAAAAACUAUAUUAUAUAGAAAAGCAAAAUAAAAACAUUAGUUAAAACAAAUGUCAAGAUCCUUGAAAUCACGUUUCAAUAUGUUAAAUUACCAUUUUUUUAAAUAAAUAUUUUAUAGGUUGUGUGAAUAAAUAUAAUUGCUAUGAAGGUUUCAAUUUAAUUUUACUAGCAAAUCCAUAAUAGGUGAAAAGACAAAACUACCAUUUUUGUUUUUUUUUCUUUAUUUACCUUUUUUCUCUCGUAACCUUACUCCUUUCACCUUUUUGUUUUUUCCUUUUUCUCAACUAACUAUUUUUUUCUUGUAAUUGUUAUUAUCAUUUUUUAUUAUAAAUAUUAUAACCUUAUAUUAUAAAUUUUUAAUUAUAUUUAAACUAACUAAUGUUGUGGUUUUAAUUGACAUGGAAAAGAAUGUGGUUAUACAUGUGAUUGUCGCCUUUUUUUUUUUCCAAUUAGUUAACUAUUGAUACAAGUUAAAAGUAAAAAUUGCAAUAUUAUCUUUAUGUCAAUUUCACCGAUCUUUUGUUUUUAUUUUCAUGUAUCAUUCCUUUUUUGGUUAUUUAAUUAAAAGGAUUAAAAAAAAAAAAUCACAUAUUCACAAGAAUAACCUUCAUAUUUUAAAAACAUAAAUUUUUAUAAAAAUACCCUCCAACUAUAAUUUUUAUAUGUCCCUAUUUCAAAUUCAAACACUUCUUUUAAUAAUAAUAAUAAUAAAAAAGGGCAAAAAUGUCAAACUGGGAUUAUAUUUAUAAUUUUCAAUAAUUAGAGGUUGUUUUUCCAAAGUAAAAAUUAUUUUGUUCCUUUGGCACAAAUAUUUCUUUCUUUUUUGUAUUUUUUUAUUCAAAAUAUUAAACACAUUACCCUCAAGGUUACUAUUUAUUAUGAAUGGUGUUUACUUUACAUUACGACAAAUUCAAAUUUUUUAGAAUUUUUUAAUGUUAAAAUAAUUUGGAGCUUAAUAGGGAAAAAAAGAAUAAAUAAUUAGAAAAGCAAUUCAAAAAAAUAAAAUUUAUCCUCUUAAAUUGGUUUUGUGUAAUACUAUAGAAGCCAUUUCUUGAGUUUGAUAUGGUAGAAUUUGGAUUCAUAUUUAUUUUAAAAUCAAGAAAUUCAAGUGUUGGUAGCAUCAAUAGAAUCUUAAAAAAUUUGCAAAAAAAUAUUUAGGUAGAUCACAUUUAAAUAUAACUAAUAGAAUAAAAAAUUAGUAUUAUUAGGAAGACAUGAUCAAUUAAAUCUUUUUUCUUAUCUAUGACACCGACUUUAUUUUUUUACAUAGUCAAUAUAAUUUAUUACAACUUAUAUGUCAUUAAAUUAUACAUGUUUAUAUUAAAUAUAAUAUAAGAUCAUUAAUGGAAUAAUUAUGCAAGUAAUAUAAAUUGUAUAUAAUAUAAAAAAUUUAAAGUCCAUCAAACUAAUGGAAUCUAUUAUAAUAAGUAGACUAGACACCAUGUUGGCCCGAGUUGGAGGCCUAGGCCAGAUUUUAAAGGCUGGGCUUUGAGUUGCCCGUGGGCCUGAGCCAAGGCCUUCUCUUGGUAUCAUCAUUUUGAAGAAAUAAAUUGCUGAUACAGAGAAAAAAACUAUACUAAAUAGAAAAAUAAAUAAAAGCAUUGACUAAAAUGAAGGCCAAGGUCCUUGAAAAAUAAUCUUAAAAUUGUUGCAUAUAUAAUUUCAAUAAUGCAUAAAUAAUUGCAAUAUAUAUGAUGUGAUAAAGAAUUUGGAAUUAAAAGAAGAUUGAUCUAUUUUAAAUGUGGUUGGAAUAUUUCUAAAUUUGUGAUGGGAAGUUAGACAGCCAAUUAGGGAUCCAUAUUAUUUAUUUUCAAUGAUAUGAAUUUAUUUACUUUUAUUAAUAUUCUUAAUGCAACAAUAUAAAAUAUGUCAAUUUUCUAAAAUUAAAAAAGUAAUUGUAAAAGAAAAUUUUUAAUUAUUUUUAUGAAAUUGAGUUUAUUAUAGCAUUUUUCUUUACAUAAAUUUCUUUUUUAUUUUUAUUUUUUUAAAAAUGAGAUAUGAAAAAAAAAGAUCAAUAUUAGUAAAAGUAAAACCCAAUAUAUAAAAAAUAUGAAUAAAUGUUUAUGAAAUAAGAUUUAAAAGUGAGAAGGUAAUAAUUUUUUUCUCUUUUAAUUCCUAUUCAAUUCAUUACAAAAAAUAUUUUUGGUUUUUAUGCUAAAAUUUAUUGUUUAUUAAAAAAUUCUAGUAUAUCUAGCUAUCAUAGAAGAGCUCCAAAAUUUUAUUGUUUAAGAGAAUAUGUGUUGCCACUUUAAAAGAUUUAUAUGCAAAAGGGAUUGAUAUUUUUUUCCUUUGGAUAUGUUUAGUUCCCGGAAAAUUUGAGGGAAAAUGUGAGGGAAGAAAAAUAGAGAAGAAAAGUAUAACGAAAUAAAAAGUGAAGGAAAAUGAAAAAUAGAUUUAAAGUUAACAAAUUAUUUUCAUUGGUUUUUUCAAACUUAUUUUACUUAUUUUAUUCUAUUAAAUAAAGAUUAACUAAUUUUAAUUAUAUUUGGUUUGAUUUUUAUUAUUUUUCAAAGCAAAACCAAAUAUGAAAAAAAAAACAUUUUUUUUUUUUGUUAUUUUUUUCUUUCCUUAUUACUUUUUAGGACUCAAACAUAGCUUUUAGAUUUGGAGCAUGGAAAGAUAAGAGUAUUGAAUAAUGGUUCUAUAUAUGCCCAUGCCCAUGCCCAUGAUACCAUUGAAAAAAAUGGAGAGAGGGUGAAACCUUUACUAGAUGAUAAAUUAUUCUCUUCAAUGGAAAUCAAAUAUAAUUAUUUUUAUCUUGUAUUAAUUGAAUGUUAUACUCCAUAAACUCAAAAUUAAAAUAAAUAAAAAAUUUAAAAACUAGGACAAUCCCAUUUUUUUUCAAUUUCUUAAAAAGAAAUUAAAUUAUAUUUAUUUAUAUCUAUUUUCAUCCCUACCCAACAAAAUAAAAAAAAAUUAACAAGGUGGGACAUGUAUGAGAAAUUCUCACACUAACUCUCACUAGUUUAUUUUUUUUUAAAAAAAAAAAUAAAAUCAAUUUCUUUUAAAAAAAUUAAACUACAUAAAAAAUAAACAAAUUUUACAAUUUUUUUUAAGAAAAGUAAAUUUCUUAUUUUAUAUAUGUUAAAAAUAAAUAUAAUCUUUUAUUUUUUAUAUAUAUAAUCGGGUAAGGUAGAGUGGGACAAAGAAAUAAUCCCCUUCGAUUCCAAUCCGAAUUUUUAAAAUAUAAAAUAAAAAUCUUAAACUCAUCCCUAAUCCAUUUAUUUUUAAUCCUAAACUUGUCUUAUUAAGAAUAAGGCAAAGUGAGUACAUGAAAACACUUCUUUUAUCAUCAUCUCUACAAGUUCUAAUGUUUAGAUUGCAAUCCAUAUCAAAGAUUUAUAAAGAAAGAACAACAAUGAAUUUCAUAAACAUUUGAAAGCAUAAACAAAGUUUUAAAUAAUAUUGCUUGAGGUGCAAAUAUUAUUUGGCGCACAUGUUGAGGGACUUCAACUGGUGUAGUCUAGGUUUUUUACACUAGUAAGUAAUCUUGAAUAUCUAGAGUAACUUGAUCAAAAUCUCUUUAAUUUUAUUUUCUUUGAUGGUUGUAUGAUGAAUUAGAAUGCUUAUAUAACAUGAUUAAAAAUUUUAAGAAAAAAAAACUAAGAAGAAAGAAAGAAGCAUCGAUCUUCCAAAUAUUGCUUCCACUUUAAUAUCUAGUAGGCUCUAAGAAAAGAACUUUAUUCAUGAAUCAUAACCCAAGUCGAAAAUAAAUUGAACCCAUUUUCUAAGUUAAAUUUUGAAUUUUUUACUAGUGAAUGCAAAUUGGGAAAAUGUAUAUAAAUAUAAUCAAACUAGAAUAGUAGAUUAGGUUUGUAGGUGGAGUUUGUUUGAAUUGUUGGAACUUCCAAGUCGUUGUGGGUCUAGUGGUCCCAUAGCUCUCUAUUAAUUUCCACCAUCAAUUUUUUGCAAUAAAGUCAAGUCAUUCCUAACCCUUAUAUUAAGUUGGCCUUAAAAGUCAAGUCAUUGAUCAUAGUUACAUUCAUGAAUCACAACCCAAGUCGAAAAUAAAUUAAACCCAUUUUUCAAGUUCAACUUUGAAUUUUUUAGUAGUAAAUGCAAAUUGGGAAAACAUAUAUAAAUAUAAUUAAACUAAAAUAGUAGAUUAGGUUUGUAGGUGGAGUCUGCUUGAAUUAUUGAAACUUCCAAGUCAUCGUGGGCCCAAUGGUCCCAUAGCUCUCUAUUAAUUUCCACCAUCAAUUUUUUGCAAUAAAGUCAAGUCAUUCUAACCCCUAUAUUAACUUGGCCUUAAAAGUCCAAUCAUUGAUAGCUAAAUCCCAACCCAAGUCAAAAAUAAAUUGAACCCAUUUUCUAAGUUCAACUUUGAAUUUUUUUUAAUUGGAAAAAUGUAUAUAAAUAGAAUUAAACUAGAAUAGUAGAUUAGGUUUGUAGGUGGAGUUUGCUUGAAUUUGUGAAACUUCCAAGUCGUCGUGGGUCUAGUGGUCCCAUAGCUCUCUAUUAAUUUCCACCAUCAAUUUUCUGCAAUAAAGUCAAGUCAUUCCUAACCCCUAUAUUAAGUUGGCCUUAAAAGUCAAGUCAUUGAUCAUAGUUACAUUCAUGAAUCACAACCCAAGUCGAAAAUAAAUUAAACCCAUUUUUCAAGUUCAACUUUGAAUUUUUUACUAGUGAAUGCAAAUUGGGAAAACAUAUAUAAAUAUAAUUAAACUAAAAUAUUAGAUUAGGUUUGUAGGUGGAGUCUACUUGAAUUAUUGAAACUUCCAAGUCAUCGUGGGCCCGGUGGUCCCAUAGCUCUUUAUUAAUUUCCACCAUCAAUUUUUUUGCAAUAAAGUCAAGUCAUUCUAACCCUUAUAUUAAUUUGGCCUUAAAAGUCCAAUCAUUGAUAGCUAAAUCCCAACCCAAGUCAAAAAUAAAUUGAACCCAUUUUCUAAGUUCGACUUUGAAUUUUUUUUAAUUGGAAAAAUGUAUAUAAAUAGAAUUAAACUAGAAUAUUAGAUUAGGUUUGUAGGUGGAGUCUACUUGAAUUUGUGAAACUUCCAAGUCGUUGUGGGUCUAGUGGUCCCAUAGUUCUCUAUUAAUUUCCACCAUCAAUUUUCUGCAAUAAAGUCAAGUCAUUCCUAACCCAUAUAUUAAUUUGGCCUUAAAAGUCCAGUCAUUGAUAGCUACGUUCAUGAAUCCCAACUCAAGUCAAAAAUAAAUUGAACCCAUUUUCUAAGUUCAACUUUGAAUUCUUUUAAUUGGGAAAAUGUAUAUAAAUACAAUUAAACUAGAAUAGUAGAUUAGGUUUGUAGGUGGAGUCUGCUUGAAUUUGUGAAACUUCCAAGUCGUCAUGGGUCUAGUGGUCCCAUAGCUCUUUAUUAAUUUUCACCAUCAAUUUUCUGCAAUAAAGUCAAGUCAUUCCUAAACCAUAUAUUAAUUUGGCCUUAAAAGUCAAGUCAUUGAUAGUUACGUUCAUGAAUCACAACCCAAGUCUAAAAUAAAUUGAACCCAUUUUCCAAGUUCAACUUUGAUUUUUUUACUAGUGAAUGCAAAUUGGGAAAACAUAUAUAAAUAUAAUUAAACUAGUAUAGUAUAUUAGGUUUGUAGGUGGAGUAAGCUUGAAUUGUUGAAACUUUCAAGUCGUCGUGGGUCUAAGGGUCUUAUAGCUCUCUAUUAAUUUCCAUCGUCAAUUUUUAUGAAUUAAGAUUUAAAAGUGAGAAGGGAAUAAAUUUUUUCUUUUUCAAUUCAUUACAAAAAAUAUUUUUGGUUUUUAUGCUAAAAUUUAUUGUUUAUUCAAAAAAUUAAAGUAUAAAAAUAUAAAAAAAAAUAUAUAUCUUGAUAUUAUAGAAGAGCUCCAAAAUUUUUGUGUUUAAGAGAAUAUGUGUUGCCACUUUAGAAGAUUUAUAUACAAAAAGGAUUGAUGUUUCUCCUUUGACUAUGUUUGGUUGCCAAAAAUUUGAGGGAAAGAAAAUAAAAAAAAAUAGUAAAAAAGAAAAAAUGAAGGAAAAUAAAAAAUAGUUUUCAAGUUAAUAAAUUAUUUUUAUAUGUUUUUUCAAACUUAUUUUACUUAUUUUCUUUCAUUAUAUAAAGAUUAAAUAAUUUUAAAAUGCAUAAUUUCUAACUAAUUUUAAUUAUAUUUAAUUUUUCUUUUAUAUUUUUUAGACGGGAUCCGACACAUGAAAAAAUCCUUUUUUUUAGCAUCUUUUUUUCUUUUCUUAUUACUUUCCAAUAACCAAAUAUAACCUUUAGAUUUAGCCUUUAGACUUGGAGUAUGGAAGGAUACUGAGUAUUGAAAGAAGGUUUUGUAUAUGGCCAUGAUACCAUAGAAAAAAUGGGCGAGAGAGAAAAAACCUUUAUUAAAUGAUAAAUUAUUUUACUACUUACUACAUAAAUAGAUAUUCAUGGAGUGCAUUCUCUAAAAAGCUCCAGUCUCAUGAAAAUGGAAAGAUGGACCGGCCAGUGGACCGGUUCGAGUUUGGAUUUAUGGGCUGCCUCAGCCUAACACGCAUGAUAGGCUGUUGCAGGUGAAGAACUAAUUAAUUUAAAGCCUUCUUCUAUCCUCUCCUAUUCCUCUUUCACUCCAAAUUUUCCACAUGAUAAUGACAAUUCUUUUGUUAAAUGGUAAAAAAAAAAAUUUAACAAUUAAUUUAAAAUCAUUUAUAAAAUCAUGAACUUUGGCAUCCUAAUUAAUGCAAUUUAAACUUUUUUUGUUUACAAAUGAAAUAAGAGGCAACAUAUAAACCCAAAAGUUAAUUUUCCUACCAUCUCUAUGCACCAUUUUAGCUUUACUCCAAUAUAUUUUCUAUGAUUAAUUAUUUUCAUUCAAACAAUAAUAUCAAAAUAUUUUAAAAUUAGACAUAUCAUAAUCAAAUAUCAUUAUAUUAUUAUUGAAUAAUAUUUAAUGUAAUUUAAUAAUCAACGUAUACUUAUAGAAUUUAUAUUUUUUAUUAAUGCAUAUAAUAUUAUUAUCAAAUAUGAUAAAUUAUAUAUAUAUAUUUCUUUAACAAAACAACUUUAAAAUAUCUAUUAUACUUUUAAUUUCAUCUCUAAGAGGUUUUUUUUUUUUUCUUUUUUUUUUUUACAUUUUUAUAAGUUUUGAUCAAUUGUAGGCUAACCAAUAUUUUUUUAUCAAAAUAUCCACCAAUAUAUCUCCGAUAUAUUAGAUAUAUCCGUAACAUCGAAAUACCAAUAUAUCCGCGAUUAUCGAUAUUUUUAUCCUUGAGGGAUAACAACUAAUAUAGUUUUUGCACUUAAUGAUAUUCCUCAACAUUUAGAUUGAUUUGACCAAAAUCUUUUUAAUUUUAUUUUCUUUGAUGGUUAUAUGAUGAAUUAGAAUAGUCAUAUAACAUUAACAGAUUUAAGAAAAAAAGGAUAAAAAAGCUCGUAUUUUUCAAAUAUUGGUUUCAACUUUGAAUAUUUUUAUUGGUAAAUGAAAAUUGUGAAAAACCUACUAAUGCUAAUACUUUUCACCACAUAAUUAAAUAUAAUAAACUAGAAUAGUGAUUCAUUGAUGUCUUAUAAAGACACAUGCCUUCUUUGACUUGUUAGUUGAUUUUUGUAGGUGGAGUCCAUUUCCAUUUGAAUUGUUGAAACUUCCAAGUCCUUGUGGGUCUAGUGGUCUCUCUAAUAAUUCCCACCAUUAAUUUUUUGUGAUGAAGUGCAGUCAUUGAUAGCUACUAUAUCAAUUUGCUAUUAAAAGUCAAGUCAUUGAUAACUAAUAUUCAAUCUUUUUCAAUAUGGAAAUUGGAAUCUCUAGCACUACUCUUCUCAUUGUUCAUUUUUAGGUAAUGUGAGAAUGUGUGAACAUAAAUGUCUUCUAAUCAACCAAUUUUUUUGAAAAAAACAUGUACAAAAUUGCAAAACUUGCAAAAUCAAACUUUCUUGUUGAAUAACCAUAGCUUGAUGGUUUUGAAGAAUCAAAGGAUGAAUCAUAAAAGGGUAUUUGAUAAAAAAUAAAAAUUUAAAAAGUUAAAAGACAACUACUCCCUUAAGUGUAAUAAGUGUAUUUGGUAGCACAAAUUUCCUACCACUUAUUAUUUUUUCCUUUCUUAAAAAAUUAUUUACUCUAUUAAAUAAACUAACCUUGGCUUAGCACUUAUAGCAAAAUAGGUUAAGUAGUUUUUAAAAUUUUAUAAUAUUAGAUUUACAUUUUUAUCCUUCAAAAUUUCAUUAAUGCUAGAUUCUUCUAUAUGCUUAACUAAUAAAUAAUUUUUAGCAUUUUUCUUUUCUUAUAAACAUAAAAAAAUAAAAAUAUUAUUAACUUAUUGGUAUAUUUUAAAAUUUUAAUUAGAUUUAAGCUUUUAUUUGUUUGGAUUACCAAUUAUACAUAUAAAUCCUUUGUUAUUAUUGUUAUUAUUGAAAGAAAGGGGUUGAAUAGGUAGUCCCUCAAUCCCCAAAUUAAAUUCUUUAUUGCCUACUUUUGGUUUAUUCCUUUACAUGAAUUCCUUGGUGAGAGUAAACAUUUCAUUAAUAGAUAAAUAAAAUUGAUUCCAUAUCAUAGGGUAUAAUGUGGAAAAAUCACCAGUCUCAUGUGUUCCUUAGUGGAUCCUUUGGAGCCCUAUCAAAGUUUCAUGAUGAAACCAUUGACUUUUGUUUAACCCAAAUGUGCUUUCAAGACAAAUCUUGAAAGAUUUGAGAGAUGGAGGUUCAAGUCUUUUAUGAACGACCAUGUUCUCUUAGGGUUCAUGAAAUUCACACCUUUUGAUAAAUAAAACUUAUCUAUUUAUACGUCUAAAACCCAGUAUUUAUUUAUUUAAUUAUAGAAAGUUUCUUAGUUUUAAAAACAUUUCAAAAAUCAUUUUUAGAAUCAAAUAAGAAUUUUAGAGAUAAACACAAUAUUAAAAUUUAACAAAAACAAAUUUUCGAAUUAAAAACACAAUAUAAACUAAAUUACAAAAUAUAAAGUAAUUUUUACCCUAAUUUCUUGUUGCAAAACCAAAUGGAACACCUAGAAGGGGAGUGAAUGGGUGAUUUUAAAUUUUUUCAAUAAUUAUUUAUAAGUUAUACCCAAUUCUUUUACCCUGCAAGUUGUUAGGGACUAUCAAUUCUUUCAUUUUGGCAAUUCAAACAAUAUAUCAAAUAAUAAAAAGAUAUAAAUAAUGAGACAUAAAUAUUUUUACGUGGAAAACCCCCCACACUAACCAUGGAGAUAAAAAGCCAUGGAGUCUAAGACCUAUUAAUCUAAAUUCACGGUACGAAAUCAAGUUACACAAAUUUAUUUGACAACUUUACCUUAAAGACUUACUCUACAGUACUGACAACUUGAUUCACAUCCACGACGUAGCAACCCUCGAUUACUCCAAUGGAUCACUUCAAGCUUACUAAAAGGAUGAAGGCCUUCAAACCAAGAUUCAAAAAUCAAUUCCUUGAAUGAGAGAUCAGGAAUGGUGUGCCACUUUAGGCUUUCUCUCUAAGAACUCUAAAAUGAUCUCCUCAAUGAAAACCUUUUAAACAAAAUGAGAUAUUUCUCCACAAUCUCUAACCCUCAAGGGGUUAUAAUGAGAUAUUUAUAAGCAACUAAGUUGAAGAGUUUCGGUUUUGGAAGGUUUCUCAAUUGAAUUUGUGUGAAAAACUCGACAGAAUCAACAUGACCGCUCGAGGCAGCACACUUCCCACUUGAGCGUUUCGGGCACUUGAGCGGUAAGGCUUGCUUGAGUUGUCCUAAGCGCUUGAGCAUUCCAGGCUACUUGAGCAAUCUUGCUCUAUUUCAAAAGUUAAUUUUAAACCAUUUUAAGUUCAAAACAAAAUUGAUUCCCUUUAUACCUCAAAGGAGCCUAACUUGCCACAAACCAAACUUUUUUAGAUAUACUUGUGACUUCCUGGUUGGACGAACAACAACUCUUAAUCUUCAAUGGAGAGCAAGUCACUAUCUAAAAAGAUUUAUAUGGUCAAACAUAAAAAAACAAAAAAAUUGCCAACAUAACAACAAGACUCAAUGUCCAUGCAUGGUCACCUGAAAGGUGACUCCGACCACAAUAUAAUGCAUGUUCUCAUAGAACAUGUGAACAAGAUGGGGAUAGGAAGUCCCCUAGAGAGAAAACAGAGUCUCCUAACCCUACUCUUGAAUGAUGAUAGGGAAGACAGUGUCCUGAAAAGCUUAAAGGUUAAUGGCAUGCUCAGGCUCGACACACCGAUAUGUGAAAGAAGCGUAAUAAUGGUCCCGUGCCACCUGGUAGUGAAAGCGCUCAACCGGAAGUGCAUCUAGGUUAAAAAGACCCUAGAGUGGGAUGCCCUAGACGGUUUCAGUGACCUAGGAAAGGUCACCUCCCUUUGACAUCUAUGACUAGCCAUAUCUAAGGUAUAUAAUAUGAAAAAACAAAAGCUAAAGAAAAUCCAGAGAAAAGCUAAACCACUAAAAAUGUUAAACUCAAUGCGUCGAACAAUACUAUACAAAUGGAAAUGAAAAAUAUGAAGCGAACUGACCUCAGAAGACAAAAGGACAGUAACCCAGAGGGCUCGAAGAGGAAUAGGAAAGAUUGAAAUGAAUAUGGCGUGAUGGAUGACCUUUAUAUAGCUUAUAAGAGUGCUUGAUGCAGAUUAGCACUUGAGCGUCAUGACUAACUUAAAUCAAAUUAUUUAUUAAUAUGGAAAUAUUUUAAAAGUUUCAAAGGAAGUAUUCAAUUUAGAACCUUUUUAGAAUUUUUUUGAAAGAAACAAAAAUAAAGCGUGAAAUAUUAUGUGUUAAAGGUGUUAGAAGACAAUAUUGUCUAAUCCAAAGCCUUACACAUUCCUAAAAAAAAAAAAAAAAAAAAAGGAAAAAGAGAGAUAUUAUAUAAGAUUUUGAUCACAUCUAAUAGAAACUAAUAUUUAGCAACAUAUCACCAAGCACUAUCUUAUCAGAAAGCUCUAACAUGUUGGAAAUUUAUGUAAGGUUCCAUAACAGCUAAAAACUUUUUCUGACGACUCGGUAAUGGACCAUUUGCACUUUAACUACAUUAUUGAAUUUAAAUCAUAUUAGAAUUGUAAUUGACUUCUCUUUUGUGAGACUACAUAUCUUGUAGGAUGGGAUAGGUGAUUCAUUUCAUAUAUGAAAUUUACUUAAUUUAGUAAUGCUUCCAAGUUCAUUAUGAAUCUAAUGGUAUCACAACUCCUUUAAUAUUUGUAAUUUUGUAAUCUUUGUUUCAACUUCUCAAGUCUAGUCAUUUUAUUGGCAUAACUAGUUUGCUUCAAUUAUCUCUCAACUUUAUUAUAAAACUAAGGGAAAGGAUUAUCACGCAUUUUAUAUUAACUUAACCAAACAUCUUUAUAUAUCUUACAUAUAUAUAUUUUUUGUAAAUUUAGGAAAAUUUCAUCCAUUAGCCAUAGUAAGUAAGAAUCAAAUAAGGGAUAUGUAAGCCAAUGGUGAUAUUGAUGGCGUCAAAUCAAUGACAUAGUAGAAAAGUGGAUUGUCUAUUUUCAAACCUUUAUAUUUUCAUCCAAUAGUAAAAAGGUUUAGGCAUCACUUGAAAAGUAGUUCGUUUUUUACCUUGGACUAUGAUUUAUGAAUAAAGUUCUUCUGUUGUAUACCUUUUGUGAUGCCCCAAACCUAAUUUAGGGGUAAAAAAAUAAUUUAGAAAAAAAUAAAUAAAAAGUUAAAUAAAUUUAAUUAAGGUAAAAAUGUAUUUUUGUAUUUAAAAUUCCUAGGUAUCAAUUAUAUAUUUCUUGUCUUCUCUAUUCAAAAAACCCUAUUACACAAAAAUCAAAUAUCAGAGAACAUAGGACAACGCAGGGUUGAAGAUUUGGAGGUUUAGGGUUGAAGAUUAGUUUUCCAGGUAAGAUUCUAACCCUUAAAUUAGUAUUUUAGAUUCGUUAAUUAGUUUGAACACUUUAGAUAUUCUUUGAAAAAUCUGAAUCUACGUUAGGGUUUGUUAAUUUAAUUUUUAAAUAAAAAAGAUUCAAAAUUUAUGAACAUAAGUAGAGUUAUUAUUAAAGAUUGAAAUUUUUUGAAUAUUUGAAUUAAAAAUCUAGAAAAAAAAAGAAGAAAAUAAAUUAUAGCUUUGGAUGUGGAAAAAAGUUAAUAUUAAUAAAUAAAUAAAACUUAUGAGUACGGAGGUAGAAAAAUAUGAGAGUUGAAAGCAAAGAAAAAAAAAAGAGAAUAAGGUUUUGUGGUUGUACGUGUCUCCUUAGUGGAAAAAAGAAAUACAAGGUUGUUUGCAAUAGGAUAUGACAAAGAGAGAGAGAUAAAUGCUUAGAUGUUGAUUUUUGUGGGGAAAAAAAGAUUGGGUAAUGUAGGAGAGAAAUAGGUAGCACUUGUAGAGUUGGUGGGGUUGUUGUAAAAGCUCGUAGGGUAAUUGUUAGGUAGUAGUAGGGUAUGAGAUUAAUUGUUAGGAAACAUUAGGACUUGAAAUAAUAAUAAUUGCUUCUAGUAAAAGUUUUAACUUAGUUUAAGUAUAUAAAAGAAAUAGAUGAUUAGAAUAAGAUUUGGAAGGAAUAUGAAUUCAUAAAAAUUUCGAAAUUUACUAAUUUAGAUUAUUAUUUUUUUGGAAGUUGAAUAUAAUAUAGGUGGUAAUAUUAUUAAUAUAGGAAAUGAUUAAGAUUCUCAAACCUACAAUUUUAGAUAAAUAGUUAAUAGUAAUAGUUGAUUUUUUAUUUUUUUUAUUUUUUAUUUUUUAUGUUAUGUUAAGUGAAUAAUGGAUUCUUUGAUUAAUUCUCUAAGGUUUCUAAGUGCUUCUUUAAGAUAAGGGAUAUUAAUACUGAUUUUGUAAAUGAAAAUAUUUCUUUUUAUAAGUUAUUUUAAAUUAUGAAAAAUUUUAUUUUUAUUUAUGCAUGGAUCAAAUAUAUAUUUUUUCAUGAGAAACAUGUUUGGGCAAUUUCUUUGUUUAUAAAUAAAUAAAUAAAAAAUGAGAACUUUGGAAAUAUAAUGUUUUGUUUUGCAAGUUUAAAAUAAUGAAAUAAAGUUUUUGACUCUGGUUUAUAUGACCUUAGUUAAUGGGUUAUAAUUGUUGACAUUUUCAGCUCUCCAAUCAAUGAUUAUAAUUGUUGAGAUUUUCAACCCUAGCCAACGGGUUAUAAUAGUUGACCUUAUAGCCCUAGUCAACAGAUAUAAUUGUUAACCUUUCGUUUUUCCCAUCUUAAAAAGAACAAAUUUAAGGCUAACCAUUUAUUUGUAAAGUCCCACCUAACUAAGUACCAUUUGUUAUUUAAUAACCAGAGUAAAGAUAUUUUGAAUGUAUUUGAUAUGAAAUUAUUUUGAUAUAAAUAUGAAAAUGUUUGGUUGAAAAGUUCAAAUGUUUAAUGCAUGUUGAAUUCAAAAGUUUUUAUGAAAAUGAUUAUAUGUUAUAUCUCCUAUUUGUAAGUUUGAUCCAUAAAACUGUAUUAAUAUUCCUUAUUGGACUUUGAGCUCAUUCCCCUUUGUUGAGAAUUUUUUUUGGUAUUCUCAGUUUGGGCAAGGAGUGAUGACUGGGUUGGGGAAUUUUCUUUACUAUGAUUUUGGUUCAAUCUUUAUUUUGGACAUUGUAAUUUAAUUCCCAUUUAAAUUAUUUGGGUUUGGAGUUAUUUGGACGAUAACACUUUGAUUGAUGUGUUAGUUUUAAAGUUGAGAAUUGAAAAUUAUAGAAUUUAUUUAUCUUUCUACUUUGAAUAGAAAUUUAGUAAUUGGAGAUCAUCCAGUUACAAGAUGAAUAUUAGAUGAAUAUUUGUGUCGUUUCCACAUUGAGUGUUCAGGCUUAGGGUGUGAAAUGACCGUUAUGCCCUUGGAGUGGGUAUAUUGUUUAUUUGAAUUUAAUGGUCCCCGAACUCCUUAAUUACUCAUAACUUUAUAUCACCUUCUCAAAGUUAAGUUGUUUUACAACUACUAUCUAGCUACUUUUCUCUACUAUGACAACUUUAUUACAUAGUGAUUAAUUGAAAGAAUCUACAUGUCUUAUUUCAUAGGAUAGUUGAUUUUUUUACUCAAUGAAUCUUGCUUUUAUUAUUGAAAAUUUCAAAUCAUUGUAGUCCAACAAUUUACUAUCCUUUGGUAAUUUCAUAUUACAUUUCCAAAGUCUAAUCAUUUAAAAACACUUGUAGUUAAUAUAUUGGCAAUUGCAUUGUGGGAAGUUGUUCACUUGAUUUUAAUGUUGAAACUUUCAAAUUGUUGUAGUCCAACAAUUCCCUAUCCAUUGGUAAUUUCAUAUCACAUUUUCAAAGUAUAAUCAUUUACAAAUACUUGUAUAUAGUAUAUUUGGUGAUUGUAGAGUGGAAAGUUGAUCGUUUUCAUGAAGACCUCUAAAAUAGAAAUUUUUUUCAUUCCAUUUAAUAAAGAAUUUCAUUAAUUGAACAUAUAUGUUUUUUUAACCGGAAAGUAGAGGCCACAUUAUACGAGGCCUUAGGUGACAAUACUAGGUGAGGGUUUUUUUUUUUAAUUUAUUUAUUACUAAAUAUAAAUAAUAUUAUUUAUUGUAUAAUAAAGAUUAUUAUAAUAUAUUUUUUAUAGAUGAAAAAAAUAUUAAUUGAGUUUUAUUUUUUUAAAAUAAUUGUUUUCAAUAAAUAACUUAUUUGUAAAAAGAAAACUAUAAAAUAUAUGCAUUUGAAAAAUAUUUAAUUUUUAUUUGAUUUAGUAUCAAUUAAUAUUUGUAAUAUUUUUUAAUAUUAUAGAAGUUAACAUACUCAAUCAAGAUAUUCAAGAUCAAGAGAAUAUUUAAGAUUGAAUUAAUUUCUUUAUUGUUUAUGUUUUAGUAAAUUUUUAUAUCCAUUACAAAUUUUUUAUUGUUUAUUUUUCAUUCAAUGUUUGCAUUUUUUAAUAGAUAUUAAAACGAUUUUUUUUCUUGUAUGUUAAAAAAAUAUUUCAAUGUCUUUAAAAAUAAAAUAUUGCAGUAAAAUCAAAAUUACAUUGUGAAACUUUAAGCGAAUGUUUUAUACUUAAGAAGUGCCAAUUAAAGUAAGCAUGCAUCUACAAUUGUAAUUUAGAUGUCAUACUGAAACAAUAGUUCUCUUUGACUAUAUCAUAAAAUUUGGUUCGAAUUACUUUAAGUCGUCUUGUAGAUUUUCAAGUUCCAAUGAUAUGCAUCAAGUAUGUGCAACAUACUUGAUAUAACUAAUAUUUUCUUAAGUAAUUGGACACUUUUUUCUAUAAAUUUACUUGAUUAUCAAUGAAUACUUUUAUGUAAGGUAUUGAUAUAAUUCGAUAAAUAUUUUAAAAUAGUAUUAGAAUAGCUUUGCUCUUUCCCAAUUAACAAAUUUACUAAAUUAACUUAUAUAUAUUUGUUUAUUUGAAUUUACUGGUAUUUGACUCAAAUUGUUAUUAUUUUUAAAAUUAUAGGAAAACCAUUAUUUAUAGAGUUUAAUUAUAUUUGGUAAAUUAUCUUUUUAAGUUUGGCUAGGAUUAGGAAACUAUUAAUUUAAGAUUAAUCCAUAAGGCUCUAUAAAUUUGCAGUUUUAUUUAGGAUUUAAAAAAAGAAAGAAAAAGUAAGAAAAAGUGAAGAGAGAUAGGCAAAGAGUGCAUUGGGUUUUAAAUAAAGAAAGGUUGAGAGAGUUUUGAUUACUACUCAAAAAGAACAUAUUUUAGAUAGUAAUUCUCAUGGGUUUCACAUCUUUUGAGUAUUAAUUAUGCCUAAAAAUGCUCAAUUAACAUGUUGUUGCCUUUGCAAGAGUUACUAACAAGUUUUAUAAAGUUUUGGAGUCAUUUCAAGUUAUGAUUUUAAUAAAUUGGUGACGAAAGAGAUGAAUUGAUUUGAAGAAGGCAAAUAAUAUUGAUGAUGAUCCAAAUGCAUAAUGAAAGAAGCAAUAUAAUUAGUUUGAUCGGGAUUUGCUGCUAAUUUGGAGGUAGUUAAGGUGGAGUCAAAAGAAGAAAAUGGAAGAAAUGACAAAGAGGAGCUUAAAAACCAAAUGUUGCAGAUUUGUAUGAUCAUGCAAAAAUUACAUGACUAUGCGAAAUGGAUUAGAGAAGGAAAAUUGACUAUAGUAUAAGGAGGAUGCUUAAGUUGAUUUCGCAUGAACAUGCGAAAAUUUUGCACAAUCAUGCGAAAUGGUCCAGAAAGCUCUCUAAUGUUGUUGUUGCUCCACUAAUUUCACACCACCAUGCGAAAUUGAUCUUUUCAUGCAAAAUGGCUGAAGCUCAUGUGAAAUCAUGAUUUUGAUGCUAAACUCUAGAUUUGUGAAUUUGGAAGGUUUUAGAAGAUCAAUGAGAAGUUGCCAAGUGUCCACUUGACCUUGGUCUAUAAAUAGAAACUUGAAUUUCCCAUGUAAAGAGCUUUGUGAUACUUUUGAUUUUAGAUUUUUCUAGGAACUCUUUCUCUAAAUAGAAUUCUAUAUUUUCUUUAAUUUUCUCUCAUUUUCUCAUUCGCCAAACAUGCCUAGUGAGACCAAAUCUCCAAGUAUGAGUGGCUAAAUCUCGUUUUUCUCAAAGGAAUGAGGAUCUAGAGUCAAGAUCUAUGGUGAAUUAUAGAAAUGAGUUUUAAUCGGAAAUGCAAUUUGAUUCAAUUGAUUGAUUAAUUGAAAUUUGAGGAUUUUUCUCUUCAAAUUAUCCUAAAUGACUAUUACAUUGCAAACUAGGUAGAUUCAUUAAAUUCUUAAAGCUAGAUUUAAUGAGACUGAAUAGUUGCAUUGUAUGAAUCAUUGGAAGAUAAUUUAAGAUGAAUUGAAUAUAUAAUUUAAAUUGAUCUCUUGGAUUAAAUAACCUAAUUUGAAGAGAAAUUAGGUUUAGACUUAAAGGUAAAUCUAAAAUCGAUUUAGAUAAGAAUUUAGGUUUUCAAUCUAACUUGAUGAAAAAUAAAUCUCAACAUCUAUUCACCAUGGAAAUUGUUUUCUAAAAAAUAUUAACUCCGAGAAUUCCUUUUCCUUAUCAAUUUUCUUAUAUUCUACAUUAUAUUGUUCUUUUCGAUUAGAAAUCAUUGUUAUUUUGAUUUUUCAUGAAUUGUCAAAUCAAUUUCACUUGACCAUAAUCAUUUCUUUUCCUCCCAUUUAAGCCUUAAUUAUCGAGAAUAAUCCAUCCCAAUAGAAGACACCUAAGACCACUAUACUACCGUAGCUUUUGCUAAAAAACCUUUUUGAUCGGGCAAGAGUUACCUUAGCAUAGUUGAAUUAGGUUAUAAUUUUUUUAUCCAAUAAACAACAAAAAAAAUCAAUCGAUCAAGUUUGCAUUGUGUAUUCUUGAAUUUUAUUAAUAAAUUUGAUCCCCCUUUUUGAAGCGAUUACACCAAACCAAGUAAAUAUUUUAUAUACUUCAUUUGCUUUAUUUUUUCUAUUAAGUUUAGGUGUUGCAAUUUUCAAGAGUCAUGGUGAGAAGAUUGUGGGAAAAAUUAUUUUAAGGAUGGAGUCGAACAUAAAAUAUGAAAUUGAGUCCUUUGAUGGAAAUAAUAAUUUUAAUAUUUGAUAGAGUAUUAUUAAAGAUGUUUUGAUACAACAAAGACUUCUCAAAGCAUUACAAGGCAAAAAAACUAGAGAGCAUGACAAAUAAAGAAAUGAAAGAAUUAGAAGCAAGAGUUGUAAGUACUAUUUGUUUAAGUCUUAAAAAUGAAAUACAUUGUUUUGAAUGAAAAAAAUAUUCUUUUAGGGGUGUCAAUUGCUCUUUUAGAGACCAAAAAUAUUAAGCAGUCAAGUAGUUCAUCUCAUAUUGGACAAACUGUUAUGAUGAAUUCUAAACCACAUCAUCAUAGGAGUAAAUCGAAAGAAAGUAUCUGAUAGGAGGAUGAUCAUUCCAUUCACACUUAUGGAGGAAUAUGAAGUAUUAUUACUGUGAAAAAAAAAACAUAUCAGGAGAUAUUGUAAAGAAUUGAUGAAGUACCUAGAAGAAAUGAAAAUUUUUAAAUCCCAAGAGACUUCAAAUUUUACUAAUAUUGUUGAUGAAAAUUUUGAAAUAUUGUAGUAAAUUAAAAGUUACAUUAUGGGACUUUUAGUGAGUGUUUUAUGUUGAAGAAAGGCUAAUUAAAGUAAACAUGCAUCUAAAACUAUAAUUUAGAUGUUGUACUCAAAUAGUUGCUCUCCUCGAUUAUAUCAUAAAAUUUGGUUUGAAGUCUAAGUCAUCUAAUAAUUUUCUAAUUCAAAUUGCAUGCAUCAAACAUGUGUGUUAGGAAGUGUUGCAAAUUACUAAUUAAUAUAGAUUCUUUUUUUUUUUAAAGAAUAUUGUAUUGAAUAUUUCUAGGUUGAUAUAUUAUUGUAAUAUUAGACUUUCUUAUAGAAUAAGGAAGGUUGUUGAAAAUAUCCCUAUAAAUAUUCUAGUUCAUAAGGGGAAAAAGUUAUGAGAUGAAGAUGGACCCAUAAAGACUAUACAAGGUGGAUAGAGACGUGAAGAAAAACGAGAGGUACCCGGUGGAGCGAGAGGGCUCGUGGUAGGGUAUAGGUACAAAGAGUGAGAAAACAUGGGAUGUUUUGGGAACCCAAUAAUUGUAUCUGGUUAUGUCCUCUAUAAGUUCUAGUCCUGUCAUCUGCAUUGUUCUCUAUUUUAUAGUGGAAUGAUUCUCUUUUAUCUGUGGACGUGGGCAUGGUUUUCGAACCAUGUUAAAACCUUGUGUACCGUUUGUGUUGAUUUUUUUUUUUAUCUUUAUUUUAUUGAUUAAUGAAGUUUGCAUCAAAGCUUCUGUCAACGUAACAAACUUGUAUCAAAGCUUGGGUUAAAGAUUUCUAGAAGAGUAAAAGAUCAUAGAGCACACAAGAUGAAAACAAAAGGAAUUUUUAGUGAAAAUGGAGUCAAUUGCUCUCUCAUGGUGAUAUGAUAUAAAAAGUUUGUGUCAUGGAAAGUUUGAAGAUUUACUUCAUGGAAUCUGGUCCAAAAUGGAGAUUGUUAAUAAGUAUCCCAAAUUCCUAAUUAGUUUAGAUUUUUUUUUUUUGUAAAGAAUAUUGUAUAGAAUAUUUCUAGGUUAAUAUAUUAUUGUAAUAUUAGACUUCCUUAUAGAAUAAGGAAGGUUGUUGAAAAUAUCUUUAUAAAUAUUCUAGGUCAUGAGGGAAAAAAGUUAUGAGAUGAAAUGGGCCUGUAAAAACUAUAUGAGGUGGAUAGAGAUGUGAGGAAGAACAAGAGGUACUCAAUGGAAUGAAAGGGCUCGUGGUAGGGUAUGGAUACAAAGAGUGGGGAAAUAUGGGAUGUUUUGGGAACCUAAUAGUUGUAUCUGGUUCUGUCAUCUAUAAUGUUCUAGUUAUGUCCUCUAUAAUUGAUUCGUUCCCAAUUGGUGUCUCAGCUGAUUCAUGUCCUCUCCAUGGUCCCUGAUAGUGGUGCCAUUUGAUUCAUGUCCAGCUGGUGUCCCUUGAUUUUGGUCUUCAGGGAGUAAUCAACAAAAUUUAUAACCUAUUACACCAUGUACUAGGAUAGCCUUAGCUAGCAUAGCAUAGUGGCUCUAGGGUCGUUCACUGGGAUGGGUUUUCACUUCACAAUUGAUAUUAAUUCAAAGAUGAAUUGGUGCUUUUUCAUUUCAAGGUUAGCUUUAAAAGAAAACAUAAAGAUGUUUGAAUGAAAAAGGUUUUGUUUUAAACUAACCAAAAAUAAUAACUGAUUUUACUUACAAAGAAAAGUGUUUCUUGGAGUUUAGAUCACUGGGCUCAGAUUCCUUGUACAAAAAGGGAGUUCCGGUCACUUGUUUCUUUUCCUCGCAUUAGAGAAUUAACAUAUAGUUAAUUCUCUAACCGGUGUGGUACAGAUGCUUCCCCUUAAUGGGUUCAAACACUAAAUCCCUCUCACUGAUGCAACUUGCAAUGGCUCGUGCCUCUCACCUAGCAUUUGCCAUUCAAGGUGAUCUUUAACCUUGGAUUACCCUUCACAAGCUCGCAAGAGAUAACUAAUGGAUGUCUCCUUAGAGUCCAAAAGCUUACCAAGUGUUGGCAAUUCUAGAAAAUCAUACCUUCAAACCACCUCCCAAAAGCUCGCAAGAGGUAAACCAGUGCAUCUCCAUUGACGGAGAUCACUUGCCUAACCAAGUGUUGGCUCAAGUGAAUUGAAGGUGUUUUAAGUUAACUAAAAAGAUAAAAACCAUUAACGGGUCACACUUUCUCUUCAUUAAAAACUAAAACAACAAAACUUCCAAUUUAUGCAUGAGGAAACUUACCCGGCUUUCUUUCACUCCAAGAGACGAAGAGCCUAGCCUCUCAUCCUCUGAGAAAAAAUCCUCAGAGUUUGAUUGGCUAGAAAGAAAACUAACGAGAAAACAAAAAUAUAUAUAAGAAGCAGAGCAAAAGCUCUGUUCGUUGAUUACAUAUAUGAUAUAUGAUAUAUGAUGGAUCCUCUUCUUUACAUUGGUUCAAAGAUAUAUAUAGAGAAGAUAUUUUCUAAGAAAUAUCCCAAUAAUAUCUUUGACUAAUUACAAGGAGAAAAUAGAAAUUUACACAAAAUAUCUUGAGAGAAAAAAUCUAACUUAGUCGGUGGCAAAUAUCAGGAAGCUUCAGGAGAAUAUCGCGUCACUGUGCAAAAAUCCGGGUAAUCUGAAAUGCCGGCCGCGGAUGCUCUCCGGGUUAGCGCUAUUAGAAGAUCCGGACAUGCCUGUCUGGGGAGGUUGAAAUGCCUCUUCUUCCAUCCGGCGUCAGGCGUCGGAUUUGAAAUAUCUGAUCAGAGGAUCCUGACAUGUCUGACCGAACAGAAUUUCAGAUGUGAGAUAUCCGGACGUCGCAAGGGGGACCGUUUGCGUGUACAAGGUGUAGAGACCCUUCCCCCUGAUGACACGGAGCACGCAUCGCUAUCCAGAGCAACUCCAUCCGGAUUUCCCAAGAGGACACGCACCGCCAUGCUAUCCGGCACUCGUGAACAUCACACUCCGGAUGAUAGCAUAUCCUAUCCGGAUAUGUUGUCUGGAUCAUUGACUAAAGUGAGCAAGCCUUACUACAGCCCACGUUCCGCCGCUCUUCCAAUGGUGUGUCCGGACGCCCUGUCUGGACAUCUUUUUCCAUGGAUUCCAAAGAACUCUCCUCAAUCUCGGAUUGCUUUGGUGAUAAAAAAGCUAUCAAAACACCAAAACUUAACACAAUUUGAUUAGAAUUGAUUGCAAGGGUCCUUAAUAUGUUAAUUGGGUUAAAAAGUGAUAACUACUACUCAAAAGUGUUUAAAAGAGUUAAUUACAAGCUAUGAAAUAACACUUUUUGAGUAGUAAUCAAUAAUGUUCUCUAUUGUAUAGUGGAAUGAUUCUCUUUCAUUCGUGGAUGUAGGCAUGGUUGUCGAACCACAUUAAAACCUCGUGUACUGUUUGUGUUUUUUUUUUAAAAAAAAUUAAUCUUUGUUUCUUGAUUAAUGAUGUGUGCAUCAAAGCUUCCAUCUACGUAACAAACUGGUAUCAGAGCUUGGGUUGAAGAUUUUUGGAAUAGUAAAAGAUCACAAAGCACACAAGAUGAAAACAAAAGGAAUUUUUAGUGAAUGUGGAGUCAAUUGUUCUCUCAUGGUGAUAUGAUACAAAAAGUUUGUGUCAUGGAGGGUUUAAUGAUUGACUCCAUGGAAUUUGGUCCAAGGUAGAGAUUGUUAGGAAGUGUCCCAAAUUCCUAAUUAGUAUAGAUUUUUUUUUUAUAAAGAAUCUUGUAUAGAAUAUUUCUAGGUUGAUAUAUUAUUGUAAUAUUAGACUUCCUUAUAGAAUAAUGAAGGUUGUUGGAAAUAUUUUUAUAAAUAUUUUUAGUCAUGAGGGGAAAAAGUUAUGAGAUGAAGAUGAGCCUAUAAAGACCAUACGAGAUGGAUAGAGAUAUGAGGAAGAAUCGAAGGUACCCAGUGGAGCAAGAGGGCUCGUGGUAGGGUAUGAAUAUGAAGAGUGGGGAAACAUGGGAUGUUUUGGGAACCCAAUAGUUGUAUCUAGUUUUGUCAUCUAUAAUGUUCUGGUUCUGGCAUCUAUAAUGUUCUGGUUUUGUCCUAUGUAAUGUUCUUUAUUGUAUAGUGGAAUUAUUAUCUCUCAUCUGUGUAGACAAGUUGCUAAACCACGUUAAAACCUCGAAUACCAUUUGUGUUGAUUUUUUUUAUCUUUGCGUUCUUGAUUAACGAUGCUUGCAUCAAAGCUUCUACCAACGUAACAAUGUGCAACAUAUUUGAUAUAACUUAUAUUUUCUUAAGUAAUUGAACACUUUUUCUAUAAAUUUACUUGAUUAUCAAUGAAUACCUACAUAUACGGUAUUGACAUAGUUUGAUAAAUAUUUUAAAAUAGUAUUAGAAUGGCUUUUCUUUUUCCCAAUUAACAAAUUUAUCAAAUAUAUACAUACACACACACACACACACAUAAUACUCAUUAGUAUGUCUUUUAUGAAAAAACUAUAUUUGUUUAUUUGAAUUUAGUAGCCAUUCAACUCCUUAGUUACUCAUAAACUUUUUAUCACCUUCUUAAAGUCAAGUCAUUUACAAUUAUUUCUAUCUAGCCUUCUCCAUUAUAACAACUUUAUAAGAUAGUGAUUGAUUGGAAGAAUCUACAUGCCUUUGUUGAUAGGAUAAUUGUUUUUCUUUUUUUUUCGUAUUCAAAGAAUCUUGCUUCUGUUAUUGAAACUUUCAAAUCCUUUAUGUCAAGUUGUCUUAUAAUUCCCUAUUCAUUGGUCUUUCAUAUUACCAAUCAUUUUGAAAAUGAGUUAAUUUCAUUCACAUCCUCUGAGAUUUGAUGUAAAUUCGCUUAGUUACCAAUGAUUUCAAAUUUCAUUAAUUAGUACCCCUAUAGAUGUAAUUUGUGUACAAAAUUUAUUUUUUAAAAGAGUUUAGGUAAAAAUAUUUUAGGUAUAUGUCUUUAACAAUUCUCUAAAAUAAAUUUUACUUGCUAAAAAAUAACUUAUAUAGAUAGAAUACAUCUACAGGAGUUCUAACUAACGAAAUUUAAAACUAAUGGUGGUUUAGUGUAUUUAAACUAAACAUUAGGAAGGGUGACUGAAAUUAACCCUCUAGGUAUAUAUGUUUAACAAAAUUUUUAUUGUUUAUUUUUCAUUUAAUGUUUGCAUUUUUCAAUAAACAUUGAAAAGGAAUUGUUUUUCCAUAUGUUAACAAAAAGAAAUUUGAACACCUAUAAAAAUAAAAUCUUGUAGCAAAAUUGGAGUUACAUUAUCAGACUUUUAAUGAGUGUUUAUGUUUAGAAAGACCAAUUAAAGCAAGCAUGCAUCUAGAAAUUGUAACUUAGAUGCAUCAAACAUGAGCAACAUAUUUGAUAUAACCAAUAGUUUCUUAAGUAACUAAACACUUCUUUUUCUAUAAAUUUACUUGAUUAUCGAUGAAUACUUACAUAUAUUUACAUAGUUUGAUAAAUAUUUUAAAAUAAUAUUAGAAUAACUUUGUUUUUUCUCAAUUAUAUUAGAAAAUAAUAUAAAGUUACUUAUAAACUUUAUAUCAUUUUCUCAAAGUCAAGUCAUUUACAAUUAUUUCUAUCUAGCCUUCUCCAUUAUGACAACUUUUAUAUGAUAGCCGUUGAUUGGAAGAAUCUACAUGUCUUUUUUGAUAGGAUAGUUGUUUUUAUUUUUUUAUUUUUUUUAUUCCAAAAAUUUGCUUCUAUCAUUGAAACUUUCAAAUCUUUUAUGUAUAUUACCAAUCAUUUUACAAGUGAGUUAAUUUCACUUAGGGUAGAUAUACUUAGCCACACCCCUAUAGAUGUAAUUUGUGUUUAAAUUUUAUUUUUUAUUUAGGUAAAAAUAUCUUAGGUAUAUGUGUUCAACAAUUCUCUAAAAAAUAAAUUUUCUUAUCUAAAAGUUUAUAUAGACAAAAUACAUCUAUAGAAGUCCUAAUUAAUGAAAUUUAAAAUUAAUGGUUGUUUAGUGUAUUUACAUUAAACCUUAUGGGGUAUGAUUGAAAUUAACUCUUUUACAAGCACUUGUAGCUAAUAUGUUUGUAGUUGUAGUGUUGGAAAUUGAUCAUUUUCUUGAAGGCCUCUAAGAUAUUGAAAAUAUUGCCAUAGUUUUAGACUUUUUUUUAUUACACCUAAUAAAAAAUAUUAUUAAUUUAACAUAUAUAUUCUUGACUUAAAAGUAAAGUCUCUCCAUAUUGUAUAAGCCCUUAGGUGGCAAUAUUAGGUGAAGUUUUUCUUUCGUUUAUUACAAAAUAUAAAUAAUUUAUUAUUGUAUGAUAAAAUUUUAUGUAAUAUAUUUUUAUAGAUGUAAAAUUAUUAAUUGGGUUUUUUUUUUACUAAAUUGUCAUUUCAAUAUAUAAAACUUAUUUGUAAAAAGACAAUUAUAAACUAUAUGAAAUUGAAAAACAUUUAGUUUUUUUAUUUAAUUUAGAAUUUUAUUUGGAUUAAUAAUUGAUAUUUGUAAGAUUUUUUAAUAUUAAAAAAAGUUAGCAUACUUAAGAAAGAUAUUCAAGAUCGGGAGUGUUUGAUAUUGGAUUAAUUUCCUUAUUUUCUCUAUUUUAAUAAAUUUUCACGUCCAUUACAAAAUUUUUGUUGUUUAUUUUUCACUUCAAUAUUUUUAUUUUGUAAUAGACAUUUGAAAAGAUUUUUUCCUACAUGUUAAAAAAAAAAAUAUUUGAACACUCCUAAAAAAGAAUAUUGCUAUAAAAUUAAAGUUUACAUUGUAGGACUAUUAGCAAAUGCUAUAUACUUAAAAUAGACCAAUUAAAGUAGAAAUACUUCUAAAAUUGUAAUUUAGGUAACAAUAAUAUAAAAAGAUAAUAUUUUUGAAACAAUAGUUCUCUUGGAGUUUUGGGUACGAUGGACUAGACUUUAUGUACAAUAGAUAUACAAACUUUCCAUUAACAUCUUGAGAGACAUGAUGAGGAGCAAAGUCAUCCAAGAAGGUACCAUAGAGGUACCUUAGCUCCAUUCAUCUAGACUACAUAAUGUUUAAAGAUCAAAUUCAAUGACUAGAUUUCAAAAAUCAAUAUAAGCUUUCUCAUAUUCUACUCUAUAUAAGACAAUGGUAUGAUACCUCUCUUGUGUCGUAGAAUGCACCAUGAAAACCUUAUCAUUUUAACAUCAGUUUGAAACUUAAAAGUCACUUAGCACAUUCUAGUUAUUAAUCUAAGAGCAUUAAAAGAAAAUAUAAAAAAAGUUACUUUAUCCUUGUGAUUUUGAUUUAGGACUUUUAAUGAUAUUAAAAAAAAAAAACAAAACAGAAAAAUAAAUGGAAAUAAAAUCAACAAAUUAAACAAUUGAAUUAAGUUAGUUUAAUUCUUGCAUCGUUAAAUGGGUAAAUAAAGACUCUUAGAUUUGAUAUUAAUAUGAACAUCAUGACUUCAGUGAAUCUUACAAGAAAAUUUUAGUUUGAAAGACUUCAUUCAUUAAACGUGUGGCACAUAUUAAAGUAAAACUAAGUCUUCUCUAUAAUUUGUACCUAUCAUAGUUUCUUUCCUUAUAAAUAGCCUUUUUUGAAUAUAAUAUAGACUUCAACAUGCAUGGUGGGGCCAAUCAAACUACUAGUCAAGACAACUCAUGGGCAACAACGAUGUACCAACUACAUUUAAAUACUCUUCAUCUAUUUACAUAUCAAGAGUAAUUUAGUAGUGUCUUAUUUAUGUACCUCAUAUCUAGACUUUCAAUGGAGAGUUCUUCAUCUAAAAAUUUGACUUGGGUUUUCAUACUAGUUUUGGUUUAGACAUGUGGAUGCAAAGGUUGCAUCAAAGAAGAGAAGUAGGCUAAAUCAUCUUACAAAUUUUAUAGUUCAAAUUAGAUGCACCAAACAUAUGCAACAUAUUUGAUAUAACUAAUAUUUUCUUAAGUAAUUGAAUACAAUUUUUUUUUUAAAUUUACUUGAUUAUUAAUGAAUAACUACAUGUAUGGUAUUGACACAACAUGAUAAAUCUUUUAAAAUAGUAUUAGAAUAACUUUGCUAAAAAAAAGUAAAAAUAAAAAUAAAAAUACAUCUAUAUAUAAAAUUAAAUUAAAUUAAAAAUUAAAAAAGAAUAUAUAUUCUCUGUGUGUGUGUGUGUGCAUGGUCCCACAACUCAUUAGCUACUCAUAAGCUUUAUAUCACUUUCUCAAAGUCAAGUCAUUUUGUAAUUAUUUCUAUCUAGCCUUCUCCAUUACGACAACUGUAUAGGAUAUUGAUUGGUUGGAAAAAUCUUCAUGUCUUUUUUUAUAAGAUAGUUUUUUUAUUAUUAUUAUUAUUCAAAGAAUUUGCUUUUAUUAUUGAAACUUUCAAAUCCUUUAUGUCUAGUGGUCCUACAAUUCCCUAUUCAUUGGUAUUUCAUAUUACCAAUCAUUUUACAAAUAAGUUUAUUUCACCCGGUAAAUAUACUUAACUACUAAUGGUUUCAAAUUUAAUUGAUUAACACACUUAUAGAUGUAAUUUGUUUUUAAAUUUUAUUUUUUUAGAAGAAUUGUAGGUAAAAAUGUUUUAGGAAUAUGUGUUCAAUAAUUCUCUAAAAACAAUUUAUAUAGAUGGAAUACAUUCAUGUAAGUUCCAACUAAUGAAAUUUAAAACUAAUGACAAUUUAAUGUAUUUGCACUAAAUCUUAGGGGAGGUGUACUAAAACUAGCCCUUUUACAAAUAUUUGAUAUGAAAUUAAUUAAUUAAUUUUUUCUAUUUAAAUAAAUUUUUGCAUCCAUUAAUAAAAUUUUAUUGUUUAUUUUUCACUUCAAUAUUUUUAUUUUGUAAAAUAAAUAGAAAUAAAAUCAACAAAUUAAAAAAUUGAAUUAAGUUAGUUUAAUUUUGCCACCUUUAAAUUGGUAAAUGAAGACUCUUAUAUUUGAUAUUAACAUGAACAUCAUGACUUUAUUGAAUCUCACAAGAAAAUUUUAGUUUGAAAGAUUUUAUCCUUUAAACAUGUGACACAUAUUAAAGUGAGACCAAGUCUUCCCUAUAAUUUGUAUCUAUCACAAUUUCUUUCCUAAUGAAUAGCCUUUUUGAAUAGAAUAUAGACUUUAGCAUGCAUGGUGGGGCCUAGCUAUCAAACUACUAGUCAAAACAACUCAUGGGCAAGAAUGAUGUACCAACUAGAUUAAGUAUUCUCCAUCUAUUUGCAUAUCAAGAGUAAUUUAGUAGUAUCUUUCUUGUGUACCUCAUUUCUAGACUUUCAAUGGAGAGUUUUUUAUCUUAAAAUUUGACGUGGGUUUUCAUACUAGUCUUGGUUCAGAUAUGUGAAUGCAAAGGUUGCAUCAAAGAAGAGAAGUAGGCUAAGUCAUCUUACAAAUUUUCAAGUUCAAAUUAGAUGCAUCGAACAUGUGCAACAUAUUUGAUAUAACUAAUAUUUUACCAAGCAACUAAAUACUUUAUAUAUAUAUAUAAAUUUAUUGAUGAUCAAUGAAUACCUACAUGUAUGGUAUUGACACAGUUUGAUAAAUCUUUUAAAAUAGUAUUAGAAUAACUUUGCUAAAAAAAGUAAAAAUAAAAUAAAAUAAAAUAUAUAUAUAUAUAUAUAUAUAAAUAAACAAAAUAAAAAAUUUAAAAAGAAUAUAUAUAUUAGUGGUCCCACAACUCAUUAGCUACUCAUAAGCUUUAUAUCAUUUUCUUAAAGUCAAGUCAUUUACAAUUAUUUCUAUAUAGCCUUCUCCAUUGCGACAACUGUACAAUAUAUUAAUUGAUUGAAAAAAUCAUCAUGUCUUUUUUGAUAGGAUAGUUUUUUUUUUAUUCAAAGAACUUUCAAAUUCUUUAUGUCUAGUGGUCCUACAAUUCCCUAUUCAUUGGUAUUUCAUAUUACCAACCAUUUUACAAAUAAGUUAAUUUCACUCGAUAAAUAUACUUAACCACCAAUGGUUUCCAAUUUGUAGCAUUCUUAUAGAUGUAGUUUGUUUUUAAAUUUUAUUUUUUAGAAGAAUUGUAGGUAAAAAUAUUUUAGCUAUAUAUGUUCAACAAUUCUCUAAAAACAAUUUAUAUAGAUGGAAUACGUUCAUGGAAGUUCCAACUAAUGAAAUUUAAAACCAAUGAUGAUUUAAUGUAUUUGUACUAAAUCUUAGGGAGUGUGGACUAAAAUUAGCCCUUUUACAAAUAUUUAUAACUAGUAUAUUUGUAGUUGUGGUAUUGGAAGUUGAUCAUUUUCUUAAAAGGUUUACCAUUGAAGUUAGUUGAAUAUAAAGUUAGGUGAACUUUACCAUUGUUAAAUUGGUAAAUGAAGACUCUUAGAUUUGAUACUAACAUGUACAUCAUGACUUCAUUGAAUCUCUCACAAGGAAAUUUUAGUUUGAAAGACUUCAUCUUUUAAACAUGUGGCACAUAUUAAAGUGAGACCAAGUCUUCCCUAUAAUUUGUAUCUAUCACAAUUUCUUUCCUCAUAAAUAGCCUUUUUGAAUAGAAUUAAUAUAGACUUUAGCAUGCAUGAUGGGCCCUAUCAAACUAUUAGUCAAGAUAAUUUGUAGGUAAGAACGAUGGACCAACUAUAUUAAAUACUCUUCAUCUAUUUGCAUAUCAAGAGCAACUUAAUAUUGUCUUUCUUUUGUACUUCAUGUUUGAACUUUCAAUGGAGAGUUUGUCAUCUAAAUAUUUGAUGUGGGUUUUUAUACUACUCUUGGUUCAAAUAUGUGGAUGCAAAGGUUGCAUCGAAGAAGAGAAGAUGGGUUUGCUUGAAUUCAAGGCUUUUCUUAAAUUGAAUAAUGAGCAUGCAGAUUUUCUUCUCCCUUCAUGGAUAGAUAACAACACUAGUGAAUGUUGUAAUUGGGAGCGGGUUAUUUGCAAUCCCACCACAGGUCGAGUUAAGAAGCUUUUCUUCAAUGAUAUAACGCGACAACACUUGGAAGACAAUUGGUACUAUUACGAAAAUGUCAAAUUCUGGUUACUAAAUGUCUCCUUAUUCCUUCCUUUUGAAGAACUUCACCAUCUAAACUUGUCUGCAAACUCAUUUGAUGGGUUUAUUGAGAAUGAAGGUAUGUUACCUCUCACCUUUAAAUUUUCUUUUCACUUAUACUCCAAACAUUCUAAAGGAACUACUAGCAUAUGUUCUUAAAAGUGUUCAGGUGGAGAACAAAUGGUCACUAGUAACUAUUGAAUUUAAUAUAAGAACAAUUACUAAUUAUUAAAAUUUAUAAUGUAAAUUAACAUUUAAACAGAACAAUAAAAAAAUUAUUAUUUUAGAAAACUAUAGAUUACAUUAGCCUUAUAUAUAUAAGCAUACUUGUUAUUUAUGUCAUCAUUUCACACUCAACCCAAUAAGUGGGAUUCAACUAAGAGUGAGCAAUUUCACAAUUAUUAAUUAACAGGAACACUUAGGCUCCCAUAUCCUUAUCAUUUUUGCUGAAUUGUCUUUCCUUAUCUUCCAUUCCUAAAAAGCUUGAUUUCUAUAUUCCAAAUUGAUAGAGAUUGGUUAAAGAAAGGUGAUCACAAAAUUUGACUAUUGCUUUCAAAUGAGGAAUCACCAUCUUCAAAAUUUCACAUUUACAAAAAAAAUAAAUAAAAUAAAUAAAUAAAUAAAACUAGCCUCGGGUAAGGUCCAAGCCUUAUUGUUUUAAGCUGAUGUCAGAUUGGUUUAAUAAUGAACAGAGUAAAUCCUAACCCAUGACCAUCUACGCAUUUCCAAAUUCCACCCAUCCACAACCCAUUAAUAUGACAUUUUCAGGGACAAAAUUUAAUCAAUUAAACCUAUUAGAUGGAUUCUCCAUACAAUGUUAAAAUGAAUAUAAAAACUUUAAUUCAAAAAAUAAUUUCCUUUAUUUAGUUAGGAUUCAAAUUAUAGGGGCACAAAACAUGAAAAUUUUCAUGUUUAAAAUUCACAAAGAUCACAAAAGCUCUUUGAAGCUCUAUGGACUUUUUUAUUUCUAACAUUUAAACACAAAAAUCACCAAAUUUAAUUAGAGAUUUGGAUGCAUAUUCUUAUAUUAAAGACAUGUAAGCUUACAUAUUUAAAUAUGAAGAUCUCAACUUGUAAUUACAUGCUUCUAAUUAAAGUUAUAUUACUCUAUUUUACAGGAUUUAAAGGGUUAUCAAGUUUAAAGAAAUUGGAGAUCUUGGACAUAAGUGGUAAUGAGUUUGACAAAAGUGCCUUAAAAUCUUUGGGCACAAUAACAUCACUCAAGACAUUGGCUAUUUGCAGCAUGGGACUGAAUGGAUCUUUUUCCAUUCGAGGCAUGUUAUAUGUCCACAUUGUUUCUUUGAAAUUAAGUAAAAUAUAUUUCUAACUUUUAAUGUUCCUUAGUUAAUCUCUCUUUUGAUUCAUGUUUGUUGCAGACUUAGCUAGUUUGAGAAAUUUGGAAGUGUUGGAUCUAAGCUAUAAUCAUUUGGAAAGCUUUCAACUAUUGCAAGGUACUUCAUUAACUUGCUAAAAAAACUUACGAUAUUUUGUUAUUAAAUUAAAGGUAAGAUUAACAAACAAUUUCUUCUCAUUAGUUACUUUUCUUUGUAAUAUCAUUAAAUUUGAUAUAAUGUAGUCUAAAUCAUCCUUUCAAUUUAUAAGUUUUAAUUAAAACGCAUCAAGCAUGCACAAGAUGUUUAAUAUAACUAAUAUUUUCAUAAGUAAUUGAAUUUUUUUUAUGAAUUAAUUAACUUGAUUAUCAAUAAAUGCUUACAUGUAUAAGAUUAAUAUAGUUUCAUAAGUAUUUUAAAAUUGUCUUACAACACACACACACACACACAAGGAAAAUGAAAGGUAUGUGAUACCUUUAUGCUAUGUUUGGUUCUCAAAAAAAAUUGAGGGAAAAUGAAAGGAGAAAAAAAUAGAGAGGAAAAGUAAAAGAAAAGAAAAGAAAAAAAGUGAAGAAAAAUAUAAAAUUGAUUAAAGUAAAUACAUUAUUUUUAUAUGUUACUUUAACUUGUUUCACUUAUUUUAAUUCUUCAAUGUAAAGAUGAAAGAUUUGAAAAUGCAUAAGUUUCUAAUUAUUUUUUUAUUUUAUUUUAUAGUUUUUACAAUACAACCAAACAUAAUAAAAUCAUUUUCUUUAAUUUUUUUUCUUUUCUUAAUACUUUUCACGAACCCUUAAGUUAUGUUUGGUUUGCAGAAAAUAUGAGGAACAGAAAAUAGAAAAGAAAAUUAAAAGGAAAGAAAAAGUGAAGUAAAAUAAAAAUAAAUUUAAAUUUAAUAAAUUAUUUUUAUAUGCUACUUUAAACUUAUUUCACUUAUUUUAAAUUAUUUAAACUCAUUUCUAAUAAAUAAUAAUGGAAAUUGUAGAGAAGUUUGUGUUAUUCAAGCUUUGCAAUGACUUUUCAAGGUGAAGGAAAAUAUUCUUGCUGAAAUUGAAGAAGGAAAUACCUUCUUAAAUAGCCUAUUGACCGAAAACACAUUACCCUAACAUAUACACACACCUUUAUUAUUUAUACAAUCAUUUAAUACUUAAUCCCGUUAGUGGGAUUCUAGUGGUUGUUUCUAUCUUGGUUUCCAAUAUUUCUGAUUGAUAGUGUUGGAUUAAUGAAAUAUCAUAAAUUUUGACCCCAAUAAGGACCAAUCCCUAUUAAAUGUAAUUGGGUUGACCUAAGACUAAAUGUUAGACCCAACUAAUAAAAACCCAUCUGUUUGUUGGAGUCUAAAUAACCCAGCCUUAGGUAGGGCCCAUGCCUUAUUAUUUUAAGAUGUAGUCCAACUGGUUUGACACUGGAUUGAGUAAAGCCCAACUUAUGAGCAUCUGUGCAUUUCCAUCCAUCCACAACCUACUGGCAUGGACAAACUUUGGUCAAUUAAACCUAUUAUAAAUGUAUACAAAAUUUUAAGUUCAAAAGAUAAUUUUUCUUAUUUAGUUAGGAUUCAUAUUAAAAAGGCACAAAGCACGAAUUUUCAUGUUUAAAUUCACAAAUAUCACGAAAGCUCCUUCAAGCUCUAUGGACCAUUUUAUUUGUAACAUUAUAUUACUCUUAAUUAUCAAAUUAACCAACAAAUUCUUCUCAUUAGUUAUUUUUCUUUUGUAGUGUCAUAAAAUUUGAUGUAAAGUAAUAUUGGUCAUCAUUUCAACUUUCAUGUUCCAAUUAGAUGCAUCAAGCAUGUGCAACAUAUUUGAUAUAACUAAUAUUUUUAUAAGUAAUUGAAUUUUUUUUUCUAUAAAUCAAUUAACUUGAUUAUCAAUGAAUACUUUCAUACAUGAUAUUGAUGUAGUUUCAUAAAUAUUUUUAAAUAGUCAUAGAAGUCUUUUAUCUGAUUCACUAGAAAGAAAAAUAAACUAUUCUAAUGAAAAUACUUGAUGAUUUGAAGUGAUUGCUUUUGAUUUUAUUUGAUUGCUACCAUUAUUAAUUGUUAGAAAUUGGCAACAAAUACCCAUUUUGCAUCACUUCUAUAUGCAUCGAGGGAAUGAAUUAUAUUUCAUAGAGCUAACAGGGCAAAACUCAUACUUUUGGAAUUAUGGAAAAGGUUGCUAGAAAGCUAAUUAACAAUUUAUAUUAUGAUUAAGACUAGUUGGGUUAGAAAUAAUUCAUAUGGAGAUUAAAAAAAACUAUGUAAUUUAGUUUAGUAGCUUGGGUGCUAUUGUAAUGAUUAAUGAUCUGCAACUUGAACACAUCUACUAGUGCUUUCUACUUGUAUAGCUAAAUUUAUGUUACCACUUUGAACUACAGUACUUACAUGAGAAGAAAGCUUUUCCUUAGUGAUAAUGCAAAAGAAAUUAAGUAUCAAUUUUUGUUAAACUAACAAGUGAUAGUUUAGAUAUGUUUUGAAUACACUUCCUUUCUUCUAUUUUUUUAUUUUGAAAAAAAAAACUCUUUAAUGAAAUAUAAGAAAUCUUAUAUGUAUAAAAAGUAAAGACUUAAACAAAAAAAUUCUUCAAAUUUUAAAAAUUUCGAGAAGUAUUUUUAAGAAUUUGUAUUUUUAGUAUAAUAAUUCCUAUAUUUUGUAUAAAAGCUUUUGUUCAAAAAAAUAGAAGUGUAUCCAAAUUAAAAAUUAAUGGUUAAAUUAAGAAUGUUUCUCAGAUCAAGGGAUAAUGAAAGUUGUAGAGAGUUUGCAUUACUCAACCUUUGCAACUACUUUUUGAAGGUAAAAGAAAAUACCUUCUUACAUAACAUACAAUGGCAAGUUCUGGUUUGUAAGAAACUAAUAAAUGAUUAAGAAUAUGAAUAAGACUUCCUUAAUAAUAGAUAUGUAGAGAAGAAUAGUGGAUGAUAGGAGGUGAAAAUCUUGUAAUAAAAUAUCAAUAUCGGUUAUAAGAUAAUCAACAUUUUCUUGUACCUAUGUGAUUAAGAAUCUUGUAGCUCCCUUAUUGAAAUAUAAUAUAAAAAUAUAAAUAAACUAUUUAGAAGUGCAUGUAGUUUUCAACAUGAGGAAGUUCAAAAGCAAGUUAAUUAUGAUAAUUUUCUAUAGUCUAUAUUGAACACAAAUUAUUUUUUCUAAAGGUUCAAUCGUUCUAUGAAGGUUAAAAGUUUGAAUUGUUUACAUAUGCAAAUGUGAAAUUUGAAAUUUUAUAAUGUUUUAUAAUUUUCUUGUAGAUUCAAAAAACUUGUCCAUAUUCAAAAAGCUCGAGACCUUGAACCUCAAUCACAACAAGUUCAAAAACACUAGCCUACAACAAUUGAAUAUAUUUACAUCCCUUAAAAAUCUUUCUCUAAGACGGAACUAUGAUGGAGGAUUUUUUCCGAUCCAAGGUAUGUGUAAUUAUUAUUAUUAUUUUUAAUGAUAAAAUAUUAGAAUUGUCAACAUCUUUUAUCUUUUUUCCCCUCAAUGGUGUUGCAGAAUUAUGCACUCUAGAAAACUUGGUGAUGUUGGACCUAAGUGGGAAUUUCUUUAUUGGCAUGCAAGGUAAAUACAAAGUGAAGUUUUGGUUAUAUAUAUAUAUCAUGUAAGAACAUAACUAAAAUCAACAUUCUUUGCCUAUCAAUUUGUGCAUGACUAUUAUUUAGUUAUUCUUCGUAACAUAAUUGAAAGAAUGUUUAGGUGUAUAACAUUUAAGAAUUUUACAUGGCACAAUGAAAAACAUGGUAAUCAAUGUAUGCAAUAAAAUUCUAAUAGUUGAAAAAGAAUUUUCUUGUAAUUUUAUGUUCGUGUAUAGUAAUCAAAGAGAAAAUCAUGAAAAUGUAUAUUAGUUAGACUUUAUAUAUCAAUAGACAAAAAAGAAAGAAAAAAGAUUAGUUCCUUAACUUAUCCUAAAAUUUUCUAGAUAACAAGGAGUUUUUUUAUUUUGGGCUAUAAGAUUUACAACCUGAAAAGUGAAGAUGAUUAAUAUUAGUAAUAUAAUUUUGAAAUAUAAAAAUUAAUGAAAUAAUGUUCUCUAUAACUAUAACUGCAACUGCAACUAUUAAUAAAAGAUAAUAAAAGUACUUUAGACUUUGAAUCCAUGGUUAGGUUUGCAAUUUUUUGAUGAUCAAUAAAGCUACAACUUAUGCUGCAAAAGGCUAUACAAAAUGUAUUAGGAGCAUUGCUAAGCUCAUUUAUCAAUAAAAGAAAUCCAGUAAUACUUUGAUUGGAAAAAACCUAGAAUCAUGUUUGAUAUAUAUAAUAGGAGAAGAAACAAAAUAACAAUUCCAUGGUAUUAGUUAGUUUGAUAUCCCUUUUGUUAUAUGGAAUAACUAUUCCAUUUUAAAAUAAUUAUUUCAUCUUAUCGCUAGAACAAAAAAUUUCAAGCAAUUAUAUGCGCUUUUGGGUUUCUUAAGAAUUUAAGCAUUUAUGGGUCACCCAUAUAUACAUAUAUAUAUAUAUAUAUAUAUAUAUAUAUGUAGGAAGAAUAAAAAAAAAUAUUAUACGGAGACAAGGGUAGACACCCAUAUAUAUAUAUAUAUAUAUAUAUAUAUAUAUAUAUGUAGGAAGAAUAUAAAAAAAUAUUAUAUGGAGACAAGGGUAGACACCCAUAAAUGUACAUAUAAUUAUUUAAAUAAAAAAUCAAUAAGAAACAAUAUACAACAAAAUAGAAAAUUUUAAUCUUCUUAAAUUUUAAAAAUAAAAACUAAAUGAAAAAAAAUUAAGAAGUAAAAAUAAUAAUAAAAAGGUCAAGAAUACAAAUAGAGAAGUAAACAAAAAAAAUACAUAAAUUAAAAUUAAAAUUUAAAAGAAAAAAUACAUAGAUUAAUAUGAACACUAAAUGAGGUUUUUUGAGAUAGACUUAGUUAGACCUGAACCAGAUGGAUAUUAAAAAAAAUAAAAAAAAAUUGAAAGAAAUAAAAACUAAUUAGAUGCUAAAUAUUGGAUUAAAAUAACCAAAUGAAUAAAGAGUAAUUAUUAAUUUUUAACAUUUUUUAUUCCCUAGAAUUAUUAUUUUGUGUAUUAAAUGUAUUCUGAGUGUAGUGGUAUAAAAAAUGUAGUUAAGAAUACUAUGAAGAAUAAUAAUGGUGAUGAUAAUGGUGACGACACUUAAUACCUUUUAUUGUACGUUUAGAAAAAAUGAGGUUCUUGAUCUUUAUGGAGAUUAUCAUUACUCAUCCGCAAGCAUGUUGAUAGUUGAAACUACUCAAUUAUCAAAAAUUGAAUUUCUAACCUUCAAUUUUUCUCUCUCAAAUGUAUAUGUGGGUGAGAAAGCACUAGGAAGAUUAUAAGGUCUCACAUGUAUAUGAGUCAUAGGAUAAAAAAUAUAGAGACAAUACUAGCAUUUAUUUGAUCUAGUGGCAAAUAGAGAAAUAUAAAAUAACCAUAACCAUAAUGUUCUAACCUUAUAUAUACCAGAACCAUGUUUCCUUCAUUCAAUGUUGCAACUUUUUCUUUUCAAAUUAGAAUGUAACUUGUAGGAUCCAUUGCCCAUCAAAAUUUUGAAUCGAAUAUUAUAAGAUAUUUCACAUUUCUACCUACUAAAGCAUGAGCUUCAAUGUUCUCAUGCACUUUUGGCUACUAAGUUAAAGAACCCUUUGAGGAUUAAUGGAGUUUCUAUGAGUAGCAAAGCAUUAUAAUCAGAAAGUCUUAUCAGUGAUAUGCAAUUUGACCAAGAACUUAUUCCCAACUAUUUUAUGAAUUUUAUGACUUUUCUUGGCUACUUGUAGGCAAGCUAAAGAAAUUUUCUGGUUUGUUCAAGUCUAAAAAGUGGUUUCAAGUUUAGGGCCAAGCUUGGGCUGCACCUAGGUCCUUGGGCCUUGUUCAGCUCCACGUUUAAACCAACCUUGAGUCCAUCUUUGUAAUUUUUCUCCCAAUUCAUUGAUUAAUAUUAGGAUUUUAUAGAGCCUAUAAAUUGACCAACUAAAUAAAGUAGGUUCAUAAACUUUUAGGUGAAAAUUUUCUCUUUAAUAAAUGUUAAUUCAAGAGUCUCCGUAAUCUUUUUAUAUUCAUAUUAAUUGGUAUUUAAACCGACCUUACUAUAUUAAAGUCAAAUACCAAAUAGUGAACACUAUAUCUACUACUACCACUAUGAUGGUCACAAACAUAGAAUGCUCCAUUUUUUAGAGUCAAUUGAUGCUUAUAAACAACUUUGUUUGAAAAUAAAACACAUCGAGUGAUUGCAUCAAGAGAUUGAUGUAAUAAUUGCAUACUUGAUCUAGAUAAUGUUAAUAUGAGUUGACUAAAUAAAUGAGUAUUUACUUAUAAGGUAGCCCAUAGAACAUUAUUUGUGGAAAUAUUCAUGCACCUCUACAUAUGUUCAUGAUAACUUAGGUUGAUAAAUUUAAGAAGAACAAAUUCAUAACCUUGGGCAUAGUUAGUAAGAAAUUUCACCAAUAGAGUUUGGUAUCAUGAUUCUAAUUGUUCAAAUUGUUUUAAAGGAGUAUUUUAAAUUGCAUGUUAAUUUGCUUCUAAUAAAUGGAGAGAAACCAAUUCAAGAAGAGAAUUGUACUCAAGCUAUGUAUAGCAUUCAUGAAGAUGUAGAAAAUAUUGAUGAACUUACUUUUGAGCAAGUUGAAAUCAUAAUUAAAUAAAAUAACAAACCCAAGGGUUAAGAUUGUCAAGUAAAACUUUAAUUAAAAUUUAUUGAUUUUUUAAAUGCCUAUUAGAGGAGCAAUAGAAGUUCUAGAUAGAAAGUAAGAACUUUUCUAAGGAAUCACUUGUUAGAUUUUAAGUGAUCAAUAAAUAUAAUGUCCAAUUUAAAACUUUUAUAAAAGCAAUGGUUCUAAAGAAUAACUUGAUUUGAAUUUAAAGUUAUUAUUGAUAUUUAUUUAUAAUGGAUGUAGUUAAUCAAUUGAACAUAGUAAAAAACACAUAAUUUUUUCAAAAUACCUUCUAAUUGUUGGGUAUAUUUAAGUAGUUAUUCAUAUCUCAUUAUCUUUUUACUCACAUACUAAUCUCCUUAUUGAGUAUUUACCAAUUACAAGUAGGUUGAAAGUUACUUGAAUUUAAGUCACUAAUCAAUGUUAACUUGAUGACAAAUAAGUCUCCCUUUGAAACUUGUUUUAUAACAUAGCGAAAUGUAGUCGAUCAAUCAUCAAAACAAUGUUUAAGCAUUGGGAUUUAGUUGUUAAUUUUUAUUUUUUAUUUUUUGUGCUUAAACAAAGACAAAAAUUAUAAAAACUCCUGAAAAGUACAUAUUAAUUGAAUUUAAUUUAUACAUCAAACAAGAACAAACUAGUCUUGGAUUUAAAAUUCAAUAGGUUUUGUAAUUAUAAUUCCUAAAAAUUUGUAAGACAACAAAAUUAUUGGACACUAGGCUAUUGGGUGUGUAUGACUAAGAGGUGAAGGAGGGUUCAUCUUAUACAAAGGAUGAUUUGAUUAAUUUUAAAGAUUGAAUAAACAAUAAUUGCAUAUUCAAGUAAAAAUAACAUUGCUAAAAAGGAAAAUAAGUAUUUUAGUCCUCAAACCUAAAAUGGCUAAAAAAUUUAAUUAAUACAAUUACAACUUCACCUACAAAAAAAAAAAAAAAAAAAUACCCAAAACUUUUCAAUAGCACAACUAAGUCCAUUUAUCAAAAGCUCUAUGAACAACAACAACUAUCAAAUCACAUAAAUCAUGUUGUUUACAAAGUGCCCUUGAUGUUUUAAAACAUAAGAUAUUACAUAAAAAUCAACCAAUAGUGUAUGACAUUAUAAAAAACAUAUCCAAAUCCAUUGUCGAACUUAAACUAAAUUCAACUUUAUAUACAUAGUCGCAAGUGGGUCUUUUUGUCUUUCAAUUUGGGUCAAAUUCAGAUGUUAGUUUUUUACACAACAAGGGAUUAUCAAGGUGAUAAUUCAUGCAUAUAAAUAGUAUUACUUAUAUAAAAAAAAUGGUAAAUGCAAUUUUUUUGUAUUCACUCACCAUUUGGCAUAUCAAUAAGAAAAAAAUAUAUACAAUAGGUGCUAUCAAUAAUAUUAUGCAUCACUAGAAAUUAUAAUUUUUCAUUUGUUAUCACUACUUGUGCACUUUGGAAAGCUUGCUAGGUACAACAAAUUAGCUCAGUGAAGAAAUUGAUCAAUUCCUUCAUUUCUAAAUAAAUUUGCAUAUACACUAGAAUAAAAACAACUUUUUAACUUAACAAGUUGACUGAGUCUCAGAACUUAGUAGGUUGAAGGCAUAGACUUCCAUCCAAGCUCAUUUACUGGCACCACAUGUUGGAAAAAUAAAGAAAAAUCAAAACACUUGAGUAUAGUUGCAAACCAAUCUAAAUAUAGAGUGAGAUCUACCUUUCUUUGAAAGUUUAGAACAAAUUUUUAUUUUUAUGAUAAGACUAUGCAGUACUUAUCCCUCUCUAACAAGUCUAUAAUCAGUCCAAAGCAUGGGAUAUUGCAUAUUUCUUGAACUCAAUUAGCCUUUAAUCCAUGCAUUUCAAGUAAAUUUAAAACCUGGUGUACUUGUUCUUGAUUCACAUCCUUGUCACUAUUAUCAUUACUUGUUCUUGAAUAUAGAACCUUAUUGUCCAUUAACAAGCGGGCCUAUGUUCCUCCAUGAUUCAAGAGUAUUAUGUUUUGUUCAUCAUCAGUUGGUCUUGCUCUAAAGCUUCUUUUUUAUGACUAUCAAUAACCAGACUUAGAUACCAAAAUUUAUGCAAGAGAGCAUGUACUUUAUACAGUCAAGAACUUGUGAGUCUAGACUUUGUUAUCUAGGUAAAAGAAUAAAUUGGUUUGUUAAAAUAGCUAGCAUUAGGUAUCUAUUCAAUUCCUAUCUUAGACAAUAAAGAUACAAAUGAUCAAAUACAUUCUUAUUAAGAAACAUUUGAUACCAAAAGUGAUGUAAGACAACACAGUUCCUCUAUUCAAUCAAGUUUAAGGCUUAGAUGAACCUAUGAAUUUAUAUUAAUUAAUUGGGAAAGAGAAUAAAUAGGCUAAGUAGAAGUGAUAGGAUUGUAAUAGCAUUAAGUUAAUGAUCUUGUUUAGGUCUUCUACUAAAUUAGAGAAGAAACAAACAAAAGUAAUCAAACGUGUUAGUGAUAAUUAUAUCUACUUAACAUUGAGACAAUAGUUGUACUAAUGGUAAUUAUAUUAUUUCUUGAGAGUUUAAACAAUAUAUAUUGAAAAUAUUUUUAAAGGUUUAGCAACUACCAAGGUUAUAAUCAACUACGAGCUUUUUAUUUUUAAAAAUAUGAAAUAUUAAUAUCUUUACUUUCUUUGAUCUUCUUGUAGGUUUUAAAAGUUUGUCUAAGCUGAAAAAGCUGGAAAUCUUAAACCUUCGUGAUAAUCAGUUCAACAAGACCAUUAUAAAACAGUUGAGUGGACUCACAUCCCUUAAAACACUAGUUGUAAGCUACAACUAUAUUGAGGGACUUUUUCCUUCCCAAGGUAUUGCUUAUUCUUUUAAUAUCCUUAGUAACCACUCUACCAUGAUUUUUUUUUUUUUCAAUUUUAUUUUCUUUCUUGAACCAUACAGAAUUAUCUAUUUUUGGAAACUUGAUGACACUGGAUUUAAGAGAUAAUAGACUCAAUGGCUCCCUAUCAAUCCAAGGUAAAUUCUAAUCAGAAUUAUCAUUAUAUUUAGGGCAUAUAAUAAAUUAAUUAAAUUAUUUUAUCUAUUAUCAUUACUUGGUUAUUUGGAUUUUCUUGAUAUUGUUUAGCAUUUUACAUAGGAAAAUGAAAUGGAAAAAUCAACCCAUGCUUAGUGUUUAAGCACUGGGCUAGAAGUAUAUUUGUCUUCCCAAUUUAAUCAAAGAGAAAAGUCAUAAAUAACAUAAUUUAACUUAUACCUUAUAUUGAUUGAAGAGGUUAGACUACUUUUGGAUUUAAUGGUCAAUAUUUGUUGAAGAUAGGGUUUCCUAAAUUUGAUAAAAAGAACUUCAAUUUAAAUUACCAUAACUACAUAAAGGUGUGACUAGCAUAAUUAAACUCUUUUAUUAAUAGAUGUUCAUAGACUAGUAUUAUAAUCCCACAUGCACAAAUAAUCAAAUUUUGAAAUUAGACUUCAAAUAACUAUGCAAUAUACGAAACUACAAAAUGAAUGGUAGGUCAUAAUUAAUUAAAUUCGUACUAUAUUCAAUGUUGGUCAACACGUGUCAAGUAAAAGUUUUGGCCUAAGUGUAAGGGCUCACUUGCUCCAAUAUAUAUGUUAUUCACUUUGGGUCAAGGCCUACUUUAAAAUAUCUAUACAUUUAUGAGAUAUUUUAAAAUGUAAAAUGAUAGGUUUUGAUCAUUUUUAAAGGUAGCAAACAUUUUAUUUUAUUUGUAUUUAAGAACAACGUCUUUUCUUAUACAAUGUUUAUUUAAUUUUCUUUUGAUAGAUUUUGCAAGCUUAAGCAAUUUGGAGAUAUUGGAUUUGAGUUAUAAUUCCUUCAAUGGAAUUGUUUCAUCAUCUAUAAGAUUAAAGUCUUCUCUCAAGUCUUUAUCCUUGGCUGGAAAUAGACUCAAUGGUUCUUUACAAUGUCAAGGUAGGAAACAUUUAAUUUUAUUUGUAUUUAAGAACAAUGUCUUUUCUUAUAUAAUGUUUUUUUAAUUUUCUUUUGAUAGAUUUUGCAAGCUUAAGAAAUUUGGAGAUAUUGGAUUUGAGUUAUAAUUCCUUCAAUGGAAUUGUUUCAUCAUCUAUAAGAUUAAAGUCUUCUCUCAAGUCUUUAUCCUUGGCUGAAAAUAGACUCAAUGGUUCUUUUCAAUAUCAAGGUACAUAUGUUAUGCUUUCUUUGUUUCAUAAAGAUUAGACAAGAUAAACAUUGUGAAAAAAAGGUUGUCAUAGUUAAUGUAAAAUGAUAGGUUUUUGAUCAUUUUUAAAGGUGGCAAACAUUUUAUUUUAUUUGUAUUUAAGAACAAUGUCUUUUCUUAUACAAUGUUAUUUUAAUUUUCUUUUGACAGAUUUUGCAAGCUUAAACAAUUUGGAGAUAUUGGAUUUGAGUGGUAAUUUCUUCAAUGGAAUUGUUUCAUCAUCUAUAAGAUUAAAGUCUUCUCUCAAGUCUUUAUCCUUGGCUAGUAAUAGACUCAAUGGUUCUUUUCAAUAUCAAGGUACAUAUGUUAUGAUUUCUUUGUUUCAUAAAGAUUAGACAAGAUAAACAUUGUGAAAAAAAGGUUGUCAUAGUUAAUGUAAAAUGAUAUGUUUUGAUCAUUUUUAAAGGUGGCAAACAUUUUAUUUUAUUUGUAUUUAAGAACAAUGUCUUUUCUUAUACAAUGUUAUUUUAAUUUUCUUUUGACAGAUUUUGCAAGCUUAAACAAUUUGGAGAUAUUGGAUUUGAGUGGUAAUUUCUUCAAUGGAAUUUUUUCAUCAUCUAUAAGAUUUAAGUCUUCUCUCAAGUCUUUAUCCUUGGCUGUAAAUGGACUCAGUGGUUCUUUACAAUAUCAAGGUACAUAUGUUAUGCUUUCUUCGUUUCAUAGAGAUUAGAGAGGAUAAACAUUGUAAAAAAAAAAAAGUUGUCAUAGUUAAUGCAAGCUAAAACUAAAAAACUUGCUUUUUCAAUUAUGUAAGCAUGUUUUGUUCUUGAUGAAUCUUUACAACAUUCAAAGUUACUAAUAUUUAUAAUUCAUAGAGACCUCAUUAACAACCACUAACAACUAAUUGUAAGUAACUAUGAAAAAAGUAAGGACAAAAAUGAGGGAAAAGCAAGGAAAGUGACAAAUUUUUUCAUCCCCAUAAAAAAUGCUAAGGAAGAAAAAGGUGAAGAAAAUUUAAAGAAAGUAUAUUUUUCAAAAAUUAAAUUUUCUUUCCCUUAAAGUUGGUAUGGACAACCAAACAAGAAAAUGAUUUUGAAAUUCUUUUUUGACUUUUUUCUUUCAUUUUUUUUCCUACUCUAUUUUCUUUCCCUCAAACUUUCUAGGUAGUAAACAUUACCUAAGACAAAUAGGGAAGAAAAUAUUUUAUCAUUUAUUUAUUUAGCAUUUUUCUUACAUUUUUUGUAUUUUAUCCAAAUAUAAGAAAACUAUUUUUCUUUAUUUUUUCUUUUCCUUGUUGCGUUUCAAGAAUCAAGCAUACUUUAAACUCUAAUUAAGAGUUACAUAGAUUUACGAAGAAACGAUGCAACUGGUAACAAAAAAUUAAGGAAAUUUAAUUUUUGAGAGUAAGUAUAAUGAGAUUGGUUUGUUUGAUACAAAAUUUGAAUAAAAAUUCUUUUAAUGAAAAUUCAAGGAAAGGAAAAAAAAAACAACUUUAUCUCUAGACUAUAAUACUAAAUCAAUUAAAAAAAAUCUCCUAACAUCGUUUAUGUUCAUCUUUCUUUUUAUGGAUUUGAAAAACUCAAUAAUUUGGAGAAAACUGAUUUAAGGAAGAAUAUUUUUUAGAGUAAAAGAUUAUUAUUUAAGAAUAUCAUAAAUAUUAUAGUCAUUGUUGAAUAUGAUAAAUGAUAAAUAAAAAAUAAAAAAUAAAUAAAAAGUCGUUGGAAAUUUAGAUACUUUUAUGGAAAGAUAGACAAAGUGCUCUAGUUUAUAAUACUAAUGCACUUUUCUAAUUUGAUAUGAAAAAAGGUAAAACGAUAGGUUUUGAUCAUUUUUAAAGGUAGUUUGUUUAAAUCAUUUUAAUUUAUUUUGAUUUAUGAACAAUAACUUUUAUUACACUAGUUAUUUUGAUUUUCUUUUGAUAGAUUUUGCAAGCUUAAGCAAUUUGAAGGUAUUGGAUUUGAGUUAUAAUUCAUUUAGUGGGAUCGUUCCAUCAUCUAUAAGAUUGAUGUCUUCUCUCAAGUCUUUAUCUCUGGCUGGAAAUGACCUCAAUGGUUCCUUACCAAAUCAAGGUACAUAUAUUGAGAUUACAGGUUUUUCUGUUUUCUUUUUUAAUAUCUUGUUUGUUCUUUAUGCCAAUGAAGUCAUGCAUGUCUAUUAAUUUUUGGUAUUUAAUGAAAAACUUUAUUCUUAAUUCAUAAAGACCUCAUCAACUGUGAGUAACAGCUAGUUGUAAGUUUGGGGGCAUUGACAAGACGAGGAGAUGAUUGGUUACAUGUCUUAUUCUCUUUUGUAGGCUUUUUCCAAUUGAAUAAGCUUCAAGAGUUGGAUCUUAAUUACAACUUAUUCCAAGGGAUCCUUCCUCAAUGUUUGAAUAAUUUGACAUCUCUAAGGUUAUUAGAUCUCUCUUCCAACCUAUUCUCCGAAAAUCUUUCUUCCACUCUGUUACCUAAUCUCACAUCCCUGGAGUACAUUGAUCUCAGUUACAAUCAAUUUGAGGGUUCAUUCUCUUUCAGCUCUUUUGCUAAUCACUCCAAGCUUCAAGUGGUCAUACUUGGAAGUUAUAACAACAAAUUUGAGGUAGUUGGAAGGGAUAACAACAAAUUUGAGGUAGAAACUAAAUAUCCAGUUGGUUGGGUUCCCCUGUUUCAGUUGAAACCUCACCGGUGACCUUCCUGGUUUUCUUCAAUACCAAUUUAGAUUAACGGCAGUUGAUCUCUCCCAUAAUAACUUGACAGGAAGUUUCCCCAAUUGGCUGCUUGAAAACAAUACGAGAUUGGAAUUUCUGCUCCUGAGGAAUAACUCUUUAAAGGGUCAACUACUUCUCCUAGGACCUAAUACCCUGAUCAGUUCGUUGGAUAUCUCACACAAUCAGUUGGAUGGACAACUUCAAGAAAAUGUGGCCCAUAUGAUUCCAAAUAUUUGGAAGUAUUCCCAAUUCAAUCUCUAGACUUCUAGAGCUAAGGAUUCUUUUGCUAAGAGGAAACCUUUUAAGUGGUUUCAUUCCAUAUCGACUUUGUCAUUUGACUAAAAUAAGCUUGAUGGAUCUUUCAAACAACAAUUUUUCUGGGUUAAUUCCUGGAUGCUUUGGUCAUAUCGGAUUUGGAGAUUUCAAAACUGAGCACAAUGUGUAUAUACCGAUGUUGGAUUCAUAUUCAGAAAGCAAUCCUUCUAUAUAUACGGGUUACUUAAUAAAAUAUUUAUUUUUCUCUAGUGAACUCCCUGAUAAAGUAGAUGAAGUUAAGUUUGUUACCAAGAAUAGGUAUAGCUCCCACAUAGUAGAUAAAAAUAUUUGUUCGGAAUUUAGAUAUUUUUAUAGAAAAGUAGACAAGUAUUCUAAUUUAUAAAAACAAUGCAUUUCUUUAGUUUGGUAUAAAAAAAUGAAAUGAUAGGUAUUGGUAAUUUUUUUUAAAGUAGCAAACGUUUUAUUUUAUUUGUAUUUAAGAAAGAUGUCUUUUCUUAUACUAGUUAUUUUAAUUUUCUUUUGACAGUUUUUGCAAGCUUAAGCAAUUUGGAGAUACUAGAUUUGAGUUCUAAUUCCUUAAGUGGGAUUAUUCCAUCAUCUAUAAGAUUGAUGUCUCAUCUCAAGUUUUUAUCGCUGGUCGGAAAUCACCUCAAUGGUUCUUUACAAAAUCAAGGUACAUAUGUUAUGAUUUGUUUGUUUCAUAUAGAUUAGAGAAGAUAAAUAUUGUAAAAAAAAAAAGUUGUAGUUAAUGUAAGUUAGAAAAAAGUAUCUUGCCUUAUAAAUUAUAUAAGCACGUGUUUGUUCUUAAUGAAUCUUUACAACAUUUAGAGUUACCAAUCUUUAUAAUUCAUAAAGACCUCAUAAACACUGAGUAACAACUAAUUGUAAGUAAUUGUGGAAAAGUAAGGAAAACAAAUUGCUUCAUUUGAUACAAAAUUCGAAUAAAAAUUCUUUUAAUGAAAACUCAAGGAAAGGAAAAAACAUUUUUAUCUCUAGAUUAUAAUACUAAAUCAUGUAAAAAAUCUCGUAACAUCAUUUAUAUUCAUAUUUCUUUUUAUAGAUAUGAAAAAUUCAACAAUUUGGAAUAAACUUAUUCAAUGAAGAAUAAUUUUUAGAUUUAAAGAUUAUUAUUUAAGAAGAUCGUAAAUAUUACCAUCAUUGUUGAUGUCUAAGAAGAUCAUAUUCAACAAUUUUUUUAAUAUGUUGUUUUCUAUGGUAAUUAAUUGAUGUCUUGUAAUUUUUAAUAUUUAAUGAAAAACAUUAUUUUAAUUCAUCUAGAGCUCUUAAUUCAUGAAGACCUCAUUAACGGUGAGUAAUAGUUGGCUGUAAGUUUGGAGUCAAAGACAUUUCAAGGAGAUGAUUAGUUACAUGUCUUGUUCUCUUUUGUAGGUUUCUGCCAAUUGAAUAAGCUUCAAGAGUUAGAUCUUUCUUACAACUUAUUCCAAGGGACCCUUCCUCCAUGUUUGAAUAAUUUGACAUCUCUGAGGUUAUUGGAUCUCUCUUCCAACCAUUUAUCCGGAAAUCUUUCUUCGCCUCUGUUACCUAAUCUCACAUCCCUGGAGUAUAUCGAUCUCAGUUACAAUCAUUUUGAGGGUUCAUUCUCUUUCAGCUCUUUUGCUAAUCACUCCAAGCUUCAAGUGGUCAUACUUGGAAGUGAUAACAACAAAUUUGAGGUAGAAACUGAAUAUCCAGUUGGUUGGGUUCCCCUGUUUCAAUUGAAGGCUCUUUUCCUAUCCAACUGCAAGCUCACCGGUGACAUUCCUGAUUUUCUUCAAUACCAAUUCAAAUUAGAGGUGGUUGAUCUAUCCCAUAAUAACUUGACAGGAAGGUUCACCAAUUGGUUGCUUGAAAACAACACGAGACUAGAAUUUCUAGUCCUAAGGAAUAACUCUUUAAUGGGUCAACUACUUCCCCUGAGACCUAAUACCCGUAUCCUUUCAUUGGAUAUCUCACACAAUCAGUUGGAUGGACGACUUCAAGAAAAUGUGGGCCAUAUGAUUCCAAAUAUUGUGUUUCUAAAUUUAUCCAACAAUGGUUUUGAAGGUCUUCUCCCAUCCUCAAUAGCUGAAAUGAGUUCCUUAAGGGUGUUGGAUUUGUCUGCCAAUAAUUUCUCAGGAGAAGUACCAAAGCAGUUGCUUGCAACAAAAGAUUUGGUGAUUCUAAAAUUAUCAUAUAAUAAAUUUCAUGGUGAAAUAUUUUCAAGGGACUUUAACAUGACUGGGUUGGAUAUUUUGUAUUUAGACAAUAAUCAGUUCAUGGGAACUCUGUCAAAUGUAAUCUCCGGAAGCUCUCAGUUAAUGGUGUUGGAUGUGAGCAACAACUACAUGUCAGGUGAAAUUCCAAGCGGGAUAGGUAACAUGACAGAAUUGAGAACAUUGGUCAUGGGCAACAAUAAUUUUAGAGGCAAAUUACCACCUGAGAUUUCUCAAUUGCAACAGAUGAAGUUUCUUGACGUUUCUCAAAAUGCUCUUUCAGGAUCUCUUCCUUCUUUGAAGAGCAUGGAGUAUUUAGAGCAUCUACAUUUGCAAGGGAACAUGUUUACAGGAUUAAUACCGAGAGAUUUUCUCAAUUCCUCAGAUCUAUUGACUUUGGAUAUGCGAGAUAACAGGUUAUUUGGAAGUAUUCCCAAUUCAAUCUCUGCACUUUUGGAGCUAAGGAUUCUUUUGCUAAGAGGAAACCUUUUCAGUGGUUUCAUUCCAAAUCAUCUUUGUCAUUUAACUAAAAUAAGCUUGAUGGAUCUUUCAAAUAACUCUUUUUCAGGGCCAAUUCCCAAAUGCUUUGGCGAUAUCCGAUUUGGGGAGAUGAAAAAGGAGAAUGACGUGUUUAGACAGUUCAUUGAUUUUGGGUAUGGAGGGGAUUCUCGUAAUUUAUAUGUUGGAUUCACGGUGAAAAAAUGGGAGUUCGAUAGUGAUGUAUAUGAUGAAAAAAAUGAAGUUGAGUUUGUCACCAAGAACAGGCAUGACUCCUACAGUGGUGACAUCCUUAAUUUCAUGUUUGGAUUGGACUUGUCAUGUAAUAACUUAACCGGUGAAAUCCCUCACAAACUUGGAAAGCUAAGUUGGAUUCAUGCAUUGAACUUGUCUCACAAUCAAUUGAAGGACUCCAUUCCAAAGAGUUUCUCCAAUCUUUCUCAAAUAGAGAGCUUGGACCUUUCUUAUAAUAAAUUAAGUGGAGAAAUUCCUCUAGAGCUAGUUGAACUCAAUUUUCUAGAGGUGUUCAGUGUGGCUUACAACAACAUCUCUGGUAGAGUUCCAGAUACAAAAGCACAAUUUGGG
rnacentral:lncRNA from 1 species